rnacentral:lncRNA from 1 species
CCUUUGGCUCUAUGUUGAGUAACAGGACUAGUAUAAAUGAAUGGAAGGAUGUAUUAGCUAAAAGUGACAUUUGUAGUGAGAAAACCGGAAUUUUACCGAUCCUCAAGCUCAGUUUUGAUGACCUAUCCCCAGAUAUGAAGCAGUGCUUUGCAUUUUGUGCUUUAUUUCCUAAAGAUUAUGAGAUUGAUGUGGACCUCUUGAUUCGACUGUGGAUGGCACAUGACUUCGUACCUGUGCAAGAGGAUGACAAUCCAGAAACCGUAGGAAAAUAUAUUUUCGAGGAGCUAACUCGGAGGUCAUUCUUUCAAGAUGUUAGGCAAACACGUCCAAUUGGCAAUCUUCGUAGGUCAACCAUAUGCAGGAUACAUGAUCUCAUGCACGACAUUGCUCUAUCAGUUCUGCGGAAAGAAUGUGUCACUAUAGUUGAUAAGCCGAGCGUCAACAAGCUGUUGCUAAAUCCGACCCGCCACCUCUUCUUAUCAAUAUACGGUGUUAGUCCUGUUUUCGUGCAAGAACAGGUUACAAGUCUAUUGAAGAAACAAACUGCAAUGCUCCAUACGUUGUUUAUCAAAGGUUAUGGUCAACCCCUUGAUAUAUCAAAGUACACUUCACUGCGAGCAUUACACCUUCCAGCAGAUAGGUUAUCAUGUGUAGGACAGGAACAGCUUACAAGACACAUACAGCACCUAAGGUAUCUUAAUCUGUCGUCACAUGAGUUCGAGAAACUUCCUGAAGGUAUAAGCAUGAUGUAUAAUCUACAAACGUUGGACCUCUCUCAUUGCAGACACCUUCGUCAACUUCCAAAGGAUAUGAAGUAUAUGGCAAACCUCCGACACCUCUAUACCCAUGGAUGCAAAUCAUUGACGUGCAUGCCUCCAGGACUUGGACAGAUCACUUCUCUGCGGACUCUAACUUAUUUUGUUAUUGGUGAUGGCUUGGGAUGUAGUACUAUUGCGGAACUUCAAAACUUAAAUCUUGGUGGAGAGUUAGAGUUAAGUGGUCUGCAAAAUGUAACAGAAGUGCUUGCAAAAGCAGCCAAUCUUGAAAAAAAAGAGAAACUCACAUACUUAUCUCUCAAGUGGAAUGAUGAUGCCCGUGAGAAACCAGAUUCUCAUAAUGAGGUGUUAGAUGCCCUUAAACCUCAUCAUCAGCUGGAGAUGCUAAGAAUAAAGUCCUACAAAGGCACCAAUUUACCGUCAUGGAUAACAGAUCUUAGUAUGUUGCAGCACUUGACUGAGCUCCAUCUGCUUGGUUGUAUGCUGUGUGAGGAAUUUCCUCAAUUCUGCCAUUUCAAAGCCCUUGAAGUUCUGCAUUUGGAAAAGUUGGACAAAUUGCGAAGCCUAUGCAGCCAUAUGGUGUCUACGCCAUUUCCAGCACUGAAGCAACUCCGGUUACAUGAUUUGGAGAGCUUGGAGAGAUGGGUCGCAACAGAAGGAAAAGAAGAUGAUGAAUUAACCUUUCCUCUACUUGAGGAGGUCGAUAUAGACAACUGUCCAAAGUUGACUAGCCUACCUGAAGCACCAAAGCUCAGGGUUGUAAGUUUGGAUGAAGGCAAGCCGCUGCUCUCCUUAGGAAUAGUUAAAUCAAGGCACAUGUCUUCAAUUUCUAAGCUAAAGCUGCGUGUCCAUGACACAGAAGCACUGCCUGAGAUAGAUUAUAAUUGGGAUUCAUCACAGAAACAGAAACUAUCUUUGGGUGGCACAGAAGCCGCACCUCUGUCAGAACUGAACAUAUCUGGCUGCAACUUUUUCUUCGUAUCAAGCCAGUCACAGCUAACACCUGGGGUCUGGAAAUGGUUUGAACAUCUUGUAUAUUUCACAAUUGAAAACUGUGAUGUGCUCAUCUACUGGCCAGAAGAAGUGUUCCAAAGCUUGGUAUCUUUGAAGGAGUUGUGGAUUCAGUCCUGCAACAAGCUAAUAGGGCCCACACAAGCGAAAGGUGUCGAACCUACACAAACGACAGAUCAACUCCUACCACAUCUAAACAUGAUACGUAUAUACUGUUGUGAAAGCAUGGCACAGCUCUUCAUUCUUCCCCCAUCUAUCAGACUUAUUCAUAUUGAGGAAUGCCCUAAGCUUGAGUUCAUAUGGGGAAAGGAGGAGCAUAUUGACACAUAUACAUCGCUGGAACAUUGCCGCGACCCUGCAUCCACCACUGGUAACCUAGAGCAAUCGCCGUCUCCAAUUAUUCGCCGUCCAUGCCUUGUAGAUCUAUCUAUAAGCAGUUGUGAUAGCCUGUUAACACUUCCAAAUCUACCACCGUCCCUCAAAUAUUUACACAUCUGGAGCUGUGAGAAGCUCUGCUCUGUGUCAGGAGACCUGUGUGCACUCGAGGAGCUACAUAUUUUUGACUGCAAUAAGUUACAGUCAGUCAAUUCCUUGGGAGACCACCCAUCAUUAGAAACACUGUAUCUUAAUCGCUGCCGAUGCCUUGCAUCUUUAGGAUGUGAUGGUGGUCGUGGAAGUUACUCUGCUCUUCAGAGCCAUAAGAUCGAAGACUGCCCAGCCAUAGACAUGAAGCAGUUUUACUAACGCCAUCAAACAGCUGCUUGACAGCUUUGAAUAUGAAGACGUAUCACACGUUCAUUCAAGCAGCUCUGAUGAAGGUACGACCUUUCACUUUCCUCUUAUUCAAUUUGUUUCCUUCAAAUUUCCCUGCUUUGCAUGCCCUCCUAUUUUGUUGACUAACUGGUGUAACCCCACAUAUUGGUGUUGAGAUCAGUUGAUGCGGAAUCACUGAAGUACUACUGAAACGAGAUCCUGAUCGGUCUCAGUUUUGGAGAGCAAUUUGUGGUGAACGGAGGCAGUCCAAGGCUUCAAGAACUCAUGGAGUCGUGCUGUACCAUUCUGCACUGCCAGGGCCAAAACAACACAAUUCCUUUAUAUAAGUUGGGUAAGUAAAAAACCAUGCCUUCGUCUGUGUUAAUCAAAUCUCAUUUAGCACAUAUAUGGGGACGUGUUGUUAACUUGUUACCCCAUGCUUUUCAUUUUUUCUGUGCAGACAUGACCCAUUUGUCCUUAAAAAGCAUAAAGGAGGGCACUCACAUGUACACACGACUGCUAUCUGGAAGCUUCAUUGCAGAUCUAGAGAUCAGGAGAAGAAGGAAAUCGUGGGGAUGCAGAUUUGCUUUCAACGGUCAAAACAGAGCUACAAAUGAUUAGUUGUAGUCGUGUGUGGUCCUUCCAUCACGAGUCGGUUUUUUCUUUUGCGCUAUAGAGAAGCUUUUCAGUUGUUGUCUCUUUUACGGUUGAUUUGAUUCCUUUUUUCCUUUCUAUGGGCCUGUUUGGCUCCACCCUAUUAAAGUUUAACACCUGUCACAUCGGAUGUUUGGAUGCUAAUUAGAAGUAUUAAAUAUAGACUGAUUACAAAACUAAUUGCACAGUUGGAGUGUAAUUCGCGAGACGAAUCUAUUAAGCCUAAUCAGUCCAUGAUUUGAUAAUGUGGUGCUACAGUAACCAUUUGCUAAUGGUGAAUUAAUUAGGCUUAAUAGAUUCGUCUCGCGAAUUAGCACAGGGUUCUGCAAUUAAUUUUAUAAUUAGCUUAUGUUUAAUUUUUCUAAUUAGGAUCCGAACAUUCGAUGUGACACUAUUAAAGUUUAGCACCUCGUAUCCAAACACCCCCUAUUAAUAUAACAUGAAAAUCCUCUUGCCAUCUUUUUUUAAAAAAAAUCGUAGGGAUGCUGCUUGAUGAAGCUAGCAACAUGGAUUUCAUGGUUCUUCCGAUUGUUGGAAUGGGUGGGAUAAGCAAGACCACCUUUAAUUUGUGCAACUCAUUUUUUCGGCUGUCAGAUGAACAUCCGAUGCGUUUCCUUCAUCUUCUAGUAAGUAUAUAUCUAGGUGCAUAGUAAAAAUUAUAUAUCUAGAAAAAAUGACCUACAAUUUAAAAUGGAGGGAUUACGUUGGAACAUCAACCAAACAAAUGGACGAACCCGUUUAAUUAUUUGGCCUCCAAGAAUGCUAUACGACCUGAAUGAAUAACUGAAGGCUAUCAAGGCACUUAUUGUUGUACAUAGGAACUGAGCUUGACUUAGAUAUAUUUAUUUGCAAACAGGUGUGAAAUGUGAUACAAUAAUUCAGAAAGCUAGACGUCGUGAGCCAUCCGAGAGAUAAGAAGAAGCUUCUCAUUACGGUGCACAUCCAUCCCAUACGACUCUGACAUUUCGAUGCCUGUCAACACUGGCGGAAGCUCCCAAUUGAAGUGGUAGAUGAGGUUGGCAAGAAUGAUUUCGAAAGUGGCGGUGGUGAAGUUUAUACCCAGGCACAUCCUUCGCCCAGACCCAAACAGCAAGAAACAGAAGUCGUUCCCCCGGAAGUCGGAAGCAGCAUCCAUGGCUUCUUCCAUGAACCGCUCGGGCAUGAACUCCUCUGCACUCUCCCAGUAGGUGGUGUCCCUGCAUAGAGCCCACGCGUUGACGAUUACACGUGUCCCGAAGGGUAUGGUAUAGCCCUCCACAUUGCAUUCCGACUUUUUUAUUUUUUGAACUUUUUUUUGAAAGAUUCUUACAAAUAGGUCCUUGGCGAAAACAUUUCAAAAUCUGGACCCUUAGCUUGGCGCCACCAUCGUACACGUCUCGGCGCUAGCGGCUCUGGCGCCUAGGUCAUUGCGCAGCUGGUGACGUGGAUGCUGACAUGGCGGGGGCUUGGCACCAAGGUGGAUGACGCCAAGCUUCGUAUUUCAACCACCUGCCUCCUUCCUACCCGAGCCUUCCUCCUCUUCUUUCUCCUCCCUCUCGGAUUUUUUCUCUCCCCACUUCACCCUACAUCACGAAUCGGCCUAUUGGAUCUUGAAAACUUUGAUUUGAUCCGUGGAUCUUCGAGAGCAAGGUAUCCUCGCUCCCUCAUAGUUUUUUUUCACGUCGAUUCGGUAUAUAUUAGUCGGAGUUUUGAACUUAGGGUUCAUGCAACCGUAGGAUGUCAAGGCGUGGAAAAGCUAGGAAACUAAGGUAACCUCAACGCACGUUGUUAUGUUAUGGGUUCAUUGUUGUGGAUCGAAUGGGAAACCCUAGGUAUAGGUUUAAUGUUAAUUGCUUUCGGUUCUUACAACGAAAUGGACUAAAUUGUAGUUAUGGCGGGAUGACUGGAAAUGCCUUCGACCCAUUGCCUCUGCCAAGUGGUGUUCCAGUGCCCAUGUGCUUUUACAGCGAUCCUUGCAAGGUAGCCAAGUCCGAUGCAGAGGACACGUAUAGGAAGAGGUAUUGGAUGUGUUCCAAUUUUGCGUUUGAGCCUACACUUCGUCAGCGCCGCAUUAACAAGAUGGUGAGAAAUUGAUGUUGUCUAAUAAUUAUUUUGUUUCGUAUGACAUCUUGCAUGAUUUUUUUAUUUUCUAACAAUUGCAUUUGUUGCAAACCCCUCUACUGCUCUGUGAUUUUGAGCAGUGGAUUGACACUGAGAUCAAGCCUGAAGAUAAGGAGGAGAUGCAGGAAAUGUUGCGGUGGGAGGCAGAGAAGAAGGAGACAACGGAGAACAGACACAGAGAGGAGGCUGCAGAAAAGGAGCACAAGGAAAAGGAGAAAAAGAGGCAUGCUGCUGCGAACAGGGAGGAGAGGGAGAAGAAGCUUGAGCGUGCACGCUGAGCGAAAGCAGCGAUUGAGGAGAAUCCCAAUGCCCUGAGGAAGGGAAAGUGGCCUCGUUGCACACAGUAGUCUUCAGUACUUGCUAGUUCUAUGGUUUAUUCAUGAACAAUGUUAUCUACUGUUGGACUUUUCAUUGUGUUGUCAUGUAAUGGACUUUAAGUAUGGAUGAUGAUAAAAAGAAGUACCGACAGAUGCUCAUCACUGAAUCAACACAUGCCAUCGAAAUUUUGGCAGAAUUUCCCCUAUUAUUUUUACACAAUCCAUACAUGUAAGUGAGAUGAAUUUUUAACCUCAAUACAACAUGUUCAAACAUACAAAUAUAUGCCACAUUCAUAAUGAAAGUCCACAAAAUGCAUAAUGAAAGUCCACAAAGUUCAUAAUGAAAGUCCACAAUAGUACAUAUACACAAUAGUUCAUAAUAAAAGUCCAUAUACACAUUAGUUCAUAAUAAUAGUCCAUAUACACAAUAGUUCAUAAUGAAAGUCCACAAAGUCCAUGUUAUUACAUAAUAACAUCUACCACAAACGUUCACUACCUCCUAGUCUUACCCUUACCCUUGUGACCAAGAGUGUCGGUACCUGGAGUGUAAGGGGAAGGUGGACGAUAUCUCCUAGUGCCUGCAAGCUGUGUAGGCUGAGUCAAGGGAGCGUCCUGGAGCUGAAACGGGCCAAGCUCUUCGUGCCUCUCGUCAUCCUCAUCCUCGUAUGCAAUGCCUUUGGCCUGUGUAGCUGCUUGGCUAGACGAACCUAUGCCUCCUCUGCUUGAGGAAGGAACAUGCAUGUCUCGCAUUGUGGCUGUCCUGCAACCACAAUGAGCAGCCGCACGGCGUAGCCGACGUGAUAGUCUCUAUUGUACAAGAAAUAGGUUAAGUGAAAGAAUUUAACGUAUUAAUAAUAUAUUUGAAAGCAUAUUUAGAAUCUUAUGUCUAGGAAGCUACGCGUCUCGUCGUCUCUGACUCUCGGACGAAACUGCUCAAUGUCUUCAACCGAGGUUUUGAGGGUAUGGCCCUACAACAAAGUAAAUGUACCAUCAUUAAAUCACUAAGUCACUAUCUACCUAAAUCACUAAGUCAGUAUCUACCUAAAUCACUAAAUCACUAAAUCUACCUAAAUCACUUAAGUCAACUAAUCACUAAGUCACUUAACAUAGAAAAAUAAGGCAAUUGACUUACCAAUCUAUCCAAGAUUGGUCCUGCCUCCACUUGCCUUCCUACACAAGUACUUCGGUCGUAUGUCGUGUCUUCAUCGUCGAAGGACUCGAUGUCGCUGUAGUCAUCUUGUGUCCAUUGUAGCCUCAGCCUGCAACGGCUCGCACCUUGGUACCAAGCUUGGUAUCGCAUGUACUCACUGUUUGUGUGCGGCUCGUUGUUCUCAUCCACGUUGUCGUGGAACUCCUCCCAUUGCUCAAUGUAAGGCUGGUGGUAUACAUGUCACUCAAAAACCUUCCUGUUCUUCUUAUGAUCCAACCUGCACGUCACGUAAGAUGUAUAACUGCCCAUAGUCGUAUAACCUGAGUUAAUGUAAGGGACCAUCAUGAGAUAAUUGAAAUAGCAAAACACUUCCUUGUGUAAACUCUACGCCAGUCGAGAAUGGAGCCGUUGGCCCAAAUCUGUUCUCAUGCCAAAUUAGAGUGCAACUCGAUCAGGCUGGGUGGAACUCGACCGGCAUAGAAAACAUAUAAGAGGGCACCUCAUCUGUAUAAAGUCAUCCAUCGCUCGCACACAUGGUGCUCAAAAGGAAAAGUAAGUGCCCCCUCUCCCUAUGUAUGGCUCCCACGACACCUGCAACAUGUCCAAACAAGAUGUCAGAUGAUAUACUAAAACUAAUUGAAAUCAGCAUGGGAAAUAAAAUGUACUUACACUAGACACCGUGAGCGUGUCUAGCUCGUUCGUGAAAUCAUGGUACGCCCACUCCAACAUCGUGUGUAGAACCCUAACCUGGUCCCAAAGGUACGCCCACGUAGGAUGCUGUCUCGGAGGCUGACCUGGGAACCACUCAUGGCGAGACAGAACCUCAGGACGGCCAACUGGUAGACGCGCCCACAUCCACAACUGCUGUAGGUACACACAUCCACCAAGUGAUGCUGAGGAUGAAGACCGACGACAAGCCUCGCACAGCUGCAGGUAGAGAAAACCCAACAUUGCAGAGCCCCAGCUGUACUGACCCGCCUGGUGCCAGUCGGUGAGGCAGUGGAUCCAAAACCACAAUGUAGUGUCACCCGUGGCAUCGGGGAAGAGAAUGCAUGCAAAGAGGUGUAGGAUCCAUGCCCUGCAGUAGUUCUCAACUGUUUGCUCAUUUACAUCCUCGAGGCAUUGUGCAAACUGUUGCCGGAGCCAGGAGAUUAGAACACCAGAAGUGUGAGCACCUUGCUCGUCAACCUCAUGCCCAAGGAAGGCUGCUACUCGUUCUCUCCAACCAUCUGACCUGCACGGCCCAGUCACUGCAUCACCGCGAAUCGUCAAACCUAACAUCUUCUGACAGUCCUCAAACGUAACUAUUAUCUCUCCGAAAGGCAAGUGAAAGGUAUGAAUCUCAGGCCGCCACCUACAGUUUAGACAAAGGAAGAUUACAUGUCAAAUAGGCUAGGGCAUGAACGAUUGGCUAUGAAUGGACGCAAUGAUUGAAGAUAGUACCUGUCAACCAACGCUGUUAUGGCUGCUGAGUUGAACUUGGGCAACCCAUGACGAACCUGAAAUGAGAUGACAUCUAGGCCAGCAGCUUGCACCAUAGGAGUGUACCGGUCGUCGUACCGCAUGUCCAAGAACCCAUCGUGGGUUCUAGAACCAAGGAGCGGAAGGUCAUGCAUGCAAUGAAACAGAGUCUUCCGUUAUUUCACGAACAACACAUGUACGCUUACAAAAAAUCAAUCAACACGUACAUAUUAUUACUACCCCCCCACCCCCCGCUAUGAGACAUCCUUGAUGGGUCUGGUCGUACACCGGGUCGAGCAAGUGGAGUUGCGCCAUCCUACAAAAAAUCAAUGAAAUAUAAAUUAAGUAUGCAGUGAAACAUAAACUUAGAAAUGUACAAAUAAUUGACACAAUUGCAAGUAUAAAUUGAGACAUGCAUAAUUAAUUGAGUGGAUACGACAUAUAUGAAAUAAUGAAAAGAACCACUAGUCGCACCUCACUACUCUGCCAAUGGCACGUGCAUGAACUGUGGUCCAGUCUACCGCACUUGCUGCACUCGUUCUGCUCGGGGUCAGUAAGAAAUGGGGUUGCCCUACCACGCCUCGCUCUUCCGGGUAUUUGAUCCAUAACCAUCAUGUGCCUCGUCCUCUUUCUUGAUCCACGCCUGUUCCAACGGUAAGCUGGAUCCGCAAUGUACUUUAGCCCAUCAUCAACAUGAGGGACAUGACUAGUAUUCCAACAGAUGCGCUCCUAUUCUUUCUGCACUUCUGCUCCCAUCUCCGUGUCAAAUUGUAUUACGGGUGUAGUUUAGCACUGAACAACAUGAUUUUGUGGUGCUGGGAUUGAAUCAUAGGAGUGCUAUUUGUGUGUCCGGAGCCAACUUUGACUGAUCUGAAUUUUGGUAAAAUUUCAUCCGAAUUUGUUUAAAAUCCAGUUGAAUCCAGGCCCGAAAUUUCCUGAAUUUCCGAAUUUCGUCCAUUUCGGAAGGCUCCGAAUUUUUUCAACUUUUGAAUCCCAGAACCUUGGUUGAGAAGCGGAGAGAUGGGAGACCUAGUUUUCAUCUUCGUUGCCUCGUUGGAGGGGAAUACUGCAUCUGGAGGAAUCGCGCGGAGGACAAGCUCAUGGAAGGCCCCGCUUUCGAUUACAGAGAAAAUCUUCGUUGGUCCGUGGGAUUUGAUUACAGCGAAGGCGAAGCAAACAUGUUUAACCGGUAUCUGAUUACAUGGUACCAGAUACGGAGCGAUUUUUACUGAAACAAACAUCACCUAGAGCUGACUAUUAUAUUCAAAUACUGACAAAAAGUAGAAUACUUCUCAGACAAGCCAGCCAUUACAACAAUAACAACACAACAACUGGAUUACCGGCGUGUCACAAUAACACACAACAAGAAGCUACGUACCACGAAGCAACAGAAACAGCACUCUUGCAAAUUAAGGGAUAAACAACACCCCCAAGGAAAUGGCGAUGAAAUUAAACCAGGCCCCGCCUGCAGAGCUUUGAGCACCUACACAUAUAUAGCAGGUGCAUGCAGCUCUCUAUUACAGAAACAGUAGAUCGAAAACGACGAGCAACCAAGCAUCGAGCAGCAACACUACUUACUUCUUCUCUCAAUGCAAGCAGGAAGAGAAGGCAAGCUAGCGAGCUGAUCAGCAGAGAAGUCGCCGGGAUUCAGAUGACUGCCGCGGUCGGCGUGCAGCGGCGCUCGCAGAAGUUUCCAGCAAAAUGCGGAACUUCAAGCGGGCCGGGGCUCCUAGAUAGCAUGUACAUCUUUGGGCUUGUUCGCUUCAGCUUAUAAGCCGGCUGAAAAGCUGAAACGGCUGAUUUGUUGUAAGAGGAAAACACUGUUUGGUGGCUGAUAAGCCGGCUGAAUAAGCUGAAGCGAACAGGCCGUUUGAUCCAACAGCAGCCCAUGAACAACAAACAGUAGCAGCAGCUAGCGUAUGAGGGUGGUGUGUGGUGGGGCCAAAGGCCAAUCUUGCAAGACAGCAGGAAGGAGCGUAACAUGCAUGCCCGUGUGCAGUACUGCCGUGGGUGUUGAGCACUUUUUUUUCUUGCUCCCGUUGUACUCAUGGAAACAUUUCAAAAGUAUAGAUUCAAUAUUUUGCAUAUUAUUUAAACAUUUCAAACAUUUAUGGAAACCACAUUUUAGAUAAACUGGUUCAAUAUUUUGCAUAAUAUUGUUGAAAUAGUGUACCUUAAACGUUGAGCUAAAUAUAUAAAAAUGUUGAGCUAAUAUAUCUAAAAUGAUGAAACUAAGAAAAUAAAGAUGAAAAAAAUAUAUACAGUCAUGUGGGAUCUCAAUCCGUUAGAAAAAUUUCGAAAAGGCUCAUAGUUUAUUCGGAAUUAAAAUUAAAUGAACCGUUAGAGAGAUAAGUAAGUUGAAAAGUUCGAAAUCAAAACUCACAUCACCCAACAAGUAGCUGACACCUAUCCGUCCUUUCAGCAGCUCCACCCACCUCGCGCCAGCAUACUAGCACAUGGUGGUCCCCAGCCACCUCUCGCCAGAUCGCAGUGCCCGAUGGGAGAUCCGGCGAUGCCGUUGCGUCGAAGGAGAGGGCGGAACCGACGAGGGUCGCCGGCGGCUCCCACCCCGAACGCGUCCUGACCCACUCCGGCAGGGCCUCCCGCAGGUACGGUGAGCGCUUCCAUCCGUGGUCCGCAAGCAGUAAUGUCUGAUUUUUCGCUUUCUUCUCCGGAAUUCGUCACAUAUGUCAUCGUCCUGUGUUUAUAUAUCCUUUUUAUGCUGCAAAGCUUUCACGAUUUUGAUGAGAGAUUUGUUCAUGUUUGUGCCCACAUAGUAGUCAAUGUGCCACUAGUACUGAUUGCAAUACGUACGGAAAUUGGUUUUGUGUCUGUUCUUUCUCCAUCUCAAUCAUCAAUCAAAUGGGGGUAGUCGUCGGUACGCCGGGUGGGCCGAGUUGGCCAAACUGCACAGUGGUGGUGGCAGCCAAGGUGUUGUUCAAGGUCGGGCUGGCACGCACACGGCCGUACCACAUCAGGGUGUGUCCUGCUUCCCCGUCAACUUCCUCAAUACGACUCGGUACGCCACUGUACCUAAUCCUCCAAAACUCCAACUCCAAAGGCUCGCUGAACGGAAAAAAAUUCUAGGAGGACGGUCCCCAAAUCCUUCUCCGUGAGGAUCCACUCCCGAUGGUUGCAGGCAUGGCAACAUAUAAUUGAUCCGCCGCCACCAACGACUGAGGUUUCUUCCACCUCGUCAACUACCACCACCUCCUCCACCCACCUCUCUUCUUCUCCGGCUACCCUGCGCGCGCCCUCGCCGCCGUGCGUGCCUCCAGCGAGCUCCCAGGCCCCGACGGCGCCAGCACUACGGCCGCGCCCCGGUGGCCGGCGGCGUCUCCUACUCCUCUAACGUGGACCUGUUCCGCUCGCCUUCAGCUGCCGUGGGAGCCGCGUAAUGGAGGAGGGUGGUGGGCCAAGCGACAGCUAGCUGUGGUGUGGUGGGCAUCCUCAUUUACUAAUCUCCACCCACCUUCCGAUGAAUAAAAAUUGACCUCUUUAUGCUGCCUUUGUCAUNNNNNNNNNNNNNNNNNNNNNNNNNNNNNNNNNNNNNNNNNNNNNNNNNNNNNNNNNNNNNNNNNNNNNNNNNNNNNNNNNNNNNNNNNNNNNNNNNNNNCAUCUAAGGUUAGCAGCCUCUUUCAGUGUACAAAUGAUUAUGCACCUAAUACUUUCCUCACCUUUGCAGUGCCGUGGGCCGCCACUUCCCUUCUGGCCCACAUGUCAUGGAGGCGCGCGAGGAGGGGGAUCGGUUUCACGUAUGAUUAAUAAAGAAAGGCCCAAGACACGUCACGCUGCGGGGGACAAGGGAAGACACCGCACCGCACGCACCUCCACCACUUGCGUUGCCUUUGCCUUUGCUUUUCCCCUAGCUCGCCCGCCUAGGAGCUCCAGCAGCCGGUCCGCUCCGCCGCCGGUGCGGCAACCACGCCGCCGUCAGAUCGCCUCGCGCGGCCACGCGGCCACCGAUCGUCCCCGCGAUACACCGCCGCCGGUGCGCCGUGCGCGGCGGCGCUGUCCCGCCGCUCCUCCGCCUACCGUCGGCCUGCGCCACCGCCAGCGCACCGGCAGCACCGCGAGCUGCUGCGCCGCCCCGACGUUGGUCCUUCCUGAGCCCGGUGUCGUCACCAGCGUCGCGGAGAAGCUAAUUACCUGGAGCAAUUUGUAGAAACAAAUAGUACUGGUUCGUUCACUUAUUUCUUUGCUCAAACUUAAUUUCUGCUUAGAGUUUGUGCCUAAAUUAGCUGCUUAUUCUGCUGGUUGCACGCAGGAGAUCGAGCUGCGGGCGUACGGCCGGAUCGGAGGAGGACAUAUCAGCCGGGUUCCUGUUGGUUGUGUACUUGUGUUCCUGCCGGCGGAGAAGCAACCAUGGCCGAGUUACUGAUCGGGCCACUGAUCUCCAUGGUGAAGGAGAAGGCAUCCAGCUACCUGCUGGACCAAUACAAGGUGAUGGAAGGCAUGGAGGAGCAGCGCAAGACCCUGGAGCGCAAGCUGCCAGCAAUCCUGCACAUCAUCCAGGAUGCGGAGGAGAAAGGAGCCUCCCGACCUGAAGUUGCAGUUUGGCUUAAAGACCUCAAGACAGCGGCCUAUGAGGCCAACGACGUCUUUGAUGAGUUCAAGUACGAGGCGCUUCGGCGAGAAGCCAAGAAGAAGGGCCACCACAGCAAGCUUGGAAAUGAGGUAGCAAGACUCCUAGUCCCCGCUCGUAAUCCCAUUGUAUUCCGUUACAGGAUGGGCAAGAAGCUACGCAGGAUUGUGCAGACCAUCGAGGCCUUGGUCACCGAGAUGAAUACAUUUGGUUUCAGGCACUUGCAGCAAGCACAGCCAUCAAGGCAGUGGCGACAGACAGAUUCCAUAAUCAUUGACUCCGACAGAGAUAUUCUUAGCAGAUCUAGAGAUCGGGAGAAGAAGAAAAUCGUGGGGAUGCUCCUUGAUCAAGCUAGCAACAGGGAUCUCAUGGUUCUUCCAAUUGUUGGGAUGGGUGGGAUGGGCAAGACCACCUUUGUGUUGGAGUUGUUCUAAAUUCACUCCAGGAAUAAAGGCCGACCUUCCCGACCCUUGACACUCAGGGUCGGGCGAGGCGGAGAAUCUCCCGACCCCGGGACUCGGGGUCGGGCGAGGCGGAGCGUCUCCCGACCCAGGCUUGAGGUCGGGCGAGUCGGAGAUCGACCCUCAAGGGGUCAGGCGCAUCCGACCCCAGGCUUGAGGUCGGGCGAGGCGGAGUCCCAGGCGCAUCCGACUCCAGGACAAAGGACUCAGGGUCAGACGAGAAGGAGUUCCAUCCUUGUACGGGACCAAGAGUCCGUACAGCUCAAUACCCCCUGUCUGGGGUUUCGGUACUAUAUAUACAUACACCCUUGCUAGGGUUUUGGGUGGUGACAGAAGAGAUAGAAGAGAGAGAGAUUAUCAGAUUCUCUUGUAAGCCGCCAUAGGCGUGUAGCCCUAAACUCUUGAUAUAGUGAGAUUGUUGCCGGCUGGUGCCCGUGGUUUUUCCUCUUCACAUUGAAGGGGUUUUCCACGUAAAUCGUGUGUCUUCUUUUGUGGUUUGAUUCUUUACUUCAUAUUCCAUACGUCGUACCUAACAAGUGGUAUCAGAGCUUUGGUUGCUGUUUGGAUUUCAUGUCGACGUCGAUGAAGUUUGAUCUACCGCUGCUGAACUACGACACGCGGUUCUCUCUAUGGCAAGUCAAGAUGAGAGGAAUUCUAGCGCAAACUCAUGAUUAUGAUGAGGCGCUGGAUAGCUUCGGAAAGAAGACAAAGGCCGAGUGGACUCCAGAAGAGAUCCGCAAGGAUCAGAAAGCACUCGCCCUAAUACAGUUACAUCUUCAUAAUGAUAUUUUGCAGGAGUGUCUGAAAGAAAAAACUGCUGCAGAACUAUGGCUGAAACUGGAAUCGAUCUGUAUGUCCAAGGAUCUAACCAGUAAGAUGCAAAUGAAGAUGAAGCUGUUCACCUUGAAGAUGAAGGAGGAAGAUUUAGUGAUGAACCACAUCACUGAAUUCAAGAAGAUCGUCGCCGAUCUAGUAUCAAUGGAGGUGAAGUAUGAUGAUGAGGACUUAGGUCUUUUACUGUUAUGUUCUUUGCCAACUUCAUAUGCAAAUUUUCGUGACACCAUACUCUUGAGCCGUGAUGAACUAACCUUAAAGGAAGUUUAUGAGGCUCUCCAAUCAAGGGAGAAGAUGAAAGGUAUGGUGCAGACUGACAGAACGUCGUCCUCCAGAGGCGAUGCUUUGCUUGUGAGAGGCAGAACUGAUAACAGAUCCUCCAAUGAUGAUGGAAGAAAAAACUAUGAAAGGAGAGGCCGUUCAAAGUCCAAGCCGCAUGGUAACAAAAAAUUCUGUGUCUAUUGCAAGCUAACAAAUCACAAUGUUGAGGAUUGCAGAAAAGUACAGAAUAAGGAGAAGAAGAAAAACAAGUCGGCUGGUAAGGUCUCUGUUGCUGCUGCCGUGUCUGAUGAAGAAUCUGGAGAUGGUCUGGUGGUAUUUGCCGGUUGUGUUGCUGGUCAUGAUGAGUGGAUCCUUGAUUCUGCAUGUUCAUUUCAUAUUUGCAUUAACAGAAAUUGGUUUAGCUCUUAUAAGUCUAUGCCGAAAGGAGAUGUUGUGCGGAUGGGAGAUAAUACCCCGUGUGAUAUUAUGGGAAUUGGAUCAGUUCAGAUCAAGACUCAUGAUGGCAUGACACGCACUCUGAAAAACGUCAGGUACAUACCAGGGAUGUCCAGAAAUCUUAUUUCAUUGAGCACGCUUGAUGCAAAAGGUUACAAAUAUUCCGGUUCGGAUGGUGUUCUGAAGGUAUCAAGAGGUAAUCUUGUCUGCUUGAAAGGUGAUCUCAAUUCUGCAAACUUAUAUGUCCUUAGAGGGUGUACUUUACCUGGUUCUGAUUCCGCUGUUGCUGCUGUUACUAAUGAGGAACCUAGUAAAACUAACCUUUGGCAUAUGCGUCUGGGACAUAUGAGUCACCAUGGUAUGGCAGAAUUGAUGAGGAGAAACCUACUGGAUGGCUGCACUUCGAGUAAAAUGAAGUUAUGUGAGCACUGUAUUUUCGGGAAGCAUAAAAGGGUACAUUUCAACACUUCUGUUCACACCACUAAAGGUACUCUUGAUUAUAUUCAUGCUGAUUUAUGGGGUCCUUCCCGUAAGUCCUCGCUUGGUGGUGCUCGUUACAUGCUCACAAUUAUUGACGAUUACUCUAGAAGGGUGUGGCCUUAUUUUCUGAAACAGAAAGAUGAUACCUUUGCUGCUUUUAAGGACUGGAAGGUCAUGAUUGAAAGGCAAACUGAAAGGAAGGUGAAAUUGCUUCGUACUGAUAAUGGUGGAGAAUUUUGUUCGCGUGAAUUUAAUGAUUAUUGCAGAUCAGAAGGUAUUGUAAGGCAUCACACCAUACCCUAUACUCCACAACAGAAUGGUGUGGCCGAACGCAUGAACAGAUCCAUCAUAUCCAAGGCCCGUUGCAUGCUGUCUAAUGCCAGGAUGAGCAAGCGUUUUUGGGCUGAAGCUGCUAAUACUGCCUGUUACUUGAUAAACAGGUCACCUUCUAUUCCACUAAAUAAAAGAACUCCCAUUGAGGUAUGGUCUGGAACGCCUGCUGAUUACUCACAGUUGAAAGUUUUUGGAUGCACUGCAUAUGCUCAUGUUGAUAAUGGAAAAUUAGAGCCUAGAGCUGUUAAAUGUCUUUUCCUUGGUUAUGGUUCGGGUGUCAAAGGCUAUAAAUUGUGGAACCCGGAAACAGAAAAGACCUUCAUGAGCAGAAGUGUUAUUUUCAAUGAAUCUGUGAUGUUUACUGACAGCUUACCCUCAGAUCAAGUUCCAGACAAAGGACUGCAGCGUAUGCGCAUGCAGGUGGAGAACGCUCGUAAUGAUGUUGAUAACCCCGACCCCUUGGUCUCGGGGUCGGAUGCGCCAGACCCCUUGGCUCCAGGGUCGGCUGAUGCUCAAGCGCCAGACCCCUUGGCUCCGGGGUCGGAUGUUGCUGCGCCAGACCCCUUGGCUCCGGGGACGGAUGUUGCUGAUGCGCCAGACCCCUCAAUCUCGGGGUCGGCUGAUGCUCAUGAUAAUGUCCAGCAAACUCCAGAGGAGGAUCUACCCAUUGCUCAACGCAAGUCCAAAAGGACAGUUGCCCCUCCUAACCGCCUCAUUGAAGAGUGUAAUUUGUCUUACCAUGCUUUGAGUUGUGCUGAACAGGUGGAGAAUGUUCAUGAGCCAGCAACCUAUAAAGAAGCUAUUCAUUGUGGCGAUACUGAAAAUUGGAUUUCGGCCAUGCAUGAGGAGAUGCAAUCUCUUGAGAAGAACAGUACAUGGGAACUUGUACCUUUGCCUAAGAAUAAGAAGGCCAUCCGCUGCAAAUGGAUCUUCAAAAGAAAGGAGGGUUUAUCUCCAAGAGAGCCUCCGAAAUAUAAGGCAAGGUUAGUUGCAAAAGGCUACAGCCAAAUUCCGGGUGUCGACUACAAUGAUGUUUUCUCUCCAGUGGUAAAACACAGUUCAAUUCGCACUUUCCUUAGUGUUGUUGCUUCACAUGAUCUUGAGCUUGAGCAGUUAGAUGUGAAGACUGCGUUUUUGCAUGGAGAGCUCGAGGAGGACAUAUACAUGAACCAACCAGAAGGUUUCAUAGUGCCUGGCAAGGAGAAAUAUGUGUGCAAGUUGAAAAGAUCCUUGUAUGGUUUGAAACAGUCCCCUCGACAGUGGAACAAGAGGUUUGAUUCAUUUAUGUUAUCACACAGUUUUAAAAGAUCUAAGUAUGAUAGCUGUGUUUAUAUCAAGCAUGUUAAUGGAUCACCUAUAUACUUGCUGAUAUACGUUGAUGAUAUGUUGAUUGCUGCCAAGAGUAAGACUGAAAUAAAUAAGUUAAAGAAGCUAUUGAGUAGCGGUUUUGAUAUGAAAGAUCUUGGUAGUGCUAAGAAAAUUCUUGGUAUGGAAAUUAGUAGAGACCGAAAUUCUGGUUUGCUAUUUCUUAGUCAACAGAAUUAUAUCAAGAAAGUUCUUCAGCGUUUCAACAUGCAAGAUGCUAAGGCUGUAAGUACUCCUAUUGCACCUCACUUCAAGUUGUCAGCUGCUCAGUGUCCUAGUACAGAUGCAGAGGUCAAAUACAUGUCAAAGAUUCCUUAUUCUAGUGCUGUUGGGUCCUUGAUGUAUGCCAUGGUUUGCUCUCGCCCAGAUUUGUCAUAUGCUAUGAGUCUUGUUAGUAGAUAUAUGUCUAAUCCCAGCAAAGAACAUUGGAGGGCAGUUCAGUGGAUUUUCAGAUACCUCAAAGGCACAGCAAAUUCCUGUUUAAAGUUUGGAAGAACUGAUGAGGGUCUUAUUGGCUAUGUGGACUCAGAUUAUGCUGCUGAUCUGGACAGGCGAAGAUCACUCACAGGCUAUGUGUUUACUGUUGGCAGUUGUGCUGUGAGUUGGAAGGCUACUUUACAGUCGGUUGUUGCUUUGUCUACUACUGAAGCAGAAUAUAUGGCGAUUUGUGAAGCGUGCAAAGAAUUGAUUUGGCUGAAAGGUUUGUACGCCGAACUUUGUGGAAUUGAAUCUUGCAUAAGUUUGCACUGUGACAGUCAAAGUGCAAUUUACCUCACUAAAGAUCAACUGUUCCAUGAGAGAACUAAGCACAUUGAUAUCAAGUAUCAUUUUGUGCGUGAUGUGAUUGAAGAAGGUAAGCUAAAGGUAUGCAAGAUCAGUACUCAUGAUAAUCCUGCCGAUAUGAUGACAAAGCCUGUUCCUGUUACUAAGUUUGAGCUGUGCUCAGGCUUAGUUGGUUUAAUUGGAUAGUCCAAGAGACUAUUAUUGGCACCAGUGGUUUUUCCUGUCUUUGUUCUGUUCAGAAUGAAGGGUUGAUGAUACAAGAUGAAUUUGUCUCAAGGUGGAGUUUGUUGGAGUUGUUCCAAAUUCACUCCAGGAAUAAAGGCCGACCUUCCCGACCCUUGACACUCAGGGUCGGGCGAGGCGGAGAAUCUCCCGACCCCGGGACUCGGGGUCGGGCGAGGCGGAGCGUCUCCCGACCCCAGGCUUGAGGUCGGGCGAGUCGGAGAUCGACCCUCAAGGGGUCAGGCGCAUCCGACCCCAGGCUUGAGGUCGGGCGAGGCGGAGUCCCAGGCGCAUCCGACUCCAGGACGAAGGACUCAGGGUCAGACGAGAAGGAGUUCCAUCCUUGUACGGGACCAAGAGUCCGUACAGCUCAAUACCCCCUGUCUGGGGUUUCGGUACUAUAUAUACAUACACCCUUGCUAGGGUUUUGGGUGGUGACAGAAGAGAUAGAAGAGAGAGAGAUUAUCAGAUUCUCUUGUAAGCCGCCAUAGGCGUGUAGCCCUAAACUCUUGAUAUAGUGAGAUUGUUGCCGGCUGGUGCCCGUGGUUUUUCCUCUUCACAUUGAAGGGGUUUUCCACGUAAAUCGUGUGUCUUCUUUUGUGGUUUGAUUCUUUACUUCAUAUUCCAUACGUCGUACCUAACACUUUGUGCAACUCAUUUACAAUGACCCUGCAAUCGAGAAGCACUUUGAGUUUCGGAGGUGGUGCUGCGUGUCAGAUGAUUUCGAUGUCAGUACCAUUGCAAGCAACAUCUGCCAGACCAAUGAGAAAUAUCGUGAAAAAUCAUUGCAGGAGCUCCAGAGUACAAUAAGUGGGAAAAGGUACCUCAUUGUGUUAGAUGAUGUCUGGAAUCGGGAUGGUGAUAAGUGGGGAAAACUAAAGGCCUGCCUUAAGCAGGGUGGCAAGGGCAGUGCAGUACUAACAACAACUCGUGAUGCAGAAGUGGCUCGCAUUAUGACCAUGGGUGUAGCUGAAGCCCAUAAUAUCGAGAAUCUGAGUGACGAGCAUUUAAAGGAAAUUGUCCAGAGCAGAGCAUUCAGCUUGCAAAAUCCAAAUAUGGAAGAGCAAGAUGGCAUUCUCAGUGGAUUUGUUCGUCGAUGCGUUGGAUCUCCCUUGGCUGCCAAAGCCUUUGGCUCUAUGUUGAGUAACAGGACUAGUGUAAAUGAAUGGAAGGAUGUAUUAGCUAAAAGUGACAUUUGUAGUGAGAAAACCGGAAUUUUACCGAUCCUCAAGCUCAGUUUUGAUGACCUAUCCUCAGAUAUGAAGCAGUGCUUUGCAUUUUGUGCUUUAUUUCCUAAAGAUUAUGAGAUUGAUGUGGACCUCUUGAUUCGACUGUGGAUGGCACAUGACUUCAUACCUGUGCAGGAGGAUGACAAUCUAGAAACCGUAGGAAAAUAUAUUUUUGAGGAGCUAACUCGGAGGUCAUUCUUUCAAGAGGUCAGGCAAACACUUCAAUUUGGCUAUUUUGGAAGGUCGUCACUUCGUAAGUCAACCAUAUGCAAGAUACAUGAUCUCAUGCAUGACAUUGCUCUAUCUGUUCUGGGGAAAGAAUGUGUCACUAUAGUUGGUAAGCCGAGCAUCAACAAGGUGUUGCUAAAUCCGACCCGCCACGUCUUCUUAUCAACAAGGUGUUCUCAUUUCUGGAAAGAACAGGUUACAAGUCUACUAGAUCAUCUAUUGAAGAAACAAACUGCAAUGCUCCAUACGUUGUUUAUCAAAGGUUAUGGUCAACCCCUUGAUAUAUCAAAGUACACUUCACUGCGAGCAUUACACCUUCCAGCAUAUAUAUAUAUACCAUGUUCAGGACAGGAACAGCUUACAAGACACAUACAACACCUAAGGUAUCUUAAUCUGUCGUCACAUGAGUUCGAGAAACUUCCUGAAGGUAUAAGCAUUAUGUAUAAUCUACAAACGUUGGACCUCUCAUAUUGCAAAUGCCUUCGUCAACUUCCAAAGGAUAUGAAGUAUAUGGCAAACCUCCGACACCUCUAUACCCAUGGAUGCGAAUCAUUGACAUGCAUGCCUCCAGGACUUGGACAGAUCACUUCUCUGCAGAAUCUAACAUGUUUUGUUAUUGGUGAUGGCUUGGGAUGUAGUACUAUAGGAGAACUUCAAAACUUAAACCUUGGUGGAGAGUUAGAGUUAAGUGGUCUGCAAAAUGUAACAGAAGUGCUUGCAAAAGCUGCCAGUCUUGAAAAUAAAGAGAAACUCACACACUUAUGUCUCAAAUGGAAUGAUGAUGCCCGUGAGAAACCAGAUUCUCAUAAUGAGGUGUUAGAUGCCCUUAAACCUCAUCAUCGGCUGGAGAUGCUAGGCAUAAAGUCCUACAAAGGCACCAAUUUACCGUCAUGGAUAACAGAUCUUAGUCUGUUGCAGCACUUGACUGAGCUCCAACUGGUUGGUUGCACGCUGUGCGAGGAAUUUCCUCAAUUCUGCCAUUUCAAAACCCUUGAAGUUCUGUAUUUGAAAAAGUUGGACAAAUUGUAAAGCCUAUGCAGUCAUAUGGUGUCUACGCCAUUUCCAGCACUGAAGCAACUCCGGUUACAUGAUUUGGAGAGCUUGGAGAGAUGGGUCGCAACAGAAGGAAAAGAAGAUGAAUUAACCUUUCCUGUACUUGAGGAGGUUGAUAUAAAAAACUGUCCAAAGUUGACUAGCCUACCUGAAGCACCAAAGCUCAGGGUUGUAAGUCUGGAUGAAGGCAAGCCGCUGCUCUCCUUAGGAAUAGUUAAAUCAAGGCACAUGUCUUCAAUUUCUAAGCUAAUCCUGUGUGUCCGUGACACAGAAGCACUGCCUCAGAUAGAUUAUAAUUGGGAUUCAUCACAGAAACUGGAACUAUCCUUGGGUGGCACAGAAGCCGCACCUCUGUCACAUCUGAACAUAUCUGGCUGCAACUUUUUCUUCGUAUCAAGCCAGUCACAGCUAACACCUGGGGUCUGGAAAUGGUUUGAACAUCUUGCAGUUUUAGCAAUCAAAAACUGUGAUGUGCUCAUCUACUGGCCAGAAGAAGUGUUCCAAAGCUUGGUAUCUUUGAAGGAGUUGUGGAUUGAGUCCUGCAACAAGCUAAUAGGGCCCACACAAGCGAAAGGUGGCGAACCUACACAAACGACAGAUCAACUCCUGCCACAUCUAAACAGGAUAUGUAUACGCAGUUGUGAAAGCAUGGCACAGCUCUUCAUUCUUCCCCCAUCUAUCAGAAUUAUUGAUAUUAUGGAUUGCCCUAAGCUUGAGUUCAUAUGGGGAAAGGAGGAGCAUCUUGACACAUAUACAUCGUUGGAACAUUGCCGCGACCCUGCAUCCACUACUGGUACCCUAGAGCAAUCGCCGUUUCCAAUUAUUCGUCGUCCAUGCCUUGUACGUUUAUCAAUAAGAUUGUGUGAUAGCCUGGUAACACUUCCAAAUCUACCACCGUCCCUCAAGGAUUUAAGCAUCUACAGCUGUGAGAAGCUCUGCUCUGUGUCAGGAGACCUGUGUGCACUCGAGGAGCUACAUAUUUAUAACUGCAAUAAGUUACAGUCAGUCAAUUCCUUGGGAGACCACCCAUCAUUAGAAACACUGAUUCUUUAUGACUGCCGAUGCCUUGCAUCUUUAGGAUGUGAUGGUGGUCGUGGAAGUUACUCUGCUCUUCAGAGCCAUAAGAUCGAAGAGUGCCCAGCCAUAGACAUGAAGCAGUUUUACUAACGCCAUCAAACAGCUGCUUGACAGCUUUGAAUAUGAAGACGUAUCACACGUUCAUUCAAGCAGCUCUGAUGAAGGUACGACCUUUCACUUUCCUCUUAUUCAAUUUGUUUCCUUCAAAUUUCCCUGCUUUGCAUGCCCUCCUAUUUCACUCAUGUAACCCCACAUGCAUUUCAUUUUUGCUGUGCAGACAUGACCCAUUUGUCCUUAAAAAGCAUAAAGGAGGGCACUCACAUGUACACACGACUGCCAUCUGGAAGCUUCAUUAUUGCGAGCCUCUGCUAACGAUGACAGGCCUGCAAUGGACGACAAAAACGACAAAGUUUGUUUUCACGGCACUACCAGCUAGCUGCUGGUAAUGCUCUUGUCACUAAUGUACAGUACUCCAUUCUGUCAUCCAUGAAAGUCGUGGAGAAUGGUCUAUGAUGUUACUCCAUUCUGUCAUCCACGUGAGCCGAUGAAGCAGAAACAAAUGAUGAUGAUGAUGGAUGAUAUAGCUGCCGGGACCCACUGCAACCUCGUGCAUCAAUCAUGACGAUCUCUAACGGCAAAGGCAUGCAUCCAGUAUGGCCUGAUGAAGUAAUUUAGUCUGCCAAAUUUCUUUCUGCUCGUUGCGCAUAGAAGGCGUAUUUUCUUUUCCUUUUUUCCACCCGAGAAGGAAGAAGAAGAAGAAACUGCUGUGGCCAAUUCAAUCCGGAUCAUCAAAACAACAGCCCAUUCCAGACUAGAAGAAUUUGGUCACCAAAUUCGGAUGGAGGUAAAAAGUCACUAGUUACCUGCAGCACCGAAUAGUACUGGUUCGUUCAUUUACUGUUUCCAAAAACUUUCUGCUGAGAGUUUGUGCAUUGUGGUGACACUAAAUAUGCGCGUGCGCGGUUCGUAGGAUUCGAACCCACAACCUCCAACCUCGCGCGUAGCUUUCUUGCCAUCCCACCUACACACCACAUCUAAGUAUGUAGGGGAUCCUAUCCUUUUGUAUUAACUCGUGGGGGACCCUUUUAUCCCGGUUGGAAACACCAACCGCGAUAAAAGACCCCCUUUUAUCCCGGUUGGUAUUACAAACCGGGAUAAAAGGGUUCGAGGAUUUAAUCCUCUUCCAGCCACCUUCCAGUCACCUCGUUGGGGACCCUUUUAUCCCGGUUUGAAACACCAACCGGGUCAAGAGCCUUUUAUCCCGGUUGGUGUUUCAAACCGGGAUAAAAGGCCCCUCAGAGUCUUUUUUCCCACUAGCCUUUGCAACCGGGAUAAAAGGUCCCGGUUGGUGAGCCCCCCACCAGUGACCGAGUUUUAAUCCCGGUUGGUGAACCUUUGUCCCGAGCCAACUUUAAACCGGGAUAAAAGAGGGCGCAUGGAAAGUUAAUUCUCUACUCGUGUUUGCGGGACACAAUCAUUUCAAGCAGGAGACGGUGGUUCAUCUGGAUGGACACCGGCCUCCGAUCAACAAUUUCCCCAGUUUCCCGUGUAGGCAAGGGGGAAGAUGGCAGGUCGCCAAGAAAUAGCAGCAGAUAUGUCCCUUGUCAAAACUUCAAGCCAGUAGUCUGUAAAAUAGAAAGAGAGAUUUGUUCCACUUAGGCUGCUACGCCUACAACAAUAAUGACUGUGGGGAGCUAGGAAAUAGCAUCAUGCUGAUAAGCCCAACAUCAUUGGAAUACAGUAACAGCGUACUGAAAACAAAAGAGGCUACAUCAUGGGCCAACUGAAAUUGUGUUAUCCAUAACAUUUUUUUUUAGAAAAUCCUCAGCCAUCAACACACGCAACCAAAUUAUUACAGAAUCUUAAGCUCAGUUGCUGAUUAAAAAAAUAAAAAGAGAAAAUAAUUAUAAGCAAUGUUUAAUGUUGCUUAUCCAUCCAUUUUUAAUAGAAACUUUCCAAAGCUUUCGUUGCUCUACUAUCGAACGGACGGUCUCCCUUAUGUCUUCACACCACGUUAAUAAAUCGCAAUUAAUAUGUUCUCCCGAAGGUAACCUUCAAAGCGAUGAAUGUAGAUCACCCACGAGCAACCGAGCACGCACAAGGGAUGCUGAAACACCACAUGGAUCUCCAUGACAACACCUUCAACAAGAACAUGACGCUAAUGACACCAUUGUCAUUGGCCCAAGUAUUGGGUUGGGUUUACACCCGGAGAAUUAAAAAAUCACCAUUCGGGGGAGGUGCAAACAAAGUCGCCUCCAAGGAGGCAACGGCACCCGCAAGCGUCACCAUCCACACUUUCAUCCCGACCUCCACCAUGCCAUGCCGGCAGCAGCCUGAGCAGAAAUCCACUCACCAAGCUGUUGAUGGUGCUGAGCAAGUUCGCAAGUGCCAGCCAUCAUUAUUGAGAGCCAGCUGCUGCCGCCGCAAACUCAUGCCCAUUGCGCUAGGGCUAGGGCGCCGGCCAUAGCAAGGCCUAGAUGCACGUGUUGCGUCAUGGCUGGCACCACACUAAGCCCACCAUGUCACCAGACUGUCACAGCCGGAAGGGCGCCGGUCGUCAGAUCCGACCCCCAGCGCAUGGAAUCCACCGCCUAGAAGCUAAUAUCUCUAGAGUGAAAAUCAACACUUCAGAAGAUCCCUGAGGGAGGGGGAACGUGAAGGAGAGGCUCCCCGAGUGCCGUCAGCAUCACCGGAGAACCCAAGCAGCCACAUAUCCAGGGGUCUCCGAGGGACCCGUCGUCGGAUCCGGUCACGCCAAGGGGAAGCACCAUCACGUUCAAAGGUUUCACCUCUAUGUGUAACGCUGCACUGUCCGACUGCCCGAGUACCUCCAGCAUUGGAUGGAGUGAUGGCAAUCUUAUUAGGGGGAAAAGAAACUACACACACCAAUGACAUAUGGUAACAGCUUACAAUGAUGGUAGUGGAUAAAAGAAAUGGGAGCACCAGAAACAAAAUCUAGAGUCUCAACAGUCAAAAUCAAAUUAACAAGAUCAAACAAUAAAAGUUAUGAGUACCACAAGAGCUUACACUGUCCGACUGUCCGAGUACCUCCAGCGUUGGUUGCAGAGCACCAGGGGGGGGGGGGGAUCAUUUCCAAAGUGGAUGCAUCAGUGGAGAUCUCUCAAUGUUUGUCACAUAAGCAGUGUGGUGCCCUCCAGGUGCCCAGGUUGGUGUGUUAAACUGCCUCCGAUCCACAGCCAUCUUAGAACACUGCAUUCCAAGUUUCCAACACUUUUCAUGGUCUCAACUCUACUUUUACAUUCUCUCAGGGGGUGUUUGGGAACACCGUGCUAAACUUUAGCACCUGUCACAUCGGAUGUUUGGAUACUAAUUAGGAGUAUUAAAUAUAGUCUAAUUACAAAACUAAUUGCACAGAUGGAGUCUAAUUCACGAGACGAAUCUAUUAAGCCUAAUUAGUCCAUGAUUUGACAAUGUGGUGUUACAGUAACCAUUUGCUAAUGAUGGAUUAAUUAGCCUCAAUAGAUUCGUCUCGCGAAUUAGACUCCAUCUGUGCAAUUAGUUUUGUAAUUAGCUCAUGUUUAGUCCUUCUAAUUAGCAUCCGAAUAUCCGAUGUGACCCUGCUAAAGUUUAGCACCUCGUAUCCAAACACUCCAAUGUGCUUUAUCUUGCUCCAAUCAUCUCCUGACUCGCUGCAUCUUUGCUUAAACCUCUUUGUGCAUUGUGACAGUGUCAAGGUAUGCAAAGAGGUCAGCCUCUCAAUGCACGGAGGCAAAGUUUUCAUCCAGUAGGCCUCUACUUUGAGCUCACGGAGAGAUGCCAUAUCUCCCAACCAUUCUGGCAAGGUUUCCAUGUCCUCACAGUUCAGUAUCUCUAGCUUCCUGAGGGAUUUCCAGCCUAGAAUGCACUUUGGCAAAGGUACAGGAUCGAUGCAACUGUCAACAGUUAAUUCUUCAAUGUCAAGCAGUUGAAGAGAAUCAGAGUCAGAAGAUAUAUUUUUGAUGUACUUGAUUUCCAUUUUGGAUGAUAAAGCAGAUGUUGAUAGCCCCAUGAUCGACUUGGUAGAAUGAUGGCCAAUUGAAUAAGAACGGAUAUUGUUUAAUUCCAGAUAUGAUAUACCUGGCACUCCAAGGGAUUGAUGGUUCGAAUCUUACAUUCAAACAACAGUCUAUCUCCACAGUAACUUCCCUACUCUUACUAUUGUAACUCUUCUGAGAUUUUUCACUGGCUGUGUGAUCAAGAUGCAUAUCGAUGAUUUGGCAUAUAGGUUCACUAUAACUUCACCAUCCCCCACAAGCAGAGACACCGGGACAGACGAGAUAUACAAGUCUUCAAGAGAUUGUAAAUAAUCUAAAUGGAGGUCACCAGAUUGAACAUUGAAAAGCUCCAAUCGUACAAGAUUUGGUAGCCAACGUAACCAGUUAGGAAAAUCACCACCAACAUAGUUCUUUAUGCAAAGCCUUUUAAGGUUUUCACGAGGCUGGAGCUCUUCUAACGCGACCUUGUUCAACACUGGCCCACUCCACUCCAAACUUAAAAAUUGGAGCUCCUCUUUUUGCGCCAAUUCAAUUAUGUUUGCGUCUGAGCUUGAUAGAUCUUCGAGAUGUUUAAUAUUAAGUUCAGUAAGCUGGUGACUUGUAGUCUUUUGUAGAAGAGCCAUGUCCUUUGAUGAACUGACGGCGAAACUAGGGCCCUGCUAUUUUACAAAAACAAAGAAAAUGAAAAAUAAAACAUUCUGCUUUAGUCAAGAUGGCAUGCAUACUAUAUAAAACCAUCUCUAGGUGCAAACAUGCAGCUUAGAGCAUCUCCAAUAGUCAUCUAAUUAAUGUUUCUAGAUAACUAGUUAAUAGGGAUAUCCCGAGUUGCUUUUACAGUCUUCUAUAACCUCAUCCCAAUCUAACUACCGUUGUUGGGAGAGUCACAGCUCCUCAUUUAUUUGGGGAGUUGGGGUGAAUUAUUUGUCGAAUAAUUAUUGUAAAAAAGGAAAGGUAAAGGGAGUGUGUUAGAGCACUAUUUUUUCACAAACUCUCCAAAUAUGGUAGUUGUAUUGGAGCACUGAAUAGUACUGGUUCGUUCAUUUACUGUUUCCUCAAACUUUCUGCUGAGAGUUCGUGCAUUGUGGUGACACUAAAUUAGCUGCUUAAUCUGCUGCAGGACAUCAAGCAGUGGGCGUAUGGCGCACCUAUCAGCUGGGUUCCUGUUGGUCAUCUUAAUUCUUGCUUGUGGUAGAGCAAACCAUGGCCGACUUAGUGAUCAGGCCCAGGGCCGGCUCUAGGGGAGCGGCAGGCCGUGCGACCGUCCGGGGCCCAUGAAGCUGCGGGCCCAAAACCAUAUAGGUAAUCAAUACAUAUAAUUUGGUUGGUGGACUUUGUUUCGGCCUUUCUAAAUGGCCCGCGUAACAACUGCGGCCUGCCUCCGUCCGUGCCAAAUCAGGCCUACCAAAUUGCUCCAUGACUAUGCUGUCCCUGAUUCUGUAUACAUAUACGCUCCUGACUCCGUGGUUGUGCUGUCGCUGAGCACCGCGUCUGGAGCGCGUCAGAGGAUAUAGGCGAGCCGCGAGCACCGUUAGGGUCAGAGGCGAGUGCUUAUUUGAAGUUCAAUCUUUGUUUUCUUUUUCGCCAAUUUCGUCAAAAAGCAAUCAUUUAAUUAAUAUUAUUUCUUUCGUGUAGUAAUUCCAUUCUUCAUCAAUUGCGUAGAAGGAGCAAUGCCUUACGACAUUGAAGGAGAAUCUUGGUAAUUCUAUCGUCAAUUGCAUAUCAGAUUCUCUUAACUAUUCCAAUGACAGUAGUAUCAGCCGAAAGUAGUUUCUCCAUUUUGAAACUAUUGAAAAAUUAUUUGAGAUCAACUAUGUCACAAGAAAGAUUGAAUGGCUUGGCUAUGUGCAAUAUUAAGAAGGAUGUUUUGGACGACAUUAAUCUUGAUACUGUUCAUGAAGACUUUGCAUCAAGAAAUAUAUCCGAAGAUGUUUUUCUACAAAGCACUAAAGCAUUAUAUUUUUAUUUGAGAUAAUCAUAAUGGUUAUUGUUUUUAGUUUUUUUGUUACACUAUUAUUAUGUUUUAUGAGAGAUAUAUAUUGCAAAAAUGAUGCGUAGCUCUCCUGAAUAUAUAUAUAUAUAUAUUGCAAAAUAAUUUUUAUUAUUCGUAUUAUAUACUUUAGUUUUGAUAUUAAAAAUAGUUCAACGGGUCCUUAUGUUUGCCCAAGGGUCUUCAAAAUUAUAGAGCCAGCCGUGAUCAGGCCAUUCAUCUUCAUGGUGGAGAAGGUGAUCGAAGGCAUGGAGCGCAAGCUGCCAUCAAUCCUGCAUGCACAUUAACAAGGAUGCGGAGGAAAGAAGAGCCUCCCGACCUGAAGCAGCAGCUUGGCUCAAAGACCUCAAGACAGUUGCCUAUGCGGUGCUGGCCGGUGGCGCGAUCCAACGCUCUUGGGCAGCGGUAGCGAUGGCUUCCUGUUCCGCGGGCAGCCACAGCAGCGGCGACGGCGCGCUCAGCGGCCUCAACCCGUGCGCGGGCCCACUAGGAUUAAAACAAUCUAACACAUCCCAAUCUUAAGGAAGUGCACCAGUAGGUUCUUUUGUAUCACUUUUGGAUAGUCAUCGAAUUGCCGAACCUUUGAGCAGCGGAUCGACCCCCGCAUGCACUCAUGUCACACCCGAUUUUAAGGACAAAAUCGAGUGCAUUAAAUACAUGUGUGCCAGGAUCAAGUUACACACAUGUACGAUAAUAGUGAAUAACAAAGAUAGUGCUAAAACGAAUAAAGAGAGUAUUAAACAUUAUUACAUGACCGAAAGUCUCAAUAAACCAUAAGCCUAAUUUAUUAUGCAGCGGAACUCCAAGGACGACGACGACUCCACAGGCAGCUGACUGAAGAAACGUACGCCUAGAACUCCUCAAAGUCGUGUAGGUACUCCUCCCAAUUAGCUUAGUCUGAACAACGGUUUUGCAAGGGUGAGUACUGUAACAACUCUACCUAAAUUAAGUACUUUUAACUCUAAACCAGUGAUAAAUCCCUAAGUUAAGAAGUGAAAUGACCUUUAUAAACCUAAGAAGCUCGUUUUGGAGUUUGAAUUAAAGCUUGAAAUUUUGUAUACAAACCUGAGUUUCUGCCCAAGUAAGAGUUGUAAAACUUUUUAAUUCCAACAACUUUUGUUAAAGUCACUUUGACUAAUUCGGAGUGGAAGGAAGUCAAAAACAUCAACCAAAGCCAGUUUUUCUAAAGGACCCUGAAAAUCUCUUAAGUCCUGAAAUUCGAGUUUUCCUCCAUCUUGCAAGCUUUCAUCUCCUGUUUUCCCUAUCUAAACUCAAGUCAGGGCCUGAAUGAAAGUUGUAGUACCUCAAGAUUGUUCCAACUUUGUUACACUGAUCCAGAUCCAAAUCGGGCCCGAACUUGUUCAAAACUCCGGUCAAAGGGAGGUAAACCAGUCAACUCACCCCUGGUGCCUUAAAAAUCCUAAGUCUGGAAUCCCAGAUUUUUGGCUAACUUUGACCGGAAAUAUCUUUGAAUCCUUUCACAAUCUAAACCAGCACCUUAAACAAAGUUUGAAGAACAAUCAGAGUUGAGCAAGUUUGUUUAAGGGAGUUUUGGAAGUUGUGUUGAAAGAUUCGGAGGAAGGAUCACUCCAAAGCUGGUCGGGCUUGUUGCCCGAAGGGAGCCUCGACGCCCGCGCGCCAGAGCACGUUCACUCGCGCGCCGCGUGCCGCGUGGCCGCCGGCCACCGGCAGCUCGCCGGCACCCUAUCCCCAGCACGACAGCGAUAGGACGAGAGCCACGGCGCCCAACCCGCGCCCGCGACAGGACGGAGCGAGCGCAGGGCUAGCCAACCGCCAGCCGCGCGCAGGUCGCCUUCCGCCUGCCACGGCUCUGCUCCGCCAACCCUGUUCCGCCCGUCCGCUGAGAAAGCUGACACGCCCCCGACGUCCCGCGCCUCCGCCCGUUCGCCCAACCCCCACGGUAGCCCUUCCGUCUCGCCCGCCCGACAGACCGGAAGCCCUAGAUGUGCGCCGCCCAAGGCCAAUCGCCGCCGAAGACCACCCGGAGCUCCGCCUCCUCUGCCCAAUGGCGUUGUCGGCCAAUGGCCGCCUCGCCUGAGCACUCGCCGCUCCCGGCCUUAUCCUUUCCCCACCGGAGCCCCGCCUCGACCCUCCGCCCCACCACGACCCUAUAAAAGAGAACCCCCUCACCGGCAAUGCCACCCCUUGCCACCGCCUGCACCUGCGCCACCGCUUUCUCCUCUGCGCCCCCGCUUUCUCCUCUGCGCUACCGCUGAGCUUCCGUGGAGCUCACCCCUUUGCGCCACCCCACACUCCGGCGAUUUCGCCGCCACCCUCUUGAGAAAGUUCCCCUCUCCGCUCCAGCCGCUUCUUCCAACCCACCAGCCGCCCGCUCCUCCGCGUGGUACUCGAGCUUGCUAGUGUCCGCAAGAAGCACCGCCGCCGCCGGAGCACCGUCGAAGCAACGCCGCCGCCGGACCACCGUCGAAGUCUCGCUGCUGCCCAAGCCUUAGCGCGUACAACUUCCCGCCCCAGCCUACUCCUGUUCGGCCCCAAGGCUUCACCGGUAGACCUGGAGGUAAGUGACCGACCCCUUGUGUUCCGUCUCGACCGACCCCUUGUGUUCAGCCUCAACCGACCCCUUUUCUUUCCGUCUCGCCCGACCCCUGUCCUUUUUGUUUCGCCCGACCCCUGUCCUUUUUCGUUUCUCCCGACCCCUUUGUUUCGGUUCGCCCGACCCCUUUUCUUUUCCUCUCGCCUGACCUUUUUCCCGUUCGCCUCGCCCGACCCUGCCAAGUUUCGCCGACCCUUUCUCCGUCUCGCCCGAGGGCUCGGCUGUAACUUUUUCUUUGACCCGAGGGUAUCGGUGAAAUAUUUUCGGGGAUUCCUCUGUGUUGAGUCUGAGGACCUCGGUACGGUUUUCCUUAAACCUGAGGGUCAGACCCUAAGUUUCCCCUAAUCCGACCCUCUCAUCCUGAUCUCCUCCAACAGAAGUUGAACUCCCCCACCUUUCCUGUAGCUUGGCUACAAGUGUCCGUGUUAAAACAUUAGUGUGUUGAAAUAACCAUCUAAAAUGUUUAACCCCUGCAUUGCAUUUCCGUGUAGAGUUGAAUCUCGCCGAUGGAACGUACGAGCUUCACCCGGCACCGGAAGAAGACCCCGCCGAGGAACUGCAUCCCUUCGAAGGAGAGCCCGAACCGGAGCAAGACCCCGAGGACCCGCAAGCUUUUCCUGAAGGCAAGCCCCGGAGCAUAAAUUCCUAUCUUGAAUUCAUGCAAUAUUAUUGAUUACUUGAUUGCGCAUUUACGUUUCGAGGAGUUGUAAUGGAACCUUAGAUGCAUAACUUAGUACCUUAUUUUUGAAUACUAGUUGCUAAGGCCGAGUAGUUGCAUUGCUUAAUAGGUUCCGGUAAAAGUCGAGUGAUCUCCUGUCACUCGCGAGUUAUAGGAGUUGAAUGUUUCAGAUAUGUCGCAACUAUAAGGACGACGGACGGGGUCAGGCUUAUGUUCGAUACUUGGUGGAUUGCCCCGUCUGUCUAAAUGAAAAUGAACUAAGGUCGAAACGUGUCGGCGUUCGUGAUCAAGUGUUUGAAAGUACUAAUCUCAUACCUAGUAUGGGAUGGGGAAGCCUAGUACCUGAUUGAAUUGGGGCGUGGCAUACCCUCCGGCUGUCCUUGGAACGUCGUUCCCAUGGUGCAUCAUGUGGGUGCAAGUGCGGUCACAGUGCAGCAAUAGGCCGGGACUGUGGAGCAUUGCAUGCCAAAGGAAGUUGGCCCUGACACGUGCCUAAGGGAUCGAUGGGGACGGCUGAUAAAUGAAGCGACCCUUCGUGGUGCGCGGAUGUCAUGAGAUUAGGUUUGCCAUGCAUGGUUAAUAAAUUCGAAUCGAUUCAUCUGCCUCUCAUAGAUUGGGACUACUUGAUCGCUAUUCUGCACUGAGUAAAGAUGGAACAUGAUGAUGAUUUUAAUCUUGAUGCUUGUUAAGUAAUUGCUUGGAAACCAUGUUUGUUUAGUAUAAGUUGCUAAUCUGGAAUGGAUAAAGAACAUAGAACAUGAGCUAAAAUGUUGAAAGUAAGGACUGACUUUAGACGCUUUUGGCAAAGAAAACCCCAGAGCCAGAAAGCCUUGCAUGUCUAGGUCUCGGUCGUGUCUUUUCGACAGGUCAGUCUUGCGGAGUACUAGUUGCUCAGCCUUGUUGUGGCUAAUCUUUUUCAGGUAAUGUCAAUAGUUUGGGUGUUGGUACCACUUGGCCGACCCAGCUUCCUCCAGGUUGGACCGUCGAGUGGGAUCCUUCCUUGGAUGGCGAAGGAAGAAAUUUUUGAUGUCAUGAACGGCUCCGUCGUGAUGUCAUGUAUCGACGUUUAGUUUUCGCUAUUUUCCUUUGACUUCGAACCAUGCAAAUUUCGAUUUGAAUUUCAGAAACUCUGAUGUAAUAAAUUGUUGAACUAUGUUGUCAUGAUGGAAUGUUGUAACCUCUGUGCUACUCACCUUCGCGUGAGCGAUGCUUCUCGAUCCUGUUUAUGUGGUUUAUCGGAGGAAAUCCGACGGUCGACCAAGUUGACUUGCUUAAAGUGCAUAAUCGCGUGUCAGACGACUUCAAUGCAUUUUAGUCAGGUUAAUUUGGGCGGUUCCGCCACAAGUACACUUAUGGUUGGUACUCAACAAGUCGUGGGGAAUAGUGUAGUGUAAGGCAAAUCAAGGUACGGCUAAGGCAUAAUUAGCAUUCGCUUUUAUUUAAGUUGGUCAAGUUUUAUUAGCAAUUAACUAAGUAUAAGUUCGUACCACUCGAAAUUAAACAUGAUCAUAAAUAAAGUAAACAGCAUAUGCAUGAAAUGACAACAAGUUAAAUCCAUCUUCCGAUAAAUAUUAUCAUGUGAGGGUCCAGGCCUCUCUUAACCGUGAGCACGGCUGAUCGAUCAGUUUUACACUCUGCAGAGGUGGCACAUCUUUACCCACAAGUCGCGUAAAAGUUCAAAAGAACUUUGGACCCAACCAUGCGGUGUUUGCAAGGCACCAUACCACACUUCUGAGGUGUGAUUGCAUAGGGACGCUACGAGGCCUUUACAAAGAUUCAUUAGUCAGUGGUAACCCGCUAAGGUUUCGAUGUCUGGCGUGCACCACCCAUCCCAGGCAAAAAUGCAACGACUCAGUCCCCCCUCUUGCCUCAUCAUGAGUAAGGUCACCCUAGACUAAGGUUUCUAAUUAUUCAGCCAAGACCAGAGCCAUUUAGUCUUGUGGUAGCACUAUUUUCCUGGGUGGUCGCUCCAUGUUACGAUUAAUAAUACAUGAUCUUAUAUUAAUGAAAGGUAUAACAGAAGUAAAGCAAGAUUAAACAUUGUUUUUAGUUAAACCACCAUGUACCAAGUAAGCGCUAAGCAUGAGCUACCCAACAAAAAGUAAACCGGUUGAUCAAGGCAAAGGUAAUUCAAUCUAGGCGAACCUUAAUUGGGACCCAUCAAUUCAAUCUUAACAUGUGCAUAGCAUAAAUGUUGAGUACGAGAAAGUAAAGGUGUAUAGGAUGAAAAGUAGUGAUCAAGGACACGACUUGCCUUCUUGGCCUUGCUCCUACUGUUCGUACUCCUCGAAGGCUUGGUCUUCAACUCCCUCGAACUGCGGGACGUCUACACGCGUCACACGAGCACAUACAAGCAAACAUGGGCAAAAAGUAAGAAACAGUACACCAAUCACAAUUAAACAGAGAAAACAAGCUUGAAAAGUUGAUCUACGCUUUAAAACGAACACGUGGAUAUAAAGAACGCGAAAAACGGAGUUAAGAUGCAAAAGAGAUGAUUAAAACAAGAUCCAGGGGCUUUUCUGUGAGAAAAACAAAACUUUUAGGGCAAAACCGCAAAAACCGAGGGCUUAUACGUAAAUACGCGUAUAAACCAAAGGUCUAACGCGCAAAAACUCCAAAACGGACGGCGGGUUGAUUUUUAGAAAACUCGGGGUUUAAACCGAAAAGCACGAGGGCAGAUCUGUGAAUAUUUUCAACGCGAUCUGGACCGCGGGUUGAUUUGCGGAAAAGGCAGGGGCUUAAGAGCAAAAUGGCGCGGUGCGGCACGGUUGACCGUUACGCGGUCUUGUUUGACUCGCUAUCGGCCGUCGGAUUUAGGUCCGACGGUCACGGUCGGCGAUGACUCGCGACGGCGACGGGAAAAGGGCAGCCAGCGGCGGUGAGCGACGGCGAGGUCGCCGGAGUAGGCCGAAACAACGCCACGGGGCUCGGUUUCGCGCGCGGAAAGCACCAGAAGAGAGCGGGGAACAUGGCGAACCCGUUUAGUGCCUUGGCGGGAGCCACGGCGCGGCGGCGCUCACCUUUUGGCGGCGGCGUGCGGCGGAGAGAGGCAGCGGCGCAAGAGCUUGCGGCAGCUAGGGUUUGGAGGGUGCUGGCACGGGUGCUCGUGGCCGGGGGAGGCGGCAGCUUAAAUAGGGGCGGACGGCUUGGAGAUAGAGGCGGCCCCGGAUUCAAACCGGUCGGGGAAUACGGCACCCACCCGGAGAUCUCGCGCGGCGGUUGCGGGCGGAGGAGAGUCUGGUCGGAGGUGGGAGACGAUGGCGGGUCCCACCUGUCGGCGGUAGCGGGCGGUAGGCGGGCCGUAGCGGCUGUGGGCUGGCGCGCGCGUUCGCGGGCCGCGGGAAAGGGGCGAGCGGAGAGCUUCGCAGGCCGGCUGGAGGUGGAGCGGUGGGCCGCACGGGCAAGGGGGUUCGCGGGCCGGCGAAGAAAGGCGGAGCGGGCCGAGCGGCUGGCACUGGGCUGCCGGCAGAGGAGGAGGCGCUAGGCCGAAAGAAAAAGAAGAAGAGAAAGGAAAGCAAGGUGCGGCCCAGGAGGAGAAGAAGAAAAAGAAAAAGAAGAGGGAAAAGGAAAAAGGUUUUGGAGAUUGAAUUUAAAUUUGGAAUUCAAAUUUUUGAUUCAAACCCAAGCAAUCAAAAUAAAUGCAGCAGCAUGAAUGCACAAUUAACUCCUAUGAUGAAUUAAUUAAAUUAAAGAAAAUGAAAUUAAAUGCCUAGAAUUUAAAUGACACCCUAAUUUGAGUAAAUUUUAAUGAAUUUGAAUUCUCUAAAAUUUUGGGUGUUACAACUCAUGAAACUAAAAGGGAAAUCCUUUUCUCAUAGCUGGAUAAUAGCGCGCGGCGACAGAAAAGCCAGCAUCGUUUCUGAUCUCAUUCACGUAUAUACAGCCAGUUGCUCGCUUCCGACCAUGCAGCUGCAUGAAGAAUAUGGACCGAAUGUUUAGUCAGUAAGCAAACACUGCCUAAAGUAAGUUUACAGAGCUACAUGCUGGGCAUUUCAGACUUGUUUAAACAGAGGUGCAAACAAAGUCGCCUCCAAGGAGGCAGUAGCACCCGCAAGCGUCACCGUCCACGCUUUCGCCCCGACCUCCAUGCUAUGCCAUGCCAGAAGCACCAUCACGUUCAGAGGUUUCACCUCUAUGUGUAACGCUGCGCUAUGGAGAGAUGACAAUCUUGGGGGGGGCGGGGGGGGGGGUACCAAUGACAUAUGGUAACAGCUUACAAUGAUGGUAGUGGAUAAAAGAAAUGGGAGCACCACAAACAAAAUCUAGAGUCUCAACAGUCAAAAUCAAACAAGAUCAAACAAUAAAAAGUUCUGAGUACCACAAGAGCACCAGGGGGGGAUCAUUUCCAAUGUGGAUGCAUCAGUGGAGAUCUCUCAACGUAUGUCACAUAAGCAGUGUGGUGUCCUCCAGGUGUCCAGGUUGGUGUGUUAAACUGCCUCCGAUCCACAGCCAUCUUAGAACACUGCAUUCCAAGUUUCCAACACUCUUCAUGGUCUCAACUCUACUUGAACAUUCUCAAUAAGCUCUAUCUUGCUCCAAUCUUCUCCUGACUCGCUGCAUCUUUGCUUAAACCCCUUUGUGCAUUGUGAUAGUGUCAAGGUAUGCAAAGAGGUCAGCCUUUCAAUGCACGGAGGCAAAGUUUUCAUCCAGUAGGUCUCUACUUUGAGCUCACGGAGAGAUGCCAUAUCUCCCAACCAUUCUGGCAAGGUUUCCAUGUUCUGACAGUUCAGUAUCUCUAGCUUCCUGAGGGAUUUCCAGCCUAGAAUGCACUUUGGCAAAGGUACAGGAUCGAUGCAACUGUCAACAGUUAAUUCUUCAAUGUCAAGCUGUUGAAGAGAAUCGGAGUCAGAAGAUAUAUUUUCGAUGUACUUGAUUUCCAUUUUGGAUGAUAAAGCAGAUGUUGAUAGCCCCAUGACUUGGUAGAAUGAUGGCCAAUGGAAUAAGAAUGGAAAUUGUUUAAUUCCAGAUAUGAUAUACCUGGCACUCCAAGGGAUUGAUGGUUCAAAUCUUACGUUCAAACAACAGUCUAUCUCUAAAUAUUGAAGUCCAGGAAAUAAUGUGCGCUGGUUGGAGGAUUCCCUGCCACUAUCACUGUGUCUUCCUCCCUGCUGCUCUCUUUGAAAUACGUUCUUAUCAUCCUUCUGCUCAAUACAAGGCAACGUCGAUGUUUUCCACAGUAACUUCCCUACUCUUCCUAAUGUAACUCUUCUGAGAUUUUUCACUGGCUGUGUGCUCAAGAUGCAUAUUGAUGAUUUGUCAUAUAGGUUCAGGUCAUUUGGCCUAUUAAUCACCGGGAAAGACGAGAUAUACAAGUCUUCAAGAGAUUGUAAAUAAUCUAGAUGGAGGUGACCAGAUUGAACAUCGAAAAGCUCCAAUCUUACAAGAUUUGGUAGCAAACGUAACCAGUUAGGAAAAUCACCACCAACAUAGUUCUUUAUGCAAAGCCUUUUAAGGUUUUCAUGAGGCUGGAGCUCUUCUAAUGCGACCUCGUUGAACACUGGCCCACUCCACUCCAAACUUAAAAAUUGGAGCUCCUCUUUUUGCGCCAAUUCAAUUAUGUUUGCUUCUGAGCUUGAUAGACCUUCGAGAUGUUUAAUAUUAAGUUCAAUAAGCUGGUGACUUGUAGUCUUUUGCAGAAUAGCCAUGUCGUCUGAUGAACUGACGGCAAAACUAGGGCCCUGCUAUUUUACAAAAACAUAGAAAAUCAAAAAUAAAACAUUCUGCUUUAGUCAAGAUGGCAUGCAUACUAUAUAAAACCAUCUCUAGGUGCAAACAUGCAGCUUAGAGCAUCUUCAAUAGUCAUCUAAUAAAUGUUUUCAGAUAAAUAGUUAAUAGGGAUAUCCCGAGUUGCUUUUGCAGUCUUCUAUAACCUCAUCCCAAUCCAACUACCGUGUUGGGAGAGUCACAGCUCCUCCUUUAUUUUGGGAGUUGGGGUGAAUUAUUUGUCGAAUAAUUAUUGGAAAAAAGGAAAGGUAAAGGGAGUGUGUUAGAGCACUAUUUUUUCACAAACUCUCCAAAUAUGGUAGUUGUAUUGGAGAAUAGGGAUCUGCUGGAGAUACUAUGUAAACCAUUGGACAAUUGAAUGCUGAUGAGGCUUAUGGAAACAGAGCCAGCCAAGGAUCCCUACCUAACUCUACCAAUCACGGGUAUGCACAGCAGAUAUGCUGGCAACAGAUCCUACCAGUAAGUUUUUUUUUCCAAAAAAAACAUAUCCUACCACGUACACAGCACAAAAAUACAAUUCUAAAAAAUUUGAUGUUCGCCUGGUAUAUCCCAAAAGUUGCAUGACUAUUUUAAUUUGGAACUUGCUUGGCUACUCCUUCCAUCCCAUAUUAUAGGUCAUUUUGGCAUUUCUAGGUUUAUGAUUUUUUGUUGUACACCUUGAUGUAUAUUAUAUCUAGAAGCUAUGAAUCUAAAAUUGUCAAAACAACCAACAAUUUGGAUAAUUUGGGAUGGAGGGAGUAUUUUAAUUUGGAGAAUCAGGUCUACUAUAAGUGCCACAAUUAAGCAAGGUAGUGGCAUAUCAAACAAUAAAUUAAAUAUUUAUGUUAGAAAGGGAUUCCAUUAAUUCAUUCAUAUAUACGAUAUUCACUCCCUAGAAUUAAUGAAAAUACAGUAACAAAUCACAUGCCUGCAUGAUAGAUUGAGCCUCUUGUUAUGCAACCGUAAUUUAUAGUAUACAUUGUAGAACAAAAAAAGUAAUAAUUAAAAACAGUGCAUAUUACCUCAUGUGCAUAUACAUGUUUGAUGGGUUUAAUCUUGUCGUAGUCCUCUCCUAAACGGCUGCAGCAUUCACGCAGUUUGUAAUUGCACUUCUUAAGAGUUAAUGUCUUCAAGGAGGUUACAUCCUUGAUGGAGUGAGGCAAACGCUGCAGUUUGGCAGAAUAAACUUCUAGAUGCUCCAGAGAUGCCAGAUCCCCCAACCAAUCUGGGAGUGCCGCAAAAUUACAACAACUGUCCAAUAUCUGCAAGCUCCUAAGGGAUGAUCUCCGGCAAGGUGAUCAGAUCACUGUCAGAUUUAAUAGUUAAAUACCACAAGUCGGUGCUGACGUAUUGGAGAAAUUCUGAAGCGUCAGAGAAGCCAAACAUAUUUGGUUCCAAUUCAAGUGUAAAAAGGUGUGAAGAUCCAACAAGUAUCACGGGUGAUAGUUCUACCUUACUGCAUGAUGCAACUAUAUGCUCUAUGUAUCCUUGAAAAGCUGAACCGAGGGUCAACGUGGAAAUAUUUCAUCUCCUUGCACCUUCUGUUCAUCAUCAUCCCAAGACAUCUCUCUAGCAGACAGCUCCAAGUUCGUGGACAGCACCUCCAAAUUCUCCAUCUUAUUAAUACAAAGUUCCCUUAAUUUCCUGAAUGGGUUCCUGCCUCCAUAAAAACUAGUAGCCACUUCUCGAAUAUUAGGCAUAUCUGAAAUGUGCAGUUCUUCAAGGUUUGCUAACUGUCCUAGUGAAGGGAGGCGUGCGCACCUUGGCUGCCCAUCAGCACUAUCUUCACAAGAUUUGGAAGAUCGAGAUUUGGAUCGCUCAUCCAGCCACAAAAUGUGGCAUCUCCAUAACCUUCUAUUUCAAGUGUUGAUAGGUUAGGAUGAGGAUGGAGUCUUUGGAGAACUGAAGAAUCAUCAGCUCUGGAGAAUUUUUUGCUCAGAUUAAGAUAUACAUUGUUAGGCCUAUCGUCUGAUCCAGAUAAACCAUUGCUGGAAUAAGAGUUUGCGUCAGCGUGCGCAGCUGGUCAUAUGUAGCCAACUCUCCAAGGCCAACUUCAUCAGCGCUAUUCACCUUCUCAAGAUUUGAAAUAAAUAGGUCUGUGAUUCCAAAGUCUGUAUUUUGACAGAGGAGAAAAUCACUUUCUUGUACUGCAAAAUACACUCCCUGUGAAGGAAGAGACAGAGUUAGACUAUUACCAAAUGCAACGAAAAUAUUUAUGCAUCCAUUCUGUUCUAGAUAAGAAUUAGAAAAUGUCCAUUGUAAAAGAGGAGUAACAAAGCACAGCCAAGAGAACUUACCUCAUUUAUCUUGAUGCAUUGAAUGUGAGGAAUAGCCUGUAGGAUUGCAGCUUUGUCUCUGUCCAAGAAAUUCCCAGGAGAUGACAAAGUUAGCUUCGCCAAACGAUCCAUGCAUCUCAAUUCAUCAAAACGGUCAAACAUCUCGAGGCAAUCAAUUUCAAGCUCAUGUACUGAUUGAAUGCCAGGAAGUUUCUGAAGAUCAUAGCUCUUACAGUUCGAUAUCUUGAGUUUUUGGAUGGUUUGUGUCAAUAUAGGGGUUUAUGACCACAGAUUAAUCUUGGAUAAAUCACUCUCGUUGAUGAAUAACUCCUUGCUGUUGGGGAUUCUUGGAUAUAGUUCCAGAUAACCGCAGUGUUCUAUCUGCAGAUAGCAAAGCGGAGGGAAUUCUUCUUCAUCAGUGUUCAUCAGUGCGGAAGAAGAUACAGGAACGUGUGUCAUCAGUGUUCUCUUUUUAGUCACUCCCAAAAAUAUUUCCAUCAUGUUCCUAAACUUUGCUUUUCCUUUUCCUCGGGAAGGAUCACCAGACUGCGCCCUGAACAUUUCAAGCCUCUUGAAUUCUUCUAAAGGAUCUAUUUCCAUGUCACGUAUCUCUUCACCAUCUUGGCAAAACCACAAGGUGCAUCUGGAUGCUAGUUUAACAAGCGACAGUCGCUUUAGGUUUCUGCAUGGUGCUAAACAUGCUUCCAUAAGUUUAGGCAUAUUACGAAUUUCAAGCUCCUCUAAGUUUGAUAGAUUUCCUAGAGUUGGAAGCUGGUCACACUCUACGAGAUCAGACAAUACCAGUUUCACCAGAUUUGGGAGUGUAGAACAUAUCUUCCUCAUCCAACUAGGAAACAUACUGUAAUUAUAGCCCUUUAUAGUGAGAUGCUUUAAAGCUGGAUGAGGCUUCAAAUUUUCUAGCACAUCCAUUGUCGUCACUUUGGGUUCCUCUGACCAUUCUAAUAAGGACCACUCCAAACUCAAAGAAGCAAGCCGAUGUCUCCUUCCCAAUUGCACCCCCUUUGCUUCCUCUGCAGACUUCACAACCUCAAGGCAUUUGAUAUUUAGUUCACUGUUUGUAGAAUCAAGGAUAUUCUGUAGAAGGAUAAUGUUGCUGCAAUCACCACUGCUGCCACUUUCUGAGACCACAAAAUCCGGUAGGGUUAGUAGGUCACUGGAGAUGCCUUCCUUUCAGAACAGUGACAUCCCUCCAACUGAAAGGUACUCAAGACGAUGCAUGUUUUUCAAUGUGUCAUGCAGCAUUUUCAGGCUCAACUCCUCACCAGAAUAAUCAGAGGAAUGCUGUGUAGAGGAGCUUGGAGCUUCAGAAUCUUUUCUUACAUCAAAUCCUGAUAAUGCUGAUAGGUUUAGGUACUCCAAAUUUACAAAUUUACCAAGAAAGCAGAUAAUUUUCAAAAUGCAAGGACAGCCAGAUAAAUUCAGAAAUCGGAGUUUAUUUAGUCUGGCACAAGAUUCAGAAAGAUCAAUAAGCCUCGCACAAUCAGAUAAAUCCAAAAUCUCCAGGUUCAGGCAGCCAUUGUUGCCCACACAAAAUUCAGGAAGUGCCUCAAGGCAAGUACAACCAGACAUAUUAAGAUAAAGAAGUCCCUUCAUUCUAUUGAAUGACAGGGUACGCAGUUGCUUAAGCUGGCAGCAGGAGGACAGAUUCAGAUGUUCCAAAUUUUUCAGUAGACUGAAAGAGUCUGGAAGCAUCUCAAGCUUUGAACAACAUGAUAAGUUCAAGAACGAAAGCUUUGGCAGCUCUCCAAAUUGUGAAGGUAGCUUUUGUAGGCUGGUACAACCUGAUAGAUCGAGGUGUUCCAAAUUUUCCAGUAGACUGAAAGAGUCUGGAAGCAUCUCAAGCUUUGAACAACAUGAUAAGUUCAAGAACGAAAGCUUUCGCAGCUCCCCAAAUCGUGAAGGUAGCUUUUGUAGUCUGGUACAUCCUGAUAGAUCAAGAUGUUCCAGGACUUGGAGUCUGUGAAUGGGACCUGGAAGUUCACUAAGAUUCGAGCAGCCAUGUAGAUCCAAAUAGUGAAGCUUCUGAAAGUCACAAAUGGAAGUGGAACUAUGGAGCUUUAAUUUUUCAGAAAAGGAGCUAUGGAGCUUUUUGAGGCUGGUAUUUUCUGAAAGAUUUAAAAACUGCAGGUGGUGCAAGUUUUGCAUAGAACUGGGUAGCUGGACAGUUUGCAUGCGUGGGAAGUCCAAUACACGCAGCCAUUUAGUUUCUGAAAAGGCACCCUUCGAAGGCUGACAUCCUGUGCAGCCACUAAAAUGAGCAGCCCUUGCUUUGAAAGGCGUAUCUUUGCAUUUUGGGUACUGACCUUUGAAAUUCAACAACAACGUGUAUCGAUAGUUGUCCUCUUUACCGAAGCUUCUUUGUUUGCCAUCACAGAUGGCAACUUCCUCAAUAGCAACUGACCUAGCAAGUUCAUGAACUAAAUCGUGCAUUUUGAAUAAUACAUUAUGCAUAUGAGGGUUAUUAAGCUUGGAGUAUCUUGCAGAAAUCUGAAAAGCAAAUUUGCAGGUCGAUUAGUAGUGCACUAGAUAUUUUUUUCAAGGACUCAACGGUAGGUCAAAAGAAAAAAAUAUAUAAAGAGCAUGCCAAUUUCACAUUUAGAAACGAGAUUGAUCAUUGCCACAUCAGCCGUCCCGCAUGGAGAUGCUAGAGCAGUCAAAGGGAGUGCAAAGGGUUUAAAAUUGCAACGAAUGAACAUUAUUUUCUCUCCAGUAGCAAUUGUGUCAAGACAACCAAGUUGACGUUUCUUCUAUCUGAAAUGAAAGAACACUGCCGAUUUAUUUAUUGCUAUAUCCAAUUUAUAGAAUGGAUAUACCAUUUAAUUGAUAUCUUUUCGUAAAAAUGAAACGCAUAAUAUGCAUCCACAUUUCAGCUUCGAAUUUUACUGGAUAGAGAUACAUGAUCUAGGCUAUUAAGUAGCGACUCAUAAAAGCUAAAUCUUGUAACCAAUGGUGGGUCAAUAAUGAUCAUUUUUGUAUAUAUGUAUCGACUGUUGUAAAAAAGUGAUUCGCUUUUCCUAUGCAGUAACCUUCUGCUCCUAAAGAAUGCCAGGAUUGUGUUUUAAUUAUUGCAAUUACUAUUCACUUAGUAACUUAACUCGCUGUCUUGGCAAUGUUGUAGAGCUUAUGCCAAAAAUACAGCUCAGCCCUUUUUGCUCAGAUUCCAUGACUUUAUGCAGAGAAAACUUGACUUAAAACAAAACUUAGGCUAUGUUACUAGUAAUUUGCAACCUCAGGGAGUUUACUUGUCAUGUUUAUUUGCUUGGUUGAUUUCAGUAAGCAUAAAACUGGCAACUUAAGAAAUAAUGUUCGUGUCGCUAUAUUUAUCUUUUAAAUAAUGUUGACUCAAAUAUUUAUAAGGUGUUAGAAUUGAGGAACCAAUACAACCAUGUCCGAAUGAUUCAUCGUAGGAUCACUCCAUGAAUUUUACACCUUGAUCAAUAUGCUUGUGCGAAAUGAAGUGGAUUAUUCAAAACUAGAAUCAAAGGAUUUAUGACUAUCUCAUUCUUCAAACCAAAGAUUAUAUUGAAUUAGUAGUAGAUAAACACCAUAUUCUGAAAUAAGAUUAAAAUACUAAUAAAUCAUGCGAGAAAUGACAGCACAACUCGAUACAAGGAAAAAAGUUAACUGUACCAAGCUUGGGUAUAUAAUAUAACUCACCGAGAUAGAGUCACUUGAAGCCUCCAGGAAUGACAUCUGACAAAGUUCUAGUAGGUAUUCCUCAGCACGAUGUGUGGUCAGAACAAAUCUCAGAGCAAUCCACUUAUGAAUCAGUUCUCUCUUCUCUAUGAUGAAGCCUUUUGGGAAGGCAGAAAAGUAUACAAAGCAAGGUCUCAGAUAAUAUGGCAUGUGGUAGUAACUAAUCUUCAAGGAUGGUAAUAUUAAAGUAGAUGUUGUUCCAGUCGUUGGAUCGCAUUCGUCUUCCCACAGGUCACUCUUCAGUGUUUCUUCCUACUUGUGCAUCGGCAUAUCUAGCAGACGAUCCCCAAGAGACUUGACUGCCAAAGGCACUCCACCGCAUUUCUUUACUAUUUUCUCCCCCAUAUGUACCUUUGCCAUUUCAGAUUCUUUAAUUCCAUUUGGAAAUGCCUUAGCUUUGAACAGCUUCCAGCAGUCAUCGUACGGCAAGGCACCCAACUUGAAUGGCAACUCACGAUUCAGCCGCUUAGCAACCUGUUCACUUCGAGUGGUCACAAUUAUCUUUCUGCCUGGUGCGCCACCUUUCAACAUCGCUUCUAUCUUUUCCAAUUGUCCUGUGUUUUCUUCCCAUAAGUCAUCUAAAACAAUAAGAUACUUCUUUCCACGGAGGAUCAUCUCCACGCGCAUCUGCACGGAGGACAGGUCAUACUGGUUACUCUGUCCAUCUACUUGGGAGAUAAUUGAUCGACCAAUCUUUUCAUCGCUAAAACUUGUGGAGACAUAAACCCAAAUCUGGAUAUCAAAAUCUCUCUUAGUUGUAUUGUCGUCAAAAACCAUUUGGGCGAGAGGUGGUUUUACCCAGACCACCAAAGCCAUAUAUAGGGAUGAUGAUGUGUUUGCAAUCUUCUUGCAGCAACUUCAUCAACUCUACCUUGUCCUUGUCCCUCCCAAGUAUACCUUCUACAAGGCAAGGGCCUGUAGCCCUUGUCUGGAUCACGUCCUGGUCGUCAGAGCUUGUGUCCACCAUCAAGUCGAACUGCCUCAGCUUUUCUAUGUCGUCCAAUCUUUGCUUCAUGGCCUUCAACUUGCUAGGCAUGUUUAGCCGCAACUUCAGAGGAAUGGAGAUCUCCUGCAAAUCCAUGUCGUGAAUUAGAAAAGGGACGAGAAAUGGAAAUGGACAUAUCGACAUCAAACACACUCGAGACCUACCGUUGUAGAUUUGUUAUUCUGAGAGCCAUCUUUAUUACUCAGGAUAUCACCUUCCAAUUCCAAUAAUAAUGUCCUCCAUGUCAUAGGCUGCUGCCUUUAGCUUCCUCAUCCAGACGCAGACGUCACCAUCUUUCAUCAGCCGCUUCUCCGCCCUAACCAUGCUAUUUUGGAUGGUAUCCACAGUAUCCUUGAGGCCUUUGAGCUCAUCACCUAGCUUCAGCUGCGAGGCGAUCGCCUCCCAGAUGGCACUACCUAGCAUGCCGCCGACCUUCUUCAAUGCGGCCGAGGCAAGAAACUCCCCUACCCCCACCAUGUGGCUGAAGGGGACGCCAAUCACACAGUGUGAUGAGUGCUUGACGUCAGGCCGGGUGAGGAACAGUCCCAAGAGAAAACUGGAGAAGACACAGCGAGAAAUUGUCAGAGUCUCUCUGUUUUUGACCUGAAAAUCACAACCCUUGCAGCAAACUCUGUAUCAAGGACAGGCAGGAAAUAUUUACAAGCAAGGAGGAAAAGGGCAAAUAUUUCAGUCAGAAUUGAGACAAAUAAUAGCACCCAAGGUGCGCUUUAGAUCGCACUCUGUUUCAAUUAAACUGACUCGAGAUGGAAACCCCAAUUCGGAUGCGAGGUGGAAGGAAAGAAAGGUGAUUAGUUCUCAGCUUUUACCGUGAGGGUGGUGUGUUGUGUCCAGCACCCGAUGGGAUGGCAGGUAACUAAGGCCCCGUUUGGGAGGGCUUCAGCUUCGGCUUCUCUACUGGCCGAAGCUUGAGCCCUACCAAAUGACGAGAUGGCGAAAGGCUUCGGCGGAGAAGCUCCGCGAAUCGCUCUGACUGAAGCUGAUUGAGGGAGCGGGAGCUAAAAAAAAUUGGCUCCCCGCGGCUUCUCGCGUCGUUGGACACCCUUGUGCUUCGAUGGGGCCCGCGGGUGGAGGUGGCUGGCGGUGGGCGCAGACGAGGCAUGAGGAUGGCGGCGCGGGAGCAGAAGUGGCCGGCUGCGGACAAGCCGCGACAGAGGACGGCCCAGGACGACCGGCGGCGGUGGGCACGGGGCGGAGGACGUCCGGCGGCGGCGGGCGCGGGGCAGAGGUGGCCGGCGGCGCGCGCUGGGGCGUGGGCGCGUGAAAAGGGGAGGCGGGGGCGCUAGGGACGUAUCUCAGAUGGCAGCGGUGAGAUUCAGCCGGGAGAAGGAGGCCGGGUCAGAUCUUUCACCGGGUGAGAGAGGGGCGCGGCGGAUGGAACGGUCGGUGGUGGUGGAUGGAACGGCGCGUCAGUGGAUGGAACAACGCGUCAGGGUGCCUGGGAAUCAGGGGGUGAGGAGGUGACGAUAGGGUUCGGGGCGCGAUCGAUCCUACCUCAACGUAUGCGUAAGUAGAAGAAUGCAGUGGCGAGAAAUGCGUACGCGAUGGAGAGGGCUAGAUCCAGAAGUAGCAAGUUGCCGAUUCGUAGAAGCGGAAUAAUAAGCUAGUGAUGAAACAAUGCGUUAUUAGCUCGCGUUACGUUGUUUAGGUCCAGAGAGGAGCAGCAAACUCCAUAGCUUAUAGUUUUAAUUUCUCAUUGUUUAUUGCGGCCGGUCUUUUGACAGUCUAGGGACACAGUCGUCGUAGAUCUCGGGAGCCCUGGUGGAAAACAGAUCAGCUUGCGGUUGUUUAUGUAGAGUCUCUCGAGACAAGGCAUGCAUGGCUAUACUCCCACUCACCAAGCCCAAACAGUGCCAGCUCUACUAGUUUAGUUAAUAAUGUUUUAAGUGACUUUUGCCUUUGCAGAAUAGCCCAUUCUACUACGGAGAGGCGACGAACAAGCUGACCAUGUACGUAGCUGCCUGCUUGUCGUCGACCACCACCGCAGAUUCUUCUCUUGCCAUGCAUGUACUCAGCAAAGGAGCGGACCACAUCGUCGUGCAUCUCCAGUUAUCCAGUUGCUCAGGCAGUCCAGCUACUGACCAUGCAGGACUUGUCAAAACAACAUUCCACUCACGCUCGCCUUGCGUAUCUUGUGCUUAAGAGCCCUCCAAUCGCUUUAAUUGCAAGUGGUAAUUAUGCCUUCACACUUCUCAAGAAUUUCCAUCCCAACGUUUUUUAGGCGGUCAGUGCCGACUACCUGCCAACAGUUAAUUAUUUAUUGGAUUAUUAUUUCUGACUACAGUAAGGUCGUCGCGGCACUACUUGCUUAAGUACAUUUUCUUACGUUCCUGUUGUAAAAAACAAUUGGUCAUCAUUUUUUUCAUCCCUUGCACAAAGCAUGAACAGACGAUCCAAUUUCAAAUGGGCUUUACAAGGAUUUUGCAUAAACCGCCACAAAAGUUGUAACGAUCUUACGUAAAUCCUGCAUUCCAAAUGGGGCCUAAACAUUUCAUUUGGGACCUUGGAAUGCAGACUAGAUUGUGUUCCAGUAGCUUGUAUCGUCUUUCAUAAUCACGUUGCCUUUUGUUUUAAAAGCAACAAUUUCAACUAAUAAUGCCAUAAGAUCAAAUUUGUCUACUCCAUCUCAUUUCAAAUAUAAUUCAGUCGAGCUUGUGCACAAGAAUUCAUAAGGUAGGUGGUGAAGUGACACUACUUGCUUAAGUACAUUUUCGGGCAAAAAAGAUUUGGCUACGUUCCUGUUGUAAAAUAAAACAAUUGGUUCACCCUCAGCAUCAGUUCAACAAUGGCCGACUCAUCAAACUCGGACGUCAUCUUCUGUAUAGAACUUGAACUUGAACCCGGACUCAACAGUUAGCAUCCUCGGCUCCGGAUUGAACUUGAACUCGAACCUGUCUGCCUCCUUGUGGAUGCCAUCAAGCCUCUGGUUGACGUCCCUGAUGCUGCUGCCUAUCUCGUGGGCGAACACGGGUUACGCAGGCAGAAGAGCAAUCGCUGGAAGAAAUCCUGCAUCUUUUCUAUGCUCCUGCACGUGAGGGUGAAGAUGGGGUUCCGUAGGCACAUCAACCUGCACUCAUCAGCCUUGAGUUGGCACAGGUCUAGGAUGUCUGUGUGGCAUCGUACAUGGCGUCCUUGAGCUUCCUCACCCAUCUUUGCACACUCUUGUCAGUGACGCGCACCUCCUCUCUGCAUCCGCGAGGAAAGCUUUGAGGCAUCCGGGAUGGCGGCCAUGGCUCCAGAGUACGAUCUAGCUAGUACACAAUACAUGAUCCCUCCGUUUCAGUGGGAUGAGCUCAACCGGAUCUCAAAGGAAUAUACUAUAAGGGUUGGGAUUCAACUCACACUCCUUUGCAACCAGAUAUGGGUUGAAGCGGGUCGAACCCAUCCUAACCCACUUUGACUCCAGAACCAAACACAUGAAAAAAGAUUGCACGAGGAAAAAGAAGGAAAGAGAAAUCGGCGACUCGUAGCAGGGAUGACUGUACGUUGAUUUGGUUGGUUCGGAGCUAAUGUCUUAGAAGAAAUAUCUCUGUAGGAUAAAGGAGAGAAAGUAUUUUUAUUGUGUCACGGCAGGAAUAGAGCAUUCGUCUAACGCGUUUGUCGUUGUCAAGAUUAGCGGAUCAAGACUUAGACUAGUAAAUUUCUUUUAUGCGCGUAAGGCUUCGGAUGGUGGCGUGGGAGACACGGGGUUUAGACUGGUUCGGGCAAGGGAAUGCCCUACGUCCAGUAUCGGGAGCUGCUCGUGUUGCCCACGCGGGGUUCUGUAGUAGGGGUUACAGGAGUGCGAGAGAGGGAGCUGAUCCCAGGUCUCUUGGGUGUACACUGAUGCUCUAGGUGGGUAUGAGUGUGUUUUGUGGCUUGGAGAACCUCCUUUGUCUCAGGCCCCCGGUUCUCCUUUUAUAGCGCAAGGAGGCCACCAAGGUUACAGGCGAGACCGGGUGUAUGGAGAAGUAAAAGAAAUAAACAAAGCUAGGUAAAAUACAACACAAGGGGAGGGACCAAGUCCCCAGGCCACCGGCAUCCUCGCCGGCCUUCGGCUCCUGCCGGCGCGUCUGCCGGAGGAGGGCGGCCGCCGUCACGUCCCGUCGAUGGUCUCCUCGGCGGCUGUCGCCGCCAGGCGUGAUGAUGGUGUUUUGUUGUGGCACCUGUGUCCGUUGGGGCAUUAACGAGUCAAAGUUAAUGCCCUCUCACCGUGUUAUCUUGUCUAAGUUUAAUUACAUAGUCAUGAAAUUGAUUAGAUUUUGUUAACUUAAUUGGCUUGUAAGCGGUAGGCAAGAUGUCUUUGGUGAUUGUGCUCUAGUCUUUUAUGUUGAUAGAUUGAGGUUAAUUCCCUCUCAUUCGUGUUGCCUUGUCUAAGUUCAAUACACUUAUCAAGACAAUUAUUAAGAUCUAUUAAUGUAUCUAGGUUGCGUAUAGUCAGCAUCGGCUGGUCCUUGUUGUUAUGUUCUAAUCUUUUAACUUAGUAGAUUGAUGCCAAUACCCUCUCAUUCUUGUUACCUUGUAUGAGUUCAAUACACUUGUCAAGAUAUUGGCUAGAUCUGUUAGCUUAUCUGAUAAGCAUGUGGUUAACAAGGACUCCCCUUUAUGGUUGUUGCGUUACAAUGCUUUGUCUUAGCGCGUCGGCUGAGAUAGCCGAUGGCACAUGCCAUUAAUGUUUUAUUUAUUUACACUGCAUGCUUACAUUAAAUAUCUAUCUGUCAUAGUGUUUAUUCCAAGAAUGCCUACCCAUGAGUUCGAAAGGCUUCGUCGCCGAUCGGCAAUGUUUACCUUGUCAAUUUUCAGGUCAAAUUGACUGACAGGCCUUGCACCAUUCGCGAGCUGAUUUGGAGCCUGCACUGGAGGUAAGCAGAUCUCCCAGAUCAUCCGUGUUGUUCAACGCAGAAGCCUGAAGUCCGGAUUUUGCAUCAACAGGUAUAGAGAAACAAAAGGAUCUAAGGAAAUAAAACAAAAGAAAAUUAAAGGGUAUUGAGCUACGCAGACAUAGCCAGAAUCAAAGAGGGUUUGGCUCUGAGCAACAGUAAGGAGAAUUCAGACAUAAAUUUUCUUUUACAAGCUUCGAUUAUAGGAUCAAUGUUACUGAAAAUCCGUUCGUUUCUAGUGGACCAUAUGCUCCAUAACAUUAAAAUGAUGACCUCCAUGAAGAACUGGACUUGAAGCUUGUCUUUGAUGAGCUUGAAAAUUUGAAGGAGGGGCCUUGUUGUUAUGACUGACACCCCUAUAGAGGCCCGUCAAGCCUUGGUAAAGUUACAUCUUAAGAACAUAUGGGCAACCAUUUCUAGCUUUUGAAGGAUUCACAAGUCACAAGUAUAAGAGUCUAGGAUCAUGUUUUUUCAUCUAAGAAACUCUCUUGUGCUUAAACGGUCCUUGAGACUAACCAGAAGAAUACCUCGUGUUUCAUUUGGCAUUUUGAACGUUUUGAUGUCCAAUGAUAACGGGAAGCGGCAAGACGGUGAUGUCUUGCAGUGUAGCAUUGUCAUUAGUUGACGGCCAAGAGCAGAAAAAAUUAUGAGAGAAGGAAUGAUAAUGAUUUAGCCAAGGUUGAGUGCCGAUGUGAUAUACAACAAGGGAGAACUAGGAAAUCGAUGUUUGUCAUGCACAUCCAUCCGUAGUAAGCUGAAUGAAGUGGUUGACUAGAGAGAAUGAUGUGCCCAGUAAGUGAUGCAUAUUCCAUGACCACGGUAUAGCUGGCAAAGAUCACAAAGGAGAACUCUAUCUUACUAUUACUAAUUGGAGGCUCCUUUUGAAGCCUCCAGGUGAAGCCACCUAGGAUUACUAGGUGGACACUCUAAAAAAAGAGAGAAAUCCUAGAAAUUCUCACAAAAAAGCAAAACAUCCAACCAUCAAUCUAUAGCUUCAAAUCAUCAUAGCCAUUGGAUCUAUUAUAUUUUCUAAAAAAUUACCCACCUAUGCCAUUAUGAAAAUAGUCUAAAGUAACCCCCUAAAUCUAUAUAUAAAUUACCCACCCCACCUCUGCCAUUAUAGAAAAUAAACUAAAGUAACCCCUAAUCUUAAUCAAAAUUACCCACUUAUGCCAUUGUAAAAAAUAUUUAAAAUAACCCCCUAAUUUGCGACUGAAUUGCCUACCACUAUUACUUAAAAAACUUAAAGUAACCCCUUAAAUUUGCAUCUAUAUUACCCACACAUGCUAUUAUUAAAAAUAACAUGAGGUAAUAACCCUACGUAAUGUACAACAAUAUAUGAUUCUAAAUUAUCUAUAUCUUGCACUAUUGGUAUACAAUAUAAUAAUUAAGAUCUAUACGUAUGAUGUGUGUCACCAUUUAUAAUUAAAGAUAUAAAAUGAUGGGAAUAUAGAUUUCUAUGCUAAAUUAAAGAUAUAAAGUGAUUGCAUAGAGUAAUUAUUAAUUAAAAAUUAAUCAAAACUGAAUAAAGAUAGGUACAUGUAUUAUGUUGAAGUAUUGAAAAAAUAAGAGAGUAGUAGGUAAACAAUUUUGAUCAUUAGCUAAGAGUUUAACUUCUAAAUAAUUUUCAAAUACAAUAGCUUCUAAAAAUAUUAGUCCGUGCGGGAGCACGGGUUGAUGGACUAGUAUGUAAAAUAAUAUGGGAACAUUUAUUUAUGGGGCUACAACCACCGGAUAUUGGUGAUCAAAGUAAAGAAAGGAGAUUGUCACACCCGGUUUUAAGGACAAAACCAAGUGCUACCUAUAUGUAUGCCAGGAUCAAGUUUCAUACAUAUAGUGACAUCAUAAGUGAAUAACAGCAACAGUAUCACGUAAAAAGAUACAAAUAAAGACUUACGAGACCAUCAGAGAUACACAGCUUAAAUACUGAAAACGGAGACUCCAAACUUCACAGGCAAUCGACUGGGGGUUGCGUACGCCUAGAACUCAGCAUCAUCUUCGGAACAUUUCACACACCUUCUUCUUCUGAGCAGCAGUAAGCAAGGGUGAGUACACUUAUGGUUGGUACUCAGCAAGGCCACAAGAAAUAACCAGAAUAACGAUUUGAGUCCAUCUUCAAGUUUAAUUAAUCAUGUGAGGGUCCAGGCCGCUCUUAACCGUGAGCACGGCUGAUCGAUCAGUUUUACACUCUGCAGAGGUGGCACAUCUUUACCCACAAGUCGCGUAAAAGUUCAAGGAACUUUGGACCCAACCAUGCGGUGCUAGCUAGGCACCAUACCACACUUCCGAGGUGUGAUUGCAUAGGGACGCUACGAGGCCUUUACAAAGAUUCGCUAGCAAUGUGGUAACCUGCUAAGGUUUCAGGUCGAAGCAGAACAUAGCAGUCCCCUAGUUGGUAUAGUGUCUUAGCAAAGCCCACUUCCCCCAAGAGCGAGUGCUAUAUCCCAUCAACGCCUCCCCUCUUGCCCUUUCGGUAAGAUCACCCCAGACUAGAGUUUCUAAUUAUUCAGCCAAGACCAGAGCCAUUUAGUCUUGUGGUAGCACUGUUUUCCUGGGUGGUUCUCCAUGUUCCGAUAACAUAAUCAUGAUAUUAUUAACAAAGCAUAGGUAGAAGGAUGGUUAGGGACACUUGCCUUUCUCCAACAGAAAGUUACUCUUACUGCUUUUCAGCUCUUGCUCUCUUGAAGCUCUUACUCUUCAAAACUUCCGAAUAGGGAUCCUUCUACUCAGAGCAAACAUCGGCACAAACAUGCAAGCAACAAACAAGUACAACUAAGAACAAUACACCAAAAUAAAAGGAAAGCUUUAAAAGAGCGUACUAAACGACAAGGCUCGAUCUAAGGUCACGCGAAUGUAAGGAACGCUUAAAACGGAACUAUGGUUGAAAAGAUAAAGCUAUCGAGCAUUUUAAAUUAUAAAAGAAAGAUGAGAGCUACAAGCUUCAUUUAUUUUAGUUGAGAAAAACAAUGUAAAGAUAUUUCACAGAAAUAUCCUUAGUUAGAAUUAAUCAAGUCAUAUUUAUAUUUUCAUAAGAAAAGACGGUGUAAAGCUUAGUCCAAUUUUAUUUAUAAAUAUUUAAGUAUAAUUUAUGCAAUUUAAACAUUUAAUAAAAAAAAUACAUGUAGACAUCUAAGCGUAUAGCUUUACAUUUCGACUUCAACUAAGUAGAUUAAAUUAAAAACAUAUUUAUAUUUAUAUUAGCCAAAUUAAUAUUUAAUUAUGAAAACUCGAGAUAUAACCUAUAUAUAUUUUAUUUAGAAAAAAAAUUAAAUAAACAUUAAUCAAAUUGAAUUUAAUUUAUGAAACACCAAGGUAUAACUCUAAGUGGCUUUUAAUUGAAAGAAUUAUUUGGACAGGCAUUAAUCAAUUUAAUAUAAAAUAUAUUUUCAAAAACAUGUGUGAAGGAAAACUUUACCACUAACGUGUAAUUUACAUCAUUAUGAAUCUAAUGCAACUUGAACGGACAAAAACGGAAUUAAAACGUAGAAUCUAUGGUUUAAACAAGGUUGUAGGGGUCUAAACAUAAUUAACCGUAUACUUGGAGGGUUAGCUGAGAAGAUUACCAAGACUCAGAGAAUAGUCACUGCGAAUAGAUGGAUCUUCGGGGUUAGAUCUGCAAAAGAGGAUGGCUUGGAUCAGAUUGCAAGGAACUGAAAGUUACAGGGGGUUUUCUACAAGGUUUGAAAGACACAAGAAAUAUGAACAAAAAUUAACAGAUUUUCCAGGGGCUAGAUCGAAAAGCAGCGCUUCAUCUUCUUCCUCACGCCAGGAGCAUGGUGCAGCUCCUGGCCGGCGGCCUGCCGGCGUUCUGGUGCGGCGGACGCCCGGGCGGGUGGUGCAGCGCGAUGCGCAGGGCAAGGAGGCGAUGGUGCGCGUGCAGGCAAUGGCACAAGCGAGCCGGAGGUGCUGGGCGAGCAGGAUGAACGGACCAGGCGUGCUGGCCCAAGUUGCGUACAGAAACACAGAAACAGGAGGGAAAGAGAGAAGGAGGGGGUAGCCGGAAACGAAAUCCGAUCUCGCGCAUGAACGGCAAAAUGGAACGAUAUUGAUGAGACGAACAAGAUGGUGUGCUCACCUUCGGCCAGAGACGAACAAUGGCGGCGGAAAAGCUCGCCGGAGUUGGGGAAGACGACGGAGCCGACAUCGGAUUCAUGCAAUUCACCACACCACGGCGUAGAGCUCGAAGAGAGGAACUCCAUGGUGGUGUCGGUUUUCGCCGGAAGUCCACGGUUUCGCCGGAAAAGCUCGCCGGAGUUUGACGAAGACCGAACUUUGACUUCACAUCUACGGAGUUAGGAGAUGCAACUCGUGAAAAGGUUUGCAGAUCUGAAAUCCUCGCGUCGAGACGAACGCGGUGAUAUAUAUAUAGGCCACACUCGGAAAAAGAUAUUUUCGAGUUGACUUUUUAUUUUCGGAAUUUCUGAUUUUAUUUAUCUGCGCGAAAACAAUUCCAGAAAUAGCUGGACUCGUUUUCUAAAGCGAGAAAAAUACCUAGAAAAUUCCGAAAAAUCUGAGAUAAAUCUCAGAGAUGGAUUGGGAUACAAAGAAUCCAAAUAAAAUACUUGGAGCUCGUGAAAAGGAUUCUAAAGCCUUCCAAAAAUUGGAUUUAGCUCUAGGAAAAGGAGAAUAAUUUUCAGAAAAAGAUGGAAAAAAUCCUCACAAGGGUCUGGGCAACGUCUAAACGCAUUUUUCAAACUUUUACACUCAAGAAACACCAAGAUGCAGUGACAUGAAUGCACAGACAUAGAACAACAUUAUUUAAUUUAGAAAAGCAAACAAUUAGUUUCCUAUACUAAAUUUCCUGUAAAGAAAAAUAAAUGUUGGGAAAAUUUUAAAAUGAUGAGAAAAUUAUUGUUUAUUUAUUCUUUUUAUUCACAUCCUGAAAUUUGGAAAUUUCAGGGUGUGACAGAGAUGAUUACUUCUGGUGCUAUACAUUGAAUCACUAACCUUAAUCAUGCAUUGUACCUCAAACUCUCAAGCAAAAAUUUACAUCACCAGCCAAAAUAAAUGUCAUAUUCAUGUUAAAUAUAUAUAUAUAUAUAUAUAUAUAUUAUUGUCAGUACGCACCAAAAAGUGUGUGUGUGUGUGUAAAAGGUACUCCCUUUUCUCUCCUAUCAUGUUCAAAAAAUACAGAAUAUAAUGAUGGAAAAAAGCAUAGACGACACUUUGGUCUGGGCCAUUAGGACAAAAACAAUUACAAGGAUAUGACUAAACAAAACUAUUUGCAUCCAUUUAUUUAUAAAUAAACAUCCAAAAGUAGGUUAAAAAAUAGUACCCACCCUAUUUGUGCGGGCCACAUUGCUAGUUUGACUCACAAGACUGAUCAUUUAUAGCAUGGGGAGAUGGAAAGGGAGAAGAACACAGCGCUUUUAUAUUCCCCAGCAUGCAGCUGGCAAGAUUGUGGAUGAGCAUGACCAUCACGAGCUGGUUAAUAGCCAUGGGAUCGACGACGAACCUGGUUCCUCCAGCCUCAAAAUGGGUUUUACGAUUUCUCCGGACCAUUUGGCAAGCUCGCUCUCCAAGUGUUGCUUGAGGCCGUCAUCAUAGGGACUGCUAAGCCAGACUUCCACCAGACCUUUUAUCUUCUGUAGGCCAGAGAACCGCAGUGCUGACACACACCUGCAGCGAAUCCUCAGCACCUUAAGAUAAAAGUCAUCGUGAAACGUUAUUGUAGCUGGCAACCUGGCGUCAUAAGAGAUCUCGAGGAAGGAUAAGAUGACAGGAUUUUGUCUACCAAAAUGGAGGUCAUGAAACUCUGACAAAAAAAGACGUGUAUUCUCCGGCCAACCAGGACUGUCAACGAGAUCUUGCUGCAACAUAAUCAUCUGUAAACUCAAUUUUGUGAGAUUCUUAAGCUUUUUGGUCCAUACUGGUAACUUGCUUACCAGCCCGUAUAACUUAAGACUCCGUAGGUUCACUAGAUGUUCGAAAGAGAUGCCGUCCAUGGUGCCAGCUUCAUCGUCCUCAUCGACCUGCAUUCUCAAUGACAACGAUUCCAGAUGGGCAAGACCUGAGAUGGCUGAAAAAAGCUUCCAGAUGUUGUCCCGGUUAAUGCCUGACACUCCAAGUUUGUGCAACUGAGUAAGCUUCUUGAGCUCCUCUAGAAUGGCGUCCCCUUUUCCAGUGCCAAUAUCAACGUCACCCAGCGUGUGCAAGUUAGAAAGUUUCCCAAUACCUCUGGGCACCUUCACGCAAUUAUGAGAGCCAUCGUCGAGAUGGUGGUAUCUGCUCAACUUGGACAACAAGCAGGACCCCAGCUGAGUAGCACAUGGCCAGCUCAUUGGCGUUGCGGUUAGUGAUGGGUUCUCUGCUGCUUCUGUAGCUUGAUGAUGCUUGGUGGUACCAGCACGAAUGUACUGCAGUUUCUCCAGCUUGAUGAUGCUCUCUGGUAGCUUCAUCACAGAUGUUUCCCUGAUAUCCAGAGUUUGGAGGUGCUUCAGAUCGCCCAGGGAAUCUGGCAGAUGAGUGAUUUCUCGGCACCUUCUCAGGGAAAGGAACUUCAAGCAGGGCAGCAGCUUCACCAUCUGCUCGACGUCACCAUUUGUUACACCUGAAGACACGUCCUCCAGAUCAAGCACACGGAGCAGCCUCAUCUUUUCAGAGAUGAAGAACGAUUUCCACUCACCAAACACUGUCAAAGAUCGCAGCCGGGAAAAGUCAAUGCUCUUAAACACAUUUCUGUCUCUGUCCCAGCUUCGAUCUAUGGCAAGGUGACGUCCCGUGCGAUGGAAGUUCUUUUCGCAAUGGCCCUCUAGUGCAAAGACAAGAUUAUCUUCCAUCGACUGUGAUAUGAUGUAUUCACGGAAGAAACCAUUAACUUGGCACAAUGGCAUCCUCUUGGAUUGCUGAACUGAUGCUGCUGUUGUUUCUGUUGUUCGUGGCACCUGGACCAUGCUUAGACUGACGAGCUUGGAAAAGGAUAUCUCCCCGUUUUUCUCUGCGGUGUUUUCUUUACUGUCUCUAGAGUAUCCCUCCGCGAUCCACCGUCUCACCAAACGCCUCCGCCGGAUCGUGUGGUUCAGAGGGAAGAUUGACAGGUAGAAUAUACAUGGCUUGAGGAUAUCUGGGCAGGAACGGAAGUAGGAAAGCAACCAGGCAAACAGAUCUUCUAGGCUUGGUUUGUCCUUCAACGCAGACACAAGGUUAUCUUUUCUGAGAAAAUCCCAAAAGAAAUUGCGUCGCGAUCAUCACCAGCUAUAGCGCAUAUAACUUUGGGAAGUCCACCACACUUGUGCAAGAUUUGCAUUUUGUCCUCGGUCCCUUGUCUCUGAAGGUUAUAUCUCUGAGAAACAUAUUGUCCAAAUGAUAUAUAUAUAUAUAUAUAUAUAUAUGAAUAAAUUUAUUUAUUACCAAAAAAAGAUAACCAUAACGAUGGCAUAAAAAAGAGUGUAAAAUUUCUCUUAAAAAAAAACCAAAAACAUCCCGCCCUGAGAUAUUAUGCAGCUACCAUGCAAAUUUGGCAUGUAUAGAUUACUGCAUACUACAAGGUCAGUCUUGAAUUGGAUUUUGAAAAUAGACUAUUUGCUGGAUUAGGUACAUUUGUUAGUUACACCUUCCAAUAAAAAUGGACUAUUAAUUUGACGCAAUACAUUUAUGAGACAAACCUUUUUCAAGAUAAAUGCUAAAGUUAACUGUUGAAUCUAGCCGUGCCCUACAAAUGCACGGGCCACCCCACUUGUUAUUUCUAAAUGAUAUAAGUUUGAUGCUGACAUUGUGCGUUUUUGUUGAUGUCUAAGCACAUGGACAACAUUGUAAGUAAUAUGAUUUAAUUAGGAUAAAUAAGCUGUGAUGUGGUCUAAGACGAAGAGGGAACAUAUGUUGUUAUGACAAGUAUCAAGUCGUUCUCCAGAGUCCAAAAAGUAAAAUAUGACCUUCAUUCCUACCUUGAUCCCAAAUAUCAGCCUAUUUCAAUUAUGUAUAAGAAUUUAGGUGGUCUACCCAUCACUUAUUGUUGCAAACAGUAAGGUAGUUGGAAUGUCUAUUUCAUUCAAUAAGCACAACUAUAUAGGGGCAAAAUAGGAAAGGGUGGGGUCAAAUAGAGCUGCCACGAUGUUUGCUGCUGGACAUGUAAAUAUGGCAUAUAUAAGAUGCCAUGCAAGAACGUUUAGUCUACAUGACAGUGACUAAACGAAGAGAGAGAGCAAAACUAUCUCUUCACCAAGAAAUGGAUUUGGCACAUGAUAUGAUGACCAGCACAAUUGACAAUGUUAUAUAAACAAUGCUCUACCAUUGUAUAUCUCGUCUAUGUGUCAUCAUUAAUUAGUAUAUAAUUGUUGAGAAACGAUGACAUAAUAAAAAAAUCUCAUUAUAUGAGCUAUUUAUAUUACUGUCUUUAUGUGACAUGACAAAAACUUUUAGAUGGUUGUUGUCUAACGGUUGUACAUGCCCUAAUUGUUGAGGUAAUAGAUAUGCUAGAUGGACUUCUAUUGGGGAUAAUAUAGUUCUCCAUUUUUAUUAAAGAUUUUCUUGGUUUAGAAAGUGCUUGCAUGAAGCUAACUAAACAAGGAAUUUUGUGCAUAAGAUGUUAAAUCUAAUUCAAAGAUGGAACUCAUUGGUAUACUGAAGGAAUUAUUAGAAUUGCGGAAUGCUUAUUGCGAGUAAACGGACCUCUGCGAUGAGUUCAAAGGCGCUGUCAACUCCGAGACCUUUGACAUUCCACACAUUCUUGCUGUUUGUUGCGCAGUAUUGUGCGACACAUUCUUCAUUGGUAAUGACAAAUAUAUCCAAGCCGAAUUUUUUGGUUCCUAGUUUCAAGGCAGCUUCUAUCAUGUCCCAUUCUUCUGUAGAUUGCAGACCGUCGAUAACAAUUGUGCAUCCAAAUUGUUCAUGUAGAUAUUCACGGCACUCUUGAAUUAGGUCUUUCAUCGUUGACAUCUGGCGGUCAUGGAGAUAUCCAGGAUUCAAAUCCAAAAGUAAGCGCCAUGACAAGUCCAUCAAAUCGAAUGGAUGGGAUACAUUCACCCAACCGAACUUGAUAUAAGGAUCUUCAAUCCGCAUCUCGUAGCAGAGAUGUUUGACAAGAAAUGAUUUGCCAACACCAGACAUCCCCCACACAGAGGACACAGGCCCAGUACGACGAGACCUGCGCAUAGAGAAACAAAGUAAAUCCGCCUCUUGGCCAACAAGUGGAUGUUUGUCCAGCCAUUCACGAGCAGUUUCCCGCAAGUCCGCCACGGUUUGCUCAACUUUUCCGGGCGCAUCCUGCAAAGAAUUGGAAAGAGCAUUGUCAAUUGGGUUUAUUUAUUGUGUCAAAAUUACAUCCUUGUAGAAGACAACAUACAUGCUCCGAGUGAAGUAAAAUGCAUCCAACAAAGACAAACAUACACGCGUGCAGUAUUAUGCUUUAUUUGUAGCAUCCAUGCAGCAAAAGGUUAAGAAGCAUGAAUCAGUUUUAUAUCACCUGGGCAAAAUGAUCUGAGUAUUCAAUAACACACUUUGACUAUCAAUAUAUAUCAUAUAUUAUAAUACUCAUGACCAUAAAAUUGGCAUCAUAUGAAAGUGCUUUCAAAUUGGAAUGAUAUGAUAAAAGUUUGUACGGUAUAAAAUUUACAAAUCCUUGAUAAUCCAUUGAUACCAUGUUGUAUAGUUAGAAAAUUUGAAUGUUGGAUCUUCGAAACACCCAGUGUUCGAUAGGCACAUCCUUCUAGAUAAACCAUUCUUUACUUUAGAGGUCAAAUCAAAAUGUUGGAUAAUUCUGCGAUCCACAAAUUAAUCACCUAUGUACAACCAUGCCAUAUACUACACGAUGCUAACCGCAAUUUGUGGUUGCCUGAACACUUGCGUCUCAGUCCCACAGACCAUCCGUUGCUUCCACAGUUUAACCUAGAGUAAUCACCGCCAUCCGCAGCUUGUUCAGUACCCCUUUCAUAGUUUUUUCUUUUGCGGAAUUCAUAGUUCUUCCUCGUGAUCCUAUAAUUUAACUGUUUUGAAUUUCUCAACCCCUAUGCAUCAACUAUUUACAAACGCAAAAUGAUGAAAAAUAAUAAUGGCAUAAUUGGCAUGUAAACUAAGUUUUGUAGAAUUACAUUAUGAAGCACAAGUCAGGAAUGUGAUAACAGUCAAAUACGUGCAUUGCAGACCACGUUGAUGCAAAAAUGUAAUGGAAGUAGAAGAGCGAGUAUAUCAUUUUAUUGGAAAUAAUUGAGCAUACCUCCUCGACAAGGGCAUAGACAGAGUGAUGAGCCGAGAUUUUUUCAAGCUCCAAUAGUCGGUGUGGAUGCCUGACACAAAGGCUUGCAACUUCAAACUGAUGCGUGCUGACGAUGAUGCAGCUGCCGUUCUUGUUGUCUGGCAGGUAAGCCCUUACCGCCUCCCAGUCAUCCAUGGUGGUCACGUCUUCAAGGACAACAAGGUAAUUUUGACGGCACAUUUGCUUCAUGAAUUCGUUGAUCAGAACGCCUUCUGUGGCCACCGUCAUCUUCACAACAAAAUCUACGGUAGCGCUUUCUUGUGGACUAUAGCUUCUGCAAAAUUGGGCCACCAAGCGCCUGAUAAAUUCCCGGGCAUUGAAAGGAUGCAUCAGCUUCACCCAGGCGCGGCAUCUGAAGUUGGUGCAGAUUUGUGUGUCUUCAUAGGCCUUCUUGAUGACGGACGCCAUCCCAACUGUUCCUAACAACGAGAUCACUUGAAGGGCAUGGUCACCUUUCCCGCUGAUCAACUUGACGAGUGCCACAGGUGGCCAGAUGGGCUCCCUGGCGGCUUCCCUCGCUGUGGCGGAACGAGGGAGGAUGUUUGAUGCUGUUGCGCUGGCCGCACCCUGCUGAUGCGUCUGCUCGGCAGGCUUGGAGCCAGGGUUACCGGUGUGGUUGUAGCGCAGGUUCCGCUGACCCAUGGCCUCGACCCUAGCCUUGAGUAGCUCUAUACCAGCGACAGCGUUGUCCAAGGCCACGGCCGGCGCCGCCGCUGGUACCCAGGAGGGGAGCAUGCGGCGCCACCAGCUCGAUUUGUUGUCCAGGUAGAGAAUGGAGUCAAUGCAGUCCUCCACGUCCAGGGCCAUGUCGCGGACCUGCCUCACGCAAGUCGUCGUCAUAUCGUCCGCGACACGAUCCUUGGCAACGUUGAGGAAGGAAUGCAUCAUCUCGAACUCGUCCGAGACAAGCAUAAGGUCACGCUGAACGCUCUUCUGCAGCUGCUUCUCCUCCUCAAUAGCGGACUUGGCAAUAUUCACCGUCUCCUUGACCGCCGACUUCGCCAAACCCAGCACAAGGUCCGCCAUUGCACUCCCGUUCACUCUUCGAUCUGUGUGAGGGGAGGUGGGUGGGUGGGUGGGUGGUGUACAAGAUAGAACCUGGUGACGAUGCUUGCAAAUAUAUAUUAUGCUUCAAAAUCAUGCAUGACAUCGGCUGCAAGACAGAAAAUUUGCACAUUAUAAAACAAGAGUGUCGCAGUAAAAGAAGCCAGUUAGAUUCCCUAAUUAAAUUAACAGUGGGCUUUCCCUUAUGGUCUUAUUUUUAGGGCUAAAAGUUGCUUAUUUGGAGGAACUAACCUCAAUCCUACCUGUUUGGUUCCAUGAGCAAAACAACAUUUAAUAAGGUGAAGAAUGAUUUGUUUACCUCUAAUCAUUGCGACGCGUGGGGGGAGAGAGAGGAAUCAGAUAGGCAUUGAAUGAGAGCAAUGGGUGUCCAGUGCACCUUUUAGUCCAAAUAAGCAACCCAAAAUUACCUUAUGGACUAAACUUUAAAAGCUAAACUUUAACUUAAAUAAGCAAGGAUGUUCGGCUCUUUAUUUGGUACUAUAAAAGGGACUAAAAUUUAAUCUCUAAAGUUUAGCAAGGGUACAGCCCCUUAAUCUUCGCCGGCCAAGCACUUAAAUUAAGCUAGGUCAGACAGCUGAUGCAUCGAACGCAGCAGCAGUGAAAAACAAAUAAAGGCCAGUGUGCUCUGUAAGAAAUAUAAACCAAUAAAAUACAUCUUGGCAGAAUGGGGUCAAGUGGGUCUAUAGUCUAUUCUUGUGGCAGUAAGCUGAUCCUUUAUAAUACCGCUGGAUCGGAUCUCGAUCUCCUUGAUUAGCGCUCCACUAGCCCACUAAUGCUUGUCUCGUACUCCAACCACCGAUACCCAGCCCAAAAACUAUGCAUCGGGGAUUCACUUAACUUUUUAUUAUUUCGAGGUCUAAUUAAUAACACUGUUUGGAUUACGUAUGGGUUGCCUGCUGCUGGUAAAUACAUCUAUUUAUCUUUCAGCAAAAGCAUGCCUGCUGGGAAAUAUUAGUUCUGAAAUCUGAGCGCAUACCAGCUGUCAGUUAACAUAUUGUCUGUCAGCAAAUCCCUGCCAGAGCUUACGAUAAGUGGUCCGUCAGCAGACGUCAUCCCCCAACGGAUAAAGUACCCCAUAUUGCCUUCUUCAAGUUUCAUGAUGAAUGCAAUUCUCACACCUUGAAAUUUUUGGAUCUCACGAGGUGAUUAGGAGGAAUAAUUAAACAAUCAUUUUCUCGUAAUUUUAAAAUUUUUCAACAUUUGUUUCUUGACAGAAAAUUUAGUGUAGGAAUAUAAUUGGUUGUGUUUCCUAAACUAAAUGAGGUUGUUCUAUGUGUGUGCAUUCAUGCCCAUGCAUCUUGGUGUUUAUUGAGUGCAAAGGUUUUAAAAUGCCUCUAGACGACGACAAGGUUCUUCUGAGAAUUUACCAGUUUUUUCUGGAAAUUAUUCUCAUUUUCCUAGAGCUAAAUUCUUUUCACGAGCUUCAGUUAUUUUAUUUAGACUCCUCGUGUCCCAAACUAUCUCUAGGAAUUUUUCUGGAAUUUUUAGGAUUUUCAGAGUAUUUUUUGUGGGUUUUAUUGAAUUAUCUGGAUUUUCCUUUAUACGGGAAAUUACUUCUGAAAAGAAAAAGAAAAGAAAACCUCAACCUACCCUUUUGGGUUAAGCCCGCACCCACAAGCUCUACCAUGGCCCAACUCUCCUUCCCACCCUCGGGCCUCAUUGGCUCAGCCCAGUCCAGGCCCGACCAGCCCAGCCAGGCCCAACCGGGACCAUCUGCUCUACAGCUCUCUCCCAAGCUGCACAGGCAAGCAACGCCACCACCAAACCUUUUUGGUGUGUGUGCCACGCCAGGCGCAACCACCGGCGCCCUAUCAAUAGCGAAGCCCGACCCCCGCACGCCACUGCCAUCCUCGCAAGCCACCCUGCCUCGCCUGUGCUGCACCGCCGCCUUGCAAGCCCGCCAGCCGAGUCGGGCACCGCCACCGACUUUCCACUCGAUUCACCAGCUCCGCUGCCCGCCGGACGAAGCCGGCCCCUUCUAGAGCUUCGGGACGUCGUACAACGGUAGAAGCACCAUCGGUGUAGCCUGGGAGGAUGAGCCACAGCGACGGCUGCGUUCUCUCACCGUAUUAACUCACGUACACGUAAGAUGAACUAGCUUUGCUGGCGGUAUACAGACGCCCUCGCAACCACCGUGUACGUGCCCUAAUCUGUCCUGAAAAUUCUAGAAUGCCUUAUAUUAGGAUAGAGGGACAGAGGUGGUACUCUUCAAAUAUCUAGCCCAAAAACCAUGUCAAGAACUUACAACAUGCCUAUAAAUACCCGACUCAAUUCAUUGCAUGCUGCGACACUCCUACCUUUUGCCUUUUUCUUAACAAAUCCUUGCAAUGUAAAUAUAAAUCAUAAGCAAAUCAAAUCAAUCGAAAUUUUUUAUAUAUCGUUUCUUUGUAAAUAGCCACACCAAGAACAAUGUCUUGUAGUCUGAACAGACGAAAAUGGUGGAUGCCUUGGCUUGCUCAGGUGGCUUCUCAAACUUGUAGUCUUAAUUGAUGAAAAUGGUAAUUGCUUUGACUUGCUCGGGUGUUUUUUUGAGCCCUGGCAACCUGCCAAUUGCCUCACCAAACAAGUUGAUAGCUAGAGUUGCCCAAGCUCAAAAAGAUUAUUGUUCUUUUCUCCUUCAAUAAUGAUUUUGCUCCCAUGUUUUGUGAAGCGCUUUCCACGAUUGUUUUCACAACAUGUUCCAUACUUAUAGCUCAAUGCAAUGCAAAAGCAUCCACAUAUUCCAAUAUUAAUUCACUGGUAUGUGGAAUAUCCAACACCUUCUUGGAUUCUAAAAAUUUUGUGCCCAAGUAUCAAUAUCAGGUGCAACAUUUUCGUGUCAGUUUACCUGUCCGCAUUGCUUCACAUAUCCGUACCUUGUCAAGAAAGGUCUAUUUUCCUGACAGAGAUUUCAUUACCGUCAGUGCAAUGUGACCUUCCACAAUAGCCUGUUGCCGCUUGGUGUCCAUUGUGCUGCCACGGACGGAGUGAUCCCUUUUACAGUUUCUUUCUUUUGUUUUCUGUGGAGGACUUGAGAAGAGUCCGGUUUUCUAGAGAAUACUUUGUGCAAAUGAACAGAAGUAAUGUUCCUCCCUUCUAUACGAAGUUCACGUUAGGUGAGUACUCGAUCAUGUUAUUAAUUUAAUACUAGAUACUCCUCGCUCCAUAUGGUUGCGUGAGUCCGCGAAACUUGCUGACAUUGGCUUCUAGAGCGAGGAAAUAUGUUAACAGGAAUGAGAAUAUAUAACAAGCAGCUCGUACAACUAAGUGCGCGCCUUAUCACCUAAUCACCUAGCCAAGCAUCUAAUCACGUGGGGUACCUUUUUUUAUUUGUCUCCUCUUUGAGUAUCCUAUGCUUGACUUGAACCUAGUCUUGCGUAACCAAUCCAUCUUCUCCCGGGUUACUUUACAAGUUUUGAACUGAAUCAACAUAAGGGGCCUCUCAUAUCAGAACCUCGCUUUGCUCCCUUUCGUUGUGUUCUCCCAGCUAGGAUCCCUCAACUGUUUUUCUCGGCCCCGAGGUUAGUACCUUUAAUCAAGAAGCUGGUGUUUUUUCUGUUCCACAAACAGUUAAACAUAUCUAUGUAUAUUUUGUAAUUAUGUCUAGUUGUAAUACAACUGUUUUGUUUGGAUAAAAGAUCUAGUUGUAACGAUAUGAGUUGUAGCAGCUUAAAUCUAUAUCUAAAAUCAUCAGAAAUGGACACUGGUUCGAGCACGCCAAGCCUGCUGAGUACAGUGCCGAAGGAUCUAUCAGCAGCAUUCCUGCGUGAUAUUACGGAUGGUUUUUCCACUGACAGAGAAAUAGGACAAGGGGCGUUUGGAACAGUUUAUAAGGUAUGUUUACGACCUUUUCUGCGUUUUUCAGAAACUGGUAGGCAUGCCAAUAUAUAGUAUAUGGACGGUUAAACAGGGAAUCCUCCCAGAAGGGGAUUGUAUUGCUGUGAAGAAGCUUGUGGAUGAGGACAUAUAUGACAAACAAUUUCAAAAUGAGAUUACGCAUCUUAUGAAUGUCUGUCAUGAAAAUAUUGUGAGGAUAGUUGGCUUCUGCCAAGAACGUGAAAAGAAAGUUGUGGAGCAUAAUCGAAGAUAUAUUAUUGUAGACUCAGUUGAAAGAUUUAUCUGCUAUGAGUAUUUACCAAAUGGGAGCAUUGAUAAGUGUAUAUUUGGUACGGUAAUUUUUUAUCUUUUCUUUCUUUCUUCACUCAUACUUUUUAAUUUGGAGUGUGGAUAUCAAUUGUUAUAUAUUACUUCAGUUUCCUGCACUAAAAUAUUAUUCUCUCCAUCCCAAAUUACUAUUGCUUUUGUUUUUUCUAGAUAUAUAGUUUUUAUAUGCACCUAGAUAUAUAUUAUCUCUAGGUACAUAGAAAAUGUUAUGUAUCUAGAAAAGUCAAAAUGAAUAGUAAUUUGGGACGGAGGGAGUAUGAUGGAACUGAUUAUGGUUCAGGCUAUGAACAUACGCUUUCUAGUCACUAUGUUAUGAAAAUUGAUGUUUUGGAGGUCCUUAUACCAGAUUACUCAUAGAGGAUCUAUCCUUUUUUCUUUCUUCAGAUGAUACACUUAAUUGGGCUACACGCUUCAAAAUUAUUAAGGGGAUCUGCCAAGGUUUACAUUUCCUACAUGAGGGAAUGGAAACACCUACAAUUCAUAUGUCUCUUCAGCCUGCCAAUGUAUUGUUGGAUGAUAGAAAGGUGCCUAAAAUUACAGAUUUUGGUUCGUCGAGAGUCUUUGGUCGUGCUGAUAAAUCAAUGAUGAUCACACAAAACCCUGUGGGAGUAAUGUAAGUUUAAUUCAGAUAGUGCAAUAAGAGUACUUUCCCAUCAAGUAACAAUGCUUACGAAACUCUUGUUGGUAAUGUCAUUCAGUGGAUACAUGGCUCCAGAAUAUCUUUAUAGAGGUGAAAUCUCAACCCAAGCAGACAUAUAUAGCCUAGGCUUAAUGAUAAUCGAGAUCACAACUAGGAAGAAGAAUUAUUCAGACGAUCGAGACAAGUCUGCCCAGAGAUUUAUUGAUGAAGUAAGGCAGUGUUGAUGAUUAGUUGAUUACAAAAUAAUUUUCAUAGAAGCAUGUGUUACAUUUAUUUCGUGUAUCCGUUUUUACAAAAGAUAUAUUUUUAUUUUUAUUUCGUGGUUUAUUAGUGAGUAUUAUGAGUUGAGUUAUGUAGGUGCGCCAGACAUGGACGGAUGAUGUGUACAUUUUAUCCAAAUACUCCCAAUUGGAUGCAGGCUUACUGCAAGAAGUAAAGGCAUGCAUUCAAACUGGGCUUAAGUGUGUGGAUAUUGAUCGCAAGAGAAGACCUUCCAUAUCUGAAAUUGUUAGACUGCUCAAUGCUGCAUGGUAAACGGUGGACGAGGUAUGACUAGGAAUAGCAUACAUUCCCUCUGGUCUUUGCACAUACUUACCAAAUUUUACUUUGCACAUAUAUAUUUAAAGUCCUUAAUAUUUAUGGGAUUUUGCAAGUGUUGCUCAAUACAAUUCCACAAAUACAACUUGCAUGCUUUCAAACUUAAUAAUGUAAAAGUUAUUGAUGUUUUUAAUUUUUAAUCUUUGACAAAACCUUGUCCUAAACAACAUGUUUUUUAUGACUGGAGUUACGGGGUGUUUGGAUACGAGGUGUUAAACUUUAACAGUGUCACAUCGGAUGUUCGGAUACUAAUUAAGAGAACUAAACAUGAGCUAAUUAUAAAACUAAUUGCAGAACCCUGUGCUAAUUCGCGAGACGAAUCUAUUAAGCCUAAUUAAUCCAUCAUUAGCAAAUGGUUACUGUAGCACCACAUUAUCAAAUCAUGGACUAAUUAGGCUUAAUAGAUUCAUCUCGCGAAUUACACUCUAUCUGUGCAAUUAGUUUUGUAAUUAGCCUAUAUUUAAUACUCCUAAUUAGCAUCUAAACAUCCGAUGUGACGGGUGUUAAACUUUAACACCUGGUUCCAAAUAGGCCCUUAGUAUAUGAUCACUAAUAGUUUUCUUAGUUUUUUGAGAGGAGAGGAGUUUUCAUAGUUUUACAUGCAACAACUACAUAUGAUCACUAUUAGUGGAAUCUUGUACUUCUAUAUAUGGCAAACUGAUCAGGUGAUCUUAACAUGCUAUCUCAAACUACAGGUCUACAUAUAUACCGUGUUCGCAUCAUGAAUAAAAGUUGUCAUUGUGGAGAAGACAUGGCCAAGAUGAAAUAAAGCAUGCUCUAUUAUUUCUAGAAGACCUGAACUUUUCUAUCACAACUAAGAUUCCUUUGAUGUAAUUUCAUUGUGGAAGCUACAUUUACUCCUCUUUUGGAGAUUGACACUCCAAAAGUGAUUUUCGAAGACACCCCAUUUACGGCACAGGUGGUCCACAAGGGAAUACGCUAGGGUCCUCAGUCAUGGAAAGCCUAUAGAAAUGAGUUUCCAGAGAAUGUUGGUUCAGCCGAUCAUGUCUGAAAAAGGUUGCUGACUUAAGUGACUGCGUUAGGAAAUCCCCAUUACUAGACGUAGACACUUAAGCUGAUGGACUAGAAAUUGAUUUCAAGAGAUGGUUCCUCAAUUUGGGCUGCCUCUAGAAACUGUUUUCCACAAGAGGCAAAAGAAAAGGUCAUCCCAUUUCCGUUAUCAAUAGGUUUGUGGUGGGAUGGCAAGGGGGGAUGUUGUUGUGGGUUUAAAGGUUGACACCCCCCCCCACACACACACACACAUUUCACGCAAAAAAUUGCAUGUGUGGUGCAGCUCAAUGGUUUUUACAAAUCUUUUUGUAGUUUUUCCAUGCCCAAUGUUAUCGUAGACAGACCGACAUAACCAAUGUCAUGUGGAAAUGCAUUUUUAGAGGUAAUUAAUUCCAGAGGUAGUGAACUUAGGGAACUUCCUCUAAAAAUGUCUUUUCUUAAUACGAUUGAUUGUCCACCUAUGAAAAUGCACCAUUUCCAUAUGCGAUGUCACACCUGGUUUUAAAAAUAAAUCAAAUGUACACCAUAUGUGUGCCAGGAUCAAGUUUCAAACAUACAACAAGCCAAUAGUGAAUAACAGAUACAGUAUCAUGUACUAACGAGUUCAACUAAUACAAAGUGACAUAAAUCUCUAAACAAAAUAAACAUACAAACGUCUCCUAGCAGCGGAUUACCAUUCUCCAUAGGCAUUCAACUGGGGGAACAUACGCCUAGCACUUAUGGAAAUCUUCUAAUACUAACAUCCUCUUGUUCUGAGCAGCAUUCAUUGUGUGGUACAAAUAUAUGUAGGAAAUAGCAAGUGUGAGUACAUGCCGUACUCCCACUACUACAGAAGAGGCCAUCACCGCUGGGCUAUCACCACCAGUUAUAGAUGAAUCAUUUGUGAUGCCUUUUCACUGUCGGUUUUGGAGCAAAUGGGGGCAGCAGCCUUUACAACCGGCGGUGGUGCUCGUUUUCAUUGCCGGUUCCUUAUUGAGCCGCUAGUUUCAAGCAAGAGCCAGCAGCGAUACUCGAUGCGAACCUGAAAUUUUUCUUCAACCCAAUUUAGAAAACGACUUUGCGUCCACUUGCCUCCCUCUCCCCACUCCUCCCCUCCCCCACCCUCUCUCCACCCCCUCCCUCUCUCCCUCUCACCCCAGCCCUCUAUCCCACUCUCCGCGGGCCCCCUCCCUCCCUUCCUCUCCCGCCGGCCCUCCCCUUCUCUCCCUCUCCGUUCGCCGCCCCUCCGCUUGCUUCCGCACCCCCCCCUUUCCCCCUCCACUCGCUACCCCCUCGGCCUGGCAUAGAGGAGCGCUGGCAGCGUGCAGGGAUCCGCAGCGGCAUGGCAGGAUCCGCGGCUGGCAGUAGGGAUCCACAAUGCAGCGAGGCUCCAGUGACAUCAAGAUGUGCGGGGUAAGCAGCGGCAGUGACAAGGCCGGGUCAACGGUGGCGGCUGCAGCGUGAGUAGCAGCAGCGAUGCUACCUAGGGGCCCACGGUGGGCGCGGUGCGAUGGCGGUGGGGACGCCAGGUAUAUUUCUUCUUUUUUUUGUGAUGUGCAUCACCGUCAGUUCCUGGUUUAGCGGUGAUAGGGACUCCUAUCACCGCCGACCUAAUAAUGUCCUCACUCAAAAUGAGGGUUGCCUAUAUCAUAUUGAGAUAUGAGAUACAUCCCCCUAAUGCUGUUCUAUGGACAUUCUUGAGGCACUGACUCUGGAGCCAAAAAAAAGGUUUAGUCAACGAGCACAAAAGUUUCAUACUAGAACCACUAGACCUAUGCUAGUCAAUUCACUGUGCUAAGGGCACAUGCAAGAGCUACAACCACCCUAUGCCCAUUGAUCACAAUUAAUUUGAAAGGAUGUUUAUGGAUGCUUUUGUUUACCAUAAGUGUAAUAAAUCUUGUAGUCAUUUUCGGCACAAGUCUUGCAGCUAGCCAAUAUAAUCCAAGUUUUUGGUACCCUAUAAUCCAAGAUAAGAUAUAAUCUCCUACUGUUUUCAAAUCUCAGAAUCUUUUGCAGUAAUCUCCUACUGUUUUCAAAAAGUGGUAUGUCAAUCGUAACAGGAUUAGACAGAGGGAAGUACCGAAUGGUUGCUUGCAGAUGAGGUGAUUCUAACUUUAGACUUUGCAUGUAGACGGCGUGGAGGAUAUGAAUAGUUGCAUGCAGAUGAGAUGGUGCUGACAUUAGCCUUUGCAUGUAGAUGGCGUGGACGAUUUGAGGUAAAUGACACAAGAACACACACCAUAUAUAUAGUGGCAUUGUUGGACCUUGUUUAGUUACCCCAAAAUCCCAACUUUGGCACUAUGCAAAAAUAAGAUUCCCCAUCACAUCAAACUUGCGGUACAUGCAUGGAGUACUAAAUGUAGACGAAAUAAAAAACUAAUUGCACAGUUUUGUUGUACUUUGCGAGACGAAUCUUUUGAGCCUAAUUAGUCAAUAUUUGGACAAUAAUUCAUAAAUACAAACGAAACACUACAGUAUGCUACAGUGCUGGCACAGUGAUUUUGGUUGUCCAAAAUUGGGCAACUAAACAGGGCCUCGUUCUCUUCUCAUUAAUUGUUAAUAGAAGUUACUACAUGUACCUAGAACUCCUAAACUAGGUGUCCUAUCAUAUGAUUUGCAAUUAAUUCCAUUAAGCUUGAAGCAGGUGGAAAGGGCACUUGCAUCGAUAGGAGGCGCACGUGCACAGAGAGUCUGUUAUGUCUUUUAUCUUUUAAUGAAACUAGGUGGCGUUGGGGCUGCUGGCCUUUCCUCGCUGUUUAGCAUCCUGAGAACAUCCGGCAUGGUUGGCCGCUCCCUUGGAUUGUCUUGGGUGCACAACAGUCCGAUAUGUAUUCUUCUUUCCACUUCCUGUAGCUGUGACUCUCCACAAGAUGCAGAGUCAAAUAAAUCCUUCAGACUCUGAGCUUCCCGUACCUCCCAAGCCUGUGAAAAAGGUGUCAGUGUGUAUAACAAGGCAACAAGUAAAACCCAUUGUGUAACUGAAGUUCUUCAUGUGGUCAGCUAAGUUGCCAUUUUCUUCAGAUCCGUCUAACCAAUUUUGAUUAACGUGUUGGAUCAUUAACACACUAUUGCUUCUUGACUGCAUCAUUUUGGUCGAGAUUGGUCACUGACUAGUCCUAAGAUGAACAUCCACAAAUUCAAACAAUGAUGACCUAUAUGCUACGUUAUUGAGACUGCUAUUUCUUUGAUAAUCUUAUACUUGUCUGUAUUGAAAGAUCAUGUUGAUGUUUGGUGUAGUAAAAUUUGGAAAGGUAAGAGAACUUUUGAGAUUAUACGAGGCUACUACCCAAAGUAUGAGGUGGCACCCAAAUAGAACGACAUAUCCUUAAAAGGAACAACAUGACAUGAAGAGAUGAGCAAUUAUAAACCAAUCCAGUUUUUUAUGCUCAGAAAUUAUUGCUAGCGCUGACAGCGAGCAAGAUGCAGAAUUACCAAAUAAAGUAUGACCUACAAAAGGAUUCCUCUUUUUUUUGUGUCACAGCUGAUUACACUUUUUUCCCUUGUUGAAAAAAGUGGACAGUUUAAGGCCAAUAUCUCCACCGAAGUAUGGAUAUCAGAAUAGAUCGAAUAAUGAUGAAUGCAAAAAAGAGAAAACCUUUAUCUGAACAAGUUCCUUGUGAAGAUACCCAACCAAUGCCUGCCUAUAAAUGUUUUACGUACCCACUCAAUUGAAUGUUGGAGAAGUCCAGACCUGCUCAUUCCUCUAAUGGUAGAUAAGACUAAGAGGCCAAAACUGUAGACAUCAUUCUUGGCUGAGAUGACACCUUGAGCAAUAUAUUCUGGAGCCAUAUAUCCCCUAAAUGGUGAAAAAAUAAAUAAAUGGGUCAGCAGAAGGGGGGAAGCGACAAGAAGCUUGAUCGUGCAUGUCAUGGCAACAAAAAUACAGUAUAUAUGGAAAGUCGUCCUACAGGGUGCCUGCUAACUCUUCCGUGACUUCUUGAGUCACCUCUUGAUCAAAUAUUUUGCACAUUUCAAAAUCACAGAUUUUAGGGUUCAUAUUAGAGUCAAACAGGAUGUUUUCUGGCUUCAAAUCCAUAUGGAUAAUGUUUUUCCAGUGCAGAUGAGCUAUGCCUUGUGCCAUCCCUUGAAUUAUUUGGAAUAUGAUAGACCAAUCCAUCUGCGGACACUGUCCUGGAAAAUUAAAAAAUCAAACAUCCUAUAGAGUUAACAUUGUUAAGCUAAAUUUUGCUCCAAAUGAUAACUGGAGUCAUUCUUUAAGUGGAAACAUGCCUUCGAUAAUGUCGGACAAGUUUCCAUUCGGGGUGUACUCUUCGACCACUAUCAUACUAGUUAUUUCAGCCUCCACAUAGCGGCCCUUGUAUAGCAUCUUCUCGUAUGUGGUUUCCUGGCAAUAUCCGAGAAAGCAAACUAUAUUUUGGUGCUGACCCAGCAAUGCAAAGACAUUCACAUAAUGAUCUACAUCUCUUCGUAAGUGCCGAGCUGCACAAAAUCUCUUUAUGGCAACCAAUACGUCAGAUAUUACACCCUGGAUCAUAGGCAGCAAUUUUAAUCACGAAUGCAGUUAACGUGAUAUUAUAAUUUGAAUGCCUCAAACAUAAUUAAAAUACCAAGCAUAUGGAGUACCUUGUACACAGUAGCACUGCCACCUCUCCCAAUCAGGUUGUGUUCCGAGAAGUUAUUUGUAGCGGCCUUCAUCUCAGAUAAACUGAACAUUCUAAAUCCUGUCAUAAAAACAGGUACACAUACAGGCAUAAAUGAUGUUCUGCAAACACACACCAGCAAGAUCACUAUCACUAGUGAAUAAUAAAUAGCUCGAAUUCAAGAUCAAAGAGGCCGGUAAACAAAUAUGUGAUCUUACCUGAUUGGUUGAGAAAGUGCUCCAUACAGGCUGGAUCACUUUUUCUCUCACCAUCAGCUCCAAAUCUGUCAUCGUACAUUCGAUAAGCAAAAUGAGUGCCCUCCGAUCGAUGUAAUAAUACUGAAUGGAGGUAGACCAAUGGUGGUAGCAUAAUGGUAAGGUUUUAGAUGCUUCCUCCAUCCCAAUUGUAAAUCGUUUUGGCAUUUCACCUAGAAAUGCCAAAACGAUUUACAAUUUGCGACAAAGAGAGUAGUUUACCAGGGCUUUUAUGGAAAUAAAAGCUAAAAUUGCGCAAGUGCAUACUUUGAUGGUAUACAGACUUGCCAAGGGAAUUACAGUUUUUCGUAAUGGUGAUUAAUUUCUAUGUUGAACUCACUAAGUAUUACAACAUAUAAUUUACUAUGCUACAAUUGGAAUGGCACACUGUAAAUAUCAGACCUAGUAUCAUUGUUUGACGCACUGCUAGACGAGCUCUCCACUGCCCCUAGAUGGCCAGCAUCCUGAAAUAGAAAACCAAAUCCCUCAAGGUAUUAUUGAUGAAAUUUUUAUCCUAUCUUAUUAGUUGAAAUGGAAGAGCUAGGAAGUACCAAUUGAAUGAUACCCCUGAAAUAAAGAAACUAUCUAAAGGUUGCUGCGAAACAAAAGAAACUGUCCGUAUAUUGAUCUUGACGAGGUGAGGUGGGACACUUAAAUCUGUUAAUGCCGGACCCAACACCUGGGUCAACCGUGCUUGCGGUAGAGGCAUACAUUCUACAAAUAUGAUACGUACAGGUUGCAUCUGUCCAAUUUUUAUUCUUAACAAAAUGAGUCUAUCAACCCAAAGCUAAUGAAAAACAUGGAGAAGUUUCUCUAAAAUGGUGGAUAGAAUCGUAAGGAACAUUAUAUAUGGAAGUGACAAAAUUAAAAAUACGCUGUAAAGAUGUAGUACCUGUGUAAUCCAGUUUGCGGCCGCAAUUUGGUCCAUGAUAACCUGGUUUACCUGGCGCAACUCUUUGGUCAGGUAUCCAGUUGCACCCAGGUGAAUGUUGCGCGUCGACUGGCAGGCCCUGACAAGCUUCAGCGCCCGAUACAGGGUCUCCUCGAGGUUCUCAAGCGCCUGGAUCAUCGCCUGGUCCUUCACCAUCUCCAAAUUCUCCAUCUUUGACAGGAUAGCACUUAAUCUGCUUACGCGCCUUCCGAUCUCAUAACAAUCAGCCUUAUUCUUUCGAACGGUGUCGACCGCCUCCUUGAUCUGGAGCGCAACCUCGACAAUGUUCCUCACCCUGCCCAAUGCAUCGGACAUCCUCUCUCUAGGGGAUUAUAAUCUGCAGAUCGAAAGGAUAAGGGAGUCGUAUCGAAUCAGACGAACAAGCCUGAUGAACCAACUGGAACAAACAAAAAAAGCUCUUCGAUUUUCUUUCUCAAAGCAAUCAAAGCAAAUAAAGAAGCAAGCAUAAACCUGGCGUCUUCGGCCCUCCUUUACUAGCUGCGUCAGGGAUCUCUUCCUCCAAGCUAUGGUACGCCCGGAGCAUCCGGUGUUCGCCGGGAAUCAAGUCUGCUCGAUGGGCAAGCUUAUCUGAUAGGGACAUAAACAAUUCCGUGAAAAACAAAUAAAGGCCAGUGUGCUCUGUAAGAAAUAUAAACCAAUAAAAUACAUCUUGGCAGAAUGGGGUCAAGUGGGUCUAUAGUCUAUUCUUGUGGCAGCAAGCUGAUCCUUUAUAAUAACGCUGGAUCGGAUCUCGAUCUCCUUGAAUAGCGCUCCACUAACCCACUAAUGCUUGUCUCGUACUCCACCCACCGAUACCCAGCCCAAAAACUAUGCAUCGGGGAUUGACUUAACUUUUUGUUAUUUCGAGGUCUAAUUGAUAACACUGUUUGAAUUACGUAUGGGUUGCCUGCUGCUGGUAAAUACAUCUAUUUAUCCGUCAGCAAAAACAUGCCUGCUGGGAAAUAUUAGUUCUGACUUCUGAGCGCAUACCAGCUGUCAGUUAACAUAUUGUCUGUCAGCAAAUCCCUGCCAGGGCUUACGAUAAGUGGUCUGUCAGAAGACGUCAUCCCCCAACGGGUACAGUACGGCAUAUUACCUUCUUUGUGUUUCAUGAUGAAUGCACGGUUGUCACACCUUGAAAUUUUUGGAUCUCACGAUGUGAUUAGGAAGAAUAAUUAAACAAUGAUUUUUCUCAUAAUUUUAAAAUUUGCCAACAUUUGUUUUCUUGAUAGGAAAUUUAGUGUAGGAAAAUAAUUGGUUGUUUUUCCUAAACUAAAUGAGCUUGUUCUAUGUGUGUGCAUUCAUGCCCAUGCAUCUUGGUGUUUAUUGAGUGCAAAGGUUUUAAAAAUAUCUUUAGACGACGACCAGGUUCUUCUGAGAAUUUACCAAUUUUUUCUGGAAAUUAUUCUCAUUUUCCUAGAGCUAAAUCCUUUUCCCAAGCUCCAGUAAUUUUAUUUAGACUCCUCGUGUCCCAAACUAUCUCUAGGAAUUUUCCUGGAAUUUUUAGGAUUUUCAGAGUAUUUUUUGUGGGUUUUAUUGAAUUAUCUGGAUUUUUCUUUAUACGGGAAAUUACUUCUGAAAAUAAAAAGAAAAGAAAACCUCAACCUACCCUUUUGGGCUAAGCCCGCACCCAAAAGCUCUACCAUAGCCCAACUCUCCUUCCCUCCCUCGAGCCUCGCUAGCUCAGCCCAGUCCAGGCCCGACCAGCCAAGCCAGGCCCGAUUGGGACCAUAUGCUCUGCAGCUCUCUCCCAAGCUGCACAGGCAGGCAACGCCACCGCCACGCCCUUUUGGUGUGCGUGCCACGCCAGGCGCAGCCACCCGCGCCCUAUCAAUAGCGAAGCCCGACCCCCGCACGCCCCUGCCAUCCUCGCAAGCCACCCUGCCUCGCCUGUGCUGCGCCGCCACCUUGCAAACCCGCCAGCCGAGUCGGGCGCCGCCGCCAACUUUCCACUCGAUUCACCAGCUCCGCUGCCCGCCGGAUGAAACCGGCCCCUUCUAGAGCUUCGGGACGUCGUACAACGGUAGAAGCACCAUCGGUGUAGCCUGGGAGGAUGAGCCACAGCGACGGCUGCGUUCUCUCACCGUAUUAACUCACGUACACGUAAGAUGAACUAGCUUUGCUGGCGGUAUACAGACGCCCUCGCAACCACCGUGUACGUGCCCUAAUCUGUCCUGAAAAUUCUAGAAUGCCUUAUAUUAGGAUAGAGGGACAGAGGUGGUACUCUUCAAAUAUCUAGCCCAAAAACCAUGUCAAGAACUUACAACAUGCCUAUAAAUACCCGACUCAAUUCAUUGCAUGCUGCGACACUCCUACCUUUUGCCUUUUUCUUAACAAAUCCUUGCAAUGUAAAUAUAAAUCAUAAGCAAAUCAAAUCAAUCGAAAUUUUUUAUAUAUCGUUUCUUUGUAAAUAGCCACACCAAGAACAAUGUCUUGUAGUCUGAACAGACGAAAAUGGUGGAUGCCUUGGCUUGCUCAGGUGGCUUCUCAAACUUGUAGUCUUAAUUGAUGAAAAUGGUAAUUGCUUUGACUUGCUCGGGUGUUUUUUUGAGCCCUGGCAACCUGCCAAUUGCCUCACCAAACAAGUUGAUAGCUAGAGUUGCCCAAGCUCAAAAAGAUUAUUGUUCUUUUCUCCUUCAAUAAUGAUUUUGCUCCCAUGUUUUGUGAAGCGCUUUCCACGAUUGUUUUCACAACAUGUUCCAUACUUAUAGCUCAAUGCAAUGCAAAAGCAUCCACAUAUUCCAAUAUUAAUUCACUGGUAUGUGGAAUAUCCAACACCUUCUUGGAUUCUAAAAAUUUUGUGCCCAAGUAUCAAUAUCAGGUGCAACAUUUUCGUGUCAGUUUACCUGUCCGCAUUGCUUCACAUAUCCGUACCUUGUCAAGAAAGGUCUAUUUUCCUGACAGAGAUUUCAUUACCGUCAGUGCAAUGUGACCUUCCACAAUAGCCUGUUGCCGCUUGGUGUCCAUUGUGCUGCCACGGACGGAGUGAUCCCUUUUACAGUUUCUUUCUUUUGUUUUCUGUGGAGGACUUGAGAAGAGUCCGGUUUUCUAGAGAAUACUUUGUGCAAAUGAACAGAAGUAACGUUCCUCCCUUCUAUACGAAGUUCACGUUAGGUGAGUACUCGAUCAUGUUAUUAAUUUAAUACUAGAUACUCCUCGCUCCAUAUGGUUGCGUGAGUCCGCGAAACUUGCUGACAUUGGCUUCUAGAGCGAGGAAAUAUGUUAACAAGAAUGAGAAUAUAUAACAAGCAGCUCGUACAACUAAGUGCGCGCCUUAUCACCUAAUCACCUAGCCAAGCAUCUAAUCACGUGGGGCACCUUUUUUUAUUUGUCUCCUCUUUGAGUAUCCUAUGCUUGACUUGAACCUAGUCUUGCGUAACCAAUCCAUCUUCUCCCGGGUUACUUUACAAGUUUUGAACUGAAUCAACACAGGAAUUUUCGUGGAAUUUUUAGGAUUUUUUGAGUAUAUUCCGUGGCUUUAAUUGAAUUAUCUGGAUUUUUCUUUAUACAGGAAAUUACUUCUGAAAAUAAAAAAAAGAAAACCUAAACCUAACCUUUUGGGCCGAGCCCGCACCCGCGAGCCCAACCAUGGCCCAGCUCUCCUUCCCUCCCUCUAGCCUCGCUGGCUUUCCGCUCGAUUCACCGGCUCCGCUGCCCGCCGGACGAAACCGGCCCCUUCUGGAGCUUCGGGACGUCGCCCCGCACACCCGCCGCUACACCCUGUCGUCGUUUGGCCGCCGGAGGAGCCCCGCCCUGUGGAGCCCGAACUAGCCGCCGCCUCCACAGUCCGCCAUCGAUUCCGGCCGGUGCCGUCGUCCUCUACCGUCGGUGAGCACGCCCCCGUGACCCUCUCGACCUCCUCUAUCUCCUUCGCCACCCACCUAAGCCCCUACCUCUCAACCACCGGCGAUUUCAUCUCCCAGUGCGCCGUCCGCCAUGGCCAAAAGCUCCUCGAGCUUUUCCGUGGAGGCCCCUGAAGAAAUCUAUAAUUAUUCCAAGAUCUCUGUGUCUUGGAUCUUUUUUGAAAAGCCCCCUAGAUCUAUUAGGUUCCUUCAACCGAGCCCAAGCCGUGAUCUAUUUCAGAUCGAACCCUGCUCUUUAUCGUAUUCACGGGCACUAUGUGUCUCGGGAAUCUUCCUCGCUAGCCCUUGUUCUCUAGGGUUAAUCGCGAUUAGACCCCUGCAGCUUGAUUAGCUCGUAGAUCUUAUGUUUCAACUCCGUUUAACCUCUUUCUUGUUGCGUUAGAUUCAUAUCAAUUUAAAUUACGCAUUAGAAGCAAUGUUAAUCAUUUUAUCUAUUUUAUAAUUUACUUCAAAUAUUAAUAUGAUUAAGUACUUACAUACUUGUUUUUCUAAUUAAAAUACAAUAGAGUUUAACCCCGUGUUUUCAUGCUAAUGUUAAUUUGUUUAAUGCUUAUCUAAAUAAUUUUUCCAAUUAAUAGCUAACUAGAGUUAUACCUCGGUUUUCAUAGUCAAACUUAAAUUGAUUAAUGUUUAUUCAAUUUGCUUUCUAAACAAAAGUUGCAUAGGUUCUAUCUCGAGUUUUCGUAAUUAAAUGUUAAUUUGGUUAAAUAUAAAUAUAAAUAUAAAUGUGUUUCUGAAUUAUAAUUUGUCUAGUUCAACACGAAUCAUAAAGUUAUGCGCUUAGAUCUUCCCACCUAAGUUAUUUUCCAAAUAAAUGUUUAACUAGUAUAAUUUAUACAUGAACAUUUAUAAAUAAAACUUGAGUAGGAUUUACCUCGGUUUUUGCCAAUAGAGUAAAAUUUGCAUUAUUUCUAAAUUAGGGUAUUUUCUUUCCAAAAUAUCCUUUAGAUAUGUUUUGCUAAUUAAAAUAAAUCCAGCAUAUAGCCUUGUGUGCUCUCAUAAUUGUUUGAUAGCCGUCUUUGUUAGCUUUAGCUUUGUAUCUCUUUUGUAGAUCUAGUCUUCUGUAAAGCUUUAGAUCUUUGUAGUUCCAGAUCAAGCUCACACUCAGUUUCUUUCACAAAUCUAGCCAAGCCUUUCCUUUUCAAGCACGGUUUGUGUGCUUUAGUGAUCCAAAUAGUUUAUCUUAGAGUUUUUGUUCUGCCUAAUAGUUUUGGUCUUCAUGAGUAGUUUGGUGCUGCUCAUUUCCCUAGCUAGUAUAUUUUUUAUCAUGCUUGUUUCCUGUUCCUCUUAGAAACCUGUUUAUCAAAAGCUAGCUCAUAAUUACUAUGUCCUAGUUGUCUCUUUGUGAGUCAGCUAUGUUCGUUAUGGCCAAACCUUUCGCAGCCAUCUCUUUAGAGCUAAUCUUGUUAGUUGUGUCUCUAUCGACCAGUUCAGUUUAGCUUUGACUAGUUUGUUAUCUUUGCAACCUAGUUGCUCUCUUUGUAGACUAGUUUUCCCUAAACCAUAGUUUAAGGUUUUCUUCUGCGCUCUAAAGUCUGAUUUUGAUGUUCUUGUUCACUUAACCAUAACUUAUGCGAUAGCAAUGUGUAUUGCCUGUUGCUUGUCUUUAAAAUCAAAAUUGAAUGUCAAUUUGACUAAUACUUAUUAAACCAGUUUUCUAAUUAAAAGUUUACUAGUUAUACAAUAUGGGAUUUCAUAUAAAAUUUUAAACUUUACUAAUUCUUAUUCAAUUAGUUUUCUACAUAAAAAUUUAUUAGGUUCUAUCCCGGAUUUCAUAAACUAAGAUUUAAUUAAUUAAUUCCUAUUUAUAACUAGCUUUUCUAAAUAAAAUAUACCUAGUGUCAUACAUCAUUUUCCAUGAAUGAAGUUAAUAUGCUUAAUGGUAUUAUAAACACCUUUUUCACAUUAAUAUGUUUAGCUGAACACAAAAUACAAAGUUAUUCGAUUAGAUGUCUUAUACAUGCUCUGUGUUUCUAAAGUUAACUGUUAAAUUGGUGUAACUUGUACUUCAAUAUUUACAAAUAAAAUAUGAUUAAAUUUAUCACGUUUUCAAUGUUCAAAUAUACCUUCUGUUAAUUCCAACUAAGGAUAUUUCUCUAAAAUAUCUACGCAUUGUUUUUUAUUAAAAUCUAAAGUUAACUGUUAAAUUGGUGUAACUUGUACUUCAAUAUUUACAAAUAAAAUAUGAUUAAAUUUAUCACAUUUUCGAUGUUCAAAUAUACCUUCUGUUAAUUCCAACUAAGGAUAUUUCUCUAAAAUAUCUACGCAUUGUUUUUUAUUAAAAUAUAUCAAGCAUAUAGUCUUUUUAUUUCUUUGAUAAUUCAAACCUCUCGAUAGCUUUGUCUUUUCAUCCAUAGUUUCAUUUUCAGCAUUUUUUCUACGUUGCGAUCUUAGAAUCAAGCCCUAUCCUUUGGUAUGAUCUUUUAAAGCUUUUCUUUUGAUUGGUGUACUGUUCUUAGUUGUGCUUGUUUGUUUGCUCUGUAUGGUUGUGCCGAUGAUUGUUUUGAGUAGAAGGAUUGCUAUUCGAAAGCUUUGAAGAUUAAGAGUUUCAAGAGAGCAAGAGCUGAAGAGCAGUAAGAGUAAUUUUUCAUUGGAGAAAGGCAAGUGUCCCCAACCUUCCUUCUAUCUAUGAUUAUUUAAAUACCAUGCAUGCAUUAAUUGGAACAUUGAGCGACCACCCAAGAAAACAAUGCAACCACAAGAACUACAUGGCUCUAGUCUUGGCUAAUUAAUUAGAUACUCUUGUUUGAAGCGGUCUUACCGAAAGGGCAAGAGGGGUGACGGCAGAUGGGGUAUAACCCAACCCUCAGACCGAUAUGCUCAAUGGUAGCUUCGCAGUCUUGAGAGAGGUUUACGCUCUGCUACUUAUCCGGAAACCUUAGCUGGCUACAUCUUAUUAGGGAAUCUUUGUAGAGGUCUUAUAGCUUCCCUAUGCAGUCACAUCUCGGUAGUGUGAUGAGUGCUUGAUUAGCACAGUAUGGUUGGGUCUAAAGUUUUUCUGAACUUCUACGCAACUUGUGGUGAAAAUGUACAACUUCUGCAGAGUGUUAUAUCAACUGUGCUCACAGUCAAGAGUGGCCUGAACCCUCACAUGAUUAAUAAACUUGAAGAUAUACUUAAAUCAUUAUUUUGGUUAUUUUUUGUGUUCUUGCUGAGUAGCAACCAUAAGUGUACUCACCCUUGCUAACCGCUGCUCAGAAUAAGGUGUCUGAAGUUAUUGAAGAUGAUGCUAGGCGUACGCAGCCCCAAUUGAUUGCUUGUGAAGUCUGAAGUCUUUGUUUUCAGGAUUAAGCUGUAUAUCUCUGAUAGACUCGUAAAUUUUUAUUUAUAUUCCUUUACGUGAUACUGUUACUGUUAUUCACUGAUAAUGUCACUAUAUGUAUGAUACUUGAUUAUGGGAUACAUAGGUAGCACUUGGUUUUGUUUUAAAAUCUGGUGUGACAUCGGUUCACAUCAAGCGUGACGAUAAGAAUUUAUAUAAAUGUUGCCCAACCACCCGAAUAUCAUAAAUUGAAGGUAUGUUUGAUUUUUUUACCAUACUUACCUGUGGCUAAACUCCAAAUGCUAGUUUUAGAAUAGUCGUAAUGGAAUUGCCAAGGGCGAGAGAAGAAUUGUUACUGUUGUGCCAUAACCCACAUUGGCUUAUGUGUCUAGACAGCUUAGAUGUCCAGCGUGGCCUAGCGCAUUUUAUGUAAACAUUUACAGGUGCACUGCUGCUGAUUUUAUGUAAUUAUUAAACCUAAUGCAGUUUCAUCAUGGCAAGAUGCAUUAAAGAAAGAAAGGGAAAGACAAAAUGAAAUACACCAAAGAGUUCAGUUCCAGCUGAAAACGUGUCUGCCCCAAGCGAGCUCCUAUACAUCUUCUGUGUUGAUUGCACAGCCCAUAAGGCCCAGCAAUUUACAGCCCAAGCAGCAAUAAUACACAUGCGCCGCAGGCCCCAAUACGAAUAUGUAAGUAUGGGGAAAAAAAAAGAUACGUACCACCUAAGCAGCAUGCCACGGCAGGCCCCAUCAGCCACCAGCCGAAGAUACGUGUUGCUUUACUAUUUUUAUUCAUAUUCCAUUCUACAGUAAUCCUCCUAAUACUAUAUUCAACAUUUUGUGCGAAUUGAUUCAAACAUUCAAAAUAACUAGUUAAACAUUUUGAUAAAACGAAUGCAAAAUUUUCUUAAAAUGUUGAAAUAGUAUAUUAAAAAUGUUGAAUAAAAUGUUGGAAUAGUGUAUUAAAUUUCAACAUUUUUUAUAAAUGCAAAUUCAACAUUUUUAAUAAAAUAUUGAAAUAGCGUAUUAAAAAUGUUGAAAUAGAAUUUAUGAUCUAAUAUAUUCAAAUAAUAAACUAAUAUAGUUAACAUUUUAAAUAAUAGAUUCAUCAUUUCUUUGCAUACUUAACUGUUGGGUAGUUCAUCAAAAAUUUUGAAUUUUAAAAAUUAGCAAAGAUAUAUUCGGAUAUCAUUAUGUUCGAUUAAUUCUCAAUAAUGUAGUGGUUUAAACGAUUAAAAAGGGUUCCCAGUUUGGGAGAAAAAUGCAUUUGAAGUUUGGAAUCCAAAAGCACCAUGCAACCACCACAAGAACCACACUGUCUGUCCUCCCCAUCAGCCGUGCAUGUUCUUUUCUACCUGGAGCCAUGGUGCGCCUGGGCUGUUGCUGUCAAUUGUGGUGGAAAAGGCAAAAUCAUUCCUACAGCUUGGAGAGUACGACACAAGUCGCGAGCAUUGGAAGAUGCUUAAGAAAAAAUUCUUCAAGAAGACACAUAGGAUUUCCAGCCCGGUCCAGCCUAGAAGAGUUUGACCCGCCCAUCAGUCUGUUCAGGCCUAUUAACUUCAGGUCCAAUUAGAAUGUGGGUCGUCCAUUCUCUCUCCUCUCAUAAAAAGACUCGUUCUGUCCUGCGUAACCCAUGGGCCGGCCCAGCUUCCUGUCGCGCUCGUGCCCAGAGCUCGCAGACGGAGGACGGGGAGCCACCAGUGUGGCACUCCGAGGGGCGACCGCGGCGGCGGGGGCACUGAGCAGUGAGCACAGCACAACCCAAUGCUAGCGCAUCGGAGAAGGGCGCGGAUGCCUCGACGAUCUCCGAAGGGUCCCACUGUAAUCUCGUCCGCCAUGUCCGACGGCCUCCUGCAGCCGCGUGCGUUCAAGCAGGUGAGAUCCCACAACUAAGGUUCGUGGCCACGGUCGGAUUCCCGGCCUGAAAGAAACUUAUCAGCCACCUCGUUCUGUUCAUGCUUCUUUGUGCUCUCCAAAUUAAAGUUUCCCCAAUUUUGAUGUAAAUUUCGGUCACGCGCAUGUGGUGUGGCAGUCACCGGAGUGUUGGCAAUACACAUAAAAUCGACAAAUACAUAGACAUCGUAGAGUCUUGGCACUAUGCAUAACUAAUAUCUUACGAAUUUCCCUGUAUGGUCUAACAAGUGCCCUGAAAGGUUGUAACAAGUCUAAGAUGGUGUAGCUUAGUCUCCACUUACCGUCCAUAUCGACCGAGUCUGAGGAGGACGUUACUUCUUCCAGAUGCUGACAAACAACUGCAGAGCACUCCGUCCAUCCUUCUUACUCGCAUUGAGCCCCUUCUCUCCUUCUCGAGACCAAUUCCAAGAGGCAAAACUUUUGGAAACUUUGGAGCAAUGGCAUGGUGCUUAAGUGUAUUAUUGUCAUGCGGUGCAGAACCUGAUUCCUUUCACCCAUUAUUAUUGUCAUGCGGUUGAUUCUGAAAACUUUAUUUUGCUCAGGUUCUAUUUCCAUGUUGCAGAGCCUCCAUGCCUGGUCGAGGCACUUUGUCCUCAACAUCAACUAAAGGUGUGUUUGGAUGGAGGGACGUGACGGAAUGGGAUCAUCCCACUUUUACAUAUGUUUGGUUGGAGGUUAGGUGGGACGAGGACGGCAUCAAAGUAAAAUAUUCUUCGAAAAAGAGGGAUGAAACAGUUCCUCCAAAUCGGUCGGACCAAUCCGUCCCACUUCGAUGACACAAACACCGUGACGAGCAAGACGACACAAACGCCGUGACGACACAAACGCCGUGACGAGCGAGCGCCUCGAGCGCAAGCGCACGUCCAACUCCAGCGCAGCGCCACGAGAAAAGCCAGGCGGCAGGGGCACGUAGCUCGGGCGGUAGAGGAAUGGAGCUGGGUGGUGGGGAGGGUGGAGCCCGGUGGCGCAGGGGACCGCCAGGAGGAGACGGGGAUCGACCUCCUGGGUUCCAGUUCCACCCCACCAACGAGGAGCUGGUGGUGCAGUACCUCCGUCGGAAGGCCCUGUCCCGCCUGCUGCCCGCUGCCAUCAUCCCCGUCAACCACGACCAUGCCAGGCUGGAUCCAUGGGACCUCCCUGGUGCGUCCGCACGCUCUCUUUCAGAUUAAUGGGAAGGAAGGCUGAGACAGAGUGUUCUGAUGUUCCUUGAUUGAUUGGUGUGUGUACAGGAGCGAGCGAAGGGGAGGGGUACUUCUUCAGCGCGCCUUCGUCGAGCAGCGGCCGCUGGAGGAGAGCUAGCAGCGGGUACUGGAAGGCCACGGGGAAGGAGAAGCCUGUGUUCCUGCAGUGCGGCGGCAAGCGGCAGCUGCUCGUGAGCGUCAAGACGGCGCUCGCCUUCCAUCGCAGCGAGCCGUCAUCGUCACAGGGGACCGCCGGUAGGAGACGGGAGGGCGAAGCCUGGCGGCGCGGGGUGGUGUGGGCCUCGGCUGCGGUGGCGCGGGUGAUUGCGCCGCGACACGCCGAGAAGGGGAUGAGGCUCUGAGGCUAAUAGUGAGCUCCGCGGCUAACGGAAUACAAACACCGUUUAUUUCAUCGGUCCUCAUCCCUCAAACCAAACAACGAAAUUAGGAUGUUCCCAUCUUUCCAACCAAACAUUAAGUGGGAUCAUCUCAUCCUAAAAAAGAGGAUGAUCCUAUCUCAUCCCACCUGUCCCUCCAUCCAAAUACACCCUAACUGCGCCGGUCGAUGUGAUUGCGACUGCUUGUUCUUACCGGACUGGUUAUAUGAAGCUGGCAUCAGAAGUAACCAGGUUCUGAUCCUCCCUGUGUUGAGUUCCAGCUAAUAUCACUCUAGGAUCAGUGCAAUGAAUGGUUUCUGUGAAAUCCAUCUUCAUCUCCUUUCGUUCCAAAAAACUAUCCUGUUAUCUAAGGAAGCUCCCAACUGCAAUCCACUCCUCCGUAUUUUUUGGGUCCCGGAAGAUAGAACUCUUUUUCAGUGUACAUUCUAUUUUCGGUAUAAUUAACAUACAUUAUGAAAAUCUAAGAAUGAGGCCCCCUCCCCCCGAGAGAGGCGACGCCCAUGGUGACACCCCGCCCGUACACCAACCUCGUCCCAGACCCCCCACCCCAGUAACCUCCACCAACCAACCGGCCCCAGAUCCGAGCGCAUCUGUAGAAGACCUCCAAGCUCGUACUAGCCGUGUCGUGAGGGAGCAAGAGAAGGAGGAGAUCGAGUUCACUCAGAAGAAGGUCCAAGAUCCAGAUCCCAUCGGUGAGGUCGCAGUACAGGAGCAGUUAUCGCCGGAAGAUCGACAGUCUGGCCAAGCUAUGCAUACCCAGAGGCUAGAGGCAGCGACGGAGGCCAGCAUCCUCCCGGAUCUCGUCCAAGAUUUGCGAGCACAAGCUAGCCUUAAGUCGACGCGGCUGGAAACAGGCAUUGAAUGCGACGAGGCAAAUCACACGCCAAGCACAAGCAUGCCAGUGAGGCUGGCGAGGGGCUCGACGAGGAAGAAGAAGACCGGUGGUUCGCGCCCUCCUCCAACGGCUUGUCAAGCAAGAGAAUCCACAAAAUCUGCCGCACAGCAGAGUUUUUGAGCCUGUAAAGCAGAAGCUCACCAGCGCAGUGAAAGGAAAAGGAGCAGGGACAGAACGGCAACCAUGCCAGCCAUCAAAUCUGCAUCAGAGAAGGGAGCAGAGCAUUUCAACAAGCAGCUGGCAAAAGCAGCGGGGUCAAUGCUUGAGAGAAGGGGAGGUGGGUAACCUUCAAUUCCCCUCUCCUCCAUUCAGGUCCAGCUCAAGGAAUAGACAGCAAUGACAUCAGCAACAAGAUCCGACCAUGGACAAAUCUUCAAGGACACAACACACUGCACUGCAGUCAGAGACCUGGAUUGAUGAACACGGCUUCCAAGUGGUAAAACCAGCAUAUUGGUGGCGAAGGACUGGAGACCAUUCAAGAGAAGAUUCAAGGCUUCACCAACCGGACAUGGAAGAGCAUAGGAGGAAGAGGUACAGGGAACAUGUCAGGGGAAAAUGUCUCAAUUGUUUCUCCACAGAACACAAAGCAGCUGAAUGCAAGCAACGCACUAAAUGCUGAAGAUGUCUGCAGACGGGGCACAAGGCCCUCGCCUGCCCAACCUGGAGAGACCAUGUUAAAAGGCCACCACCGGAGACUUAUUCUCAUUCUUGUCAAACCAAGACCAUCCCCACCACCACAUCUUUCCCCCCACUCCUGCUGGCCGGACCGUCUGCACGGCCGGCCGUUUCUACCUUCGGGCAGCAAAGGGCGAGGCAGCUCCCAUGGCGACAUACCCGGGUGACCCGCGUGCCCGCCCAGAAUACGCGGUCUGUGCGCUCUCAGCGACUGGGCACAUCAAGCGCAAGCAGGAGUCCAUGAUCGGCAAGACAGCAGUCUGUUGGCUCAACGGCAACAGCCACGACAUGGAGAUAUGCCACGUCGCUGAUGCCCUUGAAGAACAGCUCCUCAUCAGCCGCCAUGAAGUGCGCGUCGUCAAGCACUUCCCCGAGCAAUAUCUGGUGUUCUUCACCGACUGCCGAGCAUACCAUCGCGCUAUCGACCAGUGGGGCGUCCACAAAUGAGGAAGAGUCUUCAACUUCGAGCCAUGGACAGAGCGUUGGAACGUCGUGGAGAGCAAGCUAGAGUUCCGGGUCAGGCUGCGCAUUGAGGGAGUGGCGCUGCUGCAUGCCUGGUCCGAGGAGGUGGCGGCCCAAGUCAUUGGCCAAUACUGCGCCAUCCACUACGUUGAGGAACACGCACGCCAGUAGGAGUGCACACGAACCUACGAUCUGUGGGCGUGGUGCUCCAACCCCCAAGAUCCCUAAGAAGUUGCUGCUCACCAUCACCGACCCUGACAGGGAGCAGCCGGCAAUCGACAUCCCGCGGCAGCUCGUCAACCCCAACCACGACACACCUGAUGACAUCAAGGGCGCGUACAACUACAAGCUGCACAUCCACCUCGACGUGGUCGAGGACCUCUCCUUCCUCAGAGGGAGGGACGGAGGGGACGGAUAGCACAACAGGAGGCCAUGCCGUGAGUUCCUCUGAAACUACGGGGCACCGGACUCCCAGGGGGAACGGCGCAGUGACCAGUACCAUGAUAACUUUGCAAGCCGCGACUACCACCCACGCCGUGACAGAGACGACCAUGACGACCAGCACCAUCGAGGCACAAGGCGCCACCGUAGUGCCUCUUCCUGGGGGCGAGUGACGCGCUGCCGCGGAGCCAUGGAGGACUGCUACAGCUCCACACACCGCAACGGCAACUAGGUACACUCGGGUCGCCACAACAGAGUCCAGAACAACACAGCUGGCCAGGACAACAAAAGCCAUUCUCUGAUGGCUUGGCGCAAGAAGAGCACAGGAGGCAAGAAGGUCUCCUUUGCAAAUCCUCUGGUGCAGAUCAUGGGUGAGUUUGAGUUUGACCCUAGUUGCUAUCAUUUCCCAGCGCCUUCGAAUUCUGACUUGGUGGGUGAGUGGUUUGACCCCAUGAGGGAAGAGAUGCUCAUCCCUAAUAUUUUUGUAGGCGACCCAGGCAAGGAGGAUCGUAUCCUGAACAUGCUGCACUCGGCAGUGGGAUGGACCCCGGUUGCUUCACCAAGGAGUGCUCCGGAGGAAGGCGAGCUGCCGGAGCCAGUGACCGAGCUGCAGGAACCAGAAGGGCACAACAUGCAUUCGCCAAUCACCAACAAGCAGUCACAGGUCUGUCUGGUUUCUACUCCUCUAGAUGCAUCAGUGAGGCACACACAACAAGCUCAAAUUUCAGAAACUGUCAACACGGAAAACACUAGCUCAUCGCCUUUUGCACAGUACACCAACAGAGUAGAGCCCCCUAAUGUCAACAGAGAAGAGGUGAACGGUAGCAACAUCAUUAGUGAAAAUAACAACAACAUAGCAGCACCGCACAACACCGUAGCUACUUCAGUUAUAUGCAAUGAUCAAGAUAUGGUAGCCACUUCUGUUGAAAAUGGGGAGGGUAACAUAGAGGUCGGUGAGGGUCCUAAAUUUGACGACCUUUCAGCUUUCAUUGAUUUCAUAGCCUGCAAGCCAAAUGCGCAUAUUGUUUGCACUCCACCCAGAGCAAACCCCAUCACAUCAGGCAACGAAAAUCAGGGCCAAAACACAGCACAAAGAAAAAGCUCUAGGCUAGCGGAUAAAGCUAAGCUAAACCCGGGCAAGGACAGCACCCAACUUGCCCAAAAAGUCCUUAGUAAUAAGCUUGGGGAGCUGUCUCCAAAGUCGAAAGUUAAUUCUAAUGCUGAGGUUGAUCAUUUGGUGCAGCACCUUCCAAAGCCACUGACGGACCUGAAGAUGAUGGCCAUCAAAACCUUGGUGGAGCAGGGAAACCAGGCCAAGCACAAGAACAUGAAGAGGAGCAAGAUCACUCCAUCAGCAAUUGGAGAGAUGGAGGCCCAAGUGGCCUGAGGGAUAACCAUCCAGGGAGGAAGCGUUUCAGUGGUUUUUACUUCCCUAAUGUUAGGCAUAAAAUAAUUGAACUUAAACUUAGUCGAAUCUGUAUCUUUAAAUGGGCCAACAAUUAGGCCCUGCGACUUCAGCGGUGCUUUGUAUCGGGCAGAAUGCCCAGCAUCGACGUCCACGAAGCUCGCCAAGCUCUCCUCGAGGCAAUGCUUUAGUGAAAAAACAAGUCUCCUGGGACUUCUCAGCUUUGUAUCAGGACCAUGCGCCAAGCAAUGUUGUCCGCAGGUUGACGCUUUCCAUGAGUCUACUAUUAGUUGUGCACCUCUGAUCCAUGUCACAAAAGGAUUGUAAUGUGUUGUGUUGGAAUGUUCGUGGGCUUAAUGUGGCAGCUAGGAGAGCAAGUGUACGAAGCACGAUUCGUUCAUCCGGAGCAACGAUAGUAUGUCUGCAAGAGACCAAAAUAGCACACUGGACAUCUAAACUCGUGGCAGACACCCUGGGCAAUAAUUUUGCAAAGAACUUUGCUGUGUUACCAGCCCUUGGCACAAGAGGAGGCAUCCUUAUAGCGACAACGGUGAACCAUUUUGAUAUGCACAACAUCCACACCAUCGAUCACACAGUAUCCACAACAAUCACUAUGAAAGUAGACAAAAAAAUCUUGGACACUCACUUGCGUCUAUGGCCCUCAGGAUGAACACGACAAGCUACUAUUUCUAGAGGAACUGAAGAGCCUAAAAGAACAAGUUCUCACGGAAUGGCUCAUAGUUUGUGACUUUAACCUUAUAUAUAAGGCAGAGGACAAAAGUAACAAUAGGCUCAACAGAAACUUGAUGAAUCGUUUCAAGCAGGCAAUUGACAAGAACCAACUGAUGGAAAUCGACCUCCACGGAUGGUGUUUCACCUGGAGCAACGAACAAGAUCACCCAACAUUCACAAGGAUAGACAGGUUCUUCGGUACACCAGAAUGGCAUCUUCUCUUCCCAAACCUUGACUUGCAAGCCUUGCCAACCAUGGGCUCAGAUCACUGCCCAUUAUUUUUAACAGGUGACGUAGAGAGACAGAACUAUAUGGGCUUUCACUUUGAAUCUUAUUGGGUGAACAUGCCAGGUUUCUUAGAGACUAUACAAGAAGUCUGGAGCCAGCCAGUGCAUACUCAAGAUGCCAUACUGCGUAUGCAUGUCAAACUCAUUCGCACAGCAAAGGCACUUAAAUUGUGGAAGAGAAAAAACCUUGGCAAUCUAGCCCUUAGACUGGCAAUAGCCAAUGAGGUGCUAUGCUUCUUGGAUGCAGCUCAGGAACAAAGAGCCCUUACAACAGAGGAAUUAGAAUUUCAACGAUACCUAAAAGCGAAGUCGGUGGGCUUAGCAACGGUUCAGAGAGCCCGUGCAAGACAACACUCCCGGCUCACAUGGAUGCGAAAAGGAGACGCAUGCACACGCCUGUUUAUGCUGCAUGCUAACAACACAAGAAGAAAUCUACACAUCCCGUCCUUAACCACCGUAAAUGGAACAACAAUCAACAACCACCAGCAAAAAGAGGAAAUAAUAUACGAUCACUUCGUAAACCUGUUGGGCAAAACACAAGAGAGAUCCCUCAGCCUAAACUGGACAAAUCUCGGAUGUCAUCCACAUGACUUGACCGACCUGGAAGCACCAUUUGAGGCAGAAGAAAUAAAAAAGGUCGUCAUGCACUUACCAGCAUAAAAAUCACCUAGCCCGGAUGGAUUUAUUGGUCUAUUCUAUAAGAAGUGUUGGGAUGUGAUCGGAGAGGAUCUGAUCCAAGCUCUUCAUGCCUUCCACUCCCUUAGGACCAGACGCAUGGAAUUGAUUAACGAGGCCAAUAUCAUUUUGCUGCCAAAGAAAGAAGGAGCAACCAUGGUUGCAGAUUUCCGACCCAUCACUCUCAUUAAUAGUCUAGCCAAGAUCAUAACAAAGGUGCUAGUAGAUAGGUUGGCUCCGAGACUGAAUGAGCUAGUUUCCGGAUGUCAGAACACCUUCAUCAAAAAAAGAUGCAUUCAUGACAACUUCGUCUACGUACAUAGUGUAAUCAAGGCGUUGCACAAAUCAAAGAGACCGGCACUCUUUGUAAAACUCGAUAUCUCAAAAGCAUUUCAUUCGCUUAAUUGGGUAUUUCUCAUCGAAACAUUACAGGCCCUAGGUUUUGGCCAAAAAUGAGAGAUUGGAUUACAACACUAUUAGCCACCUCAUCAUCCAAGGUGCUACUUAACGGGAGACCUAGGAAAAAAUUGAAGCAUGCUAGAGGCCUCCGUCAAGGAGACCCACUAUCACCCAUGUUGUUCAUCCUUGCCAUUGACCCACUCCAUAAAAUGGUGGAACUAGUAGCCGGCAACAACAUCAUAAGACCAAUCCUCCCCAGAGCGGCAAAGCUACGAUGCUCCCUUUAUGCAAAUGAUGCAGCUAUUUUUACAAACCCAGACAGAGAAGAACUACAACGUAUCGGACAGUUGUUACAUAUCUUUGGAGAAUGUUCAGGACUCAAGAUAAAUAUGACUAAAACGGAAAUAUUCCCUAUCCGGUGUACCAAUGAAACCAUCUUAGAAGCUCUAGAGCACUUCUCGGGAAAAAUUUCCUCCUUCCCUGGAAAAUAUUUGGGCUUGCCUCUUCACAUGCGCAAACUCCGAAGGGUGGACGUCCAACCAUUAAUUGACAAGAUCGGUGGAAGGCUUCCUGGAUGGAAAGGUAAAAUGUUAUCGUCGGCCGGGAGAGAAACACUGGUGAAGAGUGUAUUAACAUCACAACCAAUAUAUCACCUCACAGUUUUCCCUACUCAAAAAUGGCUGAUCAAACAGAUUGAUCACCUACGUCGCAGUUUCCUUUAGAAAGGAGAGGAACCAAAAAAGGUCAAUGGAGGACACUACUUGAUUAAAUGGCCAACAGUAUGCACGCCUAAGGACAUGGGAGGGCUCGGGAUUCUCAACCUCGAGAGACUUGCGAGGGCUCUAAGAAUGAGAUGGUGCUGGUUCCAGUGGAAGUAUAGUGAGAUACCUUGGGUAGGACUUGAUAUCCCGUGCGAUAAGAAUGAUAAAGACCUAUUCUAUGCGUCAACAGUAGUAAUGGUGGGCAAUGGAAAGAAAGCAAACUACUGGAUAGCGCAGGUUUACCCACUCAUGACAGGAGAGGAAAUCAGAGAGUAUGUGCAGCUAUUUGAGGAAAUAAACAUGCUACAACGUGACACUAAUGCGGAGGAUGAAAUAUCAUGGAGGUGGACGCAGGACGGGGAGUAUACCACAAAGAGUGUAUACCGUAUACAAUUCCAAGGCCAACUGAAGAAGUUGAGUAUCACCUCAAUAUGGAAAGCUAGAACUGAACCAAAAUGCCGGAUCUUUGCCUGGCUUCUCCUGCAUAGGAAAAUCUUAAUAGCAGACAACUUGGAAAAGCUGGGGUGGCCUAAUGACCCUCAGUGCAAGCUAUGCAAUUCGGACCUGGAGACACCCACACACCUGUGCAAAGACUGCCCUUACACAACGGCAGUCUGUGACCGGCUGCAGGGAUGGUUUUCUCUUAACCACUUACCCCCAGGCAACACAUCGCUUUCGAUCCACAAGUGGUGGAAGAAAUGUAGGAGCAUGAUCGACAAAAGGAACAAAACUUUCUUUGACGGCCUCAUCAUAUAUUUCUAGUGGAACAUUUGGAAAGAGCGCAACAGACGAAUCUUUAAUCACGAAACCAAACUGGUGGAAGACGUCGCGUUCUCUAUCAAAGAAGACAUCCAACAGUUCCAGUUCGCCAAUAAAACGCAUGAAGCUCCCGCGGUUGAGCCAACCUAGCAGCAUUUUUCAUCUUUUAAAGUGGGGUUUUGAAGUGGAGCUCGUAGUUGUUGUUGUUUUUUCCUUUCUCCCUAGGGAGUGCUAUUUAGUUGGUGCAGUGAGAGCCAUGUACAUAGAGUUAUUUUUUGUUUUAUUUUCUUGUCUUGUUUGGUUUUACCUCUUCUAAUAAAAAUUCGGCAAAGCUUUUGCCGUCCGUUAAAGAAAACAUACAUUAUGAUAAUUUUAUAAAUUUUAAUGGAGACGGGGAUGCAUAUGAUAUACUCCCUCCAUCUAUAUUUAUAAGGCGUGGAAGGACUUAGCACGGUCUUCCAAAUAACACUUUGACCCUUUAUUUAUCUUAUAUUAUAGUAUUUAUAGUUAUAAACUUAUAAUCAUCGUAGAGUAUAUUUGAUUACGAAUCCAACUAUAUAAAUUUUGAAUUAUAAAAAUAAAAAAAUAAUAGUUAAAUUAUUGGUCAAAAAUUGUAAAGUUUAAAUCUUGAUAUGCGUGUGCGCCUUAUAAAUAAAAACGGAUGGAGCAUAUCCCCCAAAUGUUUCUAUAUAUUGUGGAACUCAACUUAACUGAAGGAUAUAAAGACAAGAUUUUCAUAGGAAAUCGAACCAUUUUAAGAGGCGGUUCACACGAGGGAUCUCCUAGGAUAAUGCUAUUUGUGCACAACCAUACCCUUACAUGAACCGUCUCUGGAACCAGAAAUCAUUCCGUUUUCACUUACGGCAGACACGAGUGUAAUGGAGCCGUACAGGUGCAGGAGGGCGAUCCCCAUCUAGACUUUAAUUUGGCCAUGUGGAAGUAGGACACACUAUCUCUAGCACCAGCACCAUGUGUAGUUGGUCCCCCGUGUAUGCAUCAAUGCUGCACCUAUCGACUGUGACCUGGCACCUAACCGGACAGUUGGUUACGGUAGCCAUUCUUGUGAUUUCACAACUCAAAGGCAUCGUUUAUCCUCCCUCUCCCUGCUGCUGCUCAUCCUCCCUUCACUGAACUACUUGUUGCAAUCAGAAGAAAGAUCAAUCGAGUUGAAGAGACAGAUCGGAAGCUAGUCAACGUUGAUUGGUUCGUGAGUGAUGUUAUGAUCCGUCCCUCUGUUAUAACCAUCCAACCCAGCUGGUGCAGAAGCUAAUUACCUGAAGCAAUAUAUUUGUAGAAACGAAUAGUAAUAUAUUUAUAGAAACGAAUAGUACUGGUUAGUUCACUUAUUUCUUUGCUCAAACUUAGCCGUUUGGCAAGGCUUCGUCUUGGGUUAAAAUGACUCCGGAGCUUCGGCUCAUCAAGCAACUUUUUAUAUCUCUAGCUCAUCCUAUUAAAAAAUAUUUGGUAAAAUGAUUUCUCCAAAUUAGUUUGAGGUUGAUAGAAAGAUAAAAUGUCCAAAAUACUCUAAGAACAUAUAUUUUUCAUUCCAUUUUUUUCUUUUCCAUCAUUCUUUUAUUCCAUCUACUAUUUUUUCCUUACGCUUUUUUUUUUGGCCAGGUGUGCCUUAUCCGCUUCGGCCCUUCCCACCAUGCCUUUUUUCCUAUUUCUUUUCUUGCCGAGCGUGCUUUAUCUCCUUCGUUGACUUCAGUAGCACCUGUUGCGUUCGAUGCUCGCGCGGCAGCCCGGGGACCUCGACCUCGCCCGCCUAGGAGCUCCAGCAGCCGGUCCGCUCCGCCGCCGGUGCGGCAACCACGCCGUCGUCAGACCGCCUCACGCGGCCACCGGUCGUCCCCGCGAUACACCGCCGCCGGUGCGCCGUGCGCGGCGGCGCUGUCCCGCCGCUCCGCCGCCUACCGUCGGCCUGCGCCACCACCAGCGCACCGGCAGCACCGCGAGCUGCCGCGCCGCCCCGACAUUGGUCCUUCCCGAGCCCGGUGUCGUCACCAGCGUCGCGGAGAGAAGGUAAGGGGAGUGGCAAUUUUGCAGUAGUUUUGACGAACUUGAGGAGCAAAGUUAAAGCACAUGGCUGUGGGGAAGAGGAGAAGCGGGGAAAGCUACUUUUUAUGACUCACGCUGCUCAGUUCGAUUUGAUGAUUGGCUUCACACCGGCUUUUCCUGUGAAGCCCUUUUCAACUCACCCGUUUGGUAGGGUUUGGCCUGAAGCCGGUUCAUAAGCGGGAGCCAGAGCCCUACCAAAACUAUUUGGUGAGACUAUGAGCCGUUUGGUUCUCUGACUUAUUUUUAGCACAUGUCACAUUGAAUGUUUAGAUACUAAUUAGGAGUAUUUAACGUAGACUAUUUACAAAACCAUUACACAGCUGGAGGCUAAAUGGCGAGACGAAUCUAUUAAGCCUAAUUAGUCCAUAAUUUGACAAUGUGAUGCUACAUUAAAUAUUUGCUAAUGAUGGAUUAAUUAGGCUUACUAGAUUCAUCUCGUCGUUUAGCCUCUAUCUGUGCAAUUAGUUUUAUAAUUAACUCAUAUUUAGUCCUCCUAAUUAGCCUCCAAAUAUUCGAUGUGACACGGACUAAACUUUAGCUCAAGGAACCAAACCUCGCAUAAAUUAGCUGCUUAUUCUGCUGGUUGCAUGCAGGAGAUCGAGCUGCGGGCACACGGCCGGAUCGGAGGAGGACAUAUCAGCCGGGUUCCUGUUGGUUGUGUACUUGUGUUCCUGCCAGCGGAGAAGCAACCAUGGCCGAGUUAGUGAUCGGGCCACUGAUCUCCAUGGUGAAGGAGAAGGCAUCCAGCUACCUGCUGGACCAAUACAAGGUGAUGGAAGGCAUGGAGGAGCAGCGCAAGACCCUGGAGCGCAUGCUGCCAGCAAUCCUGCAAAUCAUCCAGGAUGCGGAGGAGAAAGGAGCCUCCCGACGAGGAGUAGCAGCUUGGCUCAAACACCUCAAGACAGCAGCCUAUGAGGCCAACGACGUCUUUGAUGAGUUCAAGUACGAGGCGCUUCGGCGAGAAGCCAAGAAGAAGGGCCACCACAGCAAGCUUGGAGUGGAGGUAGCAAGACUCCUAGUCCCCACUCGUAAUCCCAUUGUAUUCCGUUACAGGAUGGGCAAGAAGCUACGCAAGAUUGUGCAGACCAUCGAGGCCUUGGUCACCGAGAUGAAUACAUUUGGUUUCAGGCACUUGCAGCAAGCAAAGCCAUCAAGGCAGUGGCGACAGACAGAUUCCAUAAUCAUUGACUCCGACAGAGAUAUUCUUAGCAGAUCUAGAGAUCGGGAGAAGAAGAAAAUCGUGGGGAUGCUCCUUGAUCAAGCUAGCAACAUGGAUCUCAUGGUUCUUCCAAUUGUUGGGAUGGGUGGGAUGGGCAAGACCACCUUUGUGCAACUCAUUUACAAUGACCCUGCAAUCGAGAAGCACUUUGAGUUUCGGAGGUGGUGCUGCGUAUCAGAUGAUUUCGAUGCAAGUACCAUUGCAAGCAACAUCUGCCAGACCAACGAGAAAGGACGUGAAAAAUCAUUGCAGGAGCUCCAGAGUAUAAUAAUUGGAAAAAGGUACCUCAUUGCGCUAGCUGAUGUAUGGAAUCGGGAUGCUGCUAAGUGGGGAAAACUAAAGACCUGCCUUAAGCAAGGUGGCAAGGGCAGUGCAGUACUAACAACAACUUGUGAUGCAGAAGUGGCUUGCAUUAUGACCAUGGGUGUAGCUGAAGCCCAUAAUAUCGAGAAUCUGAGUGACAAGCAUUUAAAGGAAAUUGUCCAAAGCAGAGCAUUCAGCUUGCAAAAUCCAAAUAUUGAAGAGCAAGAUGGCAUUCUCAGUGGAUUUGUUCGUCGAUGCGUUGGAUCUCCCUUGGCUGCCAAAGCCUUUGGCUCUAUGUUGAGUAACAGGACUAGUAUAAAUGAAUGGAAGGAUGUAUUAGCUAAAAGUAACAUUUACCGAUCCUCAAGCUCAGCUUUGAUGACCUAUCCUCAGAUAUGAAGCAAUGCUUUGCAUUUUGUGCUUUAUUUCCUAAAGAUUAUGAGAUCGAUGUGGACCUCUUGAUUCAACUGUGGAUGGCACAUGACUUCAUACCUGUGCAGGAGGAUGACAAUCCAGAAACCGUAGGAAAAUAUAUUUUCGAGGAGCUAACUCAGAGGUCAUUCUUUCAAGAGGUCAGGCAAACACAUCCAAAGUGCUAUUAUGGAAGUCUUCGUAAGUCAACCAUAUGCAAGAUACAUGAUCUCAUGCAUGACAUUGCUCUAUCUGUUCUGGGGAAAGAAUGUGUCACUAUAGUUGGUAAGCCGAGCAUCAACAAGGUGUUGCUAAAUCCGACCCGCCACGUCUUCUUAUCAACAAGGUGUUCUCAUUUCUGGAAAGAACAGGUUACAAGUCUACUGGAUCAUCUAUUGAAGAAACAAACUGCAAUGGUCCACACGUUGUUUUUUACAGAUUAUUCUGACCCCCUUGAUAUAUCAAAGUACACUUCACUGCGAGCAUUACACCUUCCAGCAUAUAUAUUCUCAUGUGUAGGACAGGAGCAGCUUACAAGACACAUACAACACCUAAGGUAUCUUAAUCUGUCGUCACAUGAGUUCGAGAAACUUCCUGAAGGUAUAAGCAUUAUGUAUAAUCUACAAACGUCGUCACAUGUUCAGGACAGGAACAACUUACAAGACACAUACAACACCUAAGGUAUCUUAAUCUCCCACCUUCCCUCAAACAAUUAGGCAUCUGCAGCUGUGAGAAGCUCUGCUCUGUGUCAGGAGACCUGCGUGCACUCGAGGACCUACAUAUUUCUGACUGCAAUAAGUUACAGUCAGUCAAUUCCUUGGGAGACCACCCAUCAUUAGAAACACUGAUUCUUUCUCGCUGCCGAUGCCUUGCAUCUUUAGGAUGUGAUGGUGGUCGUGGGAGUUACUCUGCUCUUCAGAGCCGUAAGAUUGUAGACUGCCCAGCCUUAGACAUGAAGCAGUUUUACUAACGCCAUCAAACAGCUGCUUGACAGCUUUGAAAAUGAAGACGUAUCACACGUUCAUUCAAGCAGCUCUGAUGAAGGUAUACGACCUUUCACUUUCCUCUUAUUCAAUUUGUUUCCUUCAAAUUUCCCUGCUUUGCAUGCCCUCCUAUUUUGUUGACGAACUGGUUGAUAGAUGGGUUUGCGGGGUGGGAUUUUGGGGUUUCAUCUUCAUUCCGGCUUUUAGACGGUCCUUUCUCACUGAUGUAAACCCACAUAUUGUUGGUUUAUACGGCUAUUAAUUGGUUUUCAGUCUUGGAUGCAGUUGACGUGCAUAGAGAAAUUCUGGAAAUAUGUGCUACCCCUUGGUGUUGAGAUCAGCUGAUGCGGAAUCAUUGAAGUACUACUGAAACGACAUCCUGAUCGGUCUCAGUUUUGGAGAGCAAUUUGUGGUGAAUGGAAGCAGUCCCAAGGCUUGAAGAACUCAUGGAGUCGUGCUUCAAGAACUCAUGGAGUCGUGCUGUACCAUUCUCCACUGCUAGGGCCUAAACUAGGUACGUGGAAGGCGCACUGUGUUUUGUCAACAACACAAUUCCUUUAUAUAAGUUGGGAUAGUAAAAAACCAUGCCUUCGUCUGUGUUAAUCAAAUCUCAUUUAGCACAUAUAUGGGGGACGUGUUGUUAACUUGUUACCCCCAUGCUUUUCAUUUUUUCUGUGCAGACAUCACCCAUUUGUCCUUAAAUUAAAGCAUAAAGGAGGGGCACUCACUUGUACACAUGUUCUUAAGCACUGCAACGACUGCCAUUUGUAUACUCAGCUUCAUUGCAAGCCUUUGCUAAUGACGACAGGCCUUCAGUGGAUGACAAAAACGACCAAGUUUGUUUUCACGGCACUACUAGCUGCUGGUAUUCUCUCGUCACUAAUGUACAGAACUCCAUUCUGUCAUCCAUCAAAGCUGUGGACAAUAUGAUGUCACUCUUGUUUUAAACGAAACCGGCAGGAGAGCUGCCCCGCUAUAUUAAAAAGAAGGGAUGCCCGAAGGGCCAGAGAAGUGUACAUGAAAAAGAGUGUUAAAACCCCUUGACAAGGAAGAAAAAACUAUACACACUAAAAAGAGAAACGGUGCACAAAAACACCCUCAAGAAAGCUGCAAUAAACAUGCCAGGUGCUUAGCCCUGACCGCCACCCAAGAAGCGGCCUCCCCUUUUAUCUUUGAGAAAACUUGUAAUGAAGAGGAUUCUUUGUGGUCGAAAAUUCUUGCAUUCCUUUCAAUCCAAAGUUCCUAACAGACCAAAAUGAUUAGGCUCCUCAGCCCACUCCUAUCGACGCUUGGUGUCCUUACCCGCGCUGUCCACCACUCAUGCACCAAAGUGCACGGCUCCUAGUUUUAAGACCUUCAUUUGCUACCCAUGCAGCGAUCGCAUCCCAAAUGCGCCUGGUAAACCGGCAGUCAGUUAGGAGAUGCAUUUCAGACUCUUGAACCGUGCAACACAAAGCGCAUGUGUCAUUGUGAGGCCAAUUUCAUUUUGCUAACCUAUCUGACGACGUCCAUAUCCAAUUUUGGAUUACCAACCACCUGGAAAAUUUGCACUUCGGGAGCACCCACGGCUUCCACAUGAUCGCUUUGAAGUUUGUGAAGGUGGAGCCGACACGGUGUAUUGAUUAUUCUCUGUUAUUUUCCAUACAAUGUUGUCUGGGUUGUCUGGUAUGAGUUGAACCUAGACUACCACUGUCCACAAAUUGCAGAACUCCAUAAAAUACCCCAAUGCUAAAUUUACACUCGAUCGGACGUUCAUAUCGUCGUGGUCGACGUGCACCAGUCCUCCCAUCAGCCCAUCACGUGGGCUCCACUCCACUUUUCCCCUCGCGCUCUCUCCCCCCUCUCCAUUCCACUUCUCAUCCUUCUCUUUCUCGAUUUCUCCACGAGAUCCACCUAAGCAACUCUGCGCAUGGAGCUGUUUCGCCUAGCGUUGAGCACAACGGUGGCAGGCCUAGUGGCGGGCGGGGAAAGCAGCGAGGCUCCGCCUUGCAGCACACGGUGGCGCUCGAGAUCAUCCGACGAGGCACGGAUGUGGGCCUGUCGGUGCGCGGGGGAAGGAUCACUAGGACCAUCGAGGGCACCUCCGCGCCCCGACGGUGAGUAGCCGACGGAUCCUGGCGAGCUCUGCGGGGGUCGCGGUCGACAGCGAUCUGUUCAUUUUUUCCCUUCCUUUUUUCUCUUCUACUUUUUGUCUCAAAAUCUUUUGUCUGUAUAAAGUUUUUGUUUCCAUUUUUUUAUUUCUUUGCAUCGUGAAUUUUUUCUCCAUUAUUUUGCUUCAAAACUUUGUGGACAAAAUUUCUUUUUCAAAACUUUUCCAAAAAUUUUGUCUCAAUUUUUAUUUUCUGAGUUUUGUUCCCAAAAUCUUGCAAAAUUUUUCCUCCAAAUUUUUGUUCGCAAACUUUUGUUUCCAAGUUUUUCAAAAAAAUUAUCCUCAAACUUUUGUUUUCCAACUUUUUUUAAAAAAAAAUUCUCAUUUUUGUUUAAUGAGACGGGAAUCGCACGUGGGAAGCCGUUCCGACGUGUGGUCGGAAAUCGAUCGCACGGAAGGCUCCCACUAGUCGCGUGUAAACUUGCGUCCCCCAUAAAAUAAAUCUGUGUGAGGCUCGAGGCUGGAGGCCUAAUAAGGCCAGCUACAAGACUAUGCUUGAUAGUAGAGAGAAGUUUUGGUUGCUAGCAGUCGAUGCUGAGUUAGAGCCCCAAUGCUUGGUUAGUAAAAUAUUGCUCCAUAGCAGGAAACAGGCGUCGCUGGGCAAAGAGAAGUGCAGGAGAACCAAAAGGAAAUAGGUACAACUAGCUAAAGAAGCCAGCAGAGAGUAUUUAUGUAAGGUUUCUUAAUUUAUAGGAACCAAAGCACACUCAAACCAUAUUCCAGAAUCUUAUUACAUGCAGAACCUGAAGUAAGGGAGAUUGAAACAUAGGGCACGCAUGCAUGCCUUUAAUUACACUACUACCAGAAAUUAAAAUACGCUGCUGCCAGAAGUGCUAUAUAUUGAGAGGUAGCUGGUGCAGUGUCACGCCAACAUAUGACGCAUGGUAAUGACGGGGAGGACCUGGACGUAGUACUCGAUCCUGUAGGCAACCUUGAGUAUGAGAUCGGGUUGCUGCCAAUCGUAGCCGCCGUCGACGCCGCAGAGGAAGGUCUGCGCGAUCCUGUAGUCGAUCUUGUGCUGCUGGUUGUGCAACACGAUCUUGUACGCAUCUCGGAGAUGUUCUUUCAGACUGCUCACCAUCGACCUGGUGUUCUGGUCCCGCGACAGCUUCCAGGACUGGGGCUGCUGCAUCAGGUCGGCUAUCUGCUGUACGAAUUGUACCAGCUGCUGGAUCUCCCCCCUGUUCUGCCUCAGCGCCUUCGCCUCCUGCACGAUAGAAAGUGCGAGGCGCACGACCUCAUCAUGGUCGCCGGUUCGAGCCCCCUGCUGGUCUCCACGUUCUCCUGGACCUACCGACAACGUGCUGCUCCUCACUGCAUUCACGUCCCUGCGCAUGCAUGCCGAUCAUCUCUGGUUAAAUUUUUCGUUAUUUACGUACUCCAUAUAGGAAGUACUAUAUGAAUGUUUUAUAUAUCAGCACACGAUGAAUACCCGUCCGUGAUGUCCCUGAUUAUCAACUCAAUCACACUUUUAGCGUCGGAUGACAUAUUGUCCAUGUUAGUCAAGUUCCUGAUAGAUGACUUCAGCUCCUCUUUUUCAGUCUGAGAGUGGUCAGAGUACAAAAAAUCCAAAGCUUCCAUGCAUGUUAAAUAUUCAAUAAGACAUGCAUAUAGUAUGAAUAUAGUCAUAAUGAUCAUGUCAUGCAUAAGCUUGGUCAAAAACUAUUAAUAUAUCGCAAAAUCAGGCAACAAUGUUAAUCUACCGCUCCCUCCAUUCUCUUUAGAUAUUAAUCCUUUUCGAACACUAGUACAGUCUAGUAUUGUGCACCUAAAAUAGUCCAACGUGAUGUAACAUGGUGCUGUCUAUAAAUCGUCAGUUUAUGUUUUGAACUUUACUACCUUUUAUUUUUUUAGAUAAUGGAUAAAUAUCCGGCUUCACCCUCCUCUUUCGACCAGGCGGAUCAGUCCACAAUUAUUACAAAAGAAAUGAAUUCACACUAUGGUUUCGACCAAUCAAACCGACUCAAAGAAAUCAAUUCUGGAAUCAAAAGGUAGCUUGUCACUACCUUUUAUUUAUGUUGCAUUGUUCAUUGCCACAAAUUAUUUGCAAAUAUGAAUCUUAUAAUGCUAAACUUUUAUGGUACAAUCUACGUACAGUUUCUUUCUCAAGUUUGCUGUAGUUGUUUGCCGUUGAGUAAUAUGUAAUUCCGAUGGAUUCAAGAGUCUAGCUAGCUAGAUUUUGGUACCUGUGGAAGGCGCUUGCAAGCACCAUUUCGAAGCAGCUUCUCAAGCACGUUCAUGAAGAAGCGCUCCUUAUUGAUGCUUACAAUGAGGAUCAUGUUGGCAAUGUGGAACGACUCCAGGAUUUUGGAUAUCCGUGCAUCAACGGCGACGAUCUUGUUGGCUUUCUUUUUGGUUUUGAAGACAAGCGACCAAGUCCUCUUCUCCCUGCAGGACUCAACGAGCGCCUUCCCGUCGUUGAGCGCAUCUUCAAGAUGUUUCAGCAUGCUGUAGGUCACUGGGUCCGGCAUCCACUGGCUUUUCAGCUCCGUCAGGAGGAGGUUAAUCAUUUGCACGUGGUCUUUUAGCAUAGUACAUUUCUCCCUGUUGCGCUGAGCCGCCUCCGCCAGCCGAUUGAUCUGUUCCACGAUGCUCAUCAACGACGAAAUAAGCCCAAUUGCUUCGGCCACCCCAACCAUCUCGAUCGAUUGCGCUGCGCCUGUAUGCUUGCAACGUCAGAUUUGCACGUAUAUGAGUAUACAUGUCUACCCUCCGCCAUCCAAAAACAAUUGGAUGCCGACAAGUGGUAUUGACAAGUCUAUGCACAACACGCGAUGUCAUGUCAAAUUUUAGCUAAUUUUAGCUUUUCUAGAUUCAUAGAUAGUAUUAUGUAUCUAGACAUCCACUAUAUCUAGGUGCGUAACAAAAGCUAUGCAUCUAGAAAAUUCAAAAUGACCUACAAUUUGGGAGGGAGUACACCCUAAUAAAAAGAUUAAUGGUGGAGCCUGAAGCACAAUUUAUCGUAUAAAAAUAAUACUUGUAAAUAUAUAAAUUUAUUAUAAAAUAUAGAAACUCGAUUGACUAUCUUCUUAAUUAAUGGAGAAAUAUAGGCUGUGAAUUUUCAAAAGGAAAAGGAAAAAGUGUAUUUUUCAUCCUUCAAGUAUUGCAAAAGUGUAACAUUCCUCCUUCAUGUUUCAUUUGGUGCAAAUCAAGCCCUUAACUAACUAAAUCGGUUGCAUUUAUCAUCCCCACCUUAGUUUAAUAAUUGUUUAGUGUCAUAUAACAUCGCUUUAGGCCAUGUAAUCAUCUUACUAAUCAGUAUUUAGCCAUGUAUAAUAUUUAGUCAAUUGAUUUAAUAGUUUGGUGUGAAUCGGUUCCGUUAAUUUUUCCGAUAAAAUAGUUAUAUGGUAGUCAAUUUAGAGGAUUUACUUUUUUUGUGGGCUUUAUAUCUUUGACUUAACAUAUUACAUCACUAAGCAGUGAUUUAGAUGAAUACAUGGCAUAAACCUUCAUUAGAUGUUACUAAACCAAUUGAACUAACGUGAGGAUGAUACAUGCACUGAUAUAAUUAGUUAAGGGGUUAAUUUGCACCAAAUGAAACAUGAGGGAUGAAUGUCACACUUUUGCGGUACUUGAGGGAUGAAAAAUAAACUUUUUCCAAAGAAAUAACUUGAUCGAUCCUGGUCCCAACUAUUUUAUAAAUCUCUUUUAACAUGAAUUUUGUUGAGCUCGCAUGAACACAAAUUGUGGCAAAAUUAAAGAACAUCUACACCGUUCAAUAUACCUACAAUCCCAUACUGCAUGCAGCCAUUUUAUAAAUUUCUUUUGAUGUGAUUUUUUUAGUUCCUAACGCAGACUAUCCUUCAAGAGAAAAAAAUGGGCUAUGGAAUAUAUGAUUAUAUAGUACGAUAUCUCCUGUACAAUGUUAGUAUAUGAGUUGAACCGGUCUUGUACGACAAGAUGAUCCAAGCAAAUGGACUCAGUAGGUAAGGUACAGUUUUGUAGCCACACAACUUUGGUGUGCAAGGAUAAACAAACACUUCAAAUGGAUUCCGUUAAAAUAACUUGUAGGGGAUGCAAUAUGGCAGAUCUGCUGGAGAUGAUCUAAACUUACAUUCACAUAUAUAGGAUAAACGAACACUUCAAGUGUUAACCCUAGCUAAUGCUUGCAAACAGAAACAAUGGAGGUUCCUUGACAUUUGACUGGAUAGUAGUGUAUUGUAGAAAAAAGGGAAAUCAAUAACCUGCCAUACCUUCUCAAAGCUCCAACCAAGAAAUAGCGCUACCUCACCCAAUAGGCUGUGUCGCCUUGCUUCAGCACAAGGUAGCGAGCACACGGCUAUUUAUACAAAUAACAUUGUAUAAAUGAACGCAUGCAGAAAAGUAUACUUUGCCUAGGUACGCAUGGAGACUUGCUUAGAUUGACCUGGUUACCUGUACUGUACUCACUUCAUACUCUUGACAACGCAAUUCAGCUACCAAGGAGUACGACCUGCGUCGACGAGACGAAGACUUGUUUAUACUCAGGGCAACGCAAUUCAGCUACCAAGGAGUGCGACUUGCGUUGACGAGACGAAGACUUGGACCUCGUCUUCGACUGCAUGCAUGCAUUGGACUAAUCUAACCACGCGGCGACUCGCCCCGGCCCGUGAUGACCCUGUAUAUGGAAUAGUGUGCAUGGAGGAUUAUUCACUCACGCUGCGCUGCCGACAAUGAAAGUACCGCAUGCCCAAACAGUACGUUGCUCAUGGUUGAGUAAAUGUAACUAAGUACACCCAACGUCCUGAAAUAUACUUACGGUAUAUUUAAGAACGGAGCUGUACUUACGGUAAAAAAUCAUUGCUCAUGGUUGAAACUUCAAAACAGACGGUUUUUGCCCACCAGCAGCGAUAGCCGGGACCGUUUCCGCGCUCAUCGGUGCAAAUUGCGCAACUAGCAGGACGAGACAUGCACGCAAACAGCUGGUGAAACAUGCAUGCACCUAGCAUGGCUAGUCGUCGGGCAGCAACUAGCACGAGACUAUAUGUUCAUGCAAGUGUCUCAUUAAUCAUAGCGCGACCUAACACCAAAACACAUCAACCAGCAGCGUAUCUAGAUUUUCGACCUAAUGUUACUAAUACAGACUAGGCUAUCACCGUCAGCUUAUCACCACUGGUUUUCGGUGAAUCUGCGGUGAUAGAGUGUCACCGCCGGUCCAAUAUUUAGUCGUACUCAAUGUUCAUUGGUCAUUAUGUCUUUACUAGAGAACCGGGCUUCAAUCCCGACCCAUCAAUCCUGAAUGCCAAUGCUCCCGGUUCAGUGGCUACAUAUCACGUCCGGUUUCUAAACAAAACCGGUAGAUGAUCCGUGGGGCUAACAUCUCUCCUAAUCAGUGGCUCAAACCUGCUGUCAAGUCCGCUACUGCUUGCUCAUCCUCCCAUGAAGUUAAAGUGAAAUCCAGUUUGGCUUAAAUAAGAUUUAUAUUUUUUUGGCCUGUUAGCUUGAGCUUCUUCCAGCGGUUGCGGCUGUUGCUCAUCUUCAGAGUUACCAUCCUCGCUCUUCAUGUUCACCCUUCCCAGCCAUUCUCAAGUCACCCAGAGGGGGGGUACAAAGGCUCUCCGCUAGAGUUCGGAGGCCGGACAAUGCCCGUCACAUCCGCCUUCCAUGAAGGUUUUUGCUGGCAGCCAGGCAUUUCGAGGGUAACAGAUCAAGUGGUGGAAACCUUUAGUAGAAUGCUUAUCACUCAAUUGACUCACAUCUCUUUUGUUUAAGGAAACCAAGCCCACUACUACAAAAUUAAUAUCAAGAUAAUAUGUUAUAAAACUUAUUUGUGAAAACUCAAGAUAAGCAUGCACAGGAAUUUCAGGAAAGUGCCGGGUGCCUCACAACCAAGCUCAUUAAUACCAAAGAAAGAUCAACAAACAAAACAAAUGGACACAACGUUCAGAACCCAAUCAUUUGCCCACCAAGAAUGCCAUACCCACACCAGAACAAAUAAGAACAGAAGUUUAAAAGGGUAAAAAUUGGUUGAUGAUGCAUGGAACGAAACGUAUAGAAUGCUUAUUACUCAAUCGACCCACAUCUCUUUUUUUUUCUAGGAAACCAAGCUCUCAUUACUACGUUGGAACAUCUAACCAACCAAAUGGACGAAAUUGUUUAUUUGGCCUCCAAGAAUGCCAUACGACCUGAAUAACUGAAAGCGCUAACAAAGCCACUUAUUGUUGUGCAUAGCAGCUAAGCUUGACUUAUUUGCAAACGGGUGCGAAAUGCGAUACAAUAAUUCAUAGUUCUAGACGUCAUGAGCCACGCGUGGGAUAAGAAGAAGCUUCUCCUUACGGUGCACAUCAACCCCAUAUGACUCUGUCAUAUCGAUGCUUGUCGACCCUGGUGGAAGCUCGGCUUGCAGCUUGCAGCUUGUUCAUUGAUUGGGGAUUCUGCAUCAGCUCAGCCAUGGCGUAGUCGAGCGCUAUGUACGUUGUGUCUGUCCCAGCUUCGAACGUGUCCUACACGCAUGUAUCAACAAAAUUCAAUCAAACUUUAGCAAACUAGUCCAUGAAACAUGUCCUAUGUACGUCUUGUAAGGAUUAGCUUGGAAGCUUCAAAAGAAACCUUCAAUUAGUAAAAGUUUGAUUUUUUAAAAAAAUUUGAAGUUUAGUUGCAUACAUGCGGUCGGUAGAAAUGGAACUCUGCAUAUACAUACCAUCAGUAUUGCCUUGAUAUUAUCUCUGGUCAGGCCGUACUCUUGUUGAACGGAGAGCAACACGUCGAUAAAGUCCCCCUCGUCCUCACCAUCCAGCGUCUUGCUCUUGUGCUUGUCGAUGAGGCUGUCCAAAAGGUCAUCCCAUCUCUUCAUGUGCUUCACGGCCUUGGCCGACACCAAAUCAAACCUUGCCAAGCUCGGGAAGUAGUCAUCCAGGUUGAAUCCUCCCAGGAGCUUGGUGUUCGUCUCUAGCAGCUCCCGGAAGAGCUGGUUCCGGCCUUGUUCCCUGGGGAGCCUGCCCGUCAUGGCCUGGCACACAAUGUCAUUGGCGAAGAAGCCCAAGAUUUCGCUGACGUCGAUCGCCGUGCCCGCGGCGGCGGCGGCCCUCACCCUGGCUAAGACCAGCCGGACCUCCUGCUCGCGGGCGGCGCGGUAUGACCGGACCUUCGCUGCGGUGAGGAGGUGGGUGGUGAUGACCUUCCUGGCUCGGCGCCAAUACUCGCCGUAAGGCGUGAAGCUAACGUCAGUGGAGCCGUAGAAGAGGAUGUCAGCGACCACGGAGUGCGGUCGGGAGGCGAUGACGUGGUCGUGCGUGCGCAGGACAGCCUUGGCGGCGCGGGGGGAGGAGACGACGAGCGUUGGCACGGCGCCGAGGCGGAGGAGCAUCACGUCGGGCCCGUGCUUCUUGGCGAGGUCGCGGAGGGAGUGGUGGGGAAGGGAUCCGAUGAGGUGGAGGUGGCCGAUGAUCGGGAGCUUGAACGGAGGCGACGGUAGCUUCCGGAGCAGGUUCUCUGUUCUGGACCUUGGUGUUGCCAAGUGCACGGCGACGAGGAAGAGGAAGAAGAGGAGGGCUAGGGACUCUGGAGAUGCGUGUUCGUAUAGAGGUGCGCUAGCGCUGGAGCCGCCAUGGCUGAUCAACCUGCUCGUUGCAGUUUUUGUAGAGCUCGGAAGUCGUGAUCCGUCAGACAGCAAGAAGAGUAUGCUACCAUUUUUUUUCUUUUCUGCAUCACCGCCAGAUCAGAUCAGACAGGAUUUUAUGAGAGAAUCCUAUGGAAUCAUCAUCCUUUUUAGUAAACUUCACCAGACGCAGGAACGCGAGCCGAUUAAUUGGCAAGCUUUUCUCUCAGAAUAUGUGUUUGGUGCUGGAUUAAUUGGCGUGCAGGUUGAAGAAAGGCUGCUUUAUAGAUUAGCCCCCGAAGAAAAAGGAAAUUCCGACGGAAAGUUUGUGUCUUGUGGUUUUGCAAAAAGGACCCUGGAAAGGCUAGAUUCUCAAGUUCCAGUCCUACCCGAGAUCUUUUGCAAAUAUAACCCUAUAAAUUCUGUUAUUUGCAAGUACUUUUACGUGUGUCUUGCAAAUCUUUCUUGCUAGCCCCUGCCGUCUAUGGCUAAUUGCAUCUGGGUCCCUGCCACCUUGUUUGUCUCAUAACUUCUUCCUUCUAGCUCCAUUUUGAGUGAUUCUUUCGCUCACACGUUCGUCUUAACGAGUAGAUUAGUUUGGUACUGCUUUUAUGGUACUGCUUUUAAGUAAUAUUUUUGAUGAUUGGUGUACUGUUUUUAAUUAAAUGCAUUUGUUUGCUUGUAUGUGCUUGUGUGACGCGUAUAGAAGAAGCGUAGUUCGAGGAAUCCAAAGAGGAGGGAGACUGAAGACUCUGAGCAGCAGAAGGGCUUGGAGGAAGGCAAGUGUCCUUGGUCAUUCCCGUUUAUACCUAAAUGACAUGCAUUGAUUCACAAUAUUUAUUUAUCGCAAGCAUUAAUAUGAUGGGUUCCUAUUAAGGAUGAUGCCUAGUUUCUUUUGAUCAUACCUUGCAGCCAGGUUGUUCAAAUAAUCUGGAGGGUAGAUGAUGCUUAGUUUGCUCAACUGGGUUGGUAAAUAAACAAUAUGGUUAAUUUUAUUUAUUUACUCUAUGUUCCUUUAUGUUGAUUUAAUUACAAGACCAUAUGUUCUAAACGAACAUGGAGCGACCACCCAGGAAAAUAGUACAACCACAAGGACUACAUGGCUCUGGUCUUGGCUAACUAAUUAGAGGACUCUAGUGUUGGAUUGGUGUUAAGGGGGGGCAUGUCUCGCGGAACCUCGUGCAUUGGAACACACUAGGGAAGUCUUUGUUAAGGCCUCUAGCGUCCCUAUGCAAUCACACCUCGGAAGUGUGGUAUUGUGCCUACUUUUGCACAGCAUGGUUGAAUCCAAAGUUCACCUGAACUUUUAUGCGACUUGUGGGUAAAGAUGUACAACCUCUGCAAAGUGUAAAACUGUUAUAACAGCCGUGCUCACGGUCAAGAGCGGCCUGGACCCUCACAUGAUUAAUUUACUUGAAGAUGAUACUAGUGUGUUAUUUAUGUUCAUGCUUAUGGUAUAUCAAUGCUCUAUAUUAAUUGUGGGAUGGUAUAAACUUACAUUUGCUAGUGAUUAGGUGUUGAAUAAAAACUUGACCAACUAAAAGUGCUAAUCGCAGUUAACCUUGUCAGCCUUCCACCAUAUAAAGCCUUGCAUAUCAUAGAUAUUUCUCUCUUGCUGAGUACGACAUGUGCUCACGCUUGUGUUUUAUAUAUUGCAUCUACAACGUCCGGAUUGCUGCUCAGACCCGGAGAACUUUGAAGAUUACUGAAGUUUUUGGAGGAGUUCUAGGUGAGUCCACCAGUCAGCUGCCUGUGGAGUUGUUGGAGAUGCGCUGCCUAUAUUAGAGAUUUCUAUCUCAAUUCUAGUUACAUAAUUUAUGUAAUUCUCUCUCUACGCUAUAACACAGUAUUUGAUAUUUACUGAAGUCAUCGUAUGUUUGAAACUUGAUCCUGGCAUACAUAUGAUAGUCAUCUGGUUUUACAUUUAAAACCGGGUGUGACAGGAUGCUACCGAUGGCUCUGCAACUUGAUGCAAUUCAUGCACGCUGCUGGGUGGCACCCAUGGUGCGAGAUGUCCAGGAAGAGUGCAUUGGCACUGUGGCGGCGGAUCCGACCAGUAGCAGCAGCUCGCACAGGUCACGACAAUGUGCAUCAUCACAAAAAUCCGAGGCUGCCCGCGCAGGUCGAGCUUUUAUUUGCUUGGAUCGGAUAUUCCUUCCUACUAAUAUCAUGGCUAUCUGUGUGAGGCUCAUAGGCUGGAGGUCUAAGGGUAGCCAUAGACACUACUAUAGAACUGACCGAGGGCUGAUUAGGCUCAUAGGCUCAUAGGCUCAUAGGCUGGAGGUCUGAUUAGCUCAUAUUCUUUGUCUCACCCUAUGGGUAUCGUGGAGGCACGGCGCCAAGCUGGCGGCACGGUGUAGCCUCAAUUCAGAACUUUCCUAGCCAGGGCGUGGCCGAGGGCGAUUGGUUGCUCAACCUGAUGAGAACUUGGGUGGGUGCUCCUAGAUGGGAGAGAAUAGGGUGACGGAUGAGAAUGCAGAUGAGGGACGGGGCUCAGACGAGGGGUGGGUUGGAGACAUGUUUUCACUGUUGAACUCUUAGCGUCAAGAUGAGAGGUGAGAUGAGAUACCGGUAGGACCUGCUCUUACCAUGGCACUUCAGCAACCCCACCCCAACCCCGCGCGCAAGUCAAAAUUUGAGGACCAUAUGUACAAUACGUGUGCAAACAGAACCAUAAUUUUACUAGUAUCGAGGGAUUUUAGUUAUUUCUUCUAAAAAAUCUCUUGGGAAAUCGUAUUUUUGUAGUACAACAUAUAUAGAAAAUAAGUAUUACUCACAAAUAAACUGCCCUUUUCUUUAGUAUUCUUGGUUUUUGUUAUUAUUUUAUUUAAUCUUAAGAUUUAUAUAUGCAUAAAAAAGUAAUUUAGUAUCUUCAAAUAUGGAAACGUGGUCUUAGGAAUAGGGCUCAUAUUUUAUUCUUGAGCAUGCCUAGUGGAAAAAUACUAUCUAAAAAACCGCAAAGAAAUUUAAUACCUAAGCCUUCGAUCCACUCUACUUUUUGUAUACUAGUUUACCUGCAAUCCACUGGCUUGCACAUUAUAUUUCAUCAUACGGAAAUGUCUGAGAUUGUGAACGGAAGCAAUUUCAUCUGUCUGCAACCCUGCAUAGCAUGUGACAGCCCGGGCUGCGUGCCAAGAAACACCCAGAGCUCCUGACACAACCGCGUGAGCACCUUCUCCGACAUGCGCACAUGAGGACCGCAUGCACCCAUAUGCAAGGUUCACAAAUACGUGCGUGCUUAAACUAUAUAUAUAUUAUACAUAGUUUAUUAUAUUUUUGGCAGGGAUAUGAUAAUCAUUAAUUAUUACUUGUAAAGAUUGGAAACGUUACAAACGAUUGUAGAAAAAAUGCGAGUCACCAGGAAGGUAGGUAGUAGAGCAUGCCGUCAGUGUCUUUCCUGUGACCUGUGUUCGUGGUGCACAUGGCAGAAUGCACAGUCUAUACAUAGGAACCAGAAGUUGGCUUCGAAACCAAAUCACUCAUUAGUCCUUCAGUACUGCAGUGAACGCUAUCUAGCUAGCUAAUUUCCCCUUGAAAUCAGUUUUCUUGCGUGGCCAUGGGUAGCCUUCCACUUGAAGCCAUGAUGCCACUGAACCCCGAUUCAUUCGCUGGGGAGUCCAGUGCCGUGGUCGACUUCCUCGCCGACUACUACCGCAACGUCGAUAAGUAUCCGGUCAUGGCCAACACCCAGCCAGGGACCAUCCGUAAGCUUCUUCCGGAGGCAGCCCCGGAGUUGGUUGGUACUCAACAAGUCGUGGGAAAUAGUGUAGUGUAAGGCCAACCAUGAUACCCUUAUACUACCUAUACUACUCAUGUAUACUACCCAUACCACAGGCGUAGGUUUCAGUAGUAUGAAAUUAAUCUUGACCGUCGGAUAUGUUUAUACUAGUCAUUUUCGAACACAAGUAUAGUCUAGUGUUGUGUUCCGUAAAAGAGCUCAUAUAAUAUGUUAUAAAACUUAUUUGUGAAAGCUGAAGACAACACCAGGGGAUAAAUUCCAGAAUAGGUGAGAACAAAAAUUUAAAAGGGCAAAAUUUGUUGAUGGAUGGAAAUGCAUAGAAUGCUUAUUACUCAAUCGACUCACAUCUCUUUUUUCUAGGAAACAAAGCUCUCAUUAGUACUCUACGUUGGAAACAAAGCACUUAUUGUUGUUCAUAGCAGCUGAGAUUGACUUACAUAUAUUUAUUUGCAAACAGGUGUGAAAUGUGAUACAAUAAUUCAGAAAGCUAGACAUCCUGAGCCAUGCGAGGGAUAAGAAGAAGCUUCUCCUUACGGUGCACAUCCAUCCCAUACGACUCUGACAUAUCGACGCCUGUCGACCCCGGCAGAAGCUCCCAGUUGAAGUGGUAGAUGAGGUUGGCAAGAAUGAUUUCGAAAGUGGCGGUGGUGAAGUUUAUACCCGGGCACAUCCUUCGCCCAGACCCAAACGGCAAGAAACGGAAGUCGUUCCCCUGGAAGUCAGAAGCAGCAUCCACGGCUUCUUCCAUGAACCGCUCAGGCAUGAACUCCUCUGCAUUCUCCCAGUAGGUGGAGUCCCUGCCUAGAGCCCACGCGUUGACGAUUACACGUGUCCCAGAGGGUAUGGUAUAUCCCUCCACCUCCCAUUCGGCCAUGGACAAGUGGGGUAUCAAAAGAGGCCCCGGCGCGUGGAGCCGCAUUGACUCUUUCAUCACCGCCGUCAGGUAGCUCAUGCCGCUCAGGUCUUGUUCAGUGACCAGUUCCUUCCCCUUGGUUGCGCACCCCCGCACCUCAGCUUGAAGCUUGGUCAUCACCUUGGGAUUCCGCAUCAGCUCAGCCAUGGCGUAGUCUAGUGCUAUGUAGGUUGUGUCCGUCCCAGCUUCAAACAUGUCCUACAUGAAUAUAUCGGUAAGUAGAACUCCAAAUCAAAUUUAACCAAGCUAGUCCAUGAAACGUCUCAUAUGUACCUCUCGUGAAAAAUAAACAUACCAUCAGUAUUGCCUUGACGUUGUCUCUGGUCAGGCCGUACUCUUGUUGAACGGAGAGCAGCACAUCGAUGAAGUCCUCCUCGUCCUCACCAUCGACCGGCUUGGUCUUGUGCUUGUCGAUGAGGCUGUCCAAAAGGUCAUCCCAUAUCUUCCUGUGCUUCACGGCCUUGGCCGAUACCAAGUCCAACCUCGCCAAGCUCGGGAAAUAGUCGUCCAGGUUAAAUCCCCCCAGGAGCUUGGCGUUCGUCUCUAACAGCUCCCGGAACAGCUGGUUCCGACCUUGUUCCCUGGGGAGCCUGCCCGUCACGGCCUGGCACACGAUGUCGUUGGCGAAGAAGCUGAAGAGCUCGCUGACGUCGACCGCGAUGCCCAUGGCGGCGGCGGCCGUCACCUUGGCUAAAACCAGCUGGACCUCCUGCUCGCGGGCGGCGCGGUUGGACCGGACCUUCGCCGCGGUAAGGAGGUGGGUGGUGAUCACCUUCCUGGCCUGGCGCCAGUACUCACCGUAGGGGGCGAAGCCGACGUCGGUGCAGCCGUAGAACAGGACGUCGGCCACCGCGGAGUGCGGCCGGGAGGCGAAGACGUGGUCGUGUGUGCGCAGGACGGCCUUGGCGGCGCGUGGGGAGGAGACGACGAGCGUUGGCACGGCGCCGAGGCGGAGGAGCAUCACGUCGGGCCCGUGCCUCUUGGCGAGGUCGCGGAGGGAGUGGUGGGGAAGGGAUCCGAUGAGGUGGAGGUGGCCGAUGAUCGGGAGCUUGAACGGAGGCGACGGUAGCUUCCGGAGCAGCUUCUCUGUUCUUGACCUUGGUGUUGCCAAGUGCACGGCGACGAGGAAGAGGAAGAAGAGGAGGGCUAGGGACUCUGGAGAUGCGUGUUCGUAGAGGUGCGCUAGCGCUGGAGCCGCCAUGGCUGAUCAACUAGUGUGCACAACACACGGCUUGCUAGCGCAACAAGUUAGAACCAGCUCGUUGCAGUUUUUGUAGAGCUCGGAAGUCGUGAUCCGUCAGACAGCAAGAAGAGUAUGCUAUUUUUUUUCUUUUCUGCAUCAUCACUAGAUCAGAUCAGACAGGACCGACCAGAUCUGAUCUUUUAUGAGAGAAUCCUAUCGAAUAAUCAUCCUUUUUAUUAAACUGCACCCGACGCAGACUUUCUUUAUUUGCCCAUGUGCUAUUAUAUUAAUUUUUAUCUCGACUAUAUACCACUGUCCUCAUGUAUGUUGUGUACCAAGAGGAACACGAGACGAUCGAGAUUCCAAUAAAAUAUGUGUUUGGUGCUGGAUUAAUUGGCAUGCUUUUCUCUCAGAUGAGCUGCGUGUAGUGACAGCGGCGCUCGCAAUAGUUGGUCGGCGCACUGGUAGACGGGCAGCUCAUGGAUGCUACCGACGGCUCUGCAACUUGAUGCAGUUCAUGCACGCUGCUGGGUGGCACCCAUGGUGCGAUAUGGCAUUGGCAUUGGCACUGUGGCGGCGGAUCCGACCAGUAGCAGAAGCUCGCACAAGUCUAAAUGUAUCUAACUUUGAUGAAUUUUAAUUUCAAAUCUAUGGAGGCUUUUGAGCUCGAACUAAUUGAAAUGGAUCACACUUUAGUAGUGCUUUCAACAUAAAAAAUUGACACAAAAUUUGGCGGUGAGCAGUCUGCCUAGCCCAGGCAGAAAAACAAAGGCUUGAAACAAACAAGCCCUUGGUGUGUGCCUGAUAAUCAUAUGUUCGAAACUCCGAUCCUGUCGCCCUUGAUUAAAAUUCAUAGUAGAGACCUAUUGAGGAUUAGCCCUGGCAUCGAUCCGGCCACAGGAGAGACCGGGAGCCAAGAAGUGAAGUAAGUUGCGUGCGUGCCUGACGGCGAGGAAGCACCUCCAUUGAGCCACGAGGUGGAGUACGAGGCAGAGGCGAGAUGGGAUGUGUUGGGGACAGACUCACAUGACGGAGAGUGGUGCAUCUCCUACCUACCAUCUGCCAUUGCCGAGGGCCUUUCACCGUGCACCACUCCGGUUCGCUCUUUUGCGUCGCUGGGAGGAAAGGGACCGCCGAGCGUUGGGUGCCGCCACCGCUCCUGCGUAGUUCGCCAUGGCCACCUCCUCCGAGAGCGCCCUCACCAGCGGCUCCAGCGCUGCACCUCAUUCCAGGGAUGGGGCAGCCGCUGCUGGGUCACAUCCGCCCGGGGAUUGGGCCGUUGCCGGGGAAUAAGAGGAGCGCGGCAGAGAAGAAAAGGAGAAAACAGAGGAGCCGUGAUUGACAGGGACGGAGGAAAGAUGAUGAGUGCGUACGGUGGGGUAAAAAUGGAAUUGGUUUUUGGUAGAAACAUUUUCUAACUUGUGGUUUUUAUGGGUCUCCACCUUAUCCUCUCUCAAUUGCAUGAUAGGUGGGUCCGACAUGAGCGGUAAGGUGGUUCUGGUUUGGGUGAGAAAGGUUUUCAAUUAUGUUGGAAAACAGGCUUCGCGGAGGCUCAAACACAAUGAGGUUUGAGCAGUCCUUGCAAUUCAAUUCCAAAGAAAUGAACAUAUGUUUACAUCGGGGUAGGGCUCUCCUUUUAUAGUAUCUCGGAGGACAUUUUGCAUUCCGCAAUUACCCUCACUCACCCACUACAAUCCUAGAAUAUGCUUUACAUGGAGGUAACUUGUAUAACUUGGUCUCCUCCUUGGAUCACGCUUCUCACGCCUUUAGUCAGCUCCAUGAUUCAUGCUCUCACAUGGUUCCACAAAUCAUGCCUUCACAUUUCCAACGCCUCCACGCUUCCUGACCUCAUGACCGAAGCCAUCUUAGCUUCGGGAGUCAUGAUCGCCAUAGAUUCGCACCUAAGAGACGCUAGCCUCGCGCCCUGCUCCUUGACUUGAUUCAGCGAUCCUGCAUGAGACACUAAAUAACUCAGCACUCGAGGUUAGCUUCGACUGCUCGAGGUCAAGCUUGGUUAGUGUUUGGUGAUCUGUGAUUGCCUCCGGGCUUCGAGGUAAGAUUCAGGAUAGCGAGGCUAUGAUUACUUUCCACGCCAGAUUAACCACCCAAGGUUAGGGCCCCUCACCCGAUGUUAAUUAUUUUGAGGGGCUAAGCUGUUGACGCUAAAUGUAACGACCUCGAGGGUGACCAUCUUUUUGGGCGAUCCCCAACAGUAGCCCCUCGUGGGCAAGGCUCGACACCGACGACCGAACCCGUGACUUAAGGAUCUGCUCCCAAAAAACGUCACUCUCGAGCAUCGGUUAGAAAUGAGCCAACAGUGACCUUUUUGGUCUUACGUGUCGAUUUCCUAUUGGGUGACCCUUCGUAUCUAGCUCGUGGUUACAGGCGCCAUUUCACGCAUUUUACCAUGCCUAUAAAAGAGGGGGGUGGGGUCGCUUUCGUUUUUACCCUCGCGGCUGAAACCCUUGCGCUCCUGCUUUUGCUCGCUGCUUCCGUGCUUUAAGAUUCAUGCAUUGUAUGCUGUUGUCCUUGGUCUCGAGGAUCUCGAAGGUAACAAUGUUACUUGUGUCUCUCUUUUAGUGUGAGAUUUUCCCUUGCUUGUCAUUUUGGAGAUGAUGUUUCGAUGCCUUGCAGCUGGCUCGUAUUAUGCAAACCGCUAGGCCCAUGACAUCAGAAGAGUUCACUAAACAAGCUGGGCUUCGCAACGAGGCUGCGGAAGACCAGGAUUUGUCCAAGGCUGACGAGAAGCAAGGAAUCAAGAGGAUUGAGCUUUCUUAUGCCUAGAAGAAUAGGUGGGAAGAUAAUUGGCUAAGCUACUAGUUCUAUAUCAAGAUUGACACAGCCGAUGCGUCUGGUAUCAACCAAUCUUUCUAUCCUUCUAUGCACCCCUGGGCCCUAUGGACAUUGCUACUACCCCUGCAUUUACAAGGUCCAAGGCAGUCAAGGAGUGCAAGGGCGCUUUCCUCCCGGACUCGAAGUCGAUCCCCGACUGGAUCUUGUUGAAGAGUUUUUAGCAGCCAACAUUUGGCCCCUUUCUGAUGGGUGGAGUCCAUUGGAGAUUGUGCCAAAAGAGGUUCCGUGGAGUACUAGCCCGCUCCUCUACCCUUGCUUUGGAGUGGAGCUGCCCGUGGAUGCCAACCCCGGUCUUUUUGCAGAGGAUGUUGAGAGGCAUGCUGUUGAUAUAAUUGGCCCGAGUAUUGAGACUGAGCUGACGUUAGCUCGAAAGAUCAUUCACACGAGCUUCGGGUCAACCGUGUGUUCGAGGAACUUGGGGUCGAUGUUAAGCCUUGUCCCAAACCUCGCAAGACCUUGAAAUGGGAACGAGAGGCUGGCGCGACACGCUCGGAAUAGGUUGGCGGCAGUGGCAGGUGGAAAAAGAGAAAGGCCGAGAGCACCGCUCCUAAGGCCGCGGCAGUGACUUCAAAGAAGGAUGACAGCCAAUCGAGGGUCGUGCUCGAGGUGCGAAAGCAAAAUUAAAGACCUCGAGCCUCGAAGCUCAGAAGAAGUAAGAAACAAUUGGACAAAGUUCCUCGAGCGAGGCCGCGCCCCUGUCUCUAAAGCCGUCCGAGUUGCGACCAAGUCCGAACUCGAGGCUGCCGGCGCGCUGGCCGGUAUGAAAGAAAAGAAGUCUACGAGGAAGUCUCGCGUCGGCAAAGCCUUUGAUGAUGAUGAUGAUAUUGUUUUGGAUGUGGACUUGUCUAUGUUCCCUAUAUCGGUCCCCGAGGCUAGUGUUCCUUCAAAGGAGACUGAGACUAAGGUUGUUGCACCCCUUCUACAGCACGAGGCCAAACCUUUGAAGGAGAAGAUCAUGGAUACCAUUGCUAAGGAGAUUAAGGCGUAUACUUCGAAGGUGACAAAGCCAGGUAAACAUGUCGUUGUACAUUUGCCUAGGAUGAGAUUUUUUGAUUUUGGUGAUGCGUCAUUUAGAUUUCUGAUGGAGCUGGAAAAAACCACUGGUGCACCUGGGGAGAUAUACAGGGAACCUCCUCUAAUAUUUAGGGUAAAACCUUAUUCUACAGAUUCUGAACUGUCACCCUCUCUGGAACGUUACAACGAGGCCUACAGCACCAACCUUAGACAGGAGCUCAUUGCUGUUCAUGUGCCGGGUUCAGGUGAGGACGAUAAUCGCUACAACCUACCCUUGUUGUGGGGAGCUAAGGAUGGGAUGCGUGGUGUAGAUAGAGCAGCCAAGGAGGUUUUCAAGAUGUCUGAGGGGGUUGUCGGUGAGGUUGGUGGGCAUGGAGAAAGGGAGGAAGGAGAGGUUAUCCCUACUCGAGGUCUUGGGAAAUCCACUGUGCCUUUUGAGGUUGAUUACGAGGACAAGUCUUUUAAUCCUGAGAGUAAGCGCUUGCUCCUUAGUUUGUUUUGUCUGUACUUAAUUUCUACUUUGCUAUGCUUUGACGUGCCUUUCUUUUGACAGAGUAUGAAAAAUCAGUUAGACGUUUCGAGCAAAAGGACUUAGCUAGGAUGUCAGCUACCAUCGGAUACAAGGUAUUUUGUUCGACGCUUGCUAUUUGUUUCUUAUCUCUCUUUUUUUACGAGGCUUUUCAUUUUGGUGUUUCGAUUUUGCAGUCCAUCAUCCUUGGGAAGAUGCUAUGGAGAAGGCUGCGGCUAAGGAAAAGAGCAUGCUAGCCGAGAGCACGAAGAUGAUGCAGCUAGAGGCUAGAGUUGCAAAGCUUGAGGAGGAAAGCAAGGUUUUAUAUGCCUUGAAGAAUGAGCUCGCCGAUUCUAACUCUGACCUUAAAAACAACAACGUGCUGCUAACAAAUACCUACAGCGAGCUCGUGCAACAAGUUGAGAAGCUGGAGAAAAGACCCGAAGACAAUCUUGGUGUUUUGGAGAAACUCCGAAGCGCCACAGAAAAAGACGCACAGACUAUCACAGAGCAGGAAAAAAUGAUUCAUACCCUUGGUCAGGAUCUCAAAGAGCAAAAGACCUUUGUUGUGGAAGCAGAGCGGGCUCUCAAGGAAAAGUUCGCUGAGAUCUAUGAGGGGUACAAAACUGCUCUUGCAAAGUUUGGCGCAGAGCCUCUUUUGUUUCUGGGUGAUGAAAGUGUAAAAGAAAUAUUUGAUUGGGUGGAAGAGGAGUUCAAAGGCCUGCCCGAGGUUAUUACUGGCAGCAGCAACUUUGCUGCUUCCUUCUGCCUUGAUAGCGCAGUUCAACUCCUUGAAAAGAACAGCUACUCUCAUUUCUUAACACUCGUGGCUCGCACCUAUAUGUUCCCCUCGGCCUCGGAGCUUGACGAAGAGGAGAAAUCUAAAAAUUUGAGAGCCACGAAGAUAAAUUUCUUCAAACAGCUUUGGGCUACCUCCGGGCGAGAGUACACAAGGCUGGUUGCUCAAGAGCGGCUUGCACAGGUUAGGGUUCACAUAACUUUGUAUUUCAUAAGGUUUUCAUUUUUUCUGUUGAUUUCCUGAUGUUGUUCCUCUUGUGUUCGUAGGCCAAGGCAUAGGAAGCAAAAGGCGAAGGUGGGAGCGAGAACGGUGAUGCUGAUCAAGGAGGGCAGUGAUUAUCGAAGCUAGUUAGAGAUUUGUUUUGUGGUUUGGGAUGUUUUGAUAAACUUGAUACUUAGUUGGCUGCUUUUGCAGGCCAGAUUGUAAAUAUUUGUUGCUCAGCCGGAACUUACAUGCUCGAAGCUGGUUACUUUUGGCGUUUGUACCUUCACGGAUUUCUUUUUGUCUUAACGUUUUUAUGUUUGAGUUAUUCUACUCAAAUGGCAACAAAGCUGUAGCUUAAAGAAACGAGCAAUGUUUUAGUUUAAAACGUCACCCCUGCCCUAGUUUCUUUAUGCGUAGGUUUUGUUGACUUUGCACGCUUGUUGUCUAAGCUUAAACGGAGCUUAAAAACGUCACCCCCUUCUUGGCAUGUGGGUCUUACCCGAGGCAAUUCUCUCAUGGAAAGAGGAUGAAAACGAUUUUUGUUUGCCAAAAAAUGUCACCCCCGCCCUUUUAUCCUUUUUUCGAAAAAACGUCCAACCUCACCCUUUUCUUUUGCAUGAACGAGGUUAAGUGAGUAUUGACAAACCACAAGAUAAGUCAAUAGAAAACUUGUUUUCGAGUUAUGUUGACUUAAAAAUAUGACAGUUUGGUUGAAAUCGCAACCCUUAUGAUGUGUUUGGUUGGGCUGUGGCUUUUCAAAAAGCUGCUCUGAGCUGUGGGGGCUGUUGAAAAGCAACUGUGAGAAAGCAGCUGUGGGAAAAGUAUAUGGCCGUUUGGUUAGAGCAGAUGUGGCUUUUGAAUAAAUUUUUGAGUGGACCCUGCAUGUCAUCCACAGUCCACCCCACUCAACUCUCUCCCUCUCUCGCUGAUGAGCGGGUCUAACCCUUCUUCCUCCCGCUGGCUAGUCCACCCCACAGCACCCCGAGUAGCACCAGGGCCGCAAUGGCAUCCACGACGAUGUAGUCCACAAUCAGGGUGAGGUCCAUGACGGCGAUGGCCUGCACCUCGCCUCCUCCACCUCGCACCACGUGGCGGGCACCGUAGCACCAACGGCAUCUAGGAGGCGGUAGCACCCCGUGGGCACGCAUGCGUCGACAAGGAGGUUGAGGCCGGUCUGUGCUGCCAAGAGCCCGCCCACGGCGCCCGCGCAGGUGAGCCCCACCUCGGUGACGAAGUAGGCUGCCGCCGCCAUGGUGCCCUUCGGCGCGGAGGCGGAGAGUGAUGAGGAGACGGAUGCCAUGGCAGCGGCGAGGAGGAGGAGACGCGCGAUGAUGAGUGUGUGCUGCUGGAGGUCGGAGGCCGGGAGCGAGACGGCAAGGAGGCCUGCGGCAUGGGCGAGGAGGAGGAACGACAGGGAGAGGAGGAGUGGGAGGUGGGGCAGGAGUAAUGGGAGUGGGAGGAACGGGAGCAACGGUGGGAGGAGCAGCAGCGGGAGGAGCGUCGUGGAGGCCAGUGGGAGGAAGGCGAACAGGAGCAUGAGGAGUAGCGGGAGGAGGCAGAGGAAUGGGUGGCGGAGCAGGCGGAGGAGGCGGUGGUGGAGGGAGGACGGGGAGAGGUAGGAGACGGUGGCAAUGAGGAGGUGGGACUGGGAGGUCGCGAGGAGGGAGAAUAUAAGGGCAAGGUGGCACGCGAGCAGCAGCGCCUCCGCCAUUGGGGUUGGGCAGCGUGGUCGGGGAAGUCCCGAGGAGGAGGAGCACCAGCCAGCGGGCGGCGGGCCACUGAGGUGAUUGUCGGGUGGGGGGGACUGGUGCGGGUGACGGGGAGUGGACAGGAAUAGAAGGGGAAAACGAACCAUUAUCCUCCAUAACAAGUGGUAGGUGGGUAAUUUUUUGCCCCAAAAGCAGCUAAAAGCAGGGGGAAGGUGCUUUUGAUUUUGGGCAAAAGCACGUAUGGCUUUGGACAAAAGCACGUAUGGCUUUUAGGCCCUUUGGUUGGCUUUUGGCUUUUGCAAAAGCAAAAGUAGGUUGGAAAGUCCAACCAAAGGCACCCUUAGUUGCUUCAACCAUGAAAUUUUGCGAGGUUGAGAAAAUAGGGAAAUAGGGUGCCUUUUUUGAAAAAAUGUCAGUCUUUCUAUUCUAUUGUGAGAGCUUUGGCUGAGGCUAGGGCCUUCGUGCGAAAGGACAAAAUGAAUUUUCGACUCUGAAAAAUGUCACCCCCCUUGUCCUUUUGCGCAGAGGGGGUUUAGACUCAGCAUGGCUUAUUCCGAGUGUUAUCGCUGCCUUUGAUCGCUUGCUGCAGCCUUUCUAUUCUCUGAGUUGCAAGUUCAAGGCCAAUCACUGUGGUGUUUGAGUGAGAAAAUACGUUUAUGUGCAUAUAGUGUGCAUUCAAUGUUAGACUAUGCAGCUUAGUGCUGCUUUAAAAUAUCUUGCGCAGAAACGUAGGUUUUCAACAUGCAGGAAUGUGAGGUUAGGCAAGUUGUUGUUGCAUCUGAGACUUGUGCAGACACGCAAGUUUUCAAUGCACAGAAACUCAAGGUUAGGCAACUUGUUGUUGCAUCUAAGACUUGCGCAGAAACGCAAGUUUUCAACGUGCAAAAACGCGAGGUUAGGCAACUUGUUGUUGCAUCUAAGACAAAGAUCAUAGGGGGAACUUCAUUUCAUUGAAUAAUGGAAAUUUUACAAGGAUCUACCUCAUUAAAAACAUUGCCUCCAGAAAGGAGGCCCUGUAGCAAGGAAAAGAGUGCAAUCCAAAUUUGAAAAUGUAAAGUGCUAUGGAGUAAAUUCAUUACCCUCAGCGUUGUUUAUAACCUUACAAGCCGAGGGUAGUGUUGAACAAAAUGCUAAGGGUAGUACUCACGCAAGCUAUCGAUAUUCCAAGAGUGUGGCAGCUCCGUGCCAAGCUGAUCCGUAAGAUGAAAAGACCCUGGCCUAUUGCUUUGCGUGACAAGGUAUGGCCCUUCCCAGGCUUCCUAUAGUUUCCCGAGGUCCUCCCAAUUUUUCUUCCUCUUGAUGACAAGGUCACCCACUUUGAUUUCCUUGCGCACCACUUUUUUGUUUCUCCACCUUCUCGUUUCUUGAUGGUACUUGUCAAUAUUUUCAGCAGCUUGCAGUAUCUCAAGCUCUAUCAUGUCUUUUUCAAUUCUUAUAUCAUCUGGGUUAACCUCGGGCUGCAACACUCUCAAGCUAUUGUUUUUUAUUUCCUUUGGUGUCACUGCCUCGGAGCCAAACAGCAAUCAGAAGGGUGUGAAGCCUGUCACUUGAGAUGCAGUGGUGUUGUGGGACCAGAUUACCCUCGAGAGCUCAUCCACCCAUUUCCCUUUCUUCUGAUCAAAGAGACAUUUCUUCAUACCUGAGAAGAUCAAGCCAUUUGCUCUUUCCACCGCCCCGUUUGACAGGGGAUGAUAUACUAAGGUGAAUUUUACUUUAGUACCAAUGCUGGCACAAAACUCUUUGAAAUUAUAACAACAAAUUGCUUGUCGUUAUAAACAAUUAGCUCCCUAGGUACUCCGAAUCUGCAGAUGAUGUUCUGCCAAAAGAAUUUUUGGACUGAGCCCGAGGUUAUAUUUGCCAGCGGCUUAGCCUCGAUCCACUUCGUAUAGUCAACUACUACUAUGGCAAACUUGCAAUUUCCUUGAGCUGUCAGGAGUGGGCCUACUAGGUCCAUACCCCAUCUUUGUAAGGGACAAGUUGGUGAGAUAUGUUGUAUUGGCAGCGAUGGCGCAUUUUGCUAGUUUGCUAUUUUUUGUCAAGCUUCACAGCUUCGCACGAGGCUUUGUGCAUCCUGGAAUGUUGUGCGCCAGUAAAACCCCUACCUCAAUGCUUUACUCACCAAGGCUUUCGAUCCGAUAUGCGACCCGGAAAAACCCUUGUGAAUCUUAGCUACUAGCUCUUUCCCGCUUUCUGUGUCUAUGUACCGAAGCCAAGGGGUCGAUAUCCCAGACUUGUAUAAUUUUCCAACAAUAAUUGUGUAGCCCCUAGCUUUUUGCUUUAAUCUAGCUAGUUCAACCUCAUCAUAGGGUUUGAAGUACCCUCUCAUAUAAGCCAUGAUUUGAGCUCUCUAGUCAAAACUUUAGAUUGCAUUUAUUGUCUUCGGGGUUGGAUCUUUUGUCGAUGGCGUGCGAAUGACCUCGUAAAAUACAUCGGGGGGCAUGGGCUGACUCUGUGCUGCAGCUUUUGCAAGUGCAUCAGCCUCAUCAUUUUCCGCCCUUGGGAUAUGUUGUACCGUGAAGCCCUUGAAAUGCUUUUCCAUCGCUCUUACUGCUGCAAGAUACUUGACUAGCUCCGGCUCUCUAGCCUCGCUAUCCUUUUCUAUAUGCUCUUUGAGUCUGUCUUUAUUACGAAUACUUGCUAACCUAGGGCCUUCAUUUUCCUUAGCCCCAUGAGCAGUGCUUCAUAUUCUGUGGUGUUGUUUGUAGACCUCGCAUCAUUUGCAAAGCUUAGCCUUGCAGCAUAUCCCAUUUUGACUGCCGAUGGCGAGGUUACAAUAGCCAAGAUUCCAGUCCCUCUAUCACACCAGGCACCAUCACAGUGUAUAGCCCAUGGAGUCUCGAUCUCGUCUUGGCUAGCACAUGGAGAUGUCCAAUCUACGAUGAAAUCUGCCAGGACUUGUGAUUUUAUAGCACUCCUUCUCUCGAAGUCCACAACAAAUUCUGACAAUUCUGAUGCCCAUUUAGUGAUCCUCCCCGAAGCUUCUCUAUUUGAAAAGAGAUCUUGUAGAGGUUUGUUAGUAACUGCCAUGAUUCUGUGGCCCUCAAAGUAAUGUCGCAGCUUGCGUGCUGCCAUAACCACUGUGUACACAAUCUUCUCUAGCUCCGAAUAAAACAGCCUCGAACCUGAUAGUGCUUCCGAUGCAAAAUAGACUAGGAUCUGUUUUAGCUUUGCCAUCGACUUCUUUUUCUUGAAUCAGGGUGGCGCUGACGGCUGUAUUCGAAGCUGGCACAUAAAGCAAGAGAGGUGAUUUGGCUCUAGAGCGCACAAUUUGGUCAUGUUCGCCAAGUAGUCUUUGAGGUAUUGAAAAGCCUCACUUUGUUACUCCUCCCACUCAAAAUUUUUAGAGUUUCUCAGGACCUAGAAGAAUGGUAAGCUUCGCUUCACGGCUCUUGAAAUGAACCUGUUAAGGGUAGCAACUCUUCUAGUUAGCCUCUGGACAUUCUUCAGCGAGGCUGGCUCCCUCAUAUCAAGCAGUGCCUGGAUUUUGUCUGAGUUCGCUUGGAUGCCUUAUGUUGUAACUAGACAUCCCAAGACUUUGCCUCACUAAACCCCAAACACACAUUUCUCAGGGUUGAGCUUCAGGUUUGCUGCUCUCAAGUUGGCGAAAGUUUCCGCGAGGUCGAGGAUGUGGUCUUUCCUCUUAUCACUUUUCACAACUAUAUCGUCAACAUAAGCGAGAAUAUUUCUACAAAGCUGUUUGGAGAGGAUGAUUGCUAUCAUUAUUGAGAAGGUUUUCCCUACUAUUUUUAGCCCCAUGGGCAUCCUCACAAAGCAAAAGGUCCCGAAUGGUGUUACCAAUCCUAUUUUUCUCUCAUCCUCUUUUUUUUAUUUUGAGCUAAUGGUAGCCUGAGAAUAAGUCCAAUAAUGGUAACAUUUCACUAUUGGCAGCAUCGUCCACCACCUUGUCUACUCUUUGCAAUGGGUAGUGAUCUUUCAGGCAAGCCUUGUUUAGGUCAGUGAAGUCUAUGUACAUUCUCCACCUGCCGUUCUUCUUUUUGACUGGAAUAGUAUUGGCUAGCCAUUCUGGAUAGAUAAUGGGCCAUAUGACAUUAGCCUCGAGGAGUCUUUCAAUCUUGGCCUUCACUACUUGAGCUUUUUCAUCUGACAUUUUUUGAGCUUUUGCUUUUUUGGCUUCAUGCUAGGCUUGAUGUUGAGGUUGUGCUCUAUUAUCUCUUUGUUGACCCCUUGGAGGUCACUUGAGGACCAGGCAAAAACAUCUUUGUUUUUGUUUAAGAAAUCGAUUAACUCCUUCUCCUCCUCGGGCUUGGGGUUGGCUCCUAUUGUGACGUAUUUGUCAACAACAUAGUCAUCCAAGAGGACUCUUUUUGUUUCGCCAUCCACACUUAUUUUUAUCUUCUCUUUGUCCCUUUUGGGCUCAACAUAUGGUUUUUUCUUUUCUUACUCUUCAGCCUCAUUGGGGGUUGUUAGGUGGUGGACAUUCUUUUGUCCUGGGGUUACACCCUUUUCUAUAUUUCUGGCGGUUUGCUAGUCGCCAUAGAUUGUGAUGACUCCUUUCAGAACUAGGAUUUUCAUGCAUAGAAAUAGUUGCCUGAUUGCUGCAUCGAACUUGUUAAUGAACCCUCUCUCGAGGAUGGUGAAGUAAGGGUAGUACAUUUCAAUGACAUCAAAUGUGAUGCGCUCUAUUCUUGCAUUGUCGAGGUUUCCAAAUGAAACUGGAAGUGCUACCUUUCCCAGGGCUUUAACUAGCCUCCCCCUGAAGCCAAGUAGUGGGACUUCUGCUGGCUCGAGCAAGUGCUGGUCAAUUUUCAUCUCCCUAAAGGUGUUUGUGAAGAUGAUAUCUGCGGAGAUGCCAUUGUCCACUAGGACCUUCCCUAUCUUCCAGCCAGUAAUGGUAGCCUCGAUUACCAUUGCAUCGUUAUGCAAGGUUGUUUUCAAUUUGAAGUCUUCUUCUAUGAAAGAACUUGGCAUGUGUGCCCAUUCCGGCUUAGCUGGGGGACCAUCAGGUAUGAUUGUGUUCACCUGCCUAAAACAAUCUCUUUUUUAGCCUUUUGUUCUUGAACUCGAGGGAACAGCCAUCGGCGAUUGGCAUUAUCAUGCCAUAGGUUGGUAUAGCAUUGGAGUUGUCCUCGCGAUGCUCGGAUUGUUAGGAUCCCCCUGAGAUUGGCAUUAUCAUGUUGUAGGUAGGUAAGGCUUUAGGAUUGUUGUUUUGUGGGUUAAGCUCAGCUUUUGGAAUUUCAUUGGGUAGAUUUGGUGGUGGUAGUGGUAUUUCAUGGUGGGGUUGAGAAGGUACGAAGUUUGCAUUCUACGAGGUUGGUUGAGCACGAGGCCGGAAUUGUGGCGAGUGUUGCCACAUCAUGGUGGGCUAAAAGGUUGCGUGGUUGGGGUUUGGGUAGUAUGGUGGAUGUGGCCAAAAGGUUGUAUGGUGGAUGGUUUUGAGUGCCUCAGCCACUUUCUUUUCUUCGGCUAUUCUUUCAAAAACCUUUUUGGCUUCUUGGCAAAAAUCAGUUGCAUGGUCGAGUUGUUUACCAUGGAAUGUGCAGUAAAAUGAUCUUUGUUGGUUACUUUGGUUAUUUCACCUCGGAGGUCCUCUGCCUCGGCCUCUUCCUCUUCCGACAUGGUUGCCUCUUUGGCCGCUUCUGAAAUUGGGUUGAUGUUGGUGGUAUCGGUUCUGGUUUUGGCCUAGGUUUUGGUUUUGGGUUUGGUUUUUGAAUGAGGGUUGGUUAUCCUUGAUGGCCAGCAGUUGGUUUGGGUGCGAGUGGUGCUGUUGUUGGUGACUGUAUCAUGAAGCUUGCCAGUUUUGACCUUUCUCUGCUUGCCUUUGGCGGUUUCUUUCCACGACCCUUCUUUUAUGGUCUUCAUCUGAUCUGCAAUAUUUAUCCAUCUCUGCGAAUAGGGCUUCCAUUCUUUUUGGCUUUUUCCUUGAUAGCUUCGAGGCUGUUGGCCCCGGAUUAAGCCCCUUGAUGCAGAUCGCUAUGACCAUGCUAUCCUCCACAUCUGGGGUUUGUGUCUUAAGUUGGAAAAAUCUUCUCACGUAGCUUGCUAAAGGCUCUUUAUCUUUUUGCACACAAUUGAACAAAUCCCCCUCAUCAGUCAUGGCUCUAUGAAAGCCUUGAAAGUUUUGUAUCAGUUUGGUUUGAAGAUCGACCCAGCUGUAUACAAAUUGCAGCAGGAGUAGAGAGUACCAAUUUAGUGCUACACCCUCACACGCUAUAAUGAAUGACUUUGCCAAUACUACAUCAUGUCCCCCUGUCGAGGCUAUGGCUGUUUCAUAACUCAUGAGGAACUAGCGGGGAUCUGUUUGUCCAUUGAAUUUUGGUAGUGCAACUGCCUUGUAGGUUGUGGGCCAUGGGGCUGUUUGCAGGCCUAAGGAUAGUGGGGAGCUUUUGUCGGUAGUUGUGUAUGCGCUCAUUGUCACUAGGGUGUUGUGCCCAACAAGGCUAGGAUUCGGGUAUAGGAUGGGUGUGUCAUUGGUGUUGAAGGUUUGAAGUGGUGGCUGCUGCGGCUAUUGUGGUGUGUUGCACAAGUAUUCCAAUUCGUUCAACUCUUGCUGCAACUCUGCCAGCUGCCUUUUGGCCUCAUUUAGCCUCACUAGCUUGUUGGCUGCUAGUCUUUGAGCCUGAAGCUCUUGAGCAAUUUUUUCUUUUUCUUUUUUAAUGGCUCUAGCUGCUUGAGUGCCGAGGCCAUCUCUUCUUCUAUUUCACUAAGGGGUUCAUCUUGCGUGCUUGUUUGCUGCAGAGUUUGGUUCGAGGUCCCCGCCUCAACCAUUCCUUUCUGUGAUCUUGUUCUUAAUUUAGCCUCGAUUCUUUUAAACUUUUUCUGCCUUCUCCGUGUUAACUUGUUCGACUGAGACAAGCUGCCUUUCUUGUCCAGCCUCAUCUUCGAUGGUUCUCUUCUUCUUUUGAGGUGGCAUCGUGGGUUUCUUAGUCGCUCAGAAUACGGUGGGUGCCAAUGUUGGGAAACAGGCUUCAGGAAGGCUCAAAAACAACAAGGUUUGAGUAGUCCUUGCAAUUCAACUCCAAAGAAAUGAACAUACGUUUACAUCGGGGUAGGGCUCUCCUUUUAUAGUGUCUCGGAGGACACUUUACAUUCCGCAAUUACCCUCACUCACCCACCACAUUCCUAGAAUAUGCUUUACAUAGAGGUCUUUUUAAGAGGUAACUUGUAUGAUUUGGUCUCCUCCUUGGAUCACGCUUCUCACACCUUUAGUUAGCUCCGUGAUUCACUCUCUCACAUGGUUCUGCAAAUCACACCUUCACGUUCCAAUGCCUCCAUGCUUCCUGACCUUGCGAUUGAAGCCAUCUUAGCUUCGGGAGUCAUGAUUGCCCUAGCUUCGCACCUGAGAGAUGCUAUGCACCAUGCUCCUUGACCUGAUUCAGCGACCUUGCAUAAGACAGUAAAUAACUCAGCACUCGAGGUUAUCUUCAAGUGCUCAAGGUCAAGCUUGGUUAGUGUUCGGCGAUCAGUGAUUGCCUCCGAGCUUUGAGGUAAGAUUCAGGAUAGCAAGGCUAGGAUUACUUUCCAUGCCAAAUUAACUGCCUGAGGUUAGGGACCCUCACUCGAGAUUAAUUAUUUUUAGGGGCUAAGCUAUUGACGCUAAAUAUAAUGACCUCGAGGUUGACCAUCUUUUUAGGCGAUCCCCAACAAAUUAUUUUCGAUCUUUAUAUUACAGAAAUGCAUGCACACGGCUUGCUUGAUGGCGUUGUCCGCUCAUCUUGCCAUGCCUCGCCUCGUCGCCGACCACACCAUCAUGAAUGGAGAAACCACGCAUGCACUGUGAUAAGUUUAGAGCAUCCUAGUGACGGUAUUCAAGGUGCUCAAAUAGUGGUAUUCAACUUAGAAAAAUUAGUAGCACCGGAAUAUUGAACGGUCAUCGGAGCAACCAUCAGAGCACUUGGUAUGAUUAAGAAAUAAGCUUGAGUUGCAGCAAGCACCAGAUGAUCCGACAGGGUUCUGUUUAUAAGUGUCAGAGCAAUUCGCAGAGAAGAUAGAGAAAUACCUAUAGCACCAGAUGUUCCAAUGGCUAGAAGAUGAAGGCGUUGGACCAAGCAUAUUUACAUUGAAAAAUUCAUGAGAGAUUCUAGGGAAAACUCCUUCAGCACCGGGUCUUCCGACGGUACGUCGGAUGAAUUUAGGCAAAGGUCCAAUGGCUAUAUGUGUCAGUAAGGCGCACUAGAUGAUCCCAUGCUUACCUUAAGUGACCAUCGGAUCGUCCGAUGCUCACAUAUUUUACUAGGUGUUGGAGCAAAUGCCCUUUGAGGUUCAUGGGCUAUUUAUGCCCCCUCCACUCGCCCAUUCAGAGUUGCUGGAGUGUCCAUACAUCGAUUGAUGACCAAGGCUCAUCAAGAACAUAUACAUGCCACCAAAAGUGCAAAAGCGAUAAUCCAAGGCUUAGCACGAGCUAAGAGAUUGAUUAGUGCUAGGAUAGGCCUAGAGAGAGUAGUGCAAGGUGCUGAUACCUUGUGAUUGGUUCAAGGAGUGAUCCACUAUUAUAAGCUUGGUGCACCGGUGGCUUGGGGUCUUAGUGGCUCUCCGGCAAGUAUUCGACCCUCCAGCUUGGUGUGGAGCAGCAUCGACGGCCAUAUGCGAGGGACAAGAAGACUCCUUCCUUCGUGGAGCAGCUUCGUACUUGAGUGCCUUGAAUGCCUUUACUUUCUAGAGUAGUACCUUGUUAGGAUUGGCUCUAGGUUGCAAAACUCUUUAUGGGUGGGAAGUUUCACUAGAUCAACCAUAGAUGCACAUGUAGAUAGCAUGAUCUAGUUUAUGUUUGGAAGCAAGUAGUGGAAGUCAUAGGCUAAGGAUCAGUAGUUCGUAUGUGCUAGCAAUCAUCGCCUCCAGCUUCGUCGCCCCCUCUCCAUCACCCCAUCCCCGUCGCCCCCGGCCCCGUCGCCUCAUCGCCUCAGCGCCACCGUGCCCCGGUUGUCUCAAUCCUCUUCGACGUAUGAUGACUCUGUGCUGCCCCAUCCUCGUCGACAUCCUCCUCUCUGAUGUGGCCCUCGCCUCCUCUCUAAUGACUCCACACUACUGCGGCCACUGGCCCUUGGCUCCUUCUCAACCCCGAUGUCGCCCACACCCCCGGCCGUACAUCGACUCUGGUCGUCGAGCUCACCCCUCUCUUUUCCGACUCCGCGUCGUCCGGCCACCGUCAACUACUCUGACACCUGCACCCCCGGCCGUCUCCCCUCCGACGUGUUGCCCAAGCCCCCGUCACCUCCAUCCUGUCUGACGACACCGCGCCGCCCCCUACACACUUGCGGUGACGUAAGCCCGCGACCGCCGUGAUGACGUAAGCCCCUGCGGCUGCCGACAUCAUUAUGUUUCUUCUGAGCUAGAAUAUGUCUACAAAUUAUAGGAAAUUAUAGAAAAAUUGUAGGAAAUUUGUGUAAGUGUUAGAAAUCAUGCCUUUUUUUUCAAUUUGUACGUGCGUAGAGAAUAGCUAGUAAUUAUAAAAAUUGUUGGAGUAGGUAUAAAUUACAUAGAAAUUGUAGGAAAUUAUUGGAAAUUUGCAAAAAAUUUGUAUAAGUACUGGAAAUCAUACUUUUUUUUAAUUUGUACAUGCAUAGAGAAUGGCUAGUAAUUAUAAAAAUUGUUGGAGUAGGUACAAAUUACAUAGAAAUUGUAGGAAAUUAUUGGAAAAUUGCAGGAAAUUUGUAUAAGUACUGGAAAUCAUGACAUUUAUUUUUCUGUUUCAUUCUAUUUAUAUGUUGUAUAAAUGUUAGAAAUUUGUGUAGGCAUUGCAAAUUAUCUAUAAAUAUUGUAUGAGUGAUGUCAUUAUUGUUUCAUCCUAUUUUUGUUGUCAUUUCAUACUAGUGUUUCAUUCUACUUUACAUAUUGUUGUAACAUGUUACAUAUUAUAAGUGUUUAGUUCUUUUAUAUUAUACUAGGUACAAUGGCAUGAUCAGAUGACGAGAUUAUAUAUGACAUGAUUGCUGGAGGGGCCUCUCAAGCAAAUGAAGAGGUCUAUCACAGCCAGGCUAACAUGUACCUCAACCUAGCUGGUGAUGGCAUUGAGGAGCAAUGACUUGCCGAGGGAGGCAACGUGGAGCAACAAGUUCCCGAUAGAGGCAAUGUGGAGCAACCAAUAUUAUACGUAAACAUUAUUUCAAUUACCAUCUUAUCAAAAGAAACAUCAUCAUGCAACAUUUCAAUUGUCGUUUUUAGCCAUCUAGAUCGAGCAAAAUGCCUCAAAAGAAACAAGGCAAGAACAAGAAAGAUGAGGGCCGUAUCAUCAUCAUAGAAAUUGCUAAAAUAGUGAACCGAUUGCCCAUCCCAAAGCUAAGAUCAAGUUGGUGAAUCAUAUUGGGUUCCUUAUCAGAGAUAACAUUCCAAUCUGGUUUCUGAAAUGGAGGAAACCCAAGCGCAUCCGGGUCAUCACAAACCCGCUCCUUUAUGUCCCUGAUCGAGAGAAGGAAAUGUUAUGGGUACAAGUAAAAGAACACUUCAUGUUCGAAAAUGUUGACAAAGCCAAAGUGAAAGAAUGGGGCAUGAAGAAGGGUGCAAUUGUGUUUCAGACCUAUAAAAACUUGACCAAAGACUAUGUAAAGAAGGGGGUUCAACCUUAUUUCAUUGAGCACACUAAGAUAAGGGAUAUCUGGGAUUCCUUUGUACAGUUCAAGGGCACGAGCUGGGUGUCUAUGGUGAUGACCAAUAAACACAGUGAGACCCUCAAGAAAUAAUUCGAGUGAAACUUCCAAUGAAAAACACUUCACGGACAAGAAAAUGCUCAAGCCAGGCAAAAUCUAGGAGCUCUGGGUGGAUGGUUUGCUUCCCAAGGACGGACGGUCCAUGAGCGGUGGACGGUCCAACCUUAUGACUUACACAACGCAGAAUUGUUGAAAACAAAUGCAUGGCCAAAGUUUUGGCCAAAACUCUAUCAAAUCAAGUCCAAAUGCCACCAAAUUUUAGCCAUAGCAUCACAACAACACAUAGAAGCUACUUCUAAGAGAUCAUCCCCAAAAGAUUGGUCAAUCAAUAGGAAAUCCAAAUCUUGUGAAGAAUACCGCUUUUUCAACCUUGGAAACUUGAAUCGCCCUGAUGUAUGAACUCGUGAGGGGUUAGAUGAAUUCCUUUGGUAGAAAGACUUCACUCACAUCCUAGUUCAUUUCCAAAUGAUCGGUUUGAGUCAAGAAUCCCUAGAAAUCACGAAUCGAACAAAAAACAUGAGAAGGGAAAAACGGGAGAAAACAAGAAUGCGAAGAAGACAAGAGAGAUUUGCACAAAGCCGCUGUCCCCCAACACACGGAGGACUCGAGGAGGUUAGGGCUUCCAUUCCCACAACAAAAACUUUAGUUCAAUACAUGAAUUCGAGUUCAAAUCAUCCGCGGACCUCUAGAGAGAGAAAGGAAAAAACCAAAAUGAAGUGCUAGAGAGAGAGGGGGUGAAAGAAAGGUGGAAGAGGUGCUAAAAAUUUCAGCCCCCAAUCUCUAUCUAUAGGCGCCGACAAAGGACUAGACAACCCCUAAUAGCUACUACUAAGAUAACUACCCAUGUAGGGGUAUUUUUGUCCAAGUUUUUGUACGUUCAUCAGACGGACAUGCCACCUUCUCAACUUUGCUUCGCCUUGAUGUAAGCUUCAUGAUGAUGCCACAUGCCCUCCUUUUUGAACCUCUAACCGCACCGAACUCGCUCCCCCCCCCCCCCGCUUUGAGGCCCAAACCGGGAAACCUGCCAACGUGGUGGUUUUGAGGCCCAAACCACCCAAACCGUCCAUUCUUUGCUUGGCCACCAAGUCGACGUGUGUCCUGUCUCCGCCAAGUCUAGCUUUGACGCCUCCAAGUCGUUUGCUCACGGCUCCCGGGCUGCCUACUUGACUUGCCUCCGUCCUGCUUGACUAGAUCGACGCCGUCUCUAUCACCAUCAUGUUCCCUUGCUGUUCCAGGCACCAUGUGGACCGCCUAUGACUCCACCUAGACUCCUCAGGUCCAUCGGUCCAAGCCUACUCACGUUCAUCCUUCACCGCCCUUGGUCCAUCGGCACGAAACUUUCGCUUGACCUUCACCACAUGCCGUCGGUCGUCACAUCGCAUCCUACACCUGCACAUCACAAACCAAGAGCAAUAUCAAUCUAACACAAUCGUUGUCAAUCACUCAUCAUCCAAGGGUGACCACCAUUGGUCCUUAGCUCUGAGCAACCGAACCAGUCAACAAGCAGCUAUUGUAGCAUCAGGGCCACAUGUCGAUUUAAGCCCAACUUAGCAUCGAAGCAGUGUCACUUCAACAAAAGCCUUAGUGGGAAGAUCCACUAAGGUCAUUGAGGAAGGUCACCCCAUGGAUGACAUCACAGGGACAACCCCUAGUAAGCUUGUUACUCCGGUUUAAAACAAGCUCAUAGUGGUGGCUUAUGGUGCGACUGAUCGACCGACACAAGGCCAAAUAAUACAUGGCAUGCUGGUUCAAGCUGGCUAUGCCAAAGUUGCGUUGGACCGAGUGGUCAACGGUUGGAGAACCUAGAACUAGAAAUCCCUAGAGGUGAUGAGGAAAAGAAUCUAGAAUAAGCUGUCCAUGGUUGGAUUCAGUGGCCCAAGCGCUUCAUGAGGAUUACGCAACCGAAUGAUGAGUCCACCUGUACCAGAAAGGGAUCCAAGCAUGACUCCAACUCCCCCUCCCAUGAAGAAGCGUUCAAUUCCACCUCCACCUCCACCUUGUAAGAAGAAGCAGAAGAAGCAGAAGGAGAAGGCACCACCUGAGAAAUUACCUUAUGAGAUGGCACACGAGGAGUCCAAGGCUGCAGCAAAUGCUUAGUUACAAGCAUGGAUUAAGGCUUGAAAAGAAGAAUGGUUGAAGAAACAGAAUCCAGAGAAACCACUGGAUAAGCGUAACCUUCAGGCUUUCAUCAGAAAAAGGAGGUGGAGAGAAGGAAAAAGCCAGUGAAAGCUCCCCUUUCUGAUUAUGGUAGGUAGAUCACAAAAGCAGUCAGCUCAUAAGAAGAAGAAAAGUGGGAAAUCUAUUUCUUAACUCAGAGAUCCACGUGUGCAGCUUUCUAACUUUGAAAAAAAACCUGCUUGAAUUCGCUAAUGAUACAAAUCUGACAGCAGCACAACUUCGAGGGGAGGCUGACAUCCCAAUGCUCCUUGUGCCUGAAAAAUGGAAAUAUGUGUAUGGUAAAGAGCUUGUGAUUCCGAAGUUGCUAAAUUAUCUGCCAACGAAGAUGCCCAAGCUCCACCAAUGGUAUAUGGAGGCCAUAGCAAAAGGUUUGGCCAUGAUGGAAGUUUGGAUUGCUGAUCACCAUGACUUCCGUGGUGAUGACAUCAUAAUGGCCUUACUAUCAGAACUUUUCAUGCUAUUCAAUCAACAAGCACUAGACAAGUCACUCAUCAGUUGAUGGGUCCUGUAAGUCUUUAAUAUAUUCCUCUAACUUCAAAAUCCCUGCUCUAGUCAUUUUGCAGUGUCUUAACUCCUAUUCAAUUUUGUAUCAUGCAGGAUGGAGAUUUAAACUUGUCGCAAAAAUGGAUACAAUGACAUGCGCUUCAUGGACCCCUCAACAAUACACAAGAAUACUCUAAGGGAUAACCUAGAUGAGACAGCGGACAAUAUAUUUUUGUUCCUAGACAAGCACUAGGAUAAGAAAUGCAUAUUAUUACUGUGGAACUCCAGGUAAGCAUUUUUACCAUCUCUUUCUUUUCUGAGCUAGCACUUAUACAUAAUACUAAUUAGCUUCAAUUUCGAUGUACAACAACCAUUGGAUACUCAUUGUUAUUGUGCCCUAUUGGAGUAUCGUGUAUGUCUUUGACUCCUUGAGGAGACCAAAGGAAAGUUACGCUGACAUAAUGAACACUGUGAAUAAAUGCUGGGCUCGAUUCCGUCGAACUCACAAGGGUGAUUUCAAGGAAAAACUUGAUUGGAAGAUAGAUUUUCCGGUAUGUGUUCUCAAUUUUCACAUCUCGUGAAACUUCCAUUAACAGAAAACAUAUUACAUAACUUUUUUUCAAUAUAUACAGUGUGCAAGACAGCCGAAUGGUACUGAAUUAUGCGGAUACUACGUUUGUGAUUACAUCCAUGCCUUGAUCAGUCCGAGCGGCCAUAUCAGCGAACACAAAUUAACAGUACGUAUAUUUUUCAACAAAAAGUUAGUUCAUGUGUAUAUUCUUCAAAAAUCAAUCCAAGUGUAUAUACUUAGAAUAAUUAGAUUAAGUAUUUCAAUUCAUUUGGUUGUACAUCAACAAAGUUUCAAUCGUUCAAAAAUUUUAGCUUAAGUAUUUCUAAUUCAUUUGCCAAUGACACAGAUGAUGACUAGGAAGGAAAGACUCGUAGAUACAGAAAUUUUCAGGGCAAUCCAAGAACAACUAUGUGGAUUUCUUCUAGAUAAGGUCGCAAAUCCUUUGGGGGAGUUGCACCAUGAUGGGACUCCGAUAGUGCACAAACCGGCCUCGGGUUCAUAAUAGCAGAUACGAUAUGUGUAUGCAAUGUGUAAUAUUAACCAAACAUCUGUUUAUGCACAAUACGACAAUAUUAUCUCAAAUGUUAUAUUCAAAAUAAAUAGAAAUUUACAUAUAUUAGUGUAUUAGAAUCAGUAUAUGUAAAGGAAACAGAUAUAAAAUAUGAAUAUACAAUAAAGUAACAGAAAAUAAGAAAAAAAAGGAAAACUGCAUUAGUACCGGUUGGGGAUACCAACCGGUACUAAUGAGGGCACCUCCCCGCGUGGCAUGGCAAGCCCUUUAGUACUCGUCGGUUUACUCAACCGGUAUUAAAGGUUACAAUUUAUUACUGGUUAUUUCAACCGGUACUAAAGGGACCACCUCUAGUACCGAUUGCACAGUACCAGUUACGGUUCCGGUACUAGAGGGGGGUUACUGACCGGUACUACACGUCAUUUUUCCAGUAGUGUAUAAACUGGCGGGAAAGAUUCCUUCAUCACCGCUAGCUCUUGUACUAGACCGUCAGUGCUGAUGGUCCUCUUCACAGCCCAUGGGACAGCAACCGGCGGUGAUGAACUCGCAUCACUAUCCGUCCAUGGUCCGGCUAUGAUAGGCAACCUCAUCACCACCGACAUUUAUGUGCCAGCAGGCCCCCAAACCACCCGUGAUGCAGGGUUUUGGGGCUAGCGGUGAAGGCCUGUUGUGCAGUAGUGUGCAUACAAUGAUUCAAAAUAAACCUAAUAUUUUCCCUUUAUAUCUUUUUUUCUUUUAUCGUACUUUUCUAGGCCUCACUUUGUAGUUUUUCUUUCAAUUUCACAGUGACUGAGGUGUCAGGUGGCUUGCCGACGCUGAAUGAAACAACCUGAGGUGGGCUGGCCAUGACGGGUACCUAAUAAAGGGAGUGUCUGUCGCACAAGCGUUGGAAGAGCAUCUCCAGCAGUUCCCAGUAACAAUGAAAUGGAUAUUGGAGUAACCCCAUGCACUAAUUAUUGAGAAAUAUUUAUUAAGAGAUUGCUGGAGAUGCUCUAAGGUGAGCUCAUACGAGAUACAUGCAUGCUAGUGCUCAUAUGAUGGUAUGUUUCUGUGUCAUCUAAUACCAACACAUGUAUUCCUUUCUCCAUCACAAUCCUCCUUCGCAUAAGGUGUUCAGUGCUGUUGUGAAAUAAGCAUAGCUCAGCUUGUAUAUUUCCUUGUGGAACCCGCCCAUCAAGGUUCGAGUUAUUGACUUGGCACCGGUGCUCGCAUUUUCCUGAUUAAUUCUAGAAUUUAACCAGCACUAUCCUUUCAGUGGUAGACAACAUGCUCGUCGAUAGCGAGGCACCAUAAGUGACUUCGCCAAUCUCGAGGAUCUGUCGGUUCAGUCUCUUGGAGGUGCUUAAAGGUAGGGUUGCAUGUGUACAGACACAGACGCUCACAUAAACUUACAUAAAUUCAAUGGUAUUAAUACACCCUACCCUUAUCAGCACCUCUAAAACACUAAGCCAAUAGGUCCUUGAGAUUGACCCUUAUGAGCAACUCUGGAAAACUAAGCCAGCAGAUCAUGGAGAUUGACAAACUCACCAUGGGCAGCUCGCCAUCGAUGACUAUGUUGCCUACCACUGAAAAAAUAACAUCGGUUAAAUCCUAGAAUAAAUCUAGAAAAAUAGAAGAAGCGCUAGCGUCGAGUCAAUAACUUGAACCCUGGUGGGCUAUUUACCAGCUGAGCUAAUACUGAGUUCUCUACCCUGGUGGUUUUUGGGAGAUUUGCUUCCUACCUACCGGGACUAAUACUGAGUUCUCUACGUGGCCAGAUUUCUACCACCAGAAAUCUAAUAACUGCAGCCUUGUUAAAUUUAAUUAGCAUUCUUAUUCGUGAUAUUCUGAAUAUACACGCACACAUGACACAUAUCACACAUGGUUUCCACUCCCUUUCUUGGCGCUCUCCGCCGCCACGGACAGCGCAAUGGCCGUCUCUAGCCACAAAUUCAACAGUACGAUGCAAGUCUUUUGACAACUCUCCUGAGCUUAUAAAUGGUUGUAGUGCUAAAUUGCUAAAUGCCACAUGUGGAAUUGAAUCUUGGCACAAACUUUAAUCGUGGGAAACUCGCACGGUAUGAGUUUGGCACAAGUUGGGAUUCCCUGCGUCAAGUAAUUGCAGGGCUAAAAGUAGAGUCCCAAGUAUGUGUUUUGUCCUUUGCAAACGUUGGUUGUUGGCAUUACUAAAAAAUUAGCUUUCUAUAUAUAUAUACUCUAUUCGUCUCACAAAAAACACAAUUGUAUGAUUCAAAUUUGUCCAUAAGGAAUGUAAUUGCAGCUUCUACCCAUUUCUUUUAAACUUCUCAUUUUUUGGAGCAGUGAUGUCAUAGGGUGACCCCCGCUACUGAAAAUGACCAUGAUCUGGCUCUACAAAUGCUUCUUCAUAGGUGGGACAUGCAGAAAGUACGGUAAGCCCACCCCUUUUGUAGAAGAGGGUGACCUUUUGGACCACCCAGAGAAAUAAAUCGGGAUGCGCCUACAAAUCCUUUCUGUAGUAGUGAGAGAAAGAGAUUGCGGUUGAAACAACAAUCCUUUCAUGAAAUUACCGCCUCAUAAGUCAAAUUUUAGGACAACAAGACGGCUAGUCCAUAUUUGUACGAGUUGUGGUUACUCUGCAACUCAUAAUAUAUUUUUUCUAUGCACAAAGUAAAAGAAUAGAAAUAUAUAAUUACAUCGAGACUACUUAAAAAUACAACACAAUGUAAAGGUUAUUUGUUAACUUGCCUCAAGAUUACAUGUUCUCUAUUAGGUAACACCAAUAUAUAUACUGGUUCUAAAGAUUCAAUUUAUCAUUAGCUAGACACAUGGCGAUCAUGUGCAUUUAAAUCUAUAGUGUGACUUGGAGAAAAAAAAAGUAAUCUUCAUCCGUAUGGCCGUACAGUGACUCUCGCUCUUGACAGGUAUUAGUGUAAGUAGCAUAUAUAAAGAACCCUCAUGCACGCUUUGGAUCCCCAUCCCUGCUAGCAUAUAUUCAUUCAUAAACUCACGGGUAUUCUCUCAUGGUCAUGGUGCUCCCAAUGUUGCUGGUUUGUAUGGUAGUGACGGUAGUGAUCACCGUUCAUGUCAUCUGUGCCCUAGAUGAACACAAGCGAAAGAGAUUUUCCGGUGCAUCUCUUCCACUGCCCCCUGGCCCGGUCGCUCUCCCCAUCGUCGGGAAUGCCUUCAGCUUCAUCGGGCCGUUCGGCCACAACCCACACCGCAUACUCACGAGCCUCGCCAAAACCUAUGGGUCCAUAGUGUCCUUUCGGCCAGGCAUGGCAGGCAAUUUCGUGGUAGUGUCAUCCCCUGAAGCAGCACGUGAAGCUCUCAUCAAGAACGAUGCCGCGCUCGCUGCCCGGUUCGUGCCGGACAAUACACGCGCCUUAGGCCAUUGCUCGGAGUCAAUGUUCUUCCUCCCAACCUAUAGCCAUUUGUGGAAGCAGCACCGCAUCACAUUGGGUACCAGCCUCUCAACUGGCCGGGGCCUUGACACAACCCGCCCCAUUCGGGAUCGCCAUGCCUGUCGGCUCAGCGAGCACUUAAGGUUCUGCUCUGGCAUGCCAAUCAAAAUUGGAGAGGCCGUCCAAGGCACAGUGCUCGAUGUUAUGUCCAACAUCCUCUUCUCUAAGGACGGGACGCACUUGCGCGUGAAGGGGGGCCAGUUGUUCAAGGACCUCCUGGUGGAGGUCCUCGAGGACUGGACUAAGCCCAACGUUUCUGACGCUUUUCCCUUCUUCGCGUCACUUGACCUCCUUGGCUCACGCCGCCGAAUCUCCAGAGGUUUGGCUAAACUGUACAAGUUCUUUGAUGAAGAGUUCGUCGAACGUCGGUUAGGCAGCAGUGAGAACCACCACGAUUUGUUGGACUUCAUCCUCUCGCAGCAUGCCAAGUCGAAGCUCACGCGUUCAGAGAUCACCAAGUUCUUCACGGUCGGCUAUACAUAUGAUCUCUGAACAUAAAUAUAAUUGCUGUCUUUCUGCUUUCUGUACAUUUUCUUGGGUAACUGAUAUACUAAUUAACUUACAUUUUUUUAUAUGCAUUUCUGUUCUUAACCUAUCAAUAGGAUAUCUUUCUUGCCGCGAGCAACACAAGUAGGAUCACCGUGGAAUGGGCAAUGGCACUCCUACUUAAGCAUCCAGAAAAGAUGAAGAAGCUGCGUGCUGAGCUUGCAGCGAGCCUUGGGACCAAGGAGUUUGUCCAGGAGAGCGACUUGGACAAGCUCCCCUACAUCCAUGCUGUGGUGAAGGAGACACUACGACUGCAACCAUCAGCACCGCUGCUACCACGAAUGGUGUCCACGGACGGCAUGUCACUUGGCGGAUUCUCAGUACCAAUUGGUACCAACAUUCUGAUUAACCUUUGGGCCAUUGGAAGGGACCCAACGGUGUGGCCUCAGGCGGGAGAGUUUCUGCCUGAAAGGUUUCUGGGCAGCCGAUCACUGGACUUCCGGGGAUCAGAAGACUUCACAUAUAGGCCCUUUGGGGCAGGGCGAAGGAUGUGCCCAGGACUGGACUUCGCUGCGCAGUUGAUUCCACUUUUGCUAGCCUCGAUGUUGCACAAGAUCGACUGGAGCCUACCUGAUGGGAUCGUGCCUGAGGAUGUGGACCUCAGGGAUCGCUACAGCAUGGUUCUGGAGCUCGCUAAGCCCCUCAUUGCGGUGCCAGUGUCAACGGUGUGCCGUGCUCCGCCGUGGCUGAUGUAGCGUAACUUCAUAUCAGCCGCCGGUACACAAGUGGUUUUAGAGGUUUGUGUGGGUGAAUAUAGGGAAUUCAUACCCAAAUCCAAACCCAGCUUAAAGGUAUGGGUAUAUAUAUACACACACUAGCAAAUUUGCUCGUGCGUUGCCACAGAACGUAAACCUUGGACAAAAUACCCGUGCGUUGCUACGGUAAAAAAUCAAUUGUAUUUUUUCAAAUUAAUAAUAUUUUUUAUUUUCAUCACUAAAUUUUUAUUCCACUUAUUAGAUAUCUACACAUUUAAUAGAAAACUAAAAGUCCUCCAUCCAGGCCCUACCUCCUCUCCUCCCCUAGAUUCGGCCGGCGCCCUUAAAGGCUAGCUAAGCCAGCAAUUCAACAUUCGCAUCCCACUUUCAUUCUUAAAGGCUAGCUAUGCCAGCAAUUCAACAUUCACAUCUUUUGUGUAAGCAAUACUGUUUGCGUUGUCUCUGACAUGGGACAUGGCUGGUGCAAACAUGCAUUGCAAAGAGAGCUCUUGUUAUACCCCUAGUUUUCUCACACCAAAGAAGGGGUAUAUAUAUUUGUUUCUUUCGGGUAAGUCACCAGCAACAUGGGCUUCAAGCCCACAAACCAGCCCACUAAGCCAACUCUCUGCCCUCUGAAGCUGGAGUCACAAGGCUGGAGUCUGCUCGGACGUUCUUAUCCACGCGCUCAUGACCGGCCGUCGACCCGCGCCCCACCGCAGAGGCCAUAACCUAUAGCCAUGUAGCCCGCUUGUCAGCCACUAGCCAUGCACCACGUUCUCGUCGUCCAUAGUCCAUCCUCUCCAUGUGCCCCACAUGCACAUUUACCGCCACUAAACACCUCGCCCCCACCCCAUUCUCUGCUCCCUCCCAUGCGGGCACGUGGCUCGUCCGUUUCGCUCCCAUGCCACCGCACAGCAAAACCCCGGCCGACCUGCUUACUUCCCUGAGCAGCAGCAGCGGAAUCAGACCACCGGGCUCGGGACCUCGGGUACACCGAGGGAAAGAAUGUUGGAGGCCGCACGCAGUGGCUCACACCCGUGGUGCUGUUCGUGCUCGUGAACCUCAUCAUCGCCACGUCGCCGUCGCGUCCAAGCUGAUGUCGUCAGGGACAGGGACGGCGGCGCCCGGGGGGUCGACGAGGUGGGCGGCGGCAGGUGGAGGGCCCUCCUGCGUGUGCCAUCCCUCACCGUCGACUGCCUCCGCACGUCGUUCAACUUCUCCCGCCUCGGCGGCCUCGCCGCCGACCACUCGCCGCUCUUCGAAUACGCGGCCUCGGAGCUAGCCUUCCCCCAGCUACCGGCGAUGAGCUACCGGUGACGGGGGUCGCGGCGGCGCCGGGAAUGGUGGCCACGACGAUGAGCUCGAGCGCGAGAAGGUGGUGUGCAUCUAGAGGAGCCGGUCGGAGGCGGCCAUGGAGCUUGCGCCCAGCAGCUGGCGUCCGCGGGCGAGGAGGACGCGGAGGGCGGCGGCGGUCGAGGAGCCGGCGCUCGCGCACGACGUUCUCGUCACCCCCGCGUGGCGGCGGUGUCGAGGGAGGCUAGCGCCGUCGCCGUCGCCGGGCGCGGCAAGGUGCCAGCGGUGGAGGUAGACGCGCGCGCGAAUGACUUCAUCCGGCGGUUCCGGGAGCAGCUCCGGCUGGAGCGCCUCGACUCCAUCCUCCGCUACCAGGACACGCUUACGCACCACGAUCAAUAAAUCAAUUGUUAAACCCACCCGUCAAUGUUGGAUGAAACUAAAAGAGUGGAUAUGGGAAGAAAUGGGAUUGGAUUGUGCACGUGUGUUUAAAAUAAAUGUCAAGAACUCAGCUAUGGAAAUCAUGACCUGAGCUUGCUCUCAGAUUGAACCAAGUUGCACGCACCUCUAUUCCCGUGUGUACCCUUGUUUUACGAACGGUAUAUCUUACCGUCACCUAAUUGGAGUCCUUUUCAGUUAAUCCUUUUCUAGGAAAAAGAUACCCUGUUGAAACAUAUAAGAUAAUGUUUUGGUUUCAUGAAAAUUGAAAUUAAGGAGAGUCGCAGCUAUCUAUUCGCAGCUUACAUGAUGUCACUGUCCUCGUCAUCCUCGGCACUGGCAGAGCGUCGUUGGGGCCUUAGAGGACCACGGCCCCCUUGCUUGGUAAAAAAAAAAAUCAGAAGAGCAAAGUGCAAAUUUCCAGUCCAAGUGCAGUCCGUGGCUUCUUGACACGUAAUUCAGCGCACAAUCAAGAAAUCCCACAAGGCAUUAACCAUAUAGGCACAAACAAACAUUGAAAACAAUAGAAAAAAACAUUGAGCCAAUUCCAGCAACUAGCGGAUGAGACAACGACCUCAGCCGUCGCAAGACGGACGCUUCCUUCACAGUUGACUCAUUGAGGUUGUCAUCGUCGGCUGUCGCCACUCGCCAGGGCUGGCGCCUUGCAGCCUGGUGCUAGAACUUUCAUCCGGCCAUUUUUGUUUAAGCCAGUUCAAGUUAGGGCAAGGAGGAAAGGAAAGUAUGGUUGCUUUUCUUCCUUCUUUUGUUUAUCUUCUAAGUUCUUAACACAUUAGAUCCGUAGAAUAUGCAGGCUACUAUUGCCUAAUUAGCUGGUAAUUUGUUGUCAGUUGAGAUCUAUUGUUAUUUCUUUUGAGAAAAUUGAGAUGUUUCGCUAGUUUAUUUGGCCCUAAUCCCCAAAUUGCACAGUUUAUACGGUUUGGUGGUUUUAUAACUAAAUAGAGUUCUGCAAUUUGGUAGGUAGGUACAAAUGGGUAAAGAGAAGCCUAUUGAUUCAUUUUUCAACAGCAAAAGAGAUGAACCAAUUGUGGACUGUCGAGCAACCUCUGGUUCAAGCCAACCAAUUUCCCCCCUACAAUUUGCUUCACGCUCCGCCACUGAUCCUCGAUCCUCGGUGAGAAUUUUUAACCUCUUUGAAAAAGUCGGCGAUUGCGAAUCUCCACCUGCAUUUUUUGUUCUAAACCUUUUUAAACUUGUUUGUGAUUGCGAAUCCAAGGAGAUGUACCUGCAUAACAGAAGCUAUCUUUGCUGCUAGACAGAUCGAGCAGCGAGCUCACCCAUAACUAUUGAAUCCACAGUAGUGGUUGCCAGGACUUGCAGGCGACAUACCUGUACAGAUGAUUUGAAGUGCAAAACCACUCCUAAACUUGCUGUUAAUUCGAAUAUUAUUACCUUGCCCAUCUAGUAAAACAGAUGCAUCUGCGUAGGCAAAGUUGGACCGCAAAACUGGACAGCUCUCUGUGGUGUUGUUUAGAUGGACGCUGCCCCCUCCCGUUUGCAUGUUUUCUUCCCAGCACAGACGCUGUUUCUUGAAAUGGAUUCUGAAAUAUUGUGGCGAAAUGUCCUUUUCUAAGUGGGCCUAGACCCAUAAAUUCGCGAGCUCCGCCCCACUCACCACUGCCACACCGUAACUCCGCCUGUGCUGUCGUGGCCACUUGCUCGCCUCGUCGCUCUCGCGCGUCACAGUAGCAGCAGUUCUUGAGGCGGCACGCUGCCUGAAAGCUAUGCGAGCCCGUCAGCUCGUCAGACACGCUGCCUGCCUCCCGCUACGCUCCACCUCCCCAUCACCACGCUGCAAGCCGACGCCCGCAAGCUGCCGCUCGGCCACAGCGCCGCUGACACUACGGGAAAGCAUAAAGUCGCCGAGUGUAAUAACUUCGCCGAGUGCUUUUUUUCGGGCACUCGGCGAAGAACCGUGUUGCCGAGUGUAACACCAAAAACACUCGGCAAAAAUAAAACACUCGGCGAACAACCUGUUUGCCGAGUGCCCUCCAAAAAACACUCGGCAAACACCCAGGCGGCACUCGGCAAACUUUGACACUCGGCAAACUGACGCCCACGUGACUUCCCCGUGCCGACGGCGGCGCCCCUCCGUGACGGCCGUUAGUGUUUGCCGAGUGUCAAUAUAGGGCACUCGGCAAAGGCACUAGUUUGCCGAGUGCCAUGAUGGGACACUCGGCAAACUAUAGUCUUUGCCGAGUGUCUUGUUGGGACACUCGGCAAACCCUAUAGUUUGCCGAGUGCUAGGGUGUACACUCGGCAAACUAUAGCGUUUGCCGAGUGUUUUUUUACACACUCGGCAAACAUAAUUUUUUUCCCCUCCUCCACCCUCCAAACUUUUUACACUCCACAUGUAUGGCAUUUGGCACUGCAUGGUAGAAGAUGGACUAUUUUUUGACCUGUUUGCUAUAUUUAAUCAAUUAAUUUCAUUUAGAGUAAUUUUUUGAUUUAAGUCAAAUUUGAACUGCAGGUGGUUGGAAUAAUGGAAUAAUAUGAGUGAAAAAAUCAUAUUGAUGUUAGUGAGUCUAAAUUGAUGUCUCACCCAGAAAAUGAAAACAAAUUUCGAACAUGUUGCUAAGGAAACACGACUACGAACGUGUGGCCAAAUGAUUGUUUAAUUCUUAAAAAUACAAACGAAGUUUGAAAAUCAUGAGAUUUUGCAAGAUGCUUUGAUUUCGUAUGCAGAGGCCGUGGUAAAAAAUUGAUAAGGUUUCGCACAAGUUUUGACAUAUGAUGUUUACAAUUCGAAGCAUCUCCGGAGAGGUUUCAGAGAAGUUCAAAGGAUCCGGUAAGAUUUUGAGAUGAAUCGAUAAAUAUAAUUCACAUUGAGUCCAAAUUUUUUUUUAUAGGCUAUAGAGAACAUAGAUAGGUUCAUGUCAAAUUUUGGGAAAUUUUCAGAUCCGUUUGGUAAUUUUUAUUCAUUAAUUGGACGUAUAUGAAUUUAAUAGAUAUAAAUUAAAUAUGAGCUAUAAAUCCAUGAAAUAAUGGUACAAUAUUACUUAAAAAAUGAAAUACGCAAUGUUUAGUGAAUUGGACUAGGGUUACACAAAGUUUACGUCCUUUUAAUUACUAAAAGUGGUGUUGGACAUGCAAUAUAGGUAGGUGUUUGCCGAGUGCUACCUAGGGCACUCGGCAAAGGGAUGGUUUGCCGAGUGUCACAAAUAGGGCACUCGGCAAAGUCACAAAUAGGGCACUCGGGUCCACGUCGCAGUGUCUGGCAAUGUUUCGGGGGGAAAAACACCCUUUGCCGAGUGCCCCGGAUCUAGCACUCGGCACAGNNNNNNNNNNNNNNNNNNNNNNNNNNNNNNNNNNNNNNNNNNNNNNNNNNNNNNNNNNNNNNNNNNNNNNNNNNNNNNNNNNNNNNNNNNNNNNNNNNNNGACGAGGAAGAAGAGGAAGAGAUCUCCAGCAUCCGGGGGAUGACUCGGUCGAGGACGCGUGACCGUGGAGCAAGAGACCACGCAGCAACCAGCACCAUCACCCAGCACAGGCGCUGCUCAUGCACCAGCACGACGCCCGUACCGGUCGUCGACUUGAUGGAUGAUGAGCCCGAAGCAGAUGCCGAGCACGAGACAUGGACCAAAUGGGUGAAGAUAGAUCAUGGCCAAGGAGUGCAAAUGGCUCGACAUCCUCAGGUGGACUUGUCACCGCUUGGGGUACAGCAUGAGGCCACUCUACAAGUCCUCUCGGUUCACCCACCCUCGCUAUCCCACUUUUUACGAGGUGAAGGUUGUCCUUGGUGAGGAGCACGAAGGAGGAUGGUAGGUGAAGUUUAUUCACCAUGAUGUGACCAUGAGGAGGCCCAUGGAGUCCGACGCGCACUAGGCCCCCAGAAGGGCAGUUGAGGUCGGCUCCCACCCGCAGCCCGUGCCACUGGUCCACAGUUACCACCGGUCCCUUCCUUACGCAGCUAGUGGGGAAGCCAGCCCCUCCACGCCCACUAAUCAGCGGGUCGCCCCGCCCACCGACUUCCGCCGCCAGGCGCCGUCCGCCCCCCUGCCGCCCCGCACCGACCGCCCCACGCCCCCGGCCCCGACCCUCGGCCGCCCCGAGCCGUCGCCGCCAGGCCGCGCCCCUGCCGCCGUCCCGCGCCCGCUCCUCCGUCACCCCUCCGGUAAGUUUAUGUUGCCGCUACACAUCGUAAAUUAGAGUAUGCAUGAAAAUGGAAAUUAAAUGUGAAAAUACUAGAGNNNNNNNNNNNNNNNNNNNNNNNNNNNNNNNNNNNNNNNNNNNNNNNNNNNNNNNNNNNNNNNNNNNNNNNNNNNNNNNNNNNNNNNNNNNNNNNNNNNNNNNNNNNNNNNNNNNNNNNNNNNNNNNNNNNNNNGCUUACCAGGGAUCUAAUAAAAUGAUCACGUACACAUCCUCGGGUGGGAUUAGGACCUAUCUUUACCUAGUAGACAAUAUAGGAGCGUGUAUAUGCCAUGUGAAUUUUGUAUUACUUAUUUAAAUGGUAGAGGAUGGAGGAUCGUCAGUGGAUGUACACGGGUCGCACUAGUCAGAAUACGUUGACCAAUGAAUGGCUUGACAAGACGGAUGCUUUCUUGGAACGGGCGUUUGCAAGUGUCAAUGGAGCUCGAUCGACUUGGUGUCCGUGCAGCAAAUGUGGAAACAUGCGUCGGCAAACCAAGCUGGAGAUGGGCAAACAUCUGGUGAAGAACGGAUUUACGUCAGACUACACCAGGUGGAUCUACCAUGGUGAAUAUGACCGUGGGAGAGAGGAGGUCUUGAGACAACGAAUCGAGGAAUUUGAUGAUGAUGCCGGGGUGGGAGAUAUGUUGAAUGACUUUCAUGAAGCACACUUCGAAGAGGCACGUAGGGAGGAGGAUCCAGAGGCUACCGCUAAGGCUUAUUACGAAAUGUUGUCUGCGGCACAGCAACCCCUUCACGGCCAUACCAAGGUUUCUCAGCUAGAUGCCAUUGCACGCCUAAUGGCUGUGAAGUCUCAGUUUAGUUUGAGUCGAGACGCGUUUGAUAUUAUGUUGACAGUUUUUGGAAGCCUGCUCCCGGUUGGUCACAUCUUGCCAAAGAGCAUGUAUGAGGCACAGAAACUCCUUCGUGCACUUAAGAUGCCAUACGAGCAUAUACAUGCAUGCCCGAAGGGAUGCAUCUUAUUUAGGAAAGAGUAUGCGGAAGCAAAAUACUGUGUGAAGUGUGAAUCGUCUAGAUUUCUGGAGGUUGAUUCGGGUGACGGUCAGAAAAAGCAGCUCGCAAUUCCUGUGAAGGUUCUACGGUAUCUUCCUUUCAUACCGAGGAUCCAACGGCUUUUCAUGACUGAAGAAUCCGCAAAACAGAUGACAUGGCACAAAAAUGGCCGUCGCUAUAAUCCAGAGAAGCUGGUACACCCAUCCGAUGCUGAAGCCUGGAGAAGCUUUGAUGCGAUUUAUCCUGCAAAAGCUCUAGAGGCCCGUAACGUACGCGUUGCGUUGGCAACUGAUGGGUUCAAUCCCUAUGGAAUGGCGGCCGCCCCGUACACCUGUUGGCCCAUUUUCGUUAUCCCACUGAAUCUCCCACCCGGCGUCCUAUUUCAACGACAUAAUAUAUUCUUGUCGUUGAUAAUUCUAGAGCAUCCGGGAAAUAAUAUGAGUGUGUAUAUGGAGCCUCUGAUUGAUGAUUUGCUCCGUGCUUGGGAGGAAGGAGUAUGGACCUAUGACCGAUGCACAAAGACAAACUUCAAGAUGCAUGUUUGGUACCAGUACUCACUGCAUGACUUGCCGGCAUAUGGGAUUUUCUCCGGAUGGUGUGUUCACGGGAAGUUCCCUUGCCCAGUAUGUAAAGCAUCUUUGAAGUUUAUUUGGUUGUCGAAAGGGGGCAAAUAUUCAUCGUUUGACAAACAUCGACAAUUCCUCCCUCCUGACCAUCCAUUUAGACGAGACAUGAAGAACUUUACCAAAGAUGUUGUAGUUACAGCCCCCGCACCGCCGAUGAUGACAGGGGCCGCAGUUCGUGCUCAGUUAGACGCUCUUGAGUUCAAUAAUGAAGAAGGUGGUUUUUUAGGAUAUGGCGAGCAACAUGCUUGGACGCAGAAGUCGUGCUUGUGGAAGCUUCCAUAUUUUGAUGAUCUACUUGUUCCACAUAACAUUGAUGUAAUGCACACGGAAAAAAAUAUCGCCGAGGCAAUUUUUGGUACUAUAAUGGACAUUCCUGACAAGACAAAGGAUAAUGUUAAGGCUAGAGUGGAUCAAGCGACAUUGUGCAACAGACCACAGCUAAACAUGGCGCCUCCAAGAGCUGGCAAGUCAUGGAGGAAGCCUAAGGCCGAUUUCGUUCUGACGAGGGCUCAAAGGAGGGAGGUUCUAGAAUGGUUCCAAACAUUAAUGUUCCCUGAUGGCUAUGCAGCGAACUUGAAGAGGGGAGUGAAUUUAGCAACUAUGCGAAUCAACGGGCUCAAGAGUCAUGAUUACCAUAUAUGGCUUGAGCGCCUCCUUCCGGUGAUGGUUCGAGGCUAUGUCCCUGAGCAUGUGUGGCAGGUGCUAGCGGAGUUGAGCAAUUUCUUCCGCCGGCUUUGUGCGAAGGAGUUAUCUCGUACCGUGGUUGCAGAAAUGGAAACAAUGGCGCCUGUGUUGCUUUGUAAGUUGGAGAAGAUCUUUCCUCCAGGGUUCUUCAAUCCAAUGCAGCAUAUGAUUCUACACCUCCCAUAUGAAGCACGAAUGGGGGGGCCUGUGCAGGGUCGUUGGUGCUACUCAAUUGAGAGAUGUCAAAAGGUUCUUCGAACUAAAUGUAAGAAUAAGUGCAAAAUUGAAGCAUCCAUUGCAGAGGCAUACAUUCUGGAGGAGGUGUCAAACUUCACAUCGAAAUACUACGCUGAGAACCUUCCUAGUGUGCAUAAUCCACCUCCUCGUUACAAUGCUAGCGAAGAUGAAUUAAGCCUUAGCAUUUUCCGAGGGCAACUCGGAAGUGCAAGUGGUGCGACCCGCAAGACCCUUAAUCAUGAAGAGUGGCGCUCUAUCAUGCUAUAUGUGUUGACCAACCUAUCUGAAGUGGAGCCGUACAUGAUGUAAGUCACCGACAAACUUAUUUCGACGUAUUAAUGGUAUCUCUUGCCUAAACGUAUCUUUCUCCUUGGCAUAGGCAAUUUCAUCGUCAAUUCUGGCGUAAAUCAAGGCAACCGACCCCGCACGAAGCUGAGACUCUUCUUAAAGAGGGUGCGGGAAAUGGAAUGCCCGAUUUCAUUUCUUGGUUCAAACAGAAGGUAAAAUUUCAUUUCCGCGAACAUUCUAGAUACUCGUGCAUACGAUUAAUAUAACGAACCGCCCUGUUCGUACUUGCAGGGCCGAACCGAUGCGUCUAUGAAUGCCGAGUUGAGACAGGUUGCCAAUGGCUGUGACUAUAGGGUCAGGUCGUUUGCCGGUUAUGACGUCAACGGAUAUAGGUUUCACACAACAAGGCACGAGCAGAGUCGGCCCAAUCGAAGAACCACAAAUACCGGAGUUUUCACGCCAGGCUCCGAUGGAGUCGAGUACUACGGAAGAAUUGAAGAAAUAUACGAACUCACUUUUCAUGGGUGUAAACCUCUUAAUCCAGUUAUAUUCAAAUGUCAUUGGUUUGAUCCAUCUGUCGUGAGACGGGCCCCUAACCUUGGGCUAGUCGAAAUUCGACAGUCAUCCAGGUUACCAGGAGACGAUGUCUAUAUUGUGGCUCAACAGGCCACGCAAGUUUAUUAUUUGUCAUACCCGUGCCAAACCGACAGCCGUCUUAAGGGUUGGGAUGUUGUGUACAAGGUAUCACCACACGGUAAACUACCUGUACCAAACAAUGAAGAUUACAAUAUAGACCCCGACACGUACGAAGGAGAGUUAUUCCAACAAGAUGGGCUCGAAGGGAGUUUUGUGAUAGAUUUAACCGAAGCGAUCGGAAUGGAAGUAGACAACGAGAGGGUUGCUGCAGAAGACGGUGGAGACGAGGUUCAGAAUGUGAAGGACUUAGAAUUACUUCAACGAUUACAGUUAGAUAAUGACAGUGAUGACGACAUUUCUUCUUCGGAGCACGAGCUUGACUAUAUCGACACGCGUGAUAGUGAUGAUGAGACUUAUGAUCCAGCUAAUCCCGAUCAUGAUGAUUAUUUCUAAUACAUGUAUGAUUCGUAAUAAUUUAGCUAUAAUUACUUGUAAUUUGCAUAUAUUUCUAAUUAUGUUUUGUUUGUCUAUGCUGACUCGUGUACUCUUUUUAAUUGCAGGUCAUCAAGCAAUGGUGGGCGGUAUCAGGAAGCUCACGUCGAUUUGCGAGAGACUGGCCGCGGCAGGGACUGGUUCAGGGUCAGGGUCACGUUCAGUCUCGGGUCGAGGGAGGCGUCGAGGCAGGCCUCGACGUAGGGUUGAGGAGGAGGAGGAGGAGGAGGAGCAGGAGGUGGUCCAGAGGCCUCGAGGGAAAGGUAAAGCGGCGAGGCCCCCGUCGCCUGAACCUGAGGAGGAGGAGGAGGAGGAGGAGGAGGAGGAGGUACCUUCCGCACACUCCUCUGGGGACGAGGAGGCGGAGGAGGAGGAGCAGCAGGAGCAGGAGGGGGAUGGGGAGGCAGGGGAUACCCAGGCCAAGAUAUGGUUGCGAGGUCCCUCAUCCCUCCCGAAGCGGCCGAUACCUGAGCAUUUACGCCCGCUCAUUAAACCGGUUGGGAUCAAGUAAGUAACUUUAAAUAUUCUUGAAAUUGUUCUUAUGUUGUAAGUUACAAAAAAUAAUAAUUCAUAUUAAUUACUUGUGCAGGAGUUGGGUUAAGCUCAGCGGGGGUGACCACAACCGUAAGGCCAACGGGAUCCUUGGCCUUUUGUGCAGGGUUCACUUCCCUGGCUUGGUGGUGUACGCCGGACAGCUGCAGCCGGCCUACACGUGGGACCACUACGUCGCCGCCCCCGACGUCCCUGAUCGUCAACAAAGAAGAUUCCCCAACAUAGCGGAGCGGGUCAAGGCCGAGCUGUGGGUAAGUACUCCUCGUACUAAAUUGCUCAAUACAUCACUACUUUCGACAUUCUUGAAAUAAUAAUUGUUUACGCGUGUAUAUGCAGGACUUCUAUAGAUGCCAGGAGGGGUUCGAGGCCAAGGCGAAGGCCGUCUGUGAUGUAGCCGCCAAGAAGCUCGUGAGGGACAUGCAUUACGAGGCGCGCAUCCAGGCCAUCAUAGAGUUCAACGCUCAAUACAAUCAUACGAAGGUUAGAAAAGAGGAGGCAAGAACAAUGAACCUGACUAAGGAUCAAUUCAUGAGGGUAAGUAAAGAACGUUGAUGCUUACUAUUUAUGAUUAAUUAGGCUCAUUUUCUUUUUCAUACGUCACACGCUUGAUGAUGUAGGUGCCUCCGUGGUGGUGUCGUGCGCAUAUGCCGUGCUGGGAGAGGAUGGUCGACGUGUGGUUGGAGCCCGGGUGGUUGGAGACCCACCUUUCUUGCCGGCAGCGGCGUUUGCAGAUGCCGACUGCAUCACACCAUCAAGGCAGCCUAAGCCUUGAUGAAUAUAGAGAAAAAUGGGUACGCAACUUCAAUUCUUUAUUGUAACGUUUAGUUCUACGUAAUUUUUAAUAAUUUUGUAUUUUGCCGCAGUCGGCGUCACAUGAUGGCCGACCUUGCUCCCAGCUCAAGGCAUGGGUCCUCUCCAAAAAGGGCAAGGCGACGGCCGAUAUAGAUUUCAACCCAGACGACCCGUCCGAGGCGUACAGCCACCCUAGCAUAUACAGCCGCGUCAGCGAGUAUACAAAGAUGGCUAGGGAGGUUCACGGGCCAGACUUCGAUCCGAGCUCCGAGGACAUUGAUGGAGAAAUCGUGAUGAGGGUGGGAGGAGGCAAGAAGCAUGGCCGAUAUUGGAUUGGCGACGGCGUCAUCGACACGGCCUCUACUCCCACUCUCUCCCAGAUCCGAGCUAGGAGCACGGACUCGAGCCCGGCAGUACGCCCACGACCCACCGCUGCACACUUCCAGAUGGAGGCUCUACAGGUUCUUUCUCUUCCAUUCAUCGUUCGUUUGUUGUUGUACUUUAGCUUUGCAUUAUAACAUUGCAAUGAAAUAUUGUAGGCCCAGGUGGAAGAAUCAAGGAAGAAACAAGAGGAGAUGGCGGCGCAGAUGGAGGAAAUGCGGCGGAGGAUGGAGGAGGAAAACCGGAUUAGGAUGGAGCAGAUGUUCCAGUACAUGCAGAACUUUGCUACGAGCAUGGGACAGACUUUGCCUCCGCCACCGCCGAUGAUGUUCCCUCCGCCUCAGCCACCCACGACUACUCCUGUGAGUCACUUGACACAUUGUGUUUAAGAUUCAAUAGUUUAAAUUUGACAACUUUAGAUGUUACCUCAGAAUGUCCUAUCCUAUGUGCAGAAUCAAUCGGCGGCUUCGAAUAAUGAAGAUCAAGAUUUGUCGCAGUGGUCUCCUUGGCCUCCACGGAAGUAGACUUGAUUGUGAACAAUGUGGAAACUAAAUUGUGAGAAGAACUUGGAUUUAUGGAUUAUUUCGUGCUUAUGUUGAACUAUGCCUGUGGUGUUUAUGAAUUAUGCCUGUGGUUGUGAAUUAUUCAUGUGGUUGUUUAUUACAAAUGCCUGUGAUAUGUGUAUUGUGAAUUGAGAGGGGUCCGUUAUACGUGGCAAAAUUUCGAAAAAGGGGCGGUUCUGGUCACUUUGCCGAGUGUUACACUCGGCAAAGAUGGGCCUUUGCCGAGUGUCGUGACCAUAGCACUCGGCAAAGGGGCAUUUCCCAGGUGUAGGAAAGGUCCUUUGCCGAGUGCUAUGGUCAAGGCACUCGGCAAAGUGGGCGGCUUUGCCGAGUGCCCUAGCGCCGGCACUCGGCAAACAUAUCCGACUUUGCCGAGUGCCCGGGAGCCGGCACUCGGCAAAGGGACAGUGUUUGCCGAGUGCCGGGAGCCGGCACUCGGCAAAGGGACAGUGUUUGCCGAGUGCCAGGCGCGUGGCACUCGGCAAACUCGCCGUUACCCGACGCCGUCAGUCCGCGGUUCGCCGAGUCCAUCUAUUCGCCGAGUGUUUUUUGGCCGUCGGCAACAUGUUUGCCGAGUGUCCGAGUUUUGACACUCGGCAAACUAGGCUUUGCCGACACAAUAUUUGCCGUGUGCCCUUUGCCGAGUGUUACACUCGGCAAAGGCUUUGCCGAGUGUUUUCGUGCCUUUGCCGAGUGCCCCAGGCACUCGGCAAAAGUUCUGUCUCCCGUAGUGUGAUGCCGUGCGUUUGAGCAGCCUUUUUUUUGUUUUCUAGCUUUUUUUUAGAUUCUCACAAAUACGGAAAUAUUUCAAAAUCUGGAUCCAUAGCUUGACGUCAUCCACACUGUCCACCGUCGUGUUCUUCUCCGUUCUCCCUUUACUCCUCCCCACCGUCCGGCUCUUCGUGUCGUCGUCAGCCUCCCGCCGGUCCUCCCUGCCUUCCACCCGCCGCUGGCCCUCGCCGCAGGGGGCCGCGCCGGCCAGCAGGGUGCCACCUGCACUUGCCGCCAGGCGCUGCCGACCCACCAGCCGCCGCCUCCUAGCCACCGGGCGGAGUGGGCACAAUGUGCCGAUGACACCCCACUUCACCUCCGUGCCCUCUCUCGUUGGAAGGUAAAUUUCUUAUUAGUUUUAAUAGUGAGAUAUAUAGAAUAGGUAGGUAGAAUUGUUAAAUAGAAUUUAGAUAGAUAGAUAGAUAGAAUAGUUAGAUAGUUAGUUUGAAAGAUAAUUAGAUAGAAUUUUCAUCUUAUGUAAUUUUCUUUUUAGAUAUAUAUAGUUAGAUAGAUUAGUUAGACAGAUAGUUAGAUAGAAUUUUAUUCAUAUGUAAUUUUUUGACUUAGAUAGAUAGAAUAGUUAGAUAGAUAGUAAUAUAGUUAGUAUGAUAGUUAGUUAAAUAGUUAUAUACUAAGUUUAUAAACUUGAUGGACAACGUAGUGAGCAUAUAUCAUGAAGGUACCAUGGAAAGAGAUGAUUAUGGAUGUGUUAAGUUUGUUAACAUGCAAAGCAUGGUUGUGUUAUUAAUUGAGAAGCCCUCAUUUAGUGAGUUGGUUGCAAGUGCUCGGGAGGAGCUAUAUUGCCACGAAGAUGAUGACAUCACAGUGGAGGGCGUACUUCACCUAGUUUCCCCUUUCAACAUCCAAAGGAAGAUGAUCCCAAUUUGGUGUGCAGAUAAGUGGGAGAAUGAUGUGAGAUCGGUUAUGAAGCGCCAGUUCUAAAGUUUGGACGUGGUUGUGCGUCGGGUGUUAGUUGAUCCCAUCCGUCAUCGGUUUUCCCGACCAAUGGGUCAGCAUGCACACUUUGACCCUUUCAUCCCAGAACCUAUUAUGGAUGUGGAGGUUGCACGUACGGUUCCCGAUGCUGAAUCUGCCCCCAAUGAGGUAGUUGGAGAUGCUUGUCGGACACUUGAUGCUGUGGUAAAACCUCCUCAUGAGAUCCCUUUGACACAAAAUCGUCCGAGUAAGUGUCUUAUCGGCACGCUUCUUGGGAGCUAACCUCCUUCAUUACAUCAAUUUUUUUUCUUCCUUUCUCAUAUUUCUAUCAAUGUUUUAGGAGACAUUCCUGAAAAUGUGGAUGUGCCCCCAGUUGCUACUCAACUGCACUGUGGAGAAGGAUUACGUGGCUCUAAUAGUGUUGAAAUUAUGAAUGAUUCGGAUGCAUAUGAGAUGGGAAUGUAUCUUGAUUCUGAUAAUGAUCGCCCUAUUGGAGAGAUGACAGAGAGUGAUGUUGAGAUGUUCAGGCGUAUCUUUCCUGGCCUUCGUGAUCCAAGAGUUCACGAGUUCAGUGAUCUUUCUCAUUCUGAUCAUGCGUGUGUAGAGGGAAGUGAUGAUGAGCUCCUAGAAGCUCCUGAGGCUGGACCUAGCAUAGUGAUUGAGGAGGGUAGGGUAUUCAAGGAUCUCCCCACAUUGAAGAGGUGGUUACAGGCGUUUGCAGUGAUACAGAAGAGACCUUAUAAGGUCUUGCAUUCAUAUGCAGAGCACCGUUACACAGUUGUGUGUGACAAGUAACAGUGCCCAUGGACGAUUUGUGCAAGGAAGAAAAAGAUCACCGAGAAGUGAAAGAUCACAAAAGUUGUUGGGCCACACAAUUGUGCUAACACUAGAACAUCGAGAAGUGGAAGAUCACUGGAUAGAAUGGUAAGUCAAGUACCUUACUUUCCCAUGUUAAAUUACUUAGUGAUUUACUGGUUUACUUUUUAUGGACUUUGUGGACUCUUGUUAUGAACUAUUUUGGACUUUCAUUAUGGACUAUUGUGCAUAUAGACAUUCAUUAAUGAAGUUUUGUGUGUAUGAACUAUUGUGGACUUUCAUUGUGAAUUAUUAUGUGUAUGAACUAUUGUGGACUUUUAUUAUGAACUAUUGUAGAUUUUCAUUAUGAAUGUGGCAUAUGUUUGUAUGUUUGAACAUGUUGUAUUCAGGUAAAAUAUUCAUCUCAUAAUUGUGUAUGAAUUACAUCCAAAAAUACGGGAAAUUCUGCCGAAAUUUCACAAAAAUAUAGGAUUGCAUUUCGCUUACAAAAAUUCUCCACCAUGUAAGCUUAUGUGCAUUAGGCAUGUGCUCACAUAUUUCUCGCAAAGAAAACGACAUCGCACAUACUACUAGGGUGUCCAUACUUAAAGUGCAUUACAUGACAACAUAAUGAAAAGUCCAACAGUAGACAACAUGUUUCAUAAAUAAACUAUCAGACUACAAGUAAUGGAGACUACUGAGUGCAACGAGUCCACUUUCCCUUCCUCAAUCGCUGCUUUCGCUCGGCGCGCAUGCUCAAGCUUCUUCUCCCUCUCCUACCUAUCGAUAGCAACACACCUCCUUUCCUCCUCUUCCUUGUGCUCCUUUUAUGCAGCCUCCUCUCUGAGUCUCUUCUCCAUCAUCUCCUUCCUCUCUGCUUCCAACCGCAAUAUUUCUUGUAUCUCCUCCUUGUCUUCAGGCUUGAUCUCGGUGUUGAUCCACUGCUCAAAAUCACAGAGCGGUGCAGGGGUCUACAAAAAAUGCAAUUGUUAUAAAAUAAAAAAAAUCAUGUAAAAUAAUUAUAACCCAACAACAAUUCCUCACAAUCUUGUUAAUGCAGUGUUGACGAAGUGUAGGCUCAAACUUAAAAUUAGAACACAUUUAGUACCUCUACCUAUACGUGUCAUCUGCAUCGGACUUGGCUACCUUGCAAGGAUCGCUGCAAAAGCACAUGGGUAUUGGAACACCACUAGGCAGAGGCAAUGGGUCAAAGGCAUUUCCGGUCAUCCGGGCAUAACUACAAUUUAGUCAUUUUCGUUGUAAAAACCGAAAGCAGUUAACAUUAAACCUACACCUAGGGUUUCCAUUUGAUCCACAAGAAUGAAUCCAUAACAUAACUACGUGCGCUGACCUUACCUUUGUUUCCUAGCUUUUCCACGCCUUGGCAUCCUAUGGUUGCACGAAACCCUAUGUUCAAAAAUCUGACUAAUAUAUAGCGAAUCGAUGUGAAAAAAAACUUGGAGGGAGUGGAUAUCUUGCUCUCGAAGAUCCAUGGAUCAAAUAAAAGUUUCUAAGAUUUAAUAUGCCGAUUCGUGGUGUAGGGCGAAGGGGGGAGAGAAAAAACCUGAGAGGGAGGAGAAAGAGGAGGAAGAAGCUUCGGGCAAGAAGAAAGGGUGCGGCCUUAUGGUAGCAGGUUUGGCUCCAGGCUGGCUGGCACAAGGCCACCACUAUGUCAGCUGCCCCGUCAGCAGCUGUUGAGUGACCUAGGUGUUGGGAUAGCCGGCGCCGAGAUGCCUAAGCUUGGCGCCAGCGUGGAUGGCGCCAAGUUAUGGGUCCAGAUUUUGAAAUGUUUCCGCCAGAUGCGUAUUUGUAAGAAUCUUUCAGAAAAAAGGCUAAAAACAAAAAAGUUAGAUGUUUGAGCCGCUCCACAGCCCUUACCAUCACCGACUAUAAAAGGCAGGGUCGAGCGCCUCUCCGCAACCGAACUUGCCGAGCCGCCAGCUCCGCUGCUCAACUUCUUGCAAUUCUGCCUGCAAUUUAUUUAUGGAGUGAUCGAGAAAUUGAGCGAGUUUGGAGGCUAGUGGUUGAUACGUUUUUUGCAUCGAAUUGACAUUGAAUUAGUUUUCUUUGAACUGCCAUUUCAAAUGUUUUUUCUAUAGUUGCAUGUGAAACACGUCUAUUGCCGCUAAUCAAUCUGUCGACGCUUUUUUGGGCCAACACAUGAAUGUACGCGAUUGUGCGGCGCGUGGAGGGGCUCACUGUAGCACGUCGAUGCAUGCCGGUUUGACCACUUACGGUCUGACCGGUUGUUAGGCCACCUAGUAGUAGAUUGGAAAAUUUAGGGAAAAAGAAUAAAGGAAAAGACAAUAAAUAGUAGCUUGGUUUUUUUCGAUUAGGUUGGAUGCCCUCAAUCGGCCGAAUCCCUUUAUAUUUCUAAGGAGGGAAGGUCUUUAUAUUUAUAGGAAGGGAAGGUCUUACCCAUGAGGGAGUCAAAAUCCUAAUAAAAAUCGUGCUAAAUUAAAAGUUCUACUCGGUUUACACUGAGCCAGAUAGGUCAGACCAGCCUGGGCAACCUGUCGGACCAGUCUGCCCGGGUGUAUAUCUUGCGAAGGUCGUAUCUCUCUCAUCCGAACUUCAAAUCGGACGUUCUAUAUAAGAAUCUUGAUCUACUCAACAAGAUACAGGAAAUGGUAGAGUCCAAUCUUCAUUUGGAGCACUUUGAUCCAACCAGUCCGACUGGUGGCAUCAGGACUGGUGGCAUCAGCUGGUCUGACCUGUCUGUACGGGGGUGCUGAUCUUUCCGAGGGCAUAACUCUCAGGUCCGAAAUCCAAAUCGGACGUUCCAUAUAUGCAUUUUGAUCGCCUUGAUGAGAGAUAUGUCCUGGUGAAGUCCAAUUUGCUUUUUGAGAACUUUCCCAAACCGGUUUGACCGCUUGGAAGACCGGUCUAAACAUGUCUGAUCAGAUCUAUCCAGACCUGCCACUUUUCGGCAUCAACACGAGUUUUCCAGUAGUGACAACACAACAACUGUAUUACCCACGGCAUGAAAAUAACACAUAACAAGAAGCUAUGUACCACUAAGCAACACAAUCAAUACUCUUGCAAAGGGGGCGAAACACCAAAGGAAAUGGCGAUGAAAUUGAAACCCCGCCAACAGAGCUUUGCUUGAGCACGUACAGCUCUUUAUUACAGAAACAGUAUAGGAUACGAUCGAUGUGCCAUCAAGCAUAAAGCAGCAACACUUAUUUCUUUUCUCAAAGCAAGCAAGAACAGAACUGGUCAUCAAAGAAGUUGACGGGAUUCAUUCAUUCAGAUGGCCGCCGCGGUCGGUGUGCAGCGGCGCUUGCAGAAGUUAGUGAGGACGUCGACGCACCGGUAGACAGGCGCCUCGGUGGUGCUGGUGUACUUGACGCAGUUCAUGCACGCUGGGUGGCAACCCUGGAACGAGAUGUCCAGGCAACUGCAAUCUGGUGGAUUCUUCCUGUUGCAGAAGCCGCACUGGUUGCAGCACGGCCAGGAGCUCGCGUUCGCGGCGUCGUCAGCGACCGCCGCUCCUCCCUCCUCCCCGCUCCCUGCGGCCACCAAAGAUUAGUCGACGCAUCCAGUUGAGUUGAGUUGAGUGUCAAACUGUUAAUUUCUCACCUUUGCUGAGGAGUGGCAGAGUUGCGAGGACGGCGAGGACAGCCAGUGUGACGAGCAACACCUGAGGUCUCAUGCUUGUUUCUCUUGGUAUGUAGGAAUACAGGGUGUUGCCAGGUUUGUUGUGGUUGGACUUCCUUCCUACUGAUGGGUGAUGGUUAUCUGUAUGAGGCUAGAGGCCUUAUUAUAAGAGGAGGGGGUGCCAUGACAGCUGUGUGCCUGCCAAGUUAAGGCUAGCUUGGCACGGCUCUUGAACAAUGGCUUUAGCUCUAGCUUAUCUAAUGAUCUUGUAUGUUGGAGAAACAAUCUUUUAAGAUAGAUGGAAGAGGUCAAAUAUCCAAAAUACCCUUAUUUAUUUCCUUUCUUUUCUCUUUUCUUUUAAUUUCUUUUUCUUUCCCGGUCAUUUUUCUUCCUUUCUCAUUUUUUCCUUCACCAUUUAUUUUUCUUCCUUUCUUAUUUCCUCUUCCUUCUAUCCUUAUCUUCCUUUCCUCAGCUCCUGCAGAACGCCGCCCCUGCCUCUCAUGACCAUGGCCAUCACCCGCAGCUCUUCCGGCUCGACGUCCCUGCCUCCCCACUCCUCCAACUCGACGCCCUAUCUCCCCUAGCCCACUCCCUCUCCUCAGCCCGAGCGCCCAACAACCCCUUCCUCCCAGCACGUCCGGCCUCGCUUAGCAGUUUGUGCGGCACGCCUGCAGCGUCGCUUGUGCAUCCAACGUGCUCGCCCCGUCCCGCCGUGCUCCACCCACCGCCGGUCAGGUCAGCACCGGCGUUACUCCGUCCGUGCCACUGCACCAUCCGCCACCGCCCACCAACACAGUGGUUUCAAGAAAUUUCAAACAAUUUAAAUAUUUGAUAAAUGAUUUCAAAGUUGUUUCAAACUUUUACAAGUGAACAUAAAUGUUAUUUAGUGAAUGUAAAAAAUAUAAUUUCAUACAUAACACAGAUAUUUUGACUAGUUAGUUCACAUGUCCCUAUAGGUUGAAACACCUCAUGAGUUAUAGGGUGAUCAUGACUUGGAUAUCCAUUUGAGAAAAACGUACUGUUACAAUAUCUCAAAAUUAUGUUAAUAUUUUUUAAUCCAUGUUGGUUCACUGCUGAAGUGGUUACAUGCAAAAUAUCAUGAAAAACAUUCCCCCUUAUAUUUGAUGUUUUUGGAGCGUUCCCGAGCUAAUCUCGGUCAAGCUCCAAAUGGAAGGUUGACUAAGAUAGAAGAUGCCCGCGGUCUUAAAUGGGUACUUGCGUUGCCCGCCAGCACAGAGGCUAGUAUGCUUACGAGUUCUCCCCCGCAGGUCCAAGGAAGAUUUGUGCUGGUGGGUGCCAAUCAAACCCACCAGCACACUAAUUUACCUGUGUGAACACAAAUUAAAUCUGGCGUAGUGUUUUCUUAGUAUCUUUUGCUGUGGUGAGGCAUGUGAGUACUGCUGGCACGAUCAUCAGCUUGUCCUGGGCUGCUGCUAAGCAUGCACCACGAGCCAAAGGUUUUCGGGAUGCUCAGCUCAUAAGGAAUUGACUGAAAGUGACUGUUCGUUGUGUGAGCUAGCUGUCUCCACUGGUGGCUUCUGAAUUAUUGGUCCUAUAUACAUGCACCACGCGCAACAUAAGGGAAAAAAAGUCUGCAACAUGUGCGGCACUGGAUAAUUGAGCUAGCAAUAACAGUGUUGUACGCUUGUCUAUGAGGGAUGCAUGGUGCCUAACAAUCACAAUGAUCUAUACUGACUACUCCCUCCGUUCCAAAUUAUAAGUCAUUCCAAGAAUCUUGGAGAGUCAAAGCAUCUCAAGUUUGACCAAAAUUAUAGAAAAAAUUAUAAAGAUUCAUAACAUUAAAUAGUUAUACUAUGAAACUAUAAUUGAUGAAGAAUCUAAUGAUACUUUGUUGACAUCACAAAUGUUAUUAUAUUAUCAUAUAAAUUUAGUCAAACUUGAGAUACUUUGACUCUCCAAGAUUCUUAAAAUGACUUAUAAUUUGGGAUGAAGGGAGUACAUCAUAGCUUGUCUGCUUGCCUAGUGCGCGUGAACCAUGAGGGCAGGACUAGUGGCUGCACACUACUCCACGAGGGUAGGACUGGUGGCUGUGCAUCGACAGAAUUCACUAUUCGACACUAAAAAAACUAAUCGUGACACUAAACAAAUUUUGGUUCCCGUUUGAUACUGAGUUCAAUUUUCAUUCUUUAUAUAACAUUCUGUUGGAUUUUUCAUAUGAGAACCAUUAAAUGCCCGAUGAAAAGACGAUUUUGCCCUUGUGAGCCCCACCACCCUUCUCCGAUCUACUCACCUUCUCCAUCCGCUCUAUUGUACCUCCCCCACUGCUCCAUCCAUCCUCCUUAUUUAUUUCCAAGAUACCCUUAUUUAUUUCCUUUCUUUUCUCUUUUCUUUUAAUUUCUUUUUCUUUCCCGGUCAUUUUUCUUCCUUUCUCAUUUUUUCCUUCACCAUUUAUUUUUCUUCCUUUCUUAUUUCCUCUUCCUUCUGUCCUUAUCUUCCUUUCCUCAGCUCCUGCAGAACGCCGCCCCUGCCUCUCAUGACCAUGGCCAUCACCCGCAGCUCUUCCGGCUCGACGUCCCUGCCUCCCCACUCCUCCAACUCGACGCCCUAUCUCCCCUAGACCACUCCUUCUCCUCAGGCCCGAGCGCCCAACAACCCCUUCCUCCCGGCACGUCCGGCCUCGCACCUCCGGUCCACUUAGCAGUUUGUGCGGCAUGCCUGCAGCGUCGCUUGUGCAUCCAACGUGCUCGCCCCGUCCCGCCGUGCUCCACCCACUGUCGGUCAGGUCAGCACUGGCGUUACUCCGGCCGUGCCACUGCACCGUCCACCACCGCCCACCAACACAGUGGUUUCAAGAAAUUUCAAACAAUUUAAAUAUUUGAUAAAUGAUUUCAAAGUUGUUUCAAACUUUUACAAGUGAACAUAAAUGUUAUUUAGUGAAUGUAAAAAAUAUAAUUUCAUACAUAACACAGAUAUUUUGACUAGUUAGUUCACAUGUCCCUAUAGGUUGAAACACCUCAUGAGUUAUAGGGUGAUCAUGACUUGGAUAUCCAUUUGGGAAAACGUACUGUUACAAUAUCUCAAAAUUAUGUUAAUAUUUUUUAAUCCAUGUUGGUUCACUGCUGAAGUGGUUACAUGCAAAAUAUCAUGAAAAACAUUCCCCCUUAUAUUUGAUGGUUUUGGAGCGUUUCCCGAGCUCCUCUCGGUCAAGCUCCAAAUGGAAGGUUGACUAAGUUAGAAGAUGCCCGCGGUCUUAAAUGGGUACAUGCGUUGCCCGCCAGCACAGAGGCUACUAUGCUGACGAGUGGUCCCCCGCAGGUCCAAGGAAGAUUUGUGCUGGCGGGUACCAAUCAAACCCGCUAGCACGCUAAUUUACCAAUGUGAACACAAAUUAAAUCUGGCGUAGUGUUUUCUUAGUGUCUUUUGCUGUGGUGAGGCAUGUGAGUACUGCUGGCACGAUCAUCAGCUUGUCCUGGGCUGCUGCUAAGCAUGCACCACGAGCCAAAGGUUUUCUGGAUGCUCUGAAAGUGACUGUUCGUUGUGUGAGCUAGCUGUCUCCACUGGCGGCUUCAGAAUUAUUGGUCCUAUACACAUGCACCACGCGCAACAUAAGGGAAAAAAAGUCUGCAACAUGUGCGGCACUGGAUAAUUGAGCUAGCAAUAACAGUGUUGUACGCUUGUCUACGAGGGAUGCAUGGUGCCUGACAAUCACAAUGAUCUAUACUGACUACUCCCUCCGUUCCAAAUUAUAAGUCAUUCCAAGAAUCUUGGAGAGUCAAAGCAUCUCAAGUUUAACCAAAAUUAUAGAGAAAAUUAUAAAGAUUCAUAACAUUAAAUAGGUAUACUAUGAAACUAUAAUUGAUGAAGAAUCUAAUGAUACUUAGUUGACAUCAUAAAUAUAAUUAUAUUAUCAUAUAAAUUUGGUCAAACUUGAGAUACUUUGACUCUUCAAGAUUCUUGGAAUGACUUAUAAUUUGGGAUGAAGGGAGUACAUCAUAGCUUGUCUGCUUGCCUAGUGCGCAUGAACCAUGAGGGCAGGACUAGUGGACGCACACUACUCCACGAGGGCAGGACCGGUGGCCGUGCACCGACAGCAUUCACUAUUCGACACUAAAAAAUCUAAUCGUGACACUAAACAAAUUUUUGUUCCCAUUUGAUACUGAGUUCAAUUUUCAUUCUUUAUAUAACAUAUGAGAACCAUUAAAUGCUUGAUGAAAACACGGUUUUGCCCUUGUGAGCCCCACCACCCUUCUCCGAUCUACUUACCUUCUCCAUCCGCUCUAUUGUACCUCCCCCACUGCUCCAUCCAUCCUCAUGUCCAGGUGAGAGCUUAGGCACCAGGAGCUCACUACAGUUCUAUUUGUGUGGUUAUUGUCAUCGAGGAUGGUCGGGACAGUGGAGCUCCAAGGGAGGGGGGUCAUGGCAGGCUGAUGGCUCGAGUCACCAAGGAAAGGAUGAUUCCCGGCGGGGUUGAGCUCGUCCUAGCCAACAAGCAGGUCGGGGAGGUCGAGCGCAAGGUGAGGGAGGUUUGGGUGCGACGGAUUGGGUUUUGGCAGAGGUGGUGAGAAUUUGGCUGGCGAUGAGGUUCGGUGGCUGGUGGCAGUCGCAAGACAUGGAAUUCCCAGCACUAAGUAGUUUGUGAUUGGGCUGGAACUAGCCUGGUGUCGGGGAUACAUCCCCAAUACCCGCAAGGAAGGAAGAAGUCAGACUCCUACUAGGAUUCCCUUGUAAUCCGACUAGGACUCAUACCGUGUACUCCUACUAGGACUCCUCCUUGUAAUCCGACUAGUACUCUGCCCCCUGGAGUAUAUAAAGGAGGGUAAGGGUACCUAGCUCGGUAGGUCACACCUCAACACCCAAGCGUAGGGCGCAGUAUACAAAUACCCCCAAACAGGACGUAGGGUAUUACGCUACUCCGGCGGCCCGAACCUAUCUAAAUCCGUGUCUUGUGUCCUCGCUUUUACCUUCAAGUUCCAGGUCCGGCGAUCCCCCACUACACAUUCUGCUACCUCGGGUACCCCUUGGUAGACGGCCGAUAUAAAUCACCGACAUUGGCGCCCACCGUGGGGCAGCUCGUCGAGAUCAUCAGGCGAGCUUGAAGGACCUCAUCUUCAAGCCGGCGUUCGCUUUCAAAGCGGGCACAACCUUCGUCUUCGACUCCUGACUUUGCAUCACCGACGGCACUGGGUCCUUCCAAUGCUGCAUCAUCGACAACCAGGAGAAGAAGCGCCUCGACGGGAACUCUCUUCCACAAGAAGCAGAAAAUCUCAUUGAGAAAAUCGACAAAUUAAACCUUGGAUCAAGGUUCGACUGCAAACUCGUACUCCAACGGCGACUUCGGGUUCGACCAUGAUUCGAACUCGAACUCCGACGGCGACUACGGGUCUGACUACAACGCGGAGUCCGACAGCGACUCCAGGUCUGGCUACGACUAUGAGUCCGAUGACGACUCCGGGUUCGAUCGCAACACGGAGUCUGACGGCGACUCCAGCUUCAACUCCGACUCAAAGUCUAACAGCGACUCUGAGUUCGACUACAACUCAAAAGUCCGACUACAUUGCGAGCCCUCCGACGACUACAGGCGGCUCGUCGAUGAUUUCUUGGACUAUGUUGCGGGCACGCCGACGACCACGGUCGACUUGCCGACGACUCUGUUGACUACGGGCAGCUCGUCGACGACUUCAACUACGUUGCAAGCUCGCCGACGACUACGGGCGGCUCGGCAAUGACUUUGACUACUUUCCUCGACUACUUCGCUCGGCAACACAUUGAUGACUACUUCGUCAUGACGCUCGCCGACGACUUCUCCGAGUACGUCACGGCGCUUGCCGACUACUACGGGCAGCUCGCCGACGACUACUCCGACCACAUCGCGACGCUCGCUGACGACUACUACUCGUCUCGACUACAAGGCUAGUCGAGGGCGGAUUACAACUCGUCUUGACUAAAAAAUUAGUUGGGGCAAACUUCACAUCAUCGACAACUAGUCAGAAUCUCCUCCGACUAGUCGAUUUCGUUAACAACCAUUACGGCUUCAUCAACGACCAUCACGGCUUCGUCAAACAAUCAUCCACGAAUCAAGCUAAGUCACUUUUCUAAAUUAUUUUCCGGCUUACUUUCCGCUUGCGCGCAACACGCGCUCUACUCGCUGGAAACUCUCGCGCACAACAUGCGCUCUAUUCGCCGGAGGGCAGCAAACUCUUUCGCGCUACCUCGCUCUCUUUUUAUCGCAACAGUGACUAUUCCUUUUUGUCUUCUCUUAUGGUCACUACUCUUCUCGAGCAGAACAUGCCUUAACUCGUGAAAGCCUCAGGCGCAUCUGUCACGCCUAAGCCUAUACGUGUAUACGAGACAAAGGUCUCACACACGCAGUGGCAACGGCUACCCAGAGACUGAGAGUCUAAGCAUAACAGGCUAACUACUCAGGAAGAGUAUGACUAAAACAAGAGCUUGACUCGCAAUCAUGCAGUCUCUUUCUUGUCGCAGCAGCGACUACUCUCACUUUUGUCUUCUCUUAAGGUCACUACUCUUCUCGAGCAGAACACGCCUUAACUCGUGAAAGCCUCAGGCGCAUCUGUCACGCCUAAGCCCAUACGCGUAUACGAGACAACGAUCUCACACACGCAGUGGCAACAGCUACCCAGAGACUGAGAGCCUAAUCGUAACAGGCUAACUACUCGGGAAGAAUAUGACCGAAAUAAGAGCAUGACACAACAUUCAUAUUGAUCACUGAAUAAAUUUCAGCAGUUUCAAAAUCCUACAAAAAUGCUACAUAAUGUAUGCAUCUUUUCUUUCAGAUCGAGCUUCAGUGACACUAAGCAUGCCUCCAAUGGCACAGGCUAGUUCCCGAACUCGGGGGCUAAGCACCAAUCAGUACUCGGAAUAUCUCCAGUGGCUCAGCUAGCUCCCAGGCUCGGGGGCUGGAUGCCGCAAAACCACUCGACGUGGCUCCAACGACUUACCUGGCGCACAAGCUCGGGGGCUGGACGCCGCAAGACUACUCGAAUGAUGACCUGAGUGAAGAUUCAAGACCCUCGGGUUGAUUAUUCAAUCAAUCAAAGGCUCGGGGGCUGAUAAGCUACACCCAACAAUUGAUUUUUUCAAGUCAAAAGAGGAAGAUUCAAGAUUUUGACCCUCAGCCUGAUUCUGCGAUUCAACCUAAGGCUCGGGGGCUACUCCAUAUGGAGUGUGACUUUCACCGUCCUCCAUACAUGAAGACUUCAAUAUCAUGUUGAUCAAGACUUUGAGCACACCAUAGCCUCAUGGUGGCUUUGAGAAACAUUGAAAGAUUCAGUCUGACAAAGUACUCGAAGAGCACCAAAACUACCCGGCGAAUAUCUCAAGACUACUCGAAGACUGCUGCAUUCGACUAUGAAGCGCUCGGAGGCUUGUCAGGAAUACAUCCCCACUACCCGCAAGGAAGGAAGAAGUCAUACUCCUACUAGGAUUCCCCUGUAAUCCGACUAGGACUCAUACCGUGUACUCCUACUAGGACUCCUCCUUGUAAUCCGACUAGUACUCUGCCCCCUGGAGUAUAUAAAGGAGGGCAGGGGUACCUAGCUCCGUAGGUCACACCUCAACACCCAAGCGCAGGGCGCAGUAUACAAAUACCCCCAAACAGGACGUAGGGUAUUACGCUACUCCGGCGGCCCGAACCUGUCUAAAUCCGUGUCUUGUGUCCUCGCUUUUACCUUCAAGUUCCAGGUUCGACGAUCUCCCACUACACAUUAUGCUACCUCGAGUACCCCUUGGUAGACGGCCGGUAUAAAUCACCGACACCUGGGAGGGAGAUUGGAAUUUGGAGAAUUCUUGUGUGAGACCACGGGGCACCGUCUCAUACACCAGCCUUGCCGUGCUGAAAUCAGCGAGCUUCACGCCGUAGCCUUUGGUGUCGCAGCAGUCGAGGAGCACGUUCCGGCCCUUGACAUUCUUGUGCACGACGGCCACCCUCCUGAGCCCACACACCGAGCUCACUGUAACACCCAAAAAUUCCAUCAUAAACACAAUAUAAGCAACAUGUGGUCUAGCUCUUUAUUUUCUAAGAACUAAAUAAAAUACUAAUAUUAAAUUAUGGCCUUUAAAAAAUUAAAGAACACUUGAAAUAACUUUUUAGAGACAAGUGCUUGUUAGGGUUCUUCGUUUGCUUCCCUUUUUGUUUGCGUUUGCAAAAUUUUACAUGAUGUCACUGUCCUCGUCAUCCUCGGCACUGGCAGAGCGUCGUUGGGGCAUAGAGGACCAUGGCCCCCUUGCUUGGUAAAAAAAAAAAUCAGAAGAGCAAAGUGCAAAGGCCCAGUCCAAGUGCAGUCCGUGGCUUGUUGACACGUAAUUAAUAAAUCAAUAAAUCCCACAAGGCAUUAACCACAUAGGCACAAACAAACAUUGAAAACAAUAGAAAAAAAUAUUGAGCCAAUUCCAGCAACUAGCGGAUGAGACAACGACCUCAGCCGUCACCCCUUCGCAAGAUGGACACUUCCUUCACAGUUGACUCAUUGAGGUUGUCAUCGUCGGCCGUCGCCACUUGCCAGGGCUGGCGCCUUGCAGCCUGGUGCUAGAACUUUCAUCCUGAAGGUAUGGUUGCUUUUCUUCCUUCUUUUGUUUAUCUUCUAAGUUCUUAACACAUUAGAUCCGUAGAGUAUGCAGGCUACUAUUGCCUAAUUAGCUGGUAAUUUGUUGUCAAUUGAGAUCUAUUAUUAUUUCUUUUGAGAAAAUUGAGAUGUUUCGCUAGUUUAUUUGGCCCUAAUCCCCAAAUUGCAGAGUUUAUAUGAUUUUGUGGUUUUAUAACUAAAUACAGUUCUGCAAUUUGGUAGGUAGGUACAAAUAGGUAAAGAGAAGCCUAUUGAUUCAUUUUUCAAAAGCAAAAGAGAUGAACCAAUUGUGGACUGUCGAGCAGCCUCUGGUUCAAGCCAACCAAUUUCCCACCUAAAAUUUGCUUCACGCUCCGCCACGGAUCCUCGAUCCUCGGUGAGAAUUUUUAACCUCUUUGAAAAAGUCGGCGAUUGCGAAUCUCCACCUGCAUUUUUGAAAUGGAUUCUGAAAUAUUGUGGCGAAAUGUCCUUUUCUAAGUGGGCCUAGACCCAUAAAUUCGCGAGCUCCGCCCCACUCACCACUGCCACACCAUAACUCCGCCUGUGCUGUCGUGGCCACUUGCUCGCCUCGUCGCUCUCGCGCGUCACAGUAGCAGCAGUUCUUGAGGCGGUACGCUGCCUGCAAGCUAUGCGAGCCCGUCAGCUCGUCAGGCACAGUGCCUGCCUGCCGCUACGCUCCACCUCCCCACCACCACGCUGCAAGCCGACGCCCGCAAGCUGCCGCUCGGCCACAGCGCCGCCGCUGAUGCCGUGCCUUUGAGCAGCCUUUUAUUUGUUUUUUAGCUUUUUUUUUUUUGAAGAUUCUCACACAUGUGGAAAUAUUUCAAAAUCUGGAUCCAUAGCUUGACGUCAUCCACACUGGCACCAAGCUUACACGUCUUGGCACCAGCCGUUCUGGUGCCUAGGUCGUUGCGCAGCUGUUGAUGGGGCAGCUGACGUGACGGUGGCUUGGCGCCUGGCUGUUUAACACACGGCCUCCGCCUCUAACUUCUCCCACCGGCUGCCGCCUCCUAGCCACCGGGUGGAGUGGGCGCAGUGCGCCGAUGACACCCCACUUCGCCUCCGCGCCCUUUCUCGUUGGAAGGUAAAUUUCUUAUUAGUUUUAAUAGUGAGAUAUAUAGAAUAGGUAGGUAGAAUUGUUAAAUAGAAUUUAGAUAGAUAGAUAGAACAGUUAGAUAGUUAGUUUGAAAGAUAAUUAGAUAGAAUUUUCAUCUUAUGUAAUUUUCUUUUUAGAUAUGUAUAGUUAGAUAGAUGGUUAGAUAGAUAGUUAGAUAGAAUUUUAUUCAUAUGUAAUUUUUUUACUUAGAUAGAUAGAAUAGUUAGAUAGAUAGUAAUAUAGUUAGUAUGAUAGUUAGUUAAAUAGUUAUAUACUAAAUUACAUAGUAACUCGACAUAGUUAGUAGUAUUUAGUAGUUUGUAGUUAAUAGAUAGUAUCUAUUUAGUUAGUUGGUACGUAAUGAAGAUUUUAUACUUAGAAUGCUUCAUUUAUAUUGGACUAAAUGAAUUGUUCUGUUUAUAACCUUGAUGGACAACGUAGUGAGCAUAUAUCAUGAAGGUACCGUGGAAAGAGAUGACUAUGGAUGUGUUAAGUUUGUUAACAUGCAAAGCAUGGUUGUGUUAUUAAUUGAGAAGCCCUCAUUUAGUGAGUUGGUUGCAAGUGCUCGGGAGGAGCUAUAUUGCCAUGAAGAUGAUGACAUCACAGUGGAGGGCGUACUUCACCUAGGUUCCCCUUUCAACAUCCAAAGGAAGAUGAUCCCAAUUUGGUGCGCAGAUAAGUGGGAGAAUGAUGUGAGAUCGGUUAUGAAGCGCCAGUUCUAAAGUUUGGACGUGGUUGUGCGUCGGGUGUUAGUUGAUCCCAUCCGUCAUCGGUUUUCCCGACCAAUGGGUCAGCAUGCACACUUCGACCCUUUCGUCCCAGAACCUAUUAUGGAUGUGGAGGUUGCACAUAUGGUUCCCGAUGCUGAAUCUGCCCCCAAUGAGGUAGUUGGAGCUGCUUGUCGGACACUUGAUGCUGUGGUAAAUCCUCCUCAUGAGAUCCCUUUGACACAAAAUCAUCCGAGUAAGUGUCUUAUCGGCACGCUUCUUGGGAGCUAACCUCCUUCAUUACAUCAAUUUUUUUCUUCCUUUCUCAUAUUUCUACCAAUGUUUUAGGAGACAUUCCUAAAAAUGUGGAUGUGCCCCCAGUUGCUACUCAACUGCACUAUGGAGAUGGAUUACGUGGCUCUAAUAGUGUUGGAAUUAUGAAUGAUUCGGAUGCAUAUGAGAUGGGAAUGUAUCUUGAUUCUGAUAAUGAUCGCCCUGUUGGAGAGAUGACAGAGAGUGAUGUUGAGAUGUUCAGGCGUUGCUUUCCUGACCGUCGUGAUCCAAGAGUUCACGAGUUCAGUGAUCUUUCUCAUUCUAAUCAUGCGUGUGCAGAGGGAAGUGAUGAUGAGCUCCUAGAAGCUCCUGAGGCUGGACCUAGCAUAGUGAUUGAGGAGGGUAGCGCAUUGAUGAGGUGGUUACAGGCAUUUGCAGUGAUAAAGAAGAGACCUUACAAGGUCUUGCAUUCAUAUGCAGAGCACCGUUACACAGUUGUGUGUGACAAGUAACAGUGCCCAUGGAUGAUUUGUGCAAGGAAGAAAAAGAUCACCGAGAAGUGAAAGAUCACAAAAGUUGUCAGGCCACACAAUUGUGCUAACACUAGAACAUUGAGAAGUGGAAGAUCACUGGAUAGAAUGGUAAGUCAAGUACCUUACUUUCCCAUGUUAAAUUACUUAGUGAUUUACUGGUUUACUUAUUAUGGACUUUGUGGACUCUUGUUAUGAACUAUUUUGGACUUUCAUUACGGACUUCGUGGACUUUCAUUAUGGACUUUGUGGACGUUCAUUAUGAACUAUUGUGCAUAUAGACAUUCAUUAUGAAAUUUUGUGUGUAUGAACUAUUGUGGACUUUCAUUAUGAAUUUUGUGGACGUUUAUUAUGAACUAUUGUGUAUAUGGACUUUCAUUGUGAAUUAUUAUGUGUAUGAACUAUUGUGGACUUUUAUUACGAACUAUUGUAGAUUUUCAUUAUGAAUGUGGCAUCUGUUUGAACAUGUUGUAUUCAGGUAGAAUAUUCAUCUCAUAAUUGUGUAUGAAUUACAUCCAAAAAUAGGGGAAAUUCUGCUGAAAUUUCACAAAAAUAUAGAAUUGCAUUUCGCUAACCAAAAUUCUUCGGCAUGUAAGCUUAUGUGCAUUAGGCAUGUGCUCACAUAUUUCUCGCAAAGAAAAUGACAUCGCACAUACUACUAUGGUGCCCAUACUUAAAGUGCAUUACAUGACAACACAAUGAAAAGUCCAACAAUAGACAACAUGUUUCAUAAAUAAACUAUCAGACUACAAGUAAUGGAGACUACUGAGUGCAACGAGUCCACUUUCCCUUCCUCAAUCGUAGCUUUCGCUUGGUGUGCAUGCUCAAGCUUCUUCUCCCUCUCCUACCUAUCCGCAGCAACACGCCUCCUUUCUUCCUCUUCCUUGUGCUCCUUUUAUGCGGCCUCCUUUCUGAGCCUCUUCUCCAUCAUCUCCUUCCUCUCUGCCUCCAACCGCAAUAUUUCCUGCAUCUCCUCCUUGUCUUCAGGCUUGAUCUCGGUGUUGAUCCAGUGCUCAAAAUCACAGAGCGGUGCAGGGGUCUACAACAAAUGCAAUUGUUAUAAAAUAAAAAAAAUCAUGUAAAAUAAUUAUAACCCAACAAUAAUUCCUCACCAUCUUGUUAAUGCGGCGUUGACGAAGUGUAGGCUCAAACUUAAAAUUAGAACACAUCCAGUACCUCUACCUAUACGUGUCAUCUGCAUCGGACUUGGCUACCCUGCAAGGAUCGCUGCAAAAGCACAUGGGUACUGGAACACCACUAGGCAGAGGUAAUGGGUCGAAGCUAUUUCGGGUCAUACGGGCAUAACUACAAUUUAGUCAUUUUCAUUCUAAGAACCGAAAGCGGUUAACAUUAAACCUACACCUAGGGUUUCCCAUUUGAUCCACAAGAAUGAAUCCAUAACAUAACUACGUGCGCUGAGGUUACCAUAGUUUCGUAGCUUUUCCACGCCUUGGCAUCCUAUGGUUGCACGAAACGCUAUGUUCAAAAAUCCGACUAAUAUAUAGCGAAUCGAUGUGAAAAAAACUAGGAGGGAGUGGAUAUCUUGCUCUCGAAGAUCCAUGGAUCAAAUCGAAGUUUCUAAGAUUUAAUAUGCCGAUUCGUGGUGUAAGGUGAAGUGGGGAGAGAAAAAACCUGAGAGGGAGGAGAAAGAGGAGGAAGAAGCUUCAGGCAAGAAGAAAGGGUGCGGCCUUAUGUUAGCAGGUUUGGCUCCAGGCUAGCUGGCACGAGGCCACCACUACAUCAGCUGCCCCAUCAGCAGCUGUUGAGCGACCUAGGCGCCGGGAUAGCCGGCGUCGAGAUGCGUAAGCUUGGCACCAGCGUGGAUGGCGCCAAGGUAUGGGUCCAGAUUUUGAAAUGUUUCCGUCAGAGGCGUAUUUGUAGAGGCGUAUUUGUAAGAAUCUUUCAGAAAAAAGGCUAACAAAAAAGUCAGAUGUUUGAGCCGCUCCACAGCCCUUACCAUCACCGACUAUAAAAGGCAGGGUCGAGCGCCUCUCCGCAACCGAACUUGCCGAGCCGCCAGCUCCGCUGCUCAACUUCUUGCAAUUCUGCCUGCAAUUUAUUUAUGGAGUGAUCGAGAAAUUGAGCGAGUUUGGAGGCUAGUGGUUGAUACGUUUUUUGCAUCGAAUUGACAUUGAAUUAGUUUUCUUUGAACUGCCAUUUCAAAUGUUUUUUCUAUAGUUGCAUGUGAAACACAUCUAUUGCCGCUAAUCAAUCUGUCGACGCUUUUUUGGGCCAACACAUGAAUGUACGCGAUUGUGCGGCGCGUGGAGGGGCUCACUGUAGCACGUCGAUGCAUGCCGGUUUGACCACUUACGGUCUGACCGGUUGUUAGGCCACCUAGUAGUAGAUUGGAAAAUUUAGGGAAAAAGAAUAAAGGAAAAGACAAUAAAUAGUAGCUUGGUUUUUUUCGAUUAGGUUGGAUGCCCUCAAUCGGUCGAAUCCCUUUAUAUUUCUAAGGAGGGAAGGUCUUUAUAUUUAUAGGAAGGGAAGGUCUUACCCAUGAGGGAGUCAAAAUCCUAACAAAAAUCGUGCUAAAUUAAAAGUUCUACUCGGUUUACACUGAGCCAGAUAGGUCAGACCAGCCUGGGCAACCUGUCGGACCAGUCUGCCCGGGUGUAUAUCUUGCGAAGGUCGUAUCUCUCUCAUCCGAACUUCAAAUCGGACGUUCUAUAUAAGAAUCUUGAUCUACUCAACAAGAUACAGGAAAUGGUAGAGUCCAAUCUUCAUUUGGAGCACUUUGAUCCAACCAGUCCGACUGGUGGCAUCAGGACUGGUGGCAUCAGCCGGUCUGACCUGUCUGUACGGGGGUGCUGAUCUUUCCGAGGGCAUAACUCUCAGGUCCGAAAUCCAAAUCGGACAUUCCAUAUAUGCAUUUUGAUCGCCUUGAUGAGAGAUAUGUCCUGGUGAAGUCCAAUUUGCUUUUUGAGAACUUUCCCAAACCGGUUUGACCGCUUGGAAGACCGGUCUAAACAUGUCUGAUCAGAUCUAUCCAGACCUGCCACUUUUCGGCAUCAACACGAGUUUUCCAGUAGUGACAACACAACAACUGUAUUACCCACGGCAUGAAAAUAACACAUAACAAGAAGCUAUGUACCACUAAGCAACACAAUCAAUACUCUUGCAAAGGGGGCGAAAUACCAAAGGAAAUGGCGAUGAAAUUGAAACCCCGCCAACAGAGCUUUGCUUGAGCACGUACAGCUCUUUAUUACAGAAACAGUAUAGGAUACGAUCGAUGUGCCAUCAAGCAUAAAGCAGCAACACUUAUUUCUUUUCUCAAAGCAAGCAAGAACAGAACUGGUCAUCAAAGAAGUUGACGGGAUUCAUUCAUUCAGAUGGCCGCCGCGGUCGGUGUGCAGCGGCGCUUGCAGAAGUUAGUGAGGACGUCGACGCACCGGUAGACAGGCGCCUCGGUGGUGCUGGUGUACUUGACGCAGUUCAUGCACGCUGGGUGGCAACCCUGGAACGAGAUGUCCAGGCAACUGCAAUCUGGUGGAUUCUUCCUGUUGCAGAAGCCGCACUGGUUGCAGCACGGCCAGGAGCUCGCGUUCGCGGCGUCGUCAGCGACCGCCGCUCCUCCCUCCUCCCCGCUCCCUGCGGCCACCAAAGAUUAGUCGACGCAUCCAGUUGAGUUGAGUUGAGUGUCAAACUGUUAAUUUCUCACCUUUGCUGAGGAGUGGCAGAGUUGCGAGGACGGCGAGGACAGCCAGUGUGACGAGCAACACCUGAGGUCUCAUGCUUGUUUCUCUUGGUAUGUAGGAAUACAGGGUGUUGCCAGGUUUGUUGUGGUUGGACUUCCUUCCUACUGAUGGGUGAUGGUUAUCUGUAUGAGGCUAGAGGCCUUAUUAUAAGAGGAGGGGGUGCCAUGACAGCUGUGUGCCUGCCAAGUUAAGGCUAGCUUGGCACGGCUCUUGAACAAUGGCUUUAGCUCUAGCUUAUCUAAUGAUCUUGUAUGUUGGAGAAACAAUCUUUUAAGAUAGAUGGAAGAGGUCAAAUAUCCAAAAUACCCUUAUUUAUUUCCUUUCUUUUCUCUUUUCUUUUAAUUUCUUUUUCUUUCCUGGUCAUUUUUCUUCCUUUCUCAUUUUUUCCUUCACCAUUUAUUUUUCUUCCUUUCUUAUUUCCUCUUCCUUCUAUCCUUAUCUUCCUUUCCUCAGCUCCUGCAGAACGCCGCCCCUGCCUCUCAUGACCAUGGCCAUCACCCGCAGCUCUUCCGGCUCGACGUCCCUGCCUCCCCACUCCUCCAACUCGACGCCCUAUCUCCCCUAGCCCACUCCCUCUCCUCAGCCCGAGCGCCCAACAACCCCUUCCUCCCAGCACGUCCGGCCUCGCUUAGCAGUUUGUGCGGCACGCCUGCAGCGUCGCUUGUGCAUCCAACGUGCUCGCCCCGUCCCGCCGUGCUCCACCCACCGCCGGUCAGGUCAGCACCGGCGUUACUCCGUCCGUGCCACUGCACCAUCCGCCACCGCCCACCAACACAGUGGUUUCAAGAAAUUUCAAACAAUUUAAAUAUUUGAUAAAUGAUUUCAAUGUUGUUUCAAACUUUUACAAGUGAACAUAAAUGUUAUUUAGUGAAUGUAAAAAAUAUAAUUUCAUACAUAACACAGAUAUUUUGACUAGUUAGUUCACAUGUCCCUAUAGGUUGAAACACCUCAUGAGUUAUAGGGUGAUCAUGACUUGGAUAUCCAUUUGAGAAAAACGUACUGUUACAAUAUCUCAAAAUUAUGUUAAUAUUUUUUAAUCCAUGUUGGUUCACUGCUGAAGUGGUUACAUGCAAAAUAUCAUGAAAAACAUUCCCCCUUAUAUUUGAUGUUUUUGGAGCGUUCCCGAGCUAAUCUCGGUCAAGCUCCAAAUGGAAGGUUGACUAAGAUAGAAGAUGCCCGCGGUCUUAAAUGGGUACUUGCGUUGCCCGCCAGCACAGAGGCUAGUAUGCUUACGAGUUCUCCCCCGCAGGCCCAAGGAAGAUUUGUGCUGGUGGGUGCCAAUCAAACCCACCAGCACACUAAUUUACCUGUGUGAACACAAAUUAAAUCUGGCGUAGUGUUUUCUUAGUAUCUUUUGCUGUGGUGAGGCAUGUGAGUACUGCUGGCACGAUCAUCAGCUUGUCCUGGGCUGCUGCUAAGCAUGCACCACGAGCCAAAGGUUUUCGGGAUGCUCAGCUCAUAAGGAAUUGACUGAAAGUGACUGUUCGUUGUGUGAGCUAGCUGUCUCCACUGGUGGCUUCUGAAUUAUUGGUCCUAUAUACAUGCACCACGCGCAACAUAAGGGAAAAAAAGUCUGCAACAUGUGCGGCACUGGAUAAUUGAGCUAGCAAUAACAGUGUUGUACGCUUGUCUAUGAGGGAUGCAUGGUGCCUAACAAUCACAAUGAUCUAUACUGACUACUCCCUCCGUUCCAAAUUAUAAGUCAUUCCAAGAAUCUUGGAGAGUCAAAGCAUCUCAAGUUUGACCAAAAUUAUAGAAAAAAUUAUAAAGAUUCAUAACAUUAAAUAGUUAUACUAUGAAACUAUAAUUGAUGAAGAAUCUAAUGAUACUUUGUUGACAUCACAAAUGUUAUUAUAUUAUCAUAUAAAUUUAGUCAAACUUGAGAUACUUUGACUCUCCAAGAUUCUUGAAAUGACUUAUAAUUUGGGAUGAAGGGAGUACAUCAUAGCUUGUCUGCUUGCCUAGUGCGCGUGAACCAUGAGGGCAGGACUAGUGGCUGCACACUACUCCACGAGGGUAGGACUGGUGGCUGUGCACCGACAGAAUUCACUAUUCGACACUAAAAAAACUAAUCGUGACACUAAAUAAAUUUUGGUUCCCGUUUGAUACUGAGUUCAAUUUUCAUUCUUUAUAUAACAUUCUGUUGGAUUUUUCAUACGAGAACCAUUAAAUGCCCGAUGAAAAGACGAUUUUGCCCUUGUGAGCCCCACCACCCUUCUCCGAUCUACUCACCUUCUCCAUCCGCUCUAUUGUACCUCCCCCACUGCUCCAUCCAUCCUCCUGUCCAGGUGAGAGCUUAGGCACCAGGAGCUCACUACAGUUCUAUUUGUGUGGUUAUUGGCAUCGAGGAUGGUCGGGACGGUGGAGCUCCAAGGGAGGGGGGUCAUGGCGGGCUGACGGCUCGAGUCGCCAAGGAAAGGACGAUUCCCGGCGGGGUUGAGCUCAUCCUAGCCAACAAGCAGGUCGGGGAGGUCGAGCGCAAGGUGAGGGAGGUUCGGGUGCGAGGGAUUGGGUUUUGGCGAAGGUGGUGAGAAUUUGGUCGGCGAUGAGGUUUGGUGGCUGGUGGCAGUCGCGAGACAUGGAAUUCCCGGCACUAAGUAGUUUGUGAUUGGGCUAGAACUAGCCUGGGAGGGAGAUUGGAAUUUGUAGAAUUCUUGUGUGAGACCACGGGGCGCUGUCUCAGACACCAGCCUUGCCGCACUGAAAUCGGCGAGCUUCACGACGUAGCCUUUGGUGUCGCAGCAGUUGAGGAGCACAUUCCGACCCUUGACAUUCUUGUGCACGACGGCCACCCUCCUGAGCCCACACGCCGUGCUCACUGUAACACCCAAAAAUUCCAUCAUAAACACAAUAUAAGCAACAUGUGGUCUAGCUCUUUCUUUUCUAAGAAUUAAAUAAAAUACUAAUAUUAAAUUAUGGCCUUUAAUAAAUUAAAAAACACUUGAAAUAACUUUUUUGAGACAAGUGCUUGUUAGGGUUCUUCGUUUGCUUCCCUUUUUGUUUGCGUUUGCAAAAUUUUAAAUCAAAAAUCUUAUCAAUCUUCUUUCUCUCUUUCUGUAAAACUCAGCAGGCCGGCCCACCUUUCCACUUUCUUUCCCUCCCGGCCCGCUCUCUUUUUCCUUCUCCAGCCGGCCCACCUCCUCAUUUCUUUGCGCAGGCCCAAGCUGAUCCGCCGGCCCAUCAGCAUCUCCCCAGCCCAACCCCCCCUCUCCUCCCACCGAUAGGUGGGGCCCACCUGUCAGGCGCGUCCUCAACCUCCAGCUGCACCGCAACUCCAGCACUGCCAGCAGCGCCUGCUCGCCUCCCAUCGCCACUCCAUCUCCUGCGUCCCUCCACUUGCUGGAACUACAUCGCCUUCCCACGCGUGUGCGCUGCUAGCGCCCUCUCCUCUCCUAACUCCAGUUACAGGCGUCCCAUUUUCCACUCGCGAUUAAUGGCCAUCGGAGCUCGUUUCAUCUACCCAAGCGCCGUCUCAACUCCUCCUCACGGCCUAUAAGUAGCGCCUACUCCCUCUCCCCGGCUCCAUUCUCCCAUUCUCGCCACCACCAACGCUACCCGCACCAGAGCGCCAGAGCGCCACCGCAUCUCACAGCACCGCCACCGUCCAAAUUCCUCCGCCGCUGGGUACAACGCCGGCCUUUCUCGCCCGCCACAGCCGCAGGUAUGGCCUCCCUCGCUUUCCCCUCGCUCACCUCCGUCGCCUGCGCCACCCGCUUUGCUCACCGCCGCGCCUGAGCUCGCCGGCGAGCCACCGGUCAUGCGAGCCACCGGUCAUGUGCCUAUGCGCGUGCGCGAGAAAGGAAAGAGGAGGAGGAUAAGGCUAUUUUGCAAUCUAGUCCCUAAACUCUCUGAUAUUCUCUUGCUUGAUUCAUGUGUCUAGUAAGGCUUGCAAAGAAUCCCCUGCAAUCCUUAGAACCUUUCUUUUUAACCUGAGCUCUACAAUCUUGCAGAUCUAACCCUAUACUUUUCUAUAUUUCUUAGUUGUUCACUUAGUCUUGUGAAACUUCCUUGGUAGCCCCUAAAGUAUAUAGUUAAUUCCGUUUAAGCCCCUAAAACUUGUUUACUACAUAUCUUCAUCAUUUCAACUCCGAUUUCAGCGAUUCUCAGCUAGGCACCAUACCACACUUUCGAGGUGUAAUUGCAAAGGGACGUUACGAGGCCUUUACAAAGAUUCCCUAAUAAGAAGUAGUCCGCUAAGGUUUCAUGAUCAGUGCAAUGUAUAACAGUCCCCUAGUGGGUAUAGUGUCUUAGCAAAGCCCACUUCCUAAGAGAGCGAGUGCUAUACACCAACUACUGUCUCUCCCUCUUGCCCUUUCGGUAAGACCGCUCCAAAAUAGAGUUUCUAAUUAUUCAGCCAAGACCAGAGCUAUUUAGUCUUGUGGUAGCACUGUUUUCCUGGGUGGUUCUCCAUGUUUCAAUUAACAUUAUUAUGAUAUUAUUAACAAAGCAUAGGUAGAAGGUUGGUUAGGGACACUUGCCUUUUCUCCAACGAAAAGUUACUCCUACUGCUCUUUAGCUUUUUGCUUUCUUGAAACUCUUACUCUUCAAAACUUCGAAACAACGAUCCUUCUACUCGGAGCAAACAUCAGCACAAACAUACAAGCAACAAACAAGUACAACUAAGAACAAUACACCAAAACAAAAGACAGGCUUUAAAAGAGCAUACUAAAGGACAUGGCUUGAUUCUAGGAUUACGCAGAUGCAGGAACGCUUACAACGUAACUAUGGUUGAAAAGAUAAAACUAUCGAAAGAUUUGAAUUUUAAAAGAAAGGUGAGAGUUACAAACUUCAUUUAUUUUAGUUGAGAAAAAUAAUGUAAAGAUAUUUCAGAGAAAUAUCCUUAGUUAGAAUUAAUCAAGUCAUAUUUAUAUUUUCAUAAGAAAAGACGGUGUAAAGCUUAGCCCAAAUUUAUUUAUAAAUAUUUAAGUACAAUUUAUGCAAAUUAGACAUUUAAUUUAAAAAUAAGAUACAUGUAGACAUAUAAGCGUAUAGCUUUACAUUUCGAGUUCAACUAAGUAGAUUAAAUUAAAAACACAUUUAUAUUUAUAUUAGCUAAAUUAACAUUUAAUUAUGAAACUCGAGAUAUAACCUAUGUAGCUUUUAUUUAGAAAACAAAUUGAAUAAACAUUAAUCAAAUUGAAUUUAAUUUAUGAAACGUCGAGGUAUAACUCUAAGUGGCUUUUAAUUGCAAGAAUUAUUUAGAUAUGCAUUAAUCAAUUUAACUUUAGUUUAUGAAAAACCGAUAUAUAACCUAAUUGGCUUUUAUUUAGAAGAGGGUAUGAAGUAAGCAUUAACCAAAUUGAUGUUUAUUAUCAAAAGCGGUGUAUAACUCUAAGUAGAUUUUAUUUAGAGAAGACGCAUGUUUAUGUGGCAUUAAUCAAAUUAAUAUCAAAUUUAUUUUUUUAAAGACAUGCAUGAUCGCAAACAUCACUACUAACACGUCAUUUAUGUUAUUAUGAAUCUAACGCAACUUGAACGAGGUUAAACGGAUCUAAAACGUGAAGUAUAGGAGCUAAACAAGGUUGCAAGGGUCUAAAUGUAAUUAACCGUAGACUUGGAGGGUUAGUUGAGAAGAUUACCGAGACACAGGGAACAGGACUCAUGAAAAGCUGAAAACACUAGGUUAGAUCUGCAAAAGGUCAAGGUUUGGAUUAGAUUGAAAGGAUCUCAAAGUUACAGGGGAUUUUCUACAAGGUUUGCAAGACACAAGUAAUAGGAACAGAAAUUAACAGAUUCUCCAGGGGCUAGAUCGAAAAGCAGCGCUUCAUCUUCUUCCUCACGCCACAAGCAUGGCGCAGCUCCAGGCCGGUGGUUUGCCGGCGUUCCGGCGCGGCGGAGGCCUGGGCGGGUGGUGCAGGUGGCGAUGGCCAGGCUAGGGGCCAAGGGCACGGCUGUACACCUCGGAAGUGUGGUAUGGUGCCUAGCUUGCACCGUAUGGUUGGGUCCAAAGUUCUUUGAACUUUUACGCGACUUGUGGGUAAAGAUGUGCCACCUCUACAGAGUGUAAAACUGAUCGAUCAGCCGUGCUCACGGUCAAGAGCGGCCUGGACCGUCACAUGAUUAAUUAAACUUGAAGAUGGACUUAAAUCAUUAUUCUGGUUAUUUCUAGUGGCCCUGCUGAGUACCAACCAUAAGUGUACUCACCCUUGCUUACUGCUGCUCAGAAGAAGAAGGUACGCAACCCCCAGUCGAUUGCCUGUGAAGUUUGGAGCCUCCAUUUCCAGUAUUUAAGCUGUGUAUCUCUGAUACACUCACCCUCACGCGACCGUCUCUGCAUGACUGUUAGUUUUAGGAGUUUGUUUUAAGUCUUUUUUUUUCUCAUGUUUGGUGUACUAUUUUAUUUAUUGUUUAUUUUGCUUGUGUCAUCGUGUGGACGACAUGUCAUUCAAGGAGAUUUAGCAGCAGCAGCCGUUCGACGAAGAGUUCCCUCAGUUUUUCAAGGAAGGCAAGUGGUCAUCUUCCCCUGCAUAUUCUUUUUUGUCCCAAUAAUAGCAUGCUAAAUCACUUUACUAUUUUCUUGUAUGUGUAUAAUUUGAUGGGAAUACCUAUUAAGGACUUACCUAGUUUUUAAUCCUGAUCCUUGAACAAUGGUUUUAAUCAUGUUGGGUAGAAUUGCUUAGUUGCUUAAUUUUGGGAUGGUAAUAAUUUUGAGAAUAUUAAUCAUGACUUUAUUAAUGCUAUACCUAUGUUAUUACAAGAUCACUUGAUUUAAUCGGAACAUGGAGAACCACCUAGGAAAACAGUGCAACCACAAGUACUAUCAUGACUCUUGUCUUAGCUAAUUAAUUAGAGACUCUAGUCUGGGGUAAUCUUACGGAAGGGCAAGAGGGGUGGCGGAUGAUGGGGUAUAACCCGCUUCUCAAACUGAUCUACUCUAUGGAAGCUUCGCAGUCUUGAGAGGAGCUUAUGCUCUACUACCGAUCCAGAAAUCUUAGCGGGUUACCACUUACUAGGGGAUCUUUGUAAAGGCCUCAUAGCGUCCCUAUGCAAUCACACCUCAGAAGUGUGGUAUUGUGCUUGGCCAGCAUAGCAUGGUUGGGUUUACAGUUCUUUUGAACUUUUAUGCUACUUGUGGGUAAAGAUGUGCAACCGCUGUAGAGUGUAAAACUAAUAUAUCAGCCGUACUCACGGUUAAAAUGCGGCUUGGACCCUCACAUGAUAAUUGAACUUAAAGAUGAGAAUAAAUCAUGGUUCCUUUAUCGUUGGGUUUUUUAAAUGCUUUAUGCUUAAGUGGGUUGGUAUAAACUUACACCUAAAAAUUAGGUUCUUGCUAUGCAUUCAAUUUUGUCCAAAAAUCGGGUGUGACAAAAGUGGUAUCACAGCUGUGUUGACUGUAGGAUAUAAGCCUAGAUAAAAAUGGUCUAAAUAAGGACUCAUUUUCUUAGCAAGCCAUGUCUUCUCAAAAAUAUCUUAUUUUUCACAGAAAAAUCUAUUUUAUUUUUGUUCUUUGCCACAAAAAGUUGUCUCUUGUUGGCUUUGUUUUGAGUAUCUUUUCUUUCUUUGUCAGAUGGCUAAGACCAGGUUGACCGCUCAUAAAAGCACUAGAGGAUACUAGGUUGGCCUUGCCCCUGCUUAGCCAGCUGCUCUGAUUCAGCAUGUAGAGGAGGUUGAAGAAGAUUUGGAGGAGGUCUACAAGCUGCCCCAGCUUCAUACAGUCCUGCAUCAAUUGCCCCUACAUCAGAUGCUCCAGCACUAGCUGAUCUAGCUCCACCACCUGCUACCGAUGGUGGAGACCCGGACGACUCUGGGAAUGACAGCAAUAGUGAGGAUAAAGAAGAUGACGAUGACGACUACAACAAAAACAAUGACCACAAUAGCAACAAAGACCACAACAACAACCAUGAUAACAAUAGUGGUAGAGAUGGAAAUCAGAAUGGUGGACCGCAGAAUGUGACACCAGCUUGUGACUACCACACUUUGGAGGAUGAGUCUGGAUACUUUCCCACACUGCUCUGGGAAGUACUAUAGAGUUUGGGAAGCACCAUGAAGCCCCUCUACGACACUCAUCGUGUCUCCCACUCCACCAUGGAUGACUACUACGCCAGUCAGGUCCACAUAAGGGAACGGUUGGCGACUUCCAGAGUAUUGAGGACUUGCUCAGCACACGACUCCACUACGGCCCACGCCACCUAUGCCUCAGCCAUCAGCGACGCCGCCAGGAGAGCUCUGUCUUCCCUCUGCUUCACCCAUCUCCAGGAGUUGAGCAACACCAUCUACCGUAACCUGCCUCGCCGAGCUAGUGGCACUGAGGACACAGCUGUACAGUUGGGAGAAGCAGGAGAAGACUGCAUCAACAUCCUUGCUCGAGUCACCACUGCUCUCAACACCAACCUCGACGGAGCUAUUGCAGAGCUUGCCAAGACCAAUGAUAAGCUGCAAGAUGCUCACGCCAGGAUUGUGUAGCUUGAGGCACAGCUUGCCGAACAAGAGCCACCUGAGGAGGCAGCCGAGUUCCACUACCCCACCAUUUCACCACCCCGCAAGAGGCUUCGCUAUGGCGCGUCUGGCUCCAUCACCGGUCUUUUAGACUAGGUUGUGCUUUUAGGUUGCCUUCCAAAGUCUUUCUGUUAGAGCUGUUACUGUGAGGACGUGCGAUGUAAUAACGUUUGCUGGUUGAAAACAUGUUUGAUUUGGACCUUUGUAUUUUCUAGGAUAUUUUGUGAAGUGAUGGCCACAAAUGCAUCAUUACAGAAAAUAAAGUUUAUUAGUUUAUUGGGUCUAAAUCUUGGUUCUUUGCCCCUAUAUCUACCUUAUCAAAUCAUGACUCUUAUCCGAGAUUUAUUUGUCUAAUACUCAGAUGGUAAACACCAGGUCAGGAGGAGGACAAGACAUUCCAAGUGAGAGGCAUGCUCACAUAAUUAAUCAGCAGAAUCAAGCACCACCUCCACCACCAAGUUCGACAAUGGAACAAUUUUUGGCUGCUUAGAUGCAACUACUGCAGAACCUCACUACUACUAUUUAGAAUCUACAAGCUUAGCAGAAUCAACAACCACCACAAGCACCUCAGGCACCGAGAGAUAAGCAUAGGGAAUUCAUGAGCCACCACCCUCCUCCUUACUCUCACUCAGUGGAUUCAUUGGAUGCUGAUGACUAGAUGAAGGUCAUUAGUAAGAAGCUAGAUAUUACACAGUGCAACGAUCAUGAGAAGGUUUUGUAUGCUGCAGGAUGCUUGGAAGGAGUUGAAGCCAACUAGUGGGAUGCCUAUACUACUGCCCACGCCAAUGUUAAUGCUAUUACUUGGGAAGAGUUCACGAACAACUUUCGCACACACCCCAUUCUAGCUGGUGUGAUGAACCUCAAGUAGAAGGAGUUUCGAUCAGCGAGUAUUGGGACAAGUUCACAUAGCUGUCUUGUUACACGCCAAAUGAGGUGGACACCAAUGAGAAGAGACAUGAAAGUUUCCUGGAUGGACUGAUAGGGCCACUUAACUAUCAACUGCAGAGUCACACGUUCCCUAAUUUUUAGACACUACUAGACAAAGCCAUUGGUUUAGAGAACAAACAUAAGGAGCUCGGGGAACAAAAGCGGAAGUUUCAGUCGCAAGGUCAAUCUAGCAGGAACACCCACCCUUGCUUCAACUUAUCGCAGGGAUCACAAUUUCAUUCAGGAGGACAAGGUUGAAGCUAUCAACAGAAUCAGCAAUUCCAAAGUACCACUCAACAACCAUAGCGAUUCAAUCAACAAGCAUAGUACACCUCAAACCCACAGCAAAACCGAGCAAACAAUACCACAGGAGCACCCGUGUGUAACAAUCCAAUUACCCUGGUUCGACCCAAUGGAUGCUUCAAGUGUGAUGAAGUGGGACAUUAUGCCAAUAACUGCCCCAAGCAUGGAAUGCAGACCCCUCAGAAGACCAAUGGUUAGAAGUCUGGUCAGCAACAGUUGCAAGCGCGUAAUGGAAAUCCAAACUCUCAGGGCAACAAGGGCUAGCAGAACUUCAUGCAUGGUAGGGCGAACCACGUGAGAAUUGAGACAACUGAAGAAGCUCCAGAUGUUGUUUUUAGUAUGUUCCUCAUGAAUUCCGAACCUGCGUCAGUUUUAUUUAAUUCUGGAGCAUCACACUCAUUUAUAACCAAUCAAUUUGUGGCAAAACAUAACAUACCUAUGCAACCUAUGAAGAAAACUUUGCUAGUUAGCUCACUAGGUGGUGAUAUAAGAACAAGUCAAAUAUGCUCGCAAGUCAAUAUGAAAAUCAUGUGGGUAGAUUUCAUAGCCCACCUAGUGGUCCUAAACUCCAAAGGUAUUAAUGUGAUUCUUGGAAUGAACCGGUUAGGAGUAUAUGAUGGAAUUAUCCUAUAUGCCAAGAAGUCAGUGCUUUUAACUACCCCUCAGGGGACAAAAUUGAGUUUGUGGCUACUACCUCAUCUGAAGAAAAGGGUAUAGUCAAUCAAAUAAAAGGAAAAUCUUUGGAGGUGUUGACGCAAAAUCCUGAAGGUGGUGGACCCUGCAUCACCACAUGAGGACCUGGGAGAUCUGCUUAACUCCAGUGCAGAAUCCAAAUCGGCGCGCAUGGUGUGCGCGGGCAUGCCAUUCAGUUUGACCAUUCAACUGACAAGGUGGAGAUAAUUCUCUCGAAGUUCGAUGGAGUCGGCCGAUCGGGCCGAUUUAAUAUAAUUUACAAUAACCAUUAGCCAUACGGACGAUAGGAAACACAAUGCUGUUGAGUUGUUGCUCCACCAUAGCUAGAGCCACAAGCCGAUGAGAUCAAAACUAACAUCACCACCAAUAUUUUUAGGUGAAACCAUAGCGAUGCGCCCGGUAGUUGCAGUCUAGAAAUAUUUAGCAAGACGUUAAUCUGAACCCCGCCAGCUGAUGAAUCCAAUCACAAUGGAACUUACUCCCAACAGCACUCGAAGGGGUAACCAAGAUUAAGAUGCAACAGGCUAUUAAAUGAUCUAUCGUCUAUGAUGAACCGAUCUAAAGCUAAUUAAAGCAAACUGAACAGCAAGACGAAAGAAUAGAUAAAUAUCAGCCGAUGCAAGCUUAAUCAAGGCGUGAUAACUGGUGAAUACCGUAGAUCGAGACAGAAGCGAUGCGCCGUAAGUUAAAGAUCCAAGAUACUUGAUAAUUGGUAAAUGAAACUAGACAAAACCACAGCGAUGCGCCCGGUGGUUAAAGCCUAGAACACCUGGUGAUGGAACUUGCAGCUCGCCGGAGAUCGAGGUCGAUGCAGCCCAGCUUGCUAGAAGGAACUCGUCGAGAAUCUACAUUACUCCUACUCCUAGGGCAAUGGCGUGAAGCUGAAAGGUAAAGGUAAAUAUGUUGUAUUAUUGAUCGUGUGAUGAUUCCUUACAAUGGCCACGUCCCUUUAUAUUUAUAGGGCGGACGUUACAUAAUUGGCAUCUAACCACGCACAAGGCAAGUCACGUACACAAUCUUUUCUAAUAAAAAACUCUAUCUCUAACUAACCCAACUCUAUCUCUAAAAUAUUUAAUUCUAUGAAACAACCUCCCGUACAUGCACAGAUCGGCCGCAUGUAUAAUUAUUCUGGAAGCCUCACACGCAUGGCAUGCAAAGUGCACCAGAAUCCAUGUUGUAUAUUCUAAUCAUUUUUAUCCAUACGUGCUGGCCUUUCCUUUAUAUCAUCCUUGCCUCUCCUUGCCGAUCAAUCCAAUGAAGCCGAUUUGGACUCCGUGCCCAUAUACACGCAUGCUACCUUUUUAUUGUUGUACGUGACUCCAAUUAUCUUGUACUCCGAAUUUAUAGGAUUGGUCAAAAUCCGGUGUCAACAGGAGGAUAUCAAGGUUGUAUGCGAAUACCCCAAAAUGUUUCCCAAGGAUUUACCAGGUACGUCGCUUGACUGAGAUAUUGAGUUCUCCAUUGAUCUUUUACCUGGCACUUCACCAAUAUCUGAAAGACCUUAAACAAUACAUGUUAAGGAUUUGGUUGAGUUAAAGAAACAAAUAGAAGAAUUAUUAAGUAAAGGUUUUAUCUGUCCUAAUUCUUCACCUUGGGGAGCACCUGUAUUUUUUGUUGAUAAAAAGGAUGGCACCAUAAGAAUGUGUGUGGAUUAUAGAGCUCUUAAUGAUGUGACCAUUAAGAAUAAAUAUCCACUCCCUAGGAUUGAAGAUCUGUUUGAUCAGAUGAGAGGUGCAAAAGUCUUUUCCAAAAUCGAUCUAUAAUCAGACUAUCACUAGUUCAAGAUCCCAGCAGAAGAUAUACCUAAAAUGGCGUUUACAUCCAGAUACAACCUAUAUGAGUACACUAUGAUGUCUUUUGGAUUGACCAACGCUCUAGCAUAUUUCAUGUACUUGAUGAACAAGGUGUUUAUGGACUACCUAGAUAAGUUUGUGGUAGUGUUCAUCAAUGAUAUAUUGGUAUUUUCUUGAAAUGAAGAAGAGCAUGAGGAGAACUUAAGAUUAGUGUUACAGAAGCUUCAGGAGAAUCAAUUAUAUGCCAAAUUGAGUAAGUGUGAGUUCUGGUUGAAAGAAGUUUCCUUCCUUGGACAUGUUAUCACCGAUGGAGGAAUCACAGUAGACUCAAGCAAAGUUCAAGAUGUGCUGAAUUGGAAUCCUUCCAAGAAUGUGUCUGAAAUCAGAAGUUUUCUUGGAUUAGUAGGUUAUUACUGCAUGUUUAUUGAAGGUUUCUUGAAGAUCGUCAAACCCCUCACUUCAUUGUUAGAAAAGGGAAAAGAGUUUAAAUGGGAUGACAAGAAGUGAGUUUUGAAGAGCUGAAGAAGAAGUUGACUACAAACCCUAUACUGAUAAUGUCUGAUAUACACAAAGGCUUUGAUGUUUAUUGUGGUGCUUCACGUCUAGGUAUUGGAUGUGUACUAAUGCAAGAAGGUAGAGUAGUAGGUUAUGCCUCAAGACAGUUGAGAAACCACGAGAAAAAUUAUCCAAGUAAUGACUUGGAACUAGCUGUCGUUGUGCAUGGAUUUGGAGAUAUUACAUGAUCGGGAACAAGUGUCAGAUCUUCACUGACCACAAAAGCCUAAAGUACAUAUUCACUUAGAGGGGUCUUAAUUUAAGGCAACACAGAUGGUUAGAGUUGAUAAAGGACUAUGACUUGGAUAUUCAGUAUCAUCCCGGCAAAGCAAAUGUCAUAGCGUACGCCCUAAGUUGAAAAGGUCAAGCUAAUGUGACUAUAGUACUGUUGAUAUCUCAAGAGUUAUGUUGGGAAAUAGAGCGACUCAAUUUGGGAAUCAUUGCCCAUACUGAAUCCAUGACCAUGGAAAUUGAACCUACACUGGAACGAGAGAUAAGAAAAGGGCAAUUGACGAAUGCUAAAAUCUAGGUAACCAAGAUCCAAAUUGGUUUAGGAAAGCCCCCCAACUUCACUAAAGAUGAUCAAGGAAUGGUUUGGUUCAGGAAAAGGAUCUAUGUACCAGAGAUCGACCAUCUUCGUGAAUGCAUAUUGAAGGAAGCACACGAUUCGGCUUAUUCUAUUCACCCUUGUAGUACUAGAUGUAUCAAGAGACGUAGCAACCCACGUUGCUUUGUGUGAUGUAUGUUAGCAAGUGAAAGCAGAGCACCAAAGACCAGCAGGUUUACUUCAGCCAUUGAAAGUACCUGAGUGGAAAUGGGAAGAGAUCGGAAUGGAUUUUAUUGUUGGGUUACCCCACACUCGGGAUGGCUAUGAUUCCAUAUGGGUUGUUGUGGACAGAUUAACUAAGGUUGCUCAUUUCAUUCCAGUUAAAAUAACCUAUAGUGGACCAAAUUUGCAGAGUUGUAUAUGUCAAUGAUUGUAUGUUUACAUGGUGUUCCUGUUGCGUUCCAAUCUCUUGCGAGGUUAAGAAACAACACAAUAGGUAGUAAAUGAACUGCUCUCUAUUAAAUGAAGUGUCUGAAUCUCGUUACAUGAGGGGACGACCCCCUUUUAUACUGUCCAGAGGAUACCUACAAUUUACAAUUUUACCCUCUCUCACCCACUACAUCCUCAGUAUAUUCUGUACACAUUUGUCAUCUCAUGAAGUCACGUGUUUUGUCCUCCCAACAAUCCCAUAAAUCACACUCUCACAGGGUAUCGUAAUUGGUGUUGUCCUGUCGGUCAAGUCGCCUUCCCCCUUAGCUUCGCGUCUAUGCCCUAAUUCGUUCGCCACUCCUUAAUGAUGCUCCCAUAGCAAGUUGGCUUCAGUCUCUCGUGUUAUACUGACUUCGGGCCCACAAGUCCCCUGGCGAGGUUGAUGCUGCUCCUGCGGGCACCGAAGACAACGGACGGGCAAUGAGUCAGAAAAACAAAGGUUAGCUCAUAUUACCUUCACCUUUGAUUUUGGUUUGUCCCGAAGCUGGGUAAUCACGGCCCCGACCGAAGCUGAGCCCUUGGCGUGAAGUUGCAAAGUCCGCUGAGCCCUGGUGCAUAGAAAAUAGAGGUUAACCCACCUUGCCUUCGCCCCCGAUUUCGGUUUGUCCCGAAGCUGUAAAGUUCACCGAAUCUUGUCGCAUCUUUCGGGAGAGAGAUGACCUUGAGGGGGGCUGUUUUGGGCGAUUCCCCAACAGUUCCAAAGAAGAUAGUAUCUGAUCGAGGUACUCAAUUCAUGUCACGUUUCUAGUAGAAGCUACAUGAAUCAAUGGAUAGAAAGCUUAAUUUCAGUUUGGUGUAUCAUUCACAAAUGGAUGGUUAGACUAAAAGAAUCAAUCAAAUAUUAGAAGAUAUGUUAAGAGAUUAUGCUUUAAAGCAUAGAGGUAGUUGGGAUAAAAGUUUACCAUACGUAGAAUUAUCUUAUAACAACAAUUAUCAAGCCAGUCUUAAGAUGGCCCCGUUUGAAGUGUUAUACGGAAGAAAGUGCAGAACACCAUUGUUCUGGAGUCAGACUAGAGAAAGCCAAGUCUUUGUACCGGAAAUUCUUAAAGAAGCUGAAAGACAAGUUCAAAUAAUUUGAUAUAAUCUCAAGACUGCAUAGUCACAACAGAAGAGUUAUGCUGAUACUCGGAGGAGAGAAUUGACAUGUGAUGUUGGAGAUUACAUGUAUCUCAAGGUAUCACCUAUUAGUGGUCUUCGUCGAUUCAAGGUUAAAGGGAAGCUAUCACCUUGUUACAUUGGUCCUUUUCAAAUUUUGGAAAGAAAAGGAGAAGUGGCAUAUCAGUUAGACUUACCUGCUCAGCUAUCAGAUGUUCAUGACAUGUUCCACGUAUCUCAGUUGAAGAAGUAUCUAAGAGUACCUGAAGAACAAUUACCAUUGAAAGAACUCAAUGUGAAGGAUGAUUUGACUUAUUUAGAGUACCUUGCCAAAAUACCAGAAAUAUCUCAGAGGGUCACUCAGAGCAAGGUAACCAGAAUGUGCAAAGUAUAGUGGAGUCAUCAGUCAGAAGAUGAAGCUACUUGGGAAAGAGAAGAUGAGCUUAUCGAAUAAUUCCCUCAGUUGUUUUCCAAUCUCUCUGAAUCUCGAGGACGAGAUUUUCUUUAAGGGGGUAGGAUUUGUAACACCCAAAAGUUUCAUCAUAAACACAAUGUAAGAAACAUGUGGUCUAACUCUUUCUUUUCUAAGGACUAAAUAAAAUACUAUUAUUAUAUUAUAGCCUUUAAUAAAUUAAAGAACAAUUGAAAUAAUUGUUUAGAGACAAGUGCUUGUUAGGGUUGUUUGUUUGCUUCGGUUUUUGUUUGCAUUUGUAAAAUUUUAAAUCAAAAAUCUUAUCAAUCUUAUUUAUCUCUUUUUGUCCAACUCAGCAGGCCAGCCCACCUUUCCUCUUUCUUUCCCUCCCGGCCCGCUCUCUCUUUCCUUCUCCAGCCAGCCCACCUCCUCAUUUCUUUGCACCGACCCAAGCUGAUCCACCGGCCCCUCAAGCAUCUCCCCAGCCCAACUCCCCCUCUCUUCCCACCGACAGGCAGGGCCCGCCUAUCAGGCGCGUCCUCAACCUCCAGUUGUACCGCAACUCCAAUGCCUGCUCACCUCCUGUCGCCGCUCGAGCUCCUAUGCCCCUCCGCGUGCUUGCACCACGUCCAUCCUUCCUCGCAUUGAGCCCCUUCUUCUCUCCUUCUCUCUGUGCAGGUGCAGGAGGGCGAUCCCCAUCUAGACUGGCCAUGUGGAAGUAGGACCACCACCAUGUGUAGUUGGUCCCCCGUGUAUGCAUCAAUGCUGCACCUAUUGACUGUGACCUGGCACCCCGACAGUGAGCCAUGUGAUUUUCGCAUCUCAAAGGCAUGGUUUAUCCUCCCUCUUCCUGCUGCUGCUCAUCCUCCCUUGACCCUUCACCAAACUACUUGUUGCAAUCGGAAGAAAGAUCAAUCGAGUUGAAGAGAUGGAAGCUAGUCACCAUUGAGUGAUGUUAUGAUCCGUCCCUCUAUCAUAACCGUUGGAACCCAGCUGGUGCGAAAGCUAAUUACCUGAAGCAAUUGGUAGAAACGGAUAGUACUGGUUCGUUCACUUAUUUCUUUGCUCAAACUUAAUUUCUGCUUAAUGUUUGUGCCUUGUGGUGAGACUAUAUUAGCUGCUUAUUCUGCUGGUUGCAUGCAGAAUAGUUAAAUCAAGGCACAUGUCUUCAAUUUCUGAGCUAGUGCUGCGUGUCCGUGACGCAGAAGCACUGCCUCAGAUAGAUUAUCUUUGGGUGGCGCAGAAACUGGAACUAUCUUUGGGUGGCGCAGAAGCCGCACCUCUGUCACAACUGAGCAUAUCUGGCUGCAACUUUUUCUUCGUAUCAAGCCAGUCACAGCUAACACCUGGGGUCUGGAAAUGGUUUGAACAUCUUGCAAAUUUCAUAAUUGAAAAAUGUGAUGUGCUCAUCUACUGGCCAGAAGAAGUGUUCCAAAGCUUGGUAUCUUUGAAGAACUUAUGGAUUCUGUCCUGCAACAAGCUAAUAGGGCCCACAAAAGCGAAAGGUGGCGAACCUACACAAACAACAGAUCAAAUCUACACAAACAACAGAUCUAAAAAUAAGAGGAUGUGAUAGCCUGGUAACACUUCCAAAUCUACCACCGUCCCUCAAACAUUUUUUUAACUGCUGUGAGAAGCUGUGAGAAUCAUCAGCAGCUGUGAGAAGCUCUGCUCUGUGUCAGGAGACCUGUGUGCACUCGAGGAACUACAUAUUUUUAACUGCAAUAAGUUACAGUCAGUCAAUUCAUUGGGAGACCACCCAUCAUUAGAAACACUGUUUCUUUCUGGCUGCCGAUGCCUUGCAUCUUUAGGAUGUGAUGGUGGUCGUGGGAGUUACUCUGCUCUUCAGAGCCGUAAGAUCGAAUACUGCCCAGCCAUAGACAUGAAGCAGUUUUACUAACGCCAUCAAACAGCUGCUUGACAGCUUUGUAUAGGAAGACGUAUCACACGUUCAUUCAAGCAGCUCUGAUGAAGGUACGACCUUUCACUUUCCUCUUAUUCAAUUUGUUUCCUUCAGAUUUCCCUGCUUUGCAUGCCCUCCUAUUUUGUUGAUGAACUGGUUAAUAGAUGGGUUUGUGGGGUGGGAUUUUGGGGUUUCAUCUUCAUUCCGCGGUCCUUUCUCACUGAUGUAACCCCACAUAUUGUUGGUUUAUACGGCUGUUGGUUUUCAGUCUUGGAUGCAGUUGACGUGCAUAGAGAAAUUCUAGAAAUAUGUGAUAUCCCUUGGUGUUGAGAUCAGCUGAUGCGGAAUCACUGAAACGAGAUCCUGAUCGGUCUCAGUUUUGGAGAGCAAUUUCUGGUGAAUGGAAGCAGUCCCAAGGCUUGAAGAACUCAUGGAGUCGUACCGUACCAUUCUCCGCUGCCAGGGCCUAAACUAGGUACGUGGAAGGCGCACUGUGUUUUGUCAACAACACAAUUCCUUUAUAUAAGUUGGGAUAGUAAAAAACCAUGCCUUCGUCUGUGUUAAUCAAAUCUCAUUUAGCACAUAUAUGGUGGACGUGUUGUUAACUUGUUACCCCCAUGCUUUUCAUUUUUUCGGUGCAGACAUCAACCAUUUGUUCUUAAAUUAAAGCAUAAAGGAGGGCACUCACUUGUACACAUAUUCUUAAGUACUGGAACGACUGCCAUCUGUAUACUCAGCUUCAUUGCAAGUCUCUGCUAACGAUGACAGGCCUGCAGUGGAUGACAAAAACGACUAAGUUUGUUUUCACGGCACUACUAGCUGCUGGUAAUUCUCUCGUCACUAAUGCACACUACUCCCUUCUGUCAUCCAUCAAAGCUGUGGACAAUAUGAUGUCACUCUUAUUUUUUUUAAAAUGAAACCGGCAGGAGAGCUGCCCCACUAUAUUAAAAAGAAGGGACGCUCGAAGGGCCAGAGAAGUGUACACCCUUGACAAGGAAGAAAAAACUACACACACUGAAAAGAGAAACGGUGCACAAAAACACCCUCAAGAAAGCUGCAAUAAACAUGCCAGGGGUGCUUAGCCCCGACCGCCACCCAAGAAGUGGCCUCCCCUUUUAUUUUUGAGAAAACUUGCUAUGAAGAGGACUCUUUGUGAUUGAAAAUUCUUGCAUUCCUUUCAAUCCAAAGUUCCAACAGACCAAAAUGAUUAGGCUCCAUUCGUUCAAAAAAAAAUUUAUUCGUUCAAAAAAAAAUGAUUAGGCUCCUUAGCCCACUCCUAUCGACGCUUGGUGUCCUUGCCUGCGCUGUCCACCACGCGUGCACCAAAGUGCACGGCUCCCAGUUACUAGCAUUAAGACCUUCAUCUACCCAUGCAGCGAUCGCAUCCCAAAUGCGCCUGGUAAACCGGCAGUCUGUUAGGAGAUGCAUUCCAGACUCUUGAACCGUGCGACACAACGCGCAUGUGUCAUUGUGAGGGUAAUUUCAUUUUGCUAACCUAUCUGACGACGUCCAUAUCCUAUUUGGAUUGCCAACCAACUGAAGAAUUUGCACUUCGGGAGCACCACGGCUUCCACAUGAUCGCUUUAAAGUUUGUGAAGGUGGAGCCGAUAAAUUGUGCUUGGUAGGCCGAACUCACAGUGUAUUUAUUAUUCUCUGUCAUUUUCCAUACAAUGUUGUUUAGGUUGUCUGGUAUGAGUUGAACCUGGGCUACUGCUGUCCACAAAUUGCAAAACUCCAUAAAAUACCCCAAUGCUAAAUUUACACUCGACCGGACGUUCCCAUCCUCGUGGUCGACGCGCACCGGUCCUCUCAUCAGUCCAUCAUGUGGGCCCCACUCCACUUUCUUUUCCCCUCGCACGCGCUCUCUCUCCCCUCUCCAUUCCCCUUCUCAUCCUUCUCUUUCUCGAUUUCUUCAUGAGAUCCACCGGAGCGACUCUGCAUGUGGAGCUGUUCCACCCAACGUUGAGCACAGUAGCAACAGGCCUGGUGGCGGGCAGGGGAAGCAGCGAGGCUCCGCCCUGCAGCACACAGUAGCGCUCGAGAUCAUCCCGCGAGGAGCGGGGGAAGGAGCACUAGGACCAUCGAGGGCACCGCCGUGGUCUUGACGAUGAGUGGCUGAUGGAUCUUGGCGAGCUCCGCCGUGGCCGCGGUCGACAGCGAUCUAUUCAUUUUUUUCCUUCCUUUUUUCUCUUCUACCUUUUGUCUCAAAAUCUUUUGUCUGUAUAAAGUUUUUGCUUCCAUUUUUUUUUAUUUCUUUGCAUCGUGAAUUUUUUCUCCAUUUUUUUGCUUCAAAACUUUGUCAAAAAAAUUUCUUUUUCAAUACUUUUUCCAAAAUUUUGUCUCAAUUUUUAUUUUCUGAGUUUUGUUUUCACAAUUUUGUCUUUUAAAAUUUUUUGUCCAAAUUUUGUUUCAAAAUUUUUGUUCGCAAACUUUGGUUUCCAAGUUUUCUAAAAAAAGUUAUCCCCAAACUUUUGUUUUCGAACUUUUUUAUAAAAAAUUCUCAUUUUUUGUUUAAUGAAACAGGAAUCACACGUGGGAAGCCGUUCUGACGUGUGGUUGGAAAUCGACCGCACAGAAGGCUCCCACUGGUCACAUGUAAACUUGCGUCCCCCAUAAAAUAAAUCUGUGUGAGGCUCGAGGUUGAAGGCCUAAUAAGGGCAGCCACAAGACUAUGCUUGAUAGUAGAGAGAAGUUUUGGUUGCCAUUAUAGCCGUCGAUGCUGAGUUAGAGCCCCAAUGCUUGGUUAGUAAAAUAUUGUUCCAUAGCAGGGAACAGGCGUUGCUGGGCAAAGAGAAGUGCAGGAGAACCAAAAGGAAACAGGUACAACUAGCUAAAGAAGCCAGCAGCAGUAGCGGAGGGAGGAGGGGGGGGCACGGGGGCCUGGCACCCCCCACCCUCUGCGGCAUCCGCCCCUGCCCCUGGUGGCCUGGGCCUCUCCUGGCAGGCAGGCACCCCCUGAUGGCCUGUGUGCCUAUCGGCCUGUCACCAGUCACCCCUGGCGAGCGGCCUGCCCGGCUGGCCUAAUAAAAAAUUAGAAGCACCUCCCAGGAGUCCUGGCCCUGGAAUAGUCCGCCCCUGGUAGCAGAUUAGCAAAUAGGCACAUCAGGUCAAAUCAUAUUCCGCUCCUGGUAGCAGUUUUUUGUUCCUAGCUCGCGCCGCUAGUCGAAUCGUAUUCUGCCACCACCAGUCAAAAAAGCAAAUAGGCACAUCAGGUCAUCCGUCAUCAGGACAUGAGCACGAAGCACCAGAGUACGAGGACAAGGAUGAAUGGAUCACUGACAUGACUCGCUGUUGUUUUCUUCGCCAGGCGUCAGAUUGUUGCUGUCCGCAGGUAAUCCAUAAUCAUAAAUCAUCCAAUGAUAUUCUCUUAUCUAAUUAACAGUCACUAGUAAUUCUAAAUUUCCCCCUCUAAUUUAAGUAUUGAUGAUAUUAUUACAGCGUACGAUCUUGCUGCUAGUCGAAGAGCUAAAUUUAAGUUGAUAGAUAUGUAAUUUUAUUUUAGUUAAGACUUGUGAACUAUGCUAUUAUUAUAUCAUUAUAUGCGACUAAAAUCAGCUCACGUGGCUAUCAGUUCUACGUUGCUUUGUCCAUUGCUCCCCUUACCUCAAAUCCUAGCUCUGCCCCUAGCCAGCAGAGAGUAUUUAUGUAAGGUUUCUUAAUUUAUGGGAACCAAAGCACACUCAAACCAUAUUCCAGAAUCUUAUUACAUGCAGAACCUGAAGUAAGGGAGAUUGAAACAUAUGGCACGCAUGCAUGCCUUUAAUUACACUAAUACCAGAAAUUAAAAUACACUGCUGCCACAAGUAGUAUAUAUAUUAAGGUAGCUGGUGUCACGCCAACAUCUGACGCAUGGUAAUGACGGGGAGGACCUGGACGUAGUACUCGAUCCUGUAGGCAACCUUGAGUAUGAGAUCGGGUUGCUGCCAAUUGUAGCCGCCGUCGACGCCGCAGAGGAAGGUCUGCGCGAUCCUGGUAUUGUUCUUGUGCUGCUGGUUGUGCAACACGAUCUUGUACGCAUCUCGGAGAUGUUCUUUCAGACUGCUCACCAUCGACCUGGUGUUCUGGUCCCGCGACAGCUUCCAGGACUGGGGCUGCUGCAUCAGGUCGGCUAUCUGCUGUACGAAUUGUACCAGCUGCUGGAUCUCCCCCCUGUUCUGCCUCAGCGCCUUCGCCUCCUGCACGAUAGAAAGUGCGAGGCGCACGACCUCGUCAUGGUCGCCGGUUCGAGCCCCCUGCUGGUCUCCGCGUCCUCCUGGACCUACCGACAACGCGCUGCUCCUCACUGCAUUCACGUCCCUGCGCAUGCAUGCCGAUCAUCUCUGGUUAAAUUUUUCGUUAUUUACGUACUCCAUAUAGGAAGUACUAUAUGAAUGUUUUAUAUAUCAGCACACGAUGAAUACCCGUCCGUGAUGUCCCUGAUUAUCAACUCCAUCACACUUUUAGCGUCGGAUGACAUAUUGUCCAUGUUAGUCAAGUUCCUGAUAUGAUAGAUGACUUCAGCUCCUCUUUUUCGCUCUGAGAGUGGUCAGAGUACAAAAAAUCCAAAGCUUCCAUGCAUGUUAAAUAUUCAAUAAGACAUGCAUAUAGUAUGAAUAUAGUCAUAAUGAUCAUGUCAUGCAUGAGCUUGGUCAAAAACUAUUAAUAUAUCGCAAAAUCAGGCAACAAUGUUAAUCUACCGCUCCCUCCAUUCUCUUUAGAUAUUAAUCCUUUUCGAACACUAGUACAGUCUAGUAUUGUGCACCCUAAAAGAGUCCAACGUGAUGUAACAUGGUGCUGUCUAUAAGUCAUAGUUUAUGUUUUGAACUUUACUACCUUUUGUUUUUUUAGAUAAUGGAUAAAUAUCCGGCUUCACCCUCCUCUUUCGACGAGGCGGAUCAGUCCACAAUUAUUACAAAACGUAGCUUGUUGCUACAUCCACACUAUGGUUUCGACCAAUCAAACCGACUCAAAGAAAUGAAUUCUGGAAUCAAAAGGUAGCUUGUCACUACCUUUUAUUUAUGUUGCAUUGUUCAUUGCCACAAAUUAUUUGCAAAUAUGAAUCUUAUAAUGCUAAACUUUUAUGGUACAAUCUACGUACAGUUUCUUUCUCAAGUUUUGUAGUUGUUUGCCGUUGAGUAAUAUGUAAUUCCGAUGGAUUCAAGAGUCUAGCUAGCUAGAUUUUGGUACCUGUGGAAGGCGCUUGCAAGCACCAUUUCGAAGCAGCUUCUCAAGCACGUUCAUGAAGAAGCGCUCCUUAUUGAUGCUUACAAUGAGGAUCAUGUUGGCAAUGUGGAACGACUCCAGGAUUUUGGAUAUCCGUGCAUCAACGGCGACGAUCUUGUUGGCUUUCUUUUUGGUUUUGAAGACAAGCGACCAAGUCCUCUUCUCCCUGCAGGACUCAACGAGCGCCUUCCCGUCGUUGAGCGCAUCUUCAAGAUGUUUCAGCGUGCUGUAGGUCACUGGGUCCGGCAUCCACUGGCUUUUCAGCUCCGUCAGGAGGAGGUUAAUCAUUUGCACGUGGUCUUUUAGCAGAGUACAUUUCUCCCUGUUGCGCUGAGCCGCCUCCGCCAGCCGAUUGAUCUGUUCCACGAUGCUCAUCAACGACGAAAUAAGCCCAAUUGCUUCGGCCACCCCAACCAUCUCGAUCGAUUGCGCUGCGCCUGUAUGCUUGCAACGUCAGAUUUGCACGUAUAUGAGUAUACAUGUCUACCCUCCGCCAUCCAAAAACAAUUGGAUGCCGACAAGUGGUAUUGACAAGUCUAUGUACAACACGUGAUGUCAUGUUAAAUUUUAGGUAAUUUUAGCUUUUCUAGAUUCAUAGAUAGUAUUAUGUAUCUAGACAUCCGCUAUGUCUAGGUGCGUAACAAAAACUAUGCAUCUAGAAAAUUCAAAAUGACCUACAAUUUGGGACGAAGGGAGUACACCCUAAUAAAAAGAUUAAUGGUGGAGCCCGAAGCCCAAUUUAUCGUAUAAAAAUAAUACUUGUAAAUAUAUAAAUUUAUUAUAAAAUAUAAAAACUCGAUUGACUAUCUUCUUAAUUAAUGGAGAAAUAUAGGCUGUGAAUUUUCAAAAGGAAAAGGAAAAAGUGUAUUUUUCAUCCUUCAAGUAUUGCAAAAGUGUAACAUUCAUCCUUGAUGUUUCAUUUGGUACAAAUCAAGCCCUGAACUAACUAAAUCGGUUCCAUGUAUCAUCCCCACCUUAGUUUAAUAAUUGUCUAGUGUCAUAUAACAUCGGUUAGACCAUGUAAUCAUCUUCAUAAUUAGUGUUUAGCCAUGUAUAAUAUUUAGUCAAUUGAUUCAAUAGUUUGGUGUGAAUCGGUUCUAUUAAUUUUUCUGAUAAAAUAGUUAUGUGGUAGUCAAUUUAGAGGAUUUAGUUUUCUUUGGGGCUUUAUAUCUUCGACUCAAUAUAUCACAUCACUAAGCAGUGAUUCUGAUGGUACGGAAUAUCCCUAGGAUGUAGUGGUUAGGCAUGGGUAUAACAGGUAUACGGAAAUGUAACUUUACAACACUAUAUAAGGAGGGGAACAGCCCACUAUAAUGGACACUAUUCAUUGAUAAGACAGCGAGUGAUAUCUUGUUUCCUUCGUGUUCGACUGUUACUUCUUCCCAUUUAUUGUGACCUCGCCUGCCCGUGAGGUUAGGUCCUAACACUCCCCUUCACUCCCGUUGUUGGCCGUGCCCGGUGCCAUCUUGAAGCCGAUGCUGCUCAAGCCUAGUGAGCGAGUGAAGGCCGGAGGUGGUUGGCGUGGGCCACGGAGGCCCUCGGGCGGCUACCGGGAGGAAGGCAUGGCGACAGGCCACCUGGGAGUGGCACGGUGGUGCAUAAGUGGCGUCGUACUUAGGAGUGGCAUGGUGGUGUGCGGCGUGGGUGUUGGCAGCAGCACGUCAAGGAUGCAGCUCUGUGUGGCUUGGAGGCAUUGUGGUAGCGCAACCAAGGGUGGUUCGCGCGAGUCUUGCUAGCGACACCAUGGUGGUAAAGCCAUGGAGGUGUGGUUGGGCAGCAACUAGCACGAGACUAUAUAUAUGUUAAUGCAAAUGAAAACUGUAUAAAUGUUCAUGCAAGUGUCAUAUAUGUGUGUGUGUUCAUUCAAAAAGUCGUAAGGCAGCAACUAGCACGAGACUAUAUAUAUGUUCAUGCAAAAGGUCGUAGGGCAGCAACUAGCACGAGACUAUGUAUAUGUUAAUGCAAGUGAAAAUUGUAUAAAUGUUCAUGCAAGUGUCAUAUAUAUAUAUAUAUAUAUAUAUAUAUAUAUAUAUAUAUAUGUGUGUGUGUGUGUGUGUGUGUGUGUGUGUGUGUGUGUUCAUUCAAAAAGUCGUAGGGCAGGCACUAGCACGAUACUAUAUAUAUGUUCAUGCAAGUAGUGUCUCAUUAAUCAUAGCGACGUAACGCCAAAACACAUCAACCAGUUGCAUGCGUAUAUCUAGGCGUUUUUGACCUGGUGUCACUACUACAUACAUAGUUCAGCUAUAACCAACGCUUUUAGAAAGAGUGAUAAUUUCGGCACCGUUACAAAGACCGCAAAAGACCUCUUUCAGAAAGAGCUUAUAAUGUUGCCAUGAUGCACCCACAAACGUCGAUCGCAAAGUCAGGACAGCAAGACAAUUAAGCAAGGAAUCAAAUACUCCUUGGCAUCAUCAACACCCGAAUCACCCUACUAGCUAGCUAGCUACUUGUACAUUCAGAAUUCAGAGCAGCCCUGAACUAUCCUGCUGGGGAAAAGGGGAUAGCCGAGAGACGCUUGCUACCGGCCAGACUCCAAUCUCAGGCCACCGACUGGAUCAAAGCUACCGUACCCUUGAUAAGAAUCCUAAUGAGUUGGAGAGAGAGAGAGAGAGAGACGGAGCCCAAGAACUCACCUUUCUGCAGGGGUCUGUAGCCUCUGGACGCUUCCUCCUCGUCCUAUACUCUUCCGAGCCCAGGCCUCUCCUUCCCCUUUGUUUCUUCCUCGAACCCCUGCAGUUCUUGGAAGUUAUAUUAUGCCGCACUCGCUUCGCAAGAACCCCUGCAGUUGAAUUUUAUGUUAGAAUAUUGUAUGGGCGAAUCAAAGAUGAUAUGACCAGUUCGUUCAAAAAAAAAGAUGAUAUGACCAAGGCAUAUAUAAUAAUCUCUAAUUAAAGGACUCAAGCUGUUUCGCGUACCAUAAUUAUUCUCGGAAUUUAUAUCAAAAGAAACUCUUAAUUUUAAUUCUUCACACAAACUAUUUUAAUAGAAAUAUUCUAGAGAAUACACAAACUAUAGCACAUAUUUACCGUAGCAUCACAUAACCAAGCCAUCACAUAUUUCACUACUUCAGCAGACUGAAUAUAUAUAGAAACUCCAUGUACAAGCAAGAGUGCGUUGCACGUAGGCAAAGGCAGACACUUCUCCAAAUUUUGGUCCCAGCAGAACCAAAAGAUUAAUUAGAGCCACGCGCUUAGGACACAAAAGGUGUCUUUCCCUAUCAACUUGAUCUUUUGUACUACUUAAAUGGUCCAUGACGAUGAAACUCGAUGCUUGAAAUAGGAGAGCCCUCAUGAUUACACACAUGAGUUCUUUCUGUUGGAACAUGAAGAUGUGAGUGUACUGAAUUCGAUCUAAUGAUCUGCAUGAGGUGUUCUGUCAAAGCAUAUAAUCAUUCACCUACAACGCUUCCAAGUUCUGUCUUUCUGAGUAUAUAAAAACCAUGGUAUGUAUGAAUCUAACUCUGUCCAUACGUCUGGUAGUUCAGUCCCUGCUAUUUUUACUAACCUUGUCCUCUAGGUAGAAGUACGGUGGACUUUCAGCGUUGGGUCCUGCAGAGCGAUGGACUUUUCGGUAUGGUGCAGUGUGCUCCUUUCUUGACUUAUGCUAACAGUCUAACACAAAGUUAUGAUUAGGAGAUUGACGACCGUGUGUGUGAUCUGAGGCUGACAACGGCAUGGUGGAGAAGUUCUAGUAGCUACACGGCUUGCAGCGGACUGUGGCGGCCAGUCCUGCAUGGCAGCGACUGGUUUGGCGUGGGGCAUCAUCAGAAACGAUGGCGCUGGCGAUAAGGGCUACUUGCCGGCUUUUUCUGCUAGGUGGUAGUGGUGCAGAGUGGUGGUGGUGCGCAAUGAAGCUUCCAUAUGGCAGUCGUGUGUACAUGUGACUAUGUGAGUCCCCUCCUUUAUGCUUUUCCAGAAAAAAUGAAAAGCAUAAAGAGGGCACUCACAUGCCUCCUUGAUGAAGCUAGCAGCGUUGGGAUGGGUCUCAUGAUUCUUUCGAUUGUUAACAUGGAUCUCAUGGUUCUUUCGAUUGUUGGGAUGGGUGGGAUGGGCAAUGCCACCUUUAAUUUGUGCAACUCAUUUAUAAUGACCUUGCAAUCGUGAAGCAUUUUGAGCUUCAGAGGUGGUGCUCUGUGUCAGAUUAGAAAAAAUCAUUGCAAGGAUGCAUAUUAGUGAUGGAAACUUAUAGAAUGUUUAUCAUUCAACUAACUCAGAUUUUUAUUUGUUCGGUCUGCCUACGCGUCACCUGAGUGAAACAUUAGCCUUCCUCACUCGAACCUCACUCGAACAUCCGAUCCGACACCUUUCCUUCAUCUUCUAUCUUCUAGUGAAGUAUAUAUCUAGGCACGUAGCAAAAAUUAUGUAUCUAGAAAAAAUGACCUACAAUUUGAAACGGAGGGAUUACGUUGGAACAUCAACCAAACAAAUGGACAAACCCUUUAAAUUAUUUGGCCUCCAAGAAUGCCAUACGACCUGAAUGAAUAACUGAAAGCUAACAGUGCUUGUUGUACAUACCAGCUGAGCUGCUUGACUUAGCUAUGUUUAUUCGGUCUGUUCGUGACCCGCGCGUGAUCUAGAGUAUUCGUGUGUUGGCUAGAAAAAGCACCAACACUAUAUUUAUUUGCAAACAGGUUUUAAAUGCAAUACAAUAAUUCAGAAAUCUAGACAUCCUGAGCCAUGCGAGGGAUAAGAAGAAGCUUCUCCUUCCUGUGCACAUCCAACCCAUACGACUCUGCCAUGUCGAUGCCUGCCGACCCCGGCGGAAGCUCCCAGUUGAAGUGGUAGAUGAGGUUAGCAAGGAUGAUCUCGAAGGAGGCGGUGGUGAAGUUCACACCCGGGCACAUCCUUCGCCCGGACCCAAACGGCAGGAAACGGAAGUCGUUCCCCAGGAAGUCGGAGGCAGCAUCCACGGCUUCCUCCAUGAACCGCUCCGGCAUGAACUCCUCUGCACUCUCCCAGGUGGUGGCGUCCCUGCCGAGAGCCCACGCGUUGACGAUCACACGCGUCCCAGAGGGUAUGGUGUAGCCCUCCACGUCGCAUUCGGCCAUGGCCAGGUGGGGUAUCAGAAGAGCCCCCGGCACGUGCAGCCGCAUCGACUCUCUCAUCACGGCCUUGAGGUAGCUCAUGCCGCUGCUCAGGUCGUGUUCGGUGACCAGUUCCUUCUUCUUCCCCUUGGAUGCUGCACACCCCCUCACCUCGGCUUGAAGCUUGGUCAUCGCCUUGGGAUUACGCAUCAGCUCGGCCAUGGCGUAGUCUAGGGCUAUGUAGGUUGUGUCCGUCCCGGCUUCAAACAUGUCCUACAUGAACAUAUCGAUCAGUCAUAUGUACCUCUCGUGAGAAAUAAAGUGGAGCAUAUAUGCCUUGUUUACCGAGAGCAAUUAUUUUGCUGAGUGUUUCUCUGGCGGCACUUGGCAAACGUAUUGUUUACCGAGUGUCCGAUGGAAUGCACUCAGCAAAAACCACCAGACACACGGCAUAUCUACUAUUUGAUAAAUUAAACAUACCAUCAGUAUCGCCUUGACGUUGUCUGUGGUCAGGCCGUACUCUUGUUGAACGGCAAGCAGCACGUCGAUGAAGUCCUCCUCGUCCUCACCAUCGACGACCGUCUUGCUCUUGUGCUUGUCGAUGAGGCUGUCCAAGAGGUCAUCCCAUAUCUUCCUGUGCUUCACGGCCUUGGCCGACACCAUGUCGAACCUCGCCAAGCUCGGGAAGUAGUCGUCCAGGUUGAAUCCCCCCAGGAGCUUGGCGUUCGUCUCCAGCAGCUCCCGGAACAGCUGGUUCCGGCCUUGUUCCCUGGGGAGCCUGCCCGUCACGGCCUGGCACACGAUGUCGUUGGCGAAGAAGCUGAAGAGCUCGCUGACGUCGACCGCCAUGCCCAUGGUGGCGGCGGCCGUCACCUUUGCCAAAACCAGCUGGACCUCGUGCUCGCGGGCGGCGCGGUUGGACCGGACCUUCGCCGCGGUAAGGAGGUGGGUGGUGAUCACCUUCUUGGCCUGGCGCCAGUACUCACCGUAGGGGGCGAAGCCGACGUCGGUGCAGCCGUAGAACAGGACGUCGGCCACCGCGGAGCGCGGCCGGGAGGCGAAGACGUGGUCGUGCGUGCGCAGGACGGCCUUGGCGGCGCCGGGGGAGGAGACGACGAGCGUUGGCACGGCGCCGAGGCGGAGGAGCAGCACGUCGGGGCCAUGCCUCUUUGCGAGGUCGCGGAGGGAGUGGUGGGGAAGGGAUCCGAUGAGGUGGAGGUGGCCGAUGAUCGGGAGCUUGAACGGAGGCGAUGGGAGCUUGCUGAGCAGCUUCUCGGACCUGGACUUUGGCGUAGCCAGGCGAACGGCGACGACGAAGAGGAGGAAGACGAGGGCUAGGGACUGUGGAGAUGCGUGCUCGAAGAGGUGCUCUAGCACUGGAGCCAUGGCGGCUGCUGUGCUCGAUCAACAGCUAGCUUGUGGUACUGUGCCCGUUGCAAUUUCUAUAGCGCUCUGAAGUUGGCAUUCAUUCAUGAUGCAUCGGACGAAGUGAAAGAACAGUAAUUGUGGACUUAUGGUGUGUUUAGUUGACAUAUAUUUAAUUAGUUUCUAAGUACUAAUUGCACAUGGAGUAACACAAGUGAAGCUUUAAAAAAAAAUAGAAUGGAUACGGAGGGAUAAUUCAUCGGUAUCCAUGAAUUGACAAAGCACAUCUCUCAAAGCACAUCUCUCAUCCAUGAAUGGAUAUGGAGUAACAACAUAAAUAAUUCAUGGAUAUAUACGAAGGGAUUCGAUCCAUCGGUAUCCAUGAAUUGACAAAGCACAUCUCUCAAAAACCCACAAGUUCUUGAGUGCAACUGCAUUAUUUAAGAUCCCAUGCAUGUGCUAUUUUCGUUGUCCGUAUCCAUCAGAUGCACACAUCCAAAAGUGCAAACGUUGACAAAAACCCGGCCACAAGUUCUUGAUUUGCAACCCCAUGUGCUAACUGGAAGGCCACUAUUAUUUUUUUUUGUAAUUUCCGCACCAGCCUGUUGAAUGUUUGACAAAACAACGGCACCUGUUUUUGUAAUUUCCGCCACCGUGCCUCCCUCCUCUCCGCCGCGGGUCACCACCGCGCCUCCCUCCUCUCCCACGCAGGUCACCGCCGCGCCUCUCCCGUAGGCCGCUGCUGCACCUCCCUCCUCUCCCCUAUAGGCUCCACCGUAUCCAGUGCCGUGCCUCCCUCCUCGGUUAGUUUUUCUUUUUAUAAUCCGAUAAUCUUAAUUUUGAUGCACUAAAAUGAUUUUUAAAUAAUUUCAUGAAUUAAAGAUGAUGUUUGUGGAAUAAUCUAUCUUAUUGCAAUUUUGAUAUAUGACAAAGUGGAAUGAAAAAUGUUCUGUUGAUAUAUACAUGAGAUCUAAAACAAGAAUUGUAAAUUUCUUCCAUUAUUUUGUUGCCUAUCUUUUAUUCUUAGAAGUAUGGACAAUCUUUUAUUCUUAGCAUUUCGUAAAUUAUGAUGUUUUAUGGCGUAAUGAUUAUUGAGUAGAUGUUUGUGGGAUAAUCUAACUUAUUACAAUUAUAUUUGGAUAGUUUGGGUUAACGCGCAAGUUGUCAUUCUUUCCGCCAUGAUGUUGGCGGCCGUGGUGGUGGUGGCGGCCGUGGAAGUGACAGUGGACGCUACAUUUUUGUGGAGCCACCAUUAGCUCAUCCUCCAUGAAUUCACUUUCCUUUUCACGCCAUUGACUUGCCUACCGGUGAUCGAAGUAAAGGAGUAAUUCUCAACAUAGUAAUAUUAUUUCCUUCUUAUAAUUGAUAUUUUUACUACACAUGAAUAAUUCAUAAAUUUACUUACAUACAAUGUAGCUUAUCAACCCUAUUAGAUGGCUCAAAGAAAUUGGCUCAAAGAUGUUGUCGAAGCUCUAGGUGGCACUUCUCCUUCAGUGCAAUUUGAGGCCUACCUACAACAGCUUAAGGAUCAUGGGUACUAUGUGCUAGUCUUAUCAUAUUUUUGAAUAAAGGCACUUUAGGUGGGAGAAAGCAAUGUGACAAUAACUACCGAGAGACUUUGUUAGCCGAAUGAAAAUGACAUGGUUUGGAACAUAUCUAAUAAAUCUUUUAUCUCUAGUUAUGUUACAUUUUUUAACUUUCAUCGUGUUAUUCUCAUUUUUAUGUUAUCUUUGGUCAAACCAUUGCAGCAAUAAGCUUUCAUGCGAUUCUGGGAUCAACUCUUGGAUGUGUUGAAUUAUAGUUACAUAAAUGGAAAUCCGAUACGCCCCAGAGAUUCCAAGCUCCAGAUUCAUCUCACUUUCUAAAGGGUAUAUGAGUUUACCUCCCUGUUGUUCGAGAUUUAUGGUAGUGCAUGUGACUGUUCAUGUGAAGCGAUAGAAAGUGCACUAAUCCAUGUUGUAGUUCAUAUUGAUGAAGUUAAAGGCUUUAGGAUUGGAGACUUAAACUAUGUUGAAUAUCUAAGGAAGCGAAGCGGAGUAUGAAAUAUGUAGCGAGCACUGCCUUGGUCGGCAUUGUCGCGGUCCUUGCGCAGCUGCUAGCACUAGUCUCUUGCUGCAUCUGCGUUAGCAACGGAUUGUUGUUGGGCGUUGACUUGCUCCUGCUGGCACCGUGCUGCACGGUUUUGAUUCUUGGCAUUACGGCCUUCUUCCUAAGAUUCCAUUUUGCCAUCAUGUGGUGGCUCAUCAGCGGAGACCAUGAAAGCUUCAUGAUCGGGCGUGAAGGAGUUGCUCUCAUCAUCGCUUCCAUAAGGAUUUGGUGUCAGGACGAUGCGGGGCACCUACAAUUCAUCAUAGUUUGGAAACUGGGUGGAUUUGGGCAGGUCUCUAGAUUGCAUCUGGAAAACCUAGUCAAGCUUACCGGAGUACUCGACGGCCGAGUUCCGUAGACUGAAAGGGAUGGGGAACGGACCCUACGCCAACCUUGUUGAGCAUAGUGCCACCUCAGAUAACUCUAUGCACUCAGCAAUAGUGCUGCUGAUGCGAUCUAGCUCCACGAUCAGAUUGUUGGGCAUGCGUGGGCGGGCGCCGACGAGUAGAUCUGGAACCUUCUUGGACAAAGAGAGAGUUCGCCGCCUUGCUAGGAGAGUGGCAUGACGAUCCUUGGGUGGAGAAUUUUUUUUGCUGCAACAGAUCCGACGGAAGCCAAGCUGGUUGUGGACGCUGAUUCGAUGGAAGACGCCAAGUCAACAGAACAAGCGGUCGGAUCGAAAUCUGCCAGCAUGGACCUGAAGUGAAUCUAGAUUGGGUUGUUGAGGAUGUCCUUCAUGCUCUCGGAGAAAACAACAUCGGGAUGGGAUGCCAUCAAGGUCGCAAAAAGGACCUCACAACCCCCUACCUGGUACACCAACUGUUCGAUUUAGUAGCCCGACAGUCCACAAGGUGGUUACCUAAGUAGUUAAUUUGUAGGCGAGGGUGAUUGCGAAACCAUGAACUCGAAGGUAAUUGCGAGAACAUGAAGGGGAUACGAGGGUUUUUAGACAGCUUCUGGCCUCUAGAGAGAGUAAUACCCUACGUCUUGUAUGCUUGGUAGUUUGUAUUGAUUAGUGGUUCGAUGCGAUUCGAUUGGAUUGCCCUCGGGACUACAAUUUAGUUUAAAUCUAAUCUACUUGGUAUUAACAUGGAAGGUAAUCUGAGUUGGACUACAAAACGUGUUCCAUGAUAUCCAGAUAGAUUUGGACUGUCUCAUUGCCUUCAAGUAACUUCAUGUCCUCAGCCCGCACGCUCUGGUCGGGCAGGCCCACUUGUCAGGUCCAGCCAGUAUCCUAGUCGGUGGGGACCCAUGGGGUACCCAUAUCCCUUAGAUGUACUCGGUACCAUUUUCACAUGGAUUUGAAGUUGUUCUCUCUAAUACCUUAAAUAUUGAUGUAAGAACUUGUGAGACUGGUUAUAUAUAUAUAUAUAUAAAUAUAUAUAUAUAUACAUAUAUCUAUAUAUAUUUCAUUGCAUAUACAUUGUUCUAUGAUUGUCUGAUCUGAAUGGGUUGAUACUAGUGAGACUUGGAUUUAAAUGGGUUGAUACAUGGGAGAACCACUUUUAAAAAUUUGGUGUGAAAAUGGCACUGAAUUUGGGGUUUGCUGAGUGUCAAAAAAUAAGGGGUUUGCCGAGUGUCAAAAAAUUACACUCGGCAGGGGGGGUGUUGCCGAGUGUAAAAAACCAACACUCUGCGAACAUUAAAAACCAAAAAAACCACCCCCUCCACGCCCCUAAAAUCACGCGCACCUGGCCCCCUCCGCCUUCCCCAUCCCAACCCCUCUGCGUUCCCCACUCCCUCUACCUCCCCCGCUCCCUCUCCCACGCCUGCCGCCAGGGGCCGCCCCCCGCCCCACGCGCGCGCCGCCAGCCACGCCCCCCAGCCCCGCCGGCCGCCGGCCCCUCCCCUCCCCUUCUUCUUCCCUGGUGCCAGCCCUCCCCCUCCCCUUCUUCUUUCCCGACGCCGACCCUCCCCCUCCCCUCCCUCACCCUCCUCCCACCCUCCCUCGCCAAAUCCGGCGCCCCCUUCCCGGAUCCGGCGGCGUAGUGGAAUGGGUGGUGGUGGCACAGCAUGUGGCGGUGUUGGCUUGGUGGUGGCAGUGGUGGAGCCGGUGGAAGAGGUGGCGUUGGUGGCGGCGGCCUUCGGGGUGGCGGAUUCGCCGCCUCCUCGCCGGAUCCGGCGGAUCCACCGUGCCCCUCCCCAGAUCCACUGCGCCCCUCCUCGCAGAGCCGUCUGAAAGCGUGGUGAAGGCGGUGGUCGGUGGUGGCGUGGUGAAGGUGGCGUCGGGGAGUGGCAUGGUGAAGGCGGCGUCCUUGAGUGACUUUUUCACCAAGCCAGCGGGGAACAUGGGGGCUUCGGCCAGCAGCAUCAAGCCGGCGGCAAAGGUGGAUGGCAAGGCCAAGCAAGCGGCGGCGAGCAGCUUCGAGCCGGUGGCGAGGUCGGAGGGCAAGACCAAGCAUGCGGCGGAAAGCAGCUCUGAGACGGCGGCGAAGGUGGAGGGCAAGCACGUGGCGUAGGUUGUGCAGGCGGCAGCGAAGACCGAUGGCGGCCAGCGGAUACUGGCCGCUGGUGUUUUUUUUCGAAAAAAUGGUUUGCGGAGUGUUUUCUGGGCACUCGGCAAAGUGCCCGACAGAAAAUACUCGGAAAACACUUUGCCGGAAGAAUUUUUACCGCUUUGCCGAGGGUUCGCCAAGUAUUUUAGGGGCUUUGCAGAGCUUCUGUUCCCCGUAGUGGAAGCAUUUCUUUUUUCUUUGGUUAUACUCUUGUGUUAGUUAUCCUCAUCCCCUCGUGUUAUGGAACCCGUUUGUAAGUGUUGCGUUCUCUCUGUCUCUCCACAGCUUUUCAGUUGUCUCUUUUACUAUUGUUUUUAUUCCUUUUUUCCUUUCUACUAGGUCCCGUUUGGUUUCCUCAACUUAUUUUUAGCACCCGUCACAUCCGUUUGGUUUCCUCAACUUAUUUUUAGCACCCGUCACAUCAAAUGUUUAGAUACUAAUUAAUUAGGAGUAUUAAACGUUGACUGUUUACAAAACCUAUUACACAGAUGGAGGCUAAAUGACAAGACGAAUCUAUUAAGCCUAAUUAGUUCAUGAUUUGACAAUGUGCUGCUGCAGUAACAUGAUAAUCCUCUUGCCAUCUUUUUGGUGAAAAAAAUGUGGUACGCUGCUUGAUGAAGCUAGAAACUGGAUCUCAUGGUUCUUUCGGUUGUUGGGAUGGGUGGGAUGGGCAAGACCACCUUUAAUUUGUGCAACUCAUUUAUAUGACCAUGCAAUUGUGAAGCAUUUUGAGCUUCAGAGGUGGCGCUGUGUGUCAGAUUAGAAAAACAUUUGCAAGGGUGCAGAUUAGUGAUGGAAACGUAUAGAAUGCUUAUCAUUCAACUAGAGUGUCUAUAGCUCACCCAAGUGAAACAAAGAUCCUCCUCACACGAUUUUUUGUGCCAGUGUAUCAAAAAUCAGCGGCUCAGAUCCCUCCUCAAUGUCUACCUUAUCUCCUCCCCCACCCCUUCGCUACCCGCCGCCUAAACCCUCCCCGACCCCUCCGGCGCGGGCGGGCUAGGAUCCGCCAGAGCUCCGUGCCGACCGGCCCCAAGCCCGCCGGCGCAGACCGCCUCCUGCCCCUCUCGCCGCCACCUCCCACCGCCGCCUCCCACCAUCGGCACCCCCGCUCUGGCACCGCCCAACCGCUAUCUUCCGCCGCCUGGCUGGCAGCGCCCAAGCCGCCACGCCUCGCCGCCGGCAGCCCUCCCUCUAAGGCCAGCAGUGAGGAGCCCCACCCCGGCAACCCCUAUACCCCUAAUCCCGAAACCCUAACCUCGAACCCCUAACCUUGCCGGAAUCUUGCUGGAGUUGGAGAAGAAAGGGGGAUGGGGUAAAGAAAAAUUGGGUGACGAGAGGCUUUAUUUCAAUCGGGUGAGAUUUAGCUUUCCCUUUCAACUAACUCACAUUUUUUUGGGUCUGUCUAUGCGUCACCUGAGUGAAACAUGAGCCUUCCUCACUCGAUUUUUUUAGCUGUCAGAUGAACAUCCGACGCCUUUCCUUACUAGGUGAAACAUGAGCCUUCCUCACUCAAUUUUUUUAGCUGUCAGAUGAACAUCCGACGCCUUUCCUUCAUAUUCUAGUAAGUAUAUGUCUAGGCGUAUAGCAAAAAUUAUGUAUCUAAAAAAAAUAACCUACAAUUUGAGAUAAAGGGAUUACAUUCGAUCAUCAACCAAACAAAUGGACAAAACCGUUUAUUUGGCCUACAAGAAUGCCAUACGACCUGAAUAAUUGAAGCUAACAAGGCACUUUAUUGUUGUACAUAGCAGCUGAGCUUGACUGUCGGGCGUACAUCCUCGGGCCCACGAGUACACCUUGUACAGCCCAUCCAAGGACGUACUUGGACCUGAUCAGGACAUAGAGGCUACGUCACAGGGUAACGUAGCCUACACGGACUCCUGAAGACUAGUCGCAGUGUAUAAGGAAACUGCUCUGCCUAGUCAGAGUAGGACUCUAUAAUCGUACUCGACUAGGAUUCCACCCUGUAACCCUGCUCUUCCAGAUAUAUAAGGGUGGGCAGGGACCCCCUCCAAAACAAUCCCAUACCAACGCAAUAUACUCGAUCAUACAUACCACACAGGAUGUAGGGUAUUACGCGAUCUAGCGUCCCAAACCUGUCUAAAUCGUGUGCCUUGCGUCACCAUCGUCUCCUUGAUUCUCGAUAUCCCCACCGCACAAAAUACCUCCUAGGGGCCUCCCUAGACGGGUUGCCAGUCUAAAACAUCGACAACUAGCACACCAGGUAGGGGAGUUGCCAAGUUUAUCCACGCGAGAUCGAUGGCAUCAAUCAUCAUCAAGCCGGCGUUCACUUUCGAAGCGGGCACAACUUUCAUCUUCGGCUCCUAGCUUUGCAUCGCUGACGACGCUGGAUCCUUCCAAUACUGCAUCAUCAACAACCGGGAGAAGAAGCAUCUCGACAAAAAUUCUCUUCGACAAAAAGUAGACGAUCUCGUCGAGAAAAUCAACAGUUUUGAUCUAUUCAAACAUCCAGUUCGACUACAGCUCGAACUCGAUCAUGGCUCGGACUAGUCCACGUAAGCUAGCAAAGAAGUCACUGCGCAGAUCGGUUUCAACUCCAAAUCAAUUUCCAUUUGGACUCCAUAAUACAGCCAUGGUCCAUCAAGCACUCCUUACUCGAAUCAAAUCUGGACUAGAGUCAGAGGAGGACUACGACUAUGACUUGGAUACACCAGAAGAGUACACCAGCAACUAUCGCGGCUUCAUUGACGAUGACUUCAACUACUCAUCUCGACGACUUCGACGGGCGGCUCCCUGACGACUUCUUCGGCUACGUCGUGGCGCCCGCCGAUGAUGACCUCGUCAUGAAGCUCGCCGACAACUACUCCAACUACAUCACGGCAGUCAGCGAUGACUACUCCAACUAGGUCGUGAUGUCCGUCAGUGAUUUCUCUGACUACGUCGCGACGCUCGACGACGACAACUUCGAUAGGCGAUUCGCCAGCGGCUACUUUGACUAUGCCAUGACGCCCGCCGAUGAUGACUCUGAUUACUUUGUCGGGCAGCUCGGCGACGACUACUCUGGCUACAUUGUGACACUCCCCGACAACUUCUUCGACUACAUCGUAGCACCCGCCACCGACUACUCUAACUUCAACGGGUGACACGCCGAAAACUUCUCCAACUACGUCACGACACUCACCGUCAACUACUCUGACCGCAUCGAGCCACCGCCGACUACAUCAACCUCGCGGGGGCGCUUGGCAACUCACCGACGACUACUUGGCUCGGCGACACACCAACGACUACUUUGUCGUGACGCUUGCCAACGACUCCUAUGGCGUUGUGACGCUCACCGACGACUACAUCGAUGAGCAACUCGUCGACAGCUACUUCGACUACUCGUCUCGACUAGAAAACUAGUCGAGGGCGGGCCUCCCACCAUCGACAACUAGUUGGAAUCGACUCCGACUAGUCGGCUUCAUCAAACAACUGUCGCGGUUUCAUCGACGACCGCCACAGUUUCAUCACAAUCGGCCACGAAUCAAGCUAAGUCACUUAUCUUACUACUUCCUAGGUUGCUUUCCUCUCGCGCACAACACACACUCUAUUUGCCGGAGGGUAGCAAACGCUUGCACACAACAUGCGCUCUACUCGCUGGAGGGCAGCAAACUCUUGCGCACUCGCACUCUCUUUUUGUCGUAGCAGUGACUACUCUUUUUUGUCUUCUCUUAAGGUCACUAAUCUUCUCGAGCAGAACAUGCCUUAACUCGUGAAAGUGUCAGGUGCACCUGUGACACCAAAUGCUAGCACACAUACACGAGACCACGCUCUCAGCUAUGCACAUACACGUAUAUGAGACAACGCACUCACACACGUAGUGCCUAUGGCUAAACGGGGACGGAGAGCCUAAAACGUAACAGGCUAACUGCUCAAGAAGAAUAUGACCGAAACAAGAGCUUGACACACAACUUUCAUAUUAAUCGCUGAAUAACUAUAAGUAGUUUCAAUAUUUUACAAAAAUGCUACAUAAUGUACGCAUCUUUUCUUUCAGGUCAAACUUUGGCGAUGACGCUCAUCAUGUCGCUAAGCGUGCAUUCAACGGCACAUACUACUUGCCGAACUCGGGGGCUAAGCACCAAUCACUACUCGAAAUAUCUCCAAUGGCUCAGCUAGCUCCAAAGAUCGAGGGCUGAACGCCGCAAUAACUACUCGAUGUGGCUCCUACGGCUCGCCCAGCACAUAAGCUCGGGGGUUGGAUGCUGCAAAAAUUACUAGGAUGAUGACUUGUGCAUAGAUUCAAGAUCCUUGAGUUGAUUAUUCAAUCAAUUCAAGGCUCGGGGGCUGCAUAUACCGUUACCCAUCAAACAAAGAUUUCUUUUUCUCAAGACAAGGAGAAGACGAAGCAAAAUUACAAGUAUGACCCUCAUCUUGAUUCUUCGGUUCAACCUAAGGUUCGGGGGCUACUCCACAUGGAGUGCGAUUGUCAUCGCACUUCCAUAUAAAGAUUCAAGCCAAGUCUACACGAAGCAACUUCAAGAGAAGCGAAGAAUACCUUGCAGCCAUGUGACAGUACUCGGGCACUCGAAGUUUGGUCUGUUGGAGGUAUGCCCUAGAGGCAAUCAUAGAGAUGAUGAUAUCUGAUUGUAUCCAUGAUUUGUAUAUUGUGUUCAUUGAAUAUCCAUUAAAGGCUACUUGAAUUGAUCUGCAAUUAUGUGAAUUGUAUGUAGAACUCUUUACUUGUAUGGUUAUUCUAAAAGUUGUCCCUAGUCGGAGUUCAUGUGUGGACACACAUGAAUAUUAGACUGGUACAUGUAUUAGUUGAUGACUAUGUUUCACAAGUCAUGGACAUGGAAAUGUCAAACUAAUAAUGUAGGCAUAUGUAGAGACAUGUGCUAGGACUGACCCAACGAGAGAAGUAGUUCUCUCUUUACACAACAUGUACGCUUUAUCCUUAGACCUGAGAUUGUCGCAUGUACUCAAGAUGUGGUUUGACUUACUUAGGGGCUAUCAAACGCUACACCGUAACAGGGUAGUUAAAAAGGUAGCGUUCGGGUUGGUCAGGAAGCAUGCUGUGAGGCAUGGUCAAUCAAGAUGGGAUUUGCCCCUCUCUGAUUGAGAGUGAUAUCUCUGGAGCCCUCGAGUGAUCAGAUUCGAAAAUGCAUGGCCAUGCUACGUACGGUUAAGAGUUAACCUACAAAGGGAUUUCAAAUCAUAGUAUCGAGAAAGAGCGGUCGGUUUGAAGCUAGACCAAAUAUCGUGAGGCAAAGGGAAUAUCAUGUACAUGAUGUUGUGACGGUUCGUCUGAUAUGAUCUUCGUGUGCGUAUAGGAGUUGGCACGUCUUGCUAGAGGCUGCUACCGACUAUUGGGCCGAGUAGGAAUACUCGGGCCAUGUCUAUACGUAUCCGAACCUAAAGGGUCACACACUUAAGGGGCUAGAAGCCCAAUUUGGAUAUGAUCCGAGUUGGAUCAGGUUUAGAAGUACUAAUGGGCCUCAGACCUAGAGGCCCGUCAGGAACCUCUAUAAAUAGAGGGGUGGGGCGCCCUAGGGUUUCAUCCCUUUGGCCGAAACACAUCUGCCGUGCCUCCCACACCCUCGCCCUGUUGCAACUUGCGAACCUAGCAGUCUGGCUUGCGACUCUUCCUCCCUGCACGUGUGGAUACCUUGGAGGUGUUGCACCUGUAGCACUUGGACGAGCCGCGACGAGCCACGACGAGCCGCCGACGAGCCAUGGCACGAGGACGACCUUGCUGCACGUGGACGAGCUACUGAGGAGCUGCUCGAUGUCGACAUGAUCGACUACGUGUUUGACUACGCUGAUCGACUUCGCUGCCCCAACGCGAUUUUACAUCUUCCGCACCAGUGCGUCGAGUGGUAAUCCCGUGAUCCAUAUACGACAGUUUUCCUGGUUUACGCGGUAGAAAAUUUUUGUUUUGCGCUAGCGUAGCCUACCUCGUAGCCCCACAUGGUCACCACGAGGAAGCGCUCAAAAAACACAGGCUACAAGUACUCGGAGCUCUUCCACUCGACUACAAAGUAUUCGGGGGCUUGUCGGGUGUACUCGGACGUGAUCAGGACUUGGAGGCUACGUCACAGGGUAACAUAGCCUACACUGACUCUUGAAGACUAGUCGCGGUGCAUAAGGAAAUAGCUCUGCCCUGUCGGAGUAAGACUCUGUAAUCGUACUCGACUAGGAUUCCAUCCUGUAACCCUGCUCCCCCAGAUAUACAAGGGAGGGCAGGGACCCCCUCCAAAACAAUCCCAUACCAACGCAAUAUACUUGAUCAUACAUACCACACAGUACGUAGGUUAUUACGCAAUCUAGUGGCCCAAACCGCACAAAAGACCUCCUAGGGGGCUCCCUAGGCAGGUUGCCGGUCUACAACACCGACAUUGACUUAGUUAUAUUUAUUUGCAAACAGGUGUGAAAUGCCAUACAAUAAUUUCAACCCCAGAAAGCUACCAGUUGAAGUGGUAGAUGAGGUUGGCAAGAAUGAAUUCAAAGUGGCGGUGGUGAAGUUUAUACCCGGGCACAUCCUUCCCCUAGAAGUCGGAAGAAGCAUCCACGGCUUCUUCCAUGAACUUCUCGGGCAUGAACUCCUCUGCACUCUCCCAGUAGGUGGUGGCCCUGCCUAGAGCCCAUGUGUUGACGAUUACACAUGUCCCAGAGCGGUGGGACGGAGUGGUCGGAUCCGGGUGGCGUGGAGUGGAGCAGAGCUGGCGGUGUGGGCGGAGCAAACUAGGGGAGGGAGGCGGAGCCGAUGGGGCCGCAGGCGACGAUCGGGGGGCUCGCGGGGGCAGCGGUCGGCUGGCGUGGUGCGUUUUUUUUCGAAAUUUUUUUAGAACUGGGACUAAACGGGACCCCUUUUGUCUCAAAAAAUAUAAUUAGUCCUGGUUGGUCAUUGGAGAGAUAUGCUCCUUCCCGAUUGGGACUAAGAGCAACUCCAAGAGACUGUUAAUUUUACCCCAAUACCUUUUUUAGGGAAAAAGAAAAAAAAUAACUCCAACGGUCCACCAAAUAUUCGGGGCGUCCCCAUCUUCCCCAAUCCGCUCCCAUGGUCUUUCCCUUGGGCGUCGUCAGGAUCUGCAAAGUCCCGCCGUUAGCGUCGUCAGGGGACCAUGCACCGGAUCUCAGUGGCCAUGGCGAGAUCUCACUAGGGCACGGGCACGGGCAAGGGAUGCAUCAUCAUCGCUACCACCAGUUCGGCGUUGAGGGGAAGCUGCUGGACGGUGGCGGCGCCGCUGCCGCGGCACAGCAGCUCGACGCCAGGGUUUUUUCUCCAGUCCCGUCGUGGAUAACGGUGAGUGCCAUUGGUGCUGCUCUCCCGUCUUUGUUUGUCUCCACCCGCAACAACACCAAACUACAAAAACGUUGCUCUUUACUCUCUUCAAACUACACAUGAUUCUUGAUGAGCUAGCUAUCUGGACUAGAUUAAUCUAUGUCGUUGUGUCAUUGGCAUUUCGAACUUCCUACGAAUCUCGCUUUUGGAAUUCUCUCCUAGAUUUCUGUCUGACAGGAAAUAACAUCAUCAUUUUCUUUAUUUCGACCUGUCUGAUAUCGAUUCGAGUGUAGAAGGAGGUAUGUUCGGUAGGUCCAAUUACGAUGAUGUGGCAAAUAUUAAUUGAGGAGUAUUUUUAACGUUCUGCUGUGGCCUGAGGGAAAAUUUUUAGCAUAGCUCCCAAUAUCUUAUUUUCGGGAAAAAUUUUUUGGGAACUUUUGAAGUUGCUCUAAUAGUCAAUUUUCUACCACUGGUUGCAUAGAGGGGGAGGAGGCGAGGGUUUUAGGUGAGGACGAUGAGGUGGCGCCCCCCUCCCUUUCUCCGAUUCCUCCAAUCUGUUGUGCGAUGCUUUAACUGUCUCUAUAAAAUUGAUAUGGUUAGAUAUGUCAUAUUCUGUGGGUGGCACCUCACGAUCAGAAUGUGUGCCUCUAUAUAUGUUGUGCCAAUGCAGUCCAUUCGAGGUAGUACCAUAGCCUGACUGAACUACUGAAAAUGAAAAGCCUACCAGACUCCUUCUGCAACAGCACAGUCUACCCCUAUGUUUACAACCUGACUUCCUCCUACAUCGACCAGAACAAUGAGGCCACCAUGGUGACCACCACCUUGGCCAUGUUCAUGCUGGCCGUGUUCUUCUUCAACCUCAACCUCUUCAGCCGCUUCUCCGACGUGAGCGCGAUUCUCAACCCUAGCGUCCGCCUCUUCCUCUCCACCUCCCUGUCCCUCUUCCUGCCGGUCAUGUCCUACCUCUUCUCCGAGGCCAAGAACCAAGGUGCAACGACCAUGGCUGCUACUACUAGCAGUAGCUCCAGUUAUGGCGAGCUCGGCGACGAGCUGUCGCUUCGAGCUAGGACGAUCCUCAUGUGGAUGCUUCUUGUGGAGCUCCUCCGCAAGAAGGUGGAGGCCGUCCUGGUCAGCGUGGGCAUGCAGUGGUACUCAGGCGCCAUCGAUCGCUUCGCCCGCAUCGUUUGGCUCGGCUACCUCGUCUUCUACAAUGUCAAAAGCCCCGGCAAGAAGGCGAUCUAUGGCACCUUAUGGGUCCUCACUGCUGCCAAGUUCCUGCAAAGGGUCGUCGUCAAGAUGGUGCUGGAGCGUUCCUUCGCCUACGGAAGGAACACCCAGCUGCUCAACUCAUACAUGGCCCAGAUCAUCCAACAAGAGCAAGAGCAAGAGCAAGAGGAGCACUCGGGAUCAUCGUCGUCGGCGGAGCUGUUGAAGAAGUGCGAGUACACCGUGAUGGGAGAAGAAAAUCUGGAGAGGACGGCUGGCCGGCAUGGCUACCAGGUGGAGCUGAACAAGGCGGCCGUUGUCACCGUUGGUGACAUUUGGACGCAGGCAGCAGCCGAGCCGGACAGCCUCCUCCGGAGAGAACACCUUAGAAGGCUCUGCCUCUCCUUUGCUCUCUACAAGCUGCUGCGCCGGAGGUUCGAGGACAUCCCCACAACAAGAGAGGAGACCCGGAACUGCCGGAACCUCAUCUUCAAGGGCUUGUUGAAGGAGCAAGAAGGUGCCGAGGUCGCACUGUUCCAAGUCUUCAACGAUGAGACCCAGUUCGUUUGCGAGUACUACCAUUCCGUCCUACCCGUCGUCUUGUCCGACCCUUUCUUCUUCCUGGUCAACUACAUCCUGUUUCCCAUUGUAGUUUCUGCCUUCUGCCUCCUAACACUGAUCAUCUGCGGCAAUGGGAGCGUCCGCUACGCCUACCAGAGCAUCACAAGUGACAACUACAUCAUAUACACUGGCGCGACGACGCUGACCAGAUGCCUCCUGAGAAACAUCGCCCAUUCACCCGAGGUGCUGUUCGCCAGCAUCGACCUAGGCACCACCACUCUGCUCAUCCUGGCCUUCGUCUACGAGGAAGUCGUGGAGGUCCUCGUCUUUAUCCUCUCCAAUUGGCUCAUCGUGUCGCUCCUCUGUCAGUACACCGCCAAGCGCCACUGGCGGCAGAGCCGCAUGGUAUGUUGGCUCAUCCGCGGCAUCCUGUGGGUGCGAAGCAUGCUAAGCCACCCUAACCUCAGCUUCAAGCAGCUCUCCGUGCUAAGGUUCUUCCAACUGUCGUCGCCUUCGCCGAUCAUGGUGCCAACCAAGGCAGUGCCCAAGGAAGUGAUGGAGUCGAUCGUGGAUUAUCUGGUGGUUCACUUGGAUGUCUACGGCAUCGAUGGCCAUGACGACCCUCUCAAUUCGGCCUGGUCCUCCACACUGCAACAGGAGAAGCACAGGGCAUACCGUCCCCUGCUCUUGCCGGUGUGUGAGAGCAAGAGCAUCGCUGAGUUCAUCCUCACCUGUCACAUUGCCACCGCCCUAAUGGAGGUGAGGUACCCGCAGGACGAAAAGGAAAUGGGAUCUCAUCGCAAGGUGGCGACGACGCUGUCCAAGUACUGCACUUACUUGGUGGGCUUUUACCCAGGGCUUCUUCCGGACGACAAGAAUGGGACAAAGCACACUUACAAGAAGAUGAAGGAGGACAUGAACAAGGAGCUUGGAGGGUGCUGGUGGUACCACCUGUCGCUGCAGGGAACCAGGUACAAGAGGCUGAUGGAGAUCGGCGAAUCGAAGCAGAAGGCCGUGACAAUGGUGCGCAACGGGGCCAGGUUAGGGACAGCACUGAUCGAGAAGGCCGAGGAGAACAACGAGGCGCGUGAUCGCGUGUGGGAGCUGCUGAACGACCUUUGGACGGAGGUCAUGGUGUAUGUGGCGCCGUCGGCCGGCGACCUCCACGUGAAAGCCCACAAGGAGGCGCUGGCGCGCGGCGGUGAGUUCAUCACCGUGCUUUGGGUGCUGUGUACGCACACCGGCAUGACCAGGCCAGCCCUCGCACCGUGGGAGGUAGCACGUCAUGCGUUUGAACCAUAGAGCAUUAUUGGCUUCCCGUGUGUGCCGAUCUUUCGAGGACAGCUUGCUUGGGAUGGUUCAUCUCACAUGCUCCAUUCCGCUACUAACGCUAACAUUAGUACCGCGUCAUAAUGUGACCGGUACUAAGGGAGUGGACGAAAGAUAUAUUAAAAAUAGAUAUAUAGCCACCCGUUGUGAAUGCAUGGGUUGAUGCCAGUAAUUCCUAGAAAACGAGGCCAACCACAACCUCUUCAUCCACUUCUCCGACGUGAGCGCACAAUUCUCAACACUAGUAAGAAACAGAGCUUUAGUCCCGGUUUUUUAGUCCCGGUUGGUAAGGAUCAUAGAUCCCAAAAAUCCAAUCGAGACUAACUAUUCAAGGCUAAAUGACUCCUUUAGUCCCGGGUCAUUCACCUGGGACUAAAGGUGCCCUUUAGUUCCGGUUGGUGUUACCAAGCGAGACUAAAAAAAUUCCAAAAAAAAUAAAAAAAGCCAUCCGCGCCCGCCGCCCGCCUGCCUCCCACGGCCGCGCUGGCCUCAUGCUGCCCGCCCGCGCCCACGCCGACCACGUGCUACGACCCGCCCGCACCCACCCGACCGACCGCCCGCGUCGGAGCAUGGAAGAAAGGGAGAGGAGGAAGAAGAAGAGAUAAGGUGGAGAGGCCCUGCGUGGGAGAUAAGAAAGGGAGGGGAGGAGAUAAGUGGAGAGAAAGGGAGGCGACGAGAUUUUGUCUUGGUUGGAAUUUCCAACCGCGACAAAAGAUUUACUUCCGGUUGGAAUUUCCAACCGGGAUAAGGGUGGCGUCGAUGUCAGAUUUUUUAGCUGUUAGAACCAAGCCUACAACCGUGACUAAAGCCCCUUCAGUCGGUGGCCUUUGGUGCCUCAUACCUGGGACUAAAGUCACUUUAGUUCCGAGUCCAAAGUCAACCAAGAUAAAAGCAUCAAGAUGGAAGGUCAGUUCUCUAGUAUUGCAAGCCUAGUGUCUGCCACCUCCUCUCCACCAACAUGUCCCUCUUUCUGCAUGUAACACUUUCACACAUGCAUGUAACUUGAUUAAUCUUCUCAUGCGUGUUCACAACAAACGCAUGGAUGAAAAACAUGUCAAGAUUAAUUUCCAACACUUUUUUCUUCUAUAGAUAGUUUCCACUAAGUGGUUCACCACAUAAUAAAAUUUAGAUACUUGUCUCUGCAUAUCAUCGAUCAAUGUUGUUAGAGGGAUACAACAUUAUCAUUGUGUACAUCAUAUCAAUGACCGAACUUCAACUAUUAUAGAUACUGUUAUACUGUUAGCAAUGCAUAUAUCUCAAAUAUUAUUGCUUCUCUUUAAUUAGCUAAAGAAUAGGAUGCUAGAAUGAAAACGUCAAAAGAAAAAACAUAAUGAUGAAGGCAUCAGGUCCUCUCUUUUGGGGGCCAAGAUUCCUGCUGAUAUUGAUAACAAAAGAAGGAUACCAUGGGUUCUCUCCCAUUUGGAACUAUAUGUGACAAAAGUUAUGCCAGUACCUUAAAUGCUAAGGCUUGCUCAUCUUUUGAAUUUUUGUUCUUUGGCGGCCCCUGUCAUUUGAGCCUUUUGAUAAAGUAAAGGAGAGGAGAAUAAGCGCUAAAGGAAAGACCAACUGCUAUGGUGUUACCCGAACACCAUUGGCGGCAUCUUUCGAUUUACAGUACAUGCAGGCACGCCAAUACUCUCCUUCAAUCGUGUGCUUGCAGAACCUAUGAAAACGAUGCUCAUGCUUUGCAAGGGCACGGAAAUUUCGACUCAGAACGUGUCCAGAGGAAAUGGGCCCACUCGUAUGAUUCAUGGGAACAUGAACAAACAGAGACGUUCAGAUUCAGAAGUAUGGAAUUUGCAAGUCCCCGCAACCCACCGCCCCCACGUUGCUCCCGCAUGAGUGACACUGGUGGACGAAACCCUCGCCGCUGCCGCCCCUUCCUCCCUCUCCCCACCGCUGUGCCACCGCCCAAGCCGGCCGCUGAAAGCCUACGCGUCUCAUGAGGACGGCGGCGGUGGGGCGGCCUGCUUCUCCCCUUGAUCUCCUGGUGGGCGUGGCCGCUGUGGAGGUCAGAGGGAGUCGCCCGUAGGGCGACACACGGCCGUGACAGCGAGGCCGGAUCCGGGGCCCCUGUGGCCGGAUCCGGGGCCCUCGAUGCCGGAUCUGUCUCCAAGUGCGGUGGCGGUGGCUUCCCCCACGCGGGGCAGUGGUCACCCUGCCCGGUGCGGAAGCUGCACGAGCGGUGUGCGCCAGGGUGGAUGCCGCGCGGUGGCGGCUGCGUGGGCCAAGGCUGAGCAAGGGGCGAAGUGGGCGGCCGCGGUCCUAUGGCAAGGUGGGGUCAACGUGCAGGCCUCCUUCGAUGACUACCUCCAGGACCGCACCAUGUUCCCCGACGAGAGCAAGAGCCAGCGGAUCAGUGAUGGGGAGUGGCGGGUCCAGAUGCUGCUGCUGCAAUUCCUCCUCGUCACAGUGCGCCCUGUGGUCAUCAUGCAGCUGCAACACCGCACUGGUGGGCUCGACCCCAGUGGCGACAUCUGCAGUCCUCGGCGGUGAGCUCCUAGGGAGCGGUGACAGUGUGAAGGCGACAACGGCGAUCUGGGUGGUGCGGCGGUGGUCCCGAUGCGAGGCAAAGAAGGCACAUGGUAGCAGGGGCCGCUAGGAGGUGGGGACACGGAGGAGGCGCCGAAGGACAAGACGAGGAGGAGGUGUCGGGCAUACACCUCAGGGCCACGAGUAGGCCUUGUACGGCCCACCCAGGGGCGUACUCGGACAUGAGCAGGAGUUGGAAGCUAUGUCACAGGGUAACGUAGCCUACACGGACUACUGAAGACUAGUCUUGGUGCAUAAGGAAACUACUCUACCUAGUUGGAGUAGGACUCUGUAAUCAUAAUCGACUAGGAUUCCACCCUGUAACCCUGCUCCCCCGAUAUAUAAGGGUAGGCAGGGACCCCCUCCAAAGAACCAACUCAUACGCAAUACAAACAUCACACAAGACGUAGGGUAUUACGCGUUCUAGCGGCCCAAACCUGUCUAAAUCGUGUGCCUUGCAUCACCAUCAACUCCUUGAUUCUCGACGUCUCCACCACACAAAAUACCUCCUAGAGGACUCCCUAAGCGGGUUGCCGGUCUAAAACACCAACAGCUGGCGCACCAGGUAGGGGAAGUCGCCGAGUUUCUUAGCGCGAGAUCGAUGGCACCAAUUGUCAUCAAGCCAGCGCUCGCUUUCAAAGCAGGCGCAACUUUCAUCUUCGACUCCUGGCUUUGCAUCACCAACGGCGCCGGAUCCUUCCAGUGCUACCUCAUCGACAACCGGGAGAAAGAGCAUCUCAACGAAAACCCUCUUCGUAAAGAAGCAGACAGCCUCAUCGAGAAAAUCGACAAAUUCAAUCUCAGAUCAAGAUUCGACUACAACUCGAAGUCCAACGACGACUCCGAGUUCGACUACAACUCGAAGUCUGACUAUGACUCCAUUUUUAGUUUCGAGUUCAACCCCAACUUGGGGUCCAACUACAACUCCAAAUCAUAUCCAGGUCAAACUCCAUUCGGACUCCACAACGCAGCCACGGUCCAUCACUCCUUACUCGAAUCCAAUUCGGACUAGAGUCGAAGGAAGACUAUGCUACGACUCGGAUACACCCGAAGAGUUCAUCAGCAACUGCCACAGCUUCGUCGAUGACGACUUCCACGGGCGGCUCGCCGGUGACUUCUCCGACUACGUCGCGGCGCUCACUUAUGACUAUGGGCGGCUUGCUAACAAUUUCUUGGACUAUGUCAUGGUACUCGCCGACGACUACUUCAACAGGUGGCUCACCGGUGACUUCUCUGACUACGUCGUGGUGCUCACUGAUGAGUACGGGCGGCUCACCGACAAUUUCUCAGACUACGUCAUGGCACUCACCGACGACUACUUCGCUUGGCGACACACCGACGAAAACUUUGUCUGCUCACUGACGACUUCUCCGACUACGACACAGCGCUGGCUGACGACUAUGGGCGGCUCGCCGAUGAUUUCUCGGACUACAUCGUGGCACUCGACGACGGCUACUUCGACGGACGGCUCCCCGACGACUAAUCCGACUUUGCGACGUCCCUCGGCGACCCACCGAUGACUACUUCAACUUCGCGCGGGCGCUCGACAACUCGUUGAUGGCUACUUCGCUCGGCGCACACCAACGAAUACUUCGACUGCUCACCGACGACUUCUUCGACUACGUUGCGAUGCUCGUCAACGACUACUUCGACGGGUGACUCGCUAGUGACUACGUCGACUACUUGUCCCGACUAGAAAACUAGUCGGGGCAGAUUUCGCACCAUCAACGACUGGUCGGAACCGACUCCGACUAGUCAGCUUCGUCAACAACCGUCAUGGUUUCAUUGACGACCACCUUGGCUUCAUCGACAAUCAUCGACGAAUCAAGCUAAGUCUCUUUUCUGACAAUUUCCUAGCUUGAUUUCCUCUUGCGCACAAUACGCGCUCUACUCGCUAGAGGGCAGCAAACUCUCGCGCACAACACGCACUCUACUCACCGGAGGGCAGCAAAACUCUUGUGCAAUCGUGCUUGCUUUUUGUCGCAGCAGCGACUACUCACUUUUGUCUUCUCUUAAGAUCACUACUCUUCUCAAGAUGAACUUGCCUUGACACGUGAACGCCUCAGGUGCACCUGUGACGCCAAAUGCUAGCACACAUACACGAGACCACGCUCUUAGUUGUGCACAUAGCAAUGCCCAUACAUGUAUAUGAGACAACGCUCUCACACAUGCAAUGGCUACGGCUAAAUGGGGACUAAGAGCCUAAACGUAAUAGGCUAAAUGCUCGAGAAGAAUAUGAUCAAAAUAAGAGCAUGACACACAAUAUUUCAUAUUGAUCACUGAAUAACUUUCAGUAGUUUCAAUAUUCUACAAAAAUGCUACAUAUUGUACGCAUCUUUUCUUUCAAGUCAAACUUUGGCGAUGACGCUCGUCGUGUCACUAAGCAUGCCUCUAACGGCAUAGACUAGUUCCCGAACUCGGGGACUAAGCACCAAUCACUACUCGGGAUAUCUCUAGUGACUCAGCUAGCUCCUAGGCUCGGGGGCUAGACGCCGCAAAACUACUCGAUGUGGCUCCUACGGCUCGCCCAGCGCAUAAGCUCGGGGGCUGGAUGCCGCAAAACUACUCGGAUGAUGACUUACGCAGAGAUUCAAGAUCCUUGAGAUGAUUAUUCAAUCAAUUCAAGGCUCGAGGGCUGAUAAGCUACACCCAUCAGUUGAUUUUUUGUCAAGCCGGAAGAAAAAGUUUCAAGAUUUUGACCCUCAGCCUGAUUCUACGAGUCAACCUAAGGCUCAGGGGCUCCUCCAUAUGGAGUGUGAUUGUCAUCGCACUAUCAUAUAAAGAUUCAAGACAAAGGCUACUUGAAGCAACGUUACGCAAAGCAGAGAGUACCUUCCAGCCAUGUGACAGUACUCGGUUACUCGAAGGCUAGCCACCACGAGAAGCGCUCAAAAAGCACCAGAUAGUACUCGGGCAACCUCUUCAAGUACUCUGAGCUGUUCCACUCGACUACAAAGUACUCGGGGGCUUGUCAGGCAUACAUCCCCAGCCCCACGAGUAGGCCUUGUACGGCCCACCUAGGGGCAUAGUCGGACGUGAUCAAUACUUGGAGGCUACGUCAUAGGGUAACAUAGCCUAAACGGACUCCUGAAGACUAGUCACGGUGCAUAAGGAAACUAUUCUACCCAGUUGGAGUAAGACUCUGUAAUCGUACUCGACGAGGAUUCCACCCUGUAACUCUGCUCCCCCGAUAUAUAAAGGCGGACAGGGACCCCUUCCAAAGAACCAACUCAUAAGCAAUACAAGCAUCAUACAGGAUGUAGGGUAUUACGCGAUCUAGCGGCCCAAACCUAUCUAAAUCGUGUGCCUUACGUGACCAUCGACUUCUUGAUUCUCGACAUCCCCACCGCACAAAAGACCUCAUAGGGGACUCCCUAGGUGGGUUAUCAGUCUAAAACACCGAUAGGAGGUGCGAUGGACAAUAGUGACCCAUCUAGAAGAGCUGCAUGGAGAGGAUGCCGGUGCAGAGGACGGCAACGUGGAGAUGGUCGUGCAAGCGAUGAGGAGCGGAGCGGCGGCUCGAAUGCCACGAGGCCAUUCUGGUGCCGCGGGAACCACUCACAUGCUGACGUUGUGGUGGUGUGAGGAUCUACGCUGGUGGUAGUGGGGGCCAUUGUCGCAGAAAGCUUUGUGUUUGCGCACAUGGUACAACUGAGAUUAUGACGGCGGCAAGGUGGAGGUGAAGUUAUUAGAGUAGCUCGGUGGGACCAUGUCACCCUGAUGGAAAAUCAUGUCUGGAUCCUUGGUAUGGAGUCCAGCGGUGGAAGUGGUGAGAUCCCCGUUUGCUUUAAGGUGAUGUGUACGAGGAGUUGUGUGUGGCGGUGAAUGUGGCUAGAACCCCACACAUUUUGAGUUGCCUUGGAGGGCCAGGAUCCGGUGCAGUGUUUUGAUGGUUGGUGUGUACGGUGCGAUAGCAGUGCUUCGGCGUUGGGUCCUGCAGUGCGGUGGUCGUUUCAGUGUGGUGCAGUGUGCUCCUCCUUUGACUUAUGCUAAUACAAAGCCGUGGAUUGGGAGAUCGAUGACCGUGUGUGUGUGACCUGAGGACGACGACGACAUGGUAGAGAAGCCCUAGUAGCUACACGACUUGCAGCGGACUGCGACGGCCAGUCCUACGUGGCUUCGGCUGGUUUGGCUGGGACAUCGUCGGGGACGAUGGCGCUAGCGAUGAGGGCUACUUGGCGGCUUUUCCUGCUCAGUGGUGGUGGCAUGGUGGUCGCUGCUAGCUCAAGCGUUAGCGUUGAGUGGCUUUGCGUCGACGACCACCCAUAGAGUUCUUUUUUUGUUUUGAGUUGAGUCGGCAUUAUCUGUUGGGAGCUACUUCGGUGGCUCUGUUGUUAUACCCAGUCUAGGAUCUUUCUUCUUUUUAAAUAAUCGACAGCUCUCCUGCCUGGUUUGUUUGAAAAAAAUUCAAAAAUACGGUUGGAUGUAAGAUUAACGAGUUAAUCUUCAUGUAGCAUGUACAUAGACAUGUAACCAAGAAACACAAACUUUUUUACAACGGAACUCAAGUGUAUUUGAGUUGUACAGGCAGAGAUAUGACUAUAGAAAUUGGGGAAGCAGCACUUUGCAUGUAAUAUAGGGUUGAAUAAAUCACCUCUACCGUGGUUUAUACGUCAGUACUGUACAACAAAACCUGGCCACCAUCCCUAAAUUACAUGAUAAAAACUCUAUCAUCUACAACCAACAACUCUAGGUACGGUAGUUGUACACAUUACACGAUAUUGGUACGUAUGUUUAACUUGACCUGAAUGCAUAUGUUUAACCUUGGAGAAGAUAGUCCGAUUCAACCCUUAGAAAUCCUUUAAGAGAUGUGUCCAUGUUAAUCUUGCUACUACUAAUUGGAGAUACCGGAGGAUUCUCAAGUUAAGACGCAUGGGCGGCCGUGCUAGAAAAAAUAAGAUCUCAAAAACUCAUGAAAACAGAAAUUGCACCUCAUCACAAGGUGGACACGGUGCCCUACUGCAGCCCAAGCAACUACUACACUUGCAUUGGUGUUCUUUUCAGACAGUGCUCGCUGCAGGACAAAACGCUGACAGAGAUUUGUUGUUGCCAUUCUAGAAUCGUUUUAGCUGUGGCUUCGUUUCAUUCAGGAUUAAUUUGCAAAAAAAAUGUAUUUUCAGUGGAAAAUAAUGUAACCAGAUUGGCUCGAUUGCCCCAGAAAGAUAUAAUAACUCCAUGCAGUAACAUAUACAUGGUCAUACUUUAAUUAUUGUGCGUACAGUUGUACUACAGCAAGGCAUAUAUCUUAGCUGUCUCUUCGCUUUAACUAAAGAAUUGGAUGCUAGGAUGAAAGAUCCAUGGUUUGGGGCCACUAUUACUAGCUUUCUGCUGAUAUUGAUAACGAACGUAGGAUGGCAUGGGUUCCCUCCCUUUCUACAAAUGGGAGAGAACCCUGGUAUCCUUCUUUCGCUAUCAAUAUCAGCAGGAAUCUUGGCCCCAAAAGAGAGGACCUAAUGCCUUCAUCAUUAUGUUUUUCUUUUGACGCUUUCAUUCUAGCAUCGAUCCUAUUCUUUAGCUAAAGCGAAGCAAUAUUUGAGAUAUAUGCAUUGCUACAGUAUCUAUAAUAAUUGAAGUUCGAUCGUUGAUGUACACAGUAAUGUUAUAUUCCUCUAACAACAUUGAUCGAUGAUAUGCAGAGACAAGUAUCUAAAUUUUAGCUCCAAGUAAGUUUUAACCAAAAGUUUAUCUUAAGGGGUUCCACGACCCAAAUCUGUACUCCCCUAAAAAUAAACUUCAAUGGUAGUCCGACGGACUAUAGGGCCACCUGAUUAAACCUAUGAUUAACGACCAACAUAUCUAUCACUUACUCUCACUAUUUCCUUAUUAUUUGGUGAACCGCUUAGUGGAAACAAUCUAUAGAAGAAAAAUGUGUUGGAAACUAAUCUUGACAUGUUUUUCAUCCAUGCGUUAGUUGUGAACGCGCAUGAGAAGAUUAAUCAAGCUACAUGCAUGUGUGAAAGGGUUACAUGCAUGUGUGUGAAUGCAGUGCAUGCAUGCGCGUAUGGAGAAGACUAGGAUCUGCAUGCAUAUGGAAGCUUAGGGAGUUAUGUGUUACUCAAAGAGUCUCUAGACAAUGUGAAUCGAACGUGUCUUGGUACACUGGUAGAAAACUGAGUAUUAGUCCCAGUUGGAACGUUGCAAAUCUCCCAAAAAACCAUCCGGGAUAAAGCAAUCGAGAUAAAAGGGGGUGUCUUUUAUCCCAGGUCCCUCAACCGGGACUAAAGACACCCUUUAGUCCCAGUUGGUAAUACCAACCAGGACUAAAUGGUUUUGCAAAAAAAAUUAAAAAAUAAAUAAAUUCCUGUGGGGUCCUAGGGAGGCCUCCCCGCGACAAGCCACAAGUCAUGCGAUUUUCACGCGAAAUAUGCGCAUGCGCGGCUCGUGGGAUUCGAACCCACGACCUCAAGCCUCGCGCGUAGCUUCCUUGCCAUCCAACCUACACAUCAUAUCUAACUAUAUAGGGGAUCCAAUCCUUUUAUACUAACUUGUGGGGAACCCUUUAAUCCCGGUUGGAGAUACCAAACGGGAUAAAAGACCCCCUUUUAUCCCGGUUUGCAUUACAAACUGAGAUAAAAGGGUCUGGAACAUUUAUUCCUUCCCCGGAGCACAUGUGGGGGACCAUUUUAUCCCAGUUGGAAACACCAACCGGGAUAAAAGACCCUAUUUUAUUCCGGUUGGUAUUACAAACCGGGAUAAAAGGGUCCGAGGCCUUUAGUUCCUUUUCAGCCACCCGUGAGGGACCCUUUUAUCCCGGUUGGAGUUUCCAACCGGGAUAAAAGACCCCAUUUUAUCCCGUUGGUGUUGUGAGCUUUAGUCCCGGAUGAUAACACCAACCGGGAUUAAAAGGGUGACCUUUAGUCCUGGUUAUUCUUACCAUCCGGGACAAAAGGGUCCCCCACAGGUAGCUAAUUUUUUCACCCGGGACUAAAGGGUCCCCCACGGGUGGCUGAUUUUUGAACUGGGACAAAAGGUAACUUUUAGUUCCGGUUGCAAAUACCAACCGGGAGUAAAGCUCUGCGAACGCCCUUUUGUACCAGCCUUCUUUAAACCGGGAUUAAAAGGAAGCGCAUCGAAAGUUAGUUCUCUACUAAUGGUAGUGUGAAACCCGGUAGUUCCUCAGCUUCUCCUGCUUCGAAUCUGAACUCCCCUCCCCGUGCUGACAGAAAAAGGGGUAUUUAUACCCUAGAGACGCCAUGGUAUAAAAGAGAAGUGGGCGAGGUGAAAGCCCAUGCCGAUCGGCCUAGGUGGGUCCAAGCCGAUCGACCUGGCCCUUCCUUUCAUCCCCAAUUGCUCAAUGGAAACUCUCAUUUCAUCAAGUCUCUCAAAGCCUAUGCUAGAACAUUGUCAACCUAUUCUACUUACAAACAAGUGGUAGGCUUAUCUGGAUCUUGGUAGGUAGAAACAGUCCUUGCAAAGUAUAAUAGUCAGAAUAUUAUCAAAUUAGGAAACACUUCUAUUGGGUUGUCAAAAAGGUCAUGGAGAAAUAGUUGCUUAUAGAGAGAGAAUGGAACACACACUUUUUUAGAUGGCGGACAUGUGCAAGGGAAAAUAGGUGAUCCCGAGACACAAAUGAAGUUAUUGUUAUCGAGUUGCAUAUGGUUAGAAAAUUUUAGUGUUAACCCUGCUCUUAAUCAUAUGUAACAAGACAUGGCACUCCAUUUAGAUGUUCAAUUAAUAUUCUAGCUUAUUAUUAUGGAGGAUAGACAUUUUUCAAUGAUGAACAAGCCACAAAGAAUUUAGAACAAUGCUCUCAAAUUUAAAUCAACUUCAGAACUUUUCUUUCAAUGGAGCAUAAUUUUCAAACAGGACUAGAUCAACAUCAGCAACAGAAUUCUUGCAAUUGCUCAAUGGAAACUCUCAGCUCAUCAAAUCUCUCAGAGCCUAUGCUAGAACAUUGUCAACCUAUUCUACUCAUAUAAACAAGUGGUAGGCUUAUCCGGAUCUUGGUAGGUAGAAACAGUCCUUGCAAAGUAUAAUAGUCAGAAUAUUAUCAAAUUAGGAAAUACUUCUAUUGGGUUGUCAAAAAGGUCAUGGAGAAAUAGUUGCUUAUGGAGAGGGAGAGACUGGAACACACACUUUUUUAGAAUGUUGACAUGUGCAAGGGCAAAUAGGUGAUCCCGAGACACAAGUGAAGUUCUUGUUAUCUAGUUGCACAUGGUUGGAAAAUGAGUAUGGAUUUACCUUUAGGGGACUGGGAAAUUUAUGAAGCUCAAAGAACUAUUGAGAAUUUUUAUUAUCAUCUUUCUUUUUGCUCUUUUUCUUCUUUUUCUCAUCUCAUUUUUAAUUUUAUUUUUUAAUUUUUUUCUUUUGCUUCCUUAGAACUUUUUGCAACAUAAUACUUACUUAGCAGUGGUCAGAGAUAACGCGAUGACUCCAACCCCCAUGCUUGAACGAUGCUCGUCCUCGAGUAUGAAAGAGAGAACUAUUGUGACCCUUUUGAGAUUCAUUUGAUGCUUUCAUGAUCAAGAUCACCUGCACUCCACCUAUAUAUGCUAAACUCCUACACUAGUAGUUCACAACAAUUAUCACCCAUCCAUUCCACAAAAUAAAUACUCCACUACAUAUGUUGAUUUCUCUCAAGUUAUCAUUACAAAAGAAACAUGGGCUAUUGAAAAAGAGAGGGACACAUGAAGGUCCCAGUAUAGAAAAAAAUAUGAACACAUGAAGGUCCAAGUAUUAAAAAAAUGAAGAAAAAAAGGAGUCGGACACAUGAAGGUCCAAGUAUGUGAAUAAAGUGGAAGAUAGCCAUGUUCUCAAUAUUAAAUAUGUCCAAAGGGAGAGAGAUUAUAUAAAAUGGAGUUUCCAUACAUUCCCUAUCCACCACCCACAUAUUCACACACAUGCACAUCUUGAUCUGAUUGUAUGACUUGUUUUCUCCUUAAAUCCGGUUUUUGAAUUUGCAAUAUAUGUAAUACAAGUAUGCUUUAUUUUCAUCCCCUACCUUGAGCUCCACAAAAAGCUUUAUUAGAAGUAGGAAGGAAAAGAGGCAAACAAAUGCCUCGGUAAGGAACCAUACACAUUGAGCGAUCUGAGAUAAUCAUUCGAGGAGCAAGUCUAUGCUUUGUUCUGAGAAUAUUUCAAAAACCUAAGAUAUCUGAGUACGAGAAGUUUGUUACUUCUCUUCUUCCUUUUUAUAUAUGUGCUCUUUUAUUGUACACAAUACUAAGCUAUACUACUGUUCAAAAAGGACUAGUAUACAAAUAUUUGACGGUUAAGAUUAAUUGUAUACUACUGAAACCUUCACCUGUGGUAUGGGUAGUAUACAUGACUAGUAUAAGGGUAUUAUGGUAAAAGAACACAAAUGAUAUCACUAAAAUUUUAUUUUUGACACUAGCAUAAAGUUUAAAAUGCCAUUUCAUUUGAAAUAUCACUUUUCACAUGUAAUAAUUACUAAAUCAUGAAUAUUUAUAUCUUAUAUAUACUUAUAUACUACUAAGUAGUAUAAGCAGCAGGGGAUUACCCCUCGUGUUCCUAAAGAUAAAAUAGAUUACAACUCCAGCGGACGUGCUACAAUUCUUCAGGGCGCCGUGCCUGCCCUGAAAAAUUCCUGAAUGAGGGACGAUUUGCCGAUGAAUACUGCUGAAAUCAACAAGCUGGCCAAGAGCCUUAAAAAGUGGUUGAAUGUUGAAAGCUAAAGUAAGCAAAGCGCACUUGAUCAGUCCAACACACAACUUCCACAAAUUAAACAUGAGCUAGCACGAAGCAGUUCAUCACGAGAUCGACACACGACUGUGCGGACAUGAAGUUGUUGAUGCAUGCGGUCUCUGAUCAUCACGUACCAGCAGGCGGUGAUUUACCAUUACCGCCUGCCACUGCUGGCGGAGGAGACGGUGCCGGCGGAGUGCUCCCCCAUGAGACCGGGUACUCCAGUUCUUCUUCCGUCUUGCAAGGGACCUUGCCGCCGUCCGGGGUGCUUGCAUCGCUACGGAGGAAGGUAACCGGCCAGCAGUAAUAGGUCUUGUUGAUGAUCUUCUCCGAGUGAGCACGCUUGUAGCUGGUCUCCACCACCACCAUCACGGGGAAGCUGCGGUGGUGCCUGUCGGAGAGGUAGUGCACCGACGCGUAUUGUCCUUGCCUGUAGAGGCUUACCCACCUCCUGUACCUGUGCGAGCUGUGCGGCUGCAGGUCGAAGAUGACGUUCGUCUCCGGCUGGUACCAUAAGAACUGCACCAUCUCCGUGAAGGAAGCAUUGGGGUUGUCUAUGACCCUGAUGAUGCUGAUGUUGCACUGGAUCUGGCCGCGGCCGCUGGGGUUGAGGGCGUCGACGAUGAUCAGCAUCGGCACCUCUCCCGCUGGCGAGUACACAGACGUGGUGUUGUCGUAAAUCCACCACCAUUGUUGUGUCUGGACAUAGCCGUAGCUCUGGAGGUCCAUCUCCACGGGGCGGUUGACGAAGACGAUCACCAUCACCACCACCGCGACGGCGAGCACGGAGACCACGACGGCCACCAGUGAGCGCACCGUGGCUAGGAAGGGGAAUGUAGUGUUCUGGCCAGCGCGGCAUGUUGCCAUUUUUUCUCACGUAGGUAGCUAGGGCGGUGGAUGAUGGACUUGUCCGCUAGGGACCUGCAGCCAUAUAUACACAUAAAUUACUGACCGAAUGUUCAUUCCCUUUUUUUGGUUAGAUGACUCAGAUUAGUCUACCGGUUAACAGGGGGCUUGGCUAACAAUUAGGCUGCCUAUUAACCUCCUGUUAGGAUCAGCCAUGGCAAAGUUUUGACGGUUAACGAUCUCCCUAUAUAUCUAAACAAGUUCUUAGGUCAUGUUCCGUUCUUUAGGAGCUCCUAAAAUUCAUGUCACAUUCGAUGUGACAUGAAUUUUAGUCUGGACUAAAGAACCAAACACCCCAUUACUCCCCUCCCCCUCCCACCUCCCACACCAAUGUUCAAAAUUUUGGCCGAAAUUUCAUGAAAUUUGAUCUUUUGGUAGUGACCGAAAUUACUAUUUGCCCGAAAUUUCGGUAUGUCAACCGAAAGAUGCACUUUUUGCACCAAAUUUCACAUGAAAUUUCAUGAAAUUAGGUGUUUUCGAUGGGGACUGAAACUUUUCUGAAAACAAAAUCCCAAUCCCUGCCCCACACCGUCCAAGUAGAAUUAGGACACACUCUUUAUACAGUGAUAAUUCAGGCUUCUGCCAACCACAGGAACCGGAGUUGUUUAAUUUUUUGGCAAAAUGUCGUGCAGAUGCUUACAUACAAAGCAUUCGUACAUGCACCAAUUAUGAGUACUUCUGCAACACCGUGUCAUUAUGCUUUCAAUAUCUGGUCUUUAAAAACCUUAGAUUUACCUAUGAUGACUUGGUUAAUUAAUCUCAAGAUCAUCUGCUACCUAGAGUUUUGGUGGCACUGGAUCAUAGGGCACAGUUGUAUGUGUAUUCAUCAGAAUGAGUGCAUGUGCAUCUAUAUGAUGUCCGUGUUUUUUUUAAAAAAAUAAACCUGCGCAGGUCAUGAUGCUUCCACUAUCCUGUCUUAUCUGUUUGGAUACCAGGGGCUAUACUUUAGCUCCUGUCAUAUCAGAUGUUUGAUACUAAUUAGAAGUAUUAAAUAUUGACUAAUCACAAAACUAAUUGCACAGAUGGAGGCUAAUUCGCGAGACGAAUCUAUUGAGCCUAAUUAGUCCAUAAUUUGACAAUAAGGUGCUACAGUAACCAUUUGUUAAUGAUAGAUUAAUUAGGCUACGUCUCGCGAGUUGGUCCAGAAUUUGUGCAAUUAGAUUUAAAAUUAGCUCAUGUUUAAUUCUCCUAAUUAGCAUCAAAACAUUAACUGUGACAAGGGCUAAACUUUAGCCAAGGACAACCAAGCAACAUGCACGCCUAUAUAUGCUCUUUGAUCAGAAAAGGAAAGAAAUAUUCCCAAAAAAAAGGAAUAUGUGCUGCGGUCCAUACACGUUCUUUGAAGAAAUAUUCCAUACUUAUUUUAUGUCAUUGUAGAAGGACUUUGAAUAAGGUUCGAUGGAGUCACGUGGCUGCGUCUGCUGGCAGCUGAUCGAUGAGUCAUAUUACUAUUGGACUUGUGUUUUGGAUGCUUAUGUUUUGGAUUACAUUCAGAAUGUACGGGCAGGGGCGAAGCCACGUAUAAGAUUUUUAUUUACCACUAAUUAGACUCAAAAUUACCAUAUAAUCCUAGCUUGUAAAUUAAAAUUUACAAGUCUCUUGAGCAGUGCACCACGGUCAAUUCAGCGCUAGCUUCGCCCCUUUGUACGGGGAUUAUGCAACCCAGAAACGACGACUAAGAGCCUCAUUUCCGGACAUGCGUCCCUAUGAUCCUUUAUAUACUCCAAAUGUCUGAGUGGCCGGCUCAUACUUGCCAUGGCGAUGUCUAUCCCUCCUCUCAAAGGAUGGAGCAGCAAGCUCCUUGUAGUUGCGGCCAUGAUAGGAACCCUGGUCGUGGUCGCCAUCGCCGCCGUCAUCAUCGUCGGCCUCACUCCGCCACUGGUCUUCUUCUCCAUCCAAGAUGCAAGCCUCCAAGGCGGGCAGUUGAAACAGCAAAAAUUCUACAACUUCACCCUCUAUGCCAACAACACCAGCCGGCGCAUGGAGGUGCACUAUACCAACCUCAACACCGAGAUCUGGAUAGCCCCGUCUGAGUGGUACCCGGCCGAGGUGAGCAUGAGCGGGUUCGAGCAGCCACCGGUGAGCAUCAACGGGUACAAGCAGCCACCGGACAACGUGACCAAGGUCGCCGGGUGGGCCGAGUUCUAUCAGACGACGUCGUUGACGGCGGCGGCGCAGGGCGGCGGCGCGGGGAAUUGGCCAAACUGCACUGUGGUGGUGAUGGCCAAGGUGUUGUUCAAGGUCGGGCUGGCACGCACACGGCCGUACCACAUCAGGGUGUUCUGCUUCCCCGUCAACUUCCUCAAUACGACUCGGUACGCCAAUUGUACAUACUGAUCUCGAUCGACGUGUAUGCAUGCAUCCAUGUUGUUGAACGUGUACAUGACUGUUGUGACGUGCUCCUUUACCAUAGCUUCAGAUCCUGACUUGUAGCAUUGACAGAGUAUGCGUCUAUUAUGGCAGAGAGCCUCUUGUACAUGUAUUUAACUCAAUCCAGAGAUCAAUAAUGAAAGGAUGCGGUUUUUUUUUAGGAAACAGGAGGGGAAGUACCCCUGCUGAUUAUAUAUUAAUAUAUAGUUGACAGUACACUAGUGAUACAAACCUUGUUUAUGACACAAAGAAAGAAACAAAAAAGAUUAAGAAAAUUACAGUGAAUGCUCUAACCAUUGAACCAUUGAUUGUUUCCAAGACUCUCUGACACGAAAUACUACCAAACUGAAAAUCUGUUUGAACCGUUCCUUUGCAGCUUGAUAAGCUGGCACUAGGGCCUUUGAAGAUGCAGUCAUUGCGUGUCAUCCAAAUACUCCAGCUCAUAAUUACGAUAAUUUCCAUAAAGAAAGGCACUUGCAACUGGUUCCAGCUCAUAAUUACGAUAAUUUCCAUAAAGAAAGGCACUUGCAACUGGUUCCAGAAGCUAACGAGAAUAUCAUAAGGUUGUUGCUGCAAAUCCACAAAGAGGCCGAGAUUGAUCCAACACUCCUGUGCGAAUGGACAAUCUAGUAAUAGAUGAAAGAGGGUUUCUUCCUUGUUGUGGUUCCAGAGGACGCAGUUAUAGGAAGGGAGAGCCAUCUGCUUUCGUUUAAGCUCCACUGGCGGCAGAGCCGCAUCCUGUGUCGGCUCAUCCGCGGCAUCCUGUGGGUGCGAAGCAUGCUAAGCCACCCUAACCUCUGCUUCAAGCAGCUCUCCGUGCUAGGGUUCUUCCAACUGUCGUCGCCUUCGCCGUUCAUGGUGCCAACCAAGGCAGUGCCCAAGGAGGUAAUUAAAGAUUUCUUCAUCGGUAAUGUCGCGCGGUUCUUGGUUUCAAGUACUGCCUGUAUUUUUUUAUUUUUUAUUUUUGCCUUGUCAUUUGGUCCGUCAGAACUAAGUUUGUCGAAUUCCUUCUGAAUAAGCUUGAGACGCUGGUCGUGCUUGUUUGUUGGUGUGCCUACGUGCCGCGUAGUUGUCGUAGCAAAUACUUUCGGUUCCAUAUCGCCUGUGACUGGACCGGGAUGUUCUUCAAUCUGUUAUGGCCCUGUAUUCUGUUUUUAUAUGGAUCCCACAUAUAAUCAAUUUCCAACAUUUGCUUUCCUCUGUACAUUCAGCAUGUUGUCUUUUUUUUUUUUUUGAAGCGCAUUCAGCAUGUUUCGCAGAUGUUUGGAAGGAUGAUCCAAAUUCUGAAUGCACAGACCCUGUUGGGAAAUUGAUUUCCCCACUGCGUGUCUGUGUUUACAUGCAUCUUCUAACUGUGGUUCCAAUGGCCCGUCUAGGCCCAUACAGGCCUAUCAGGUGGAUGGGCCGGCCGGCCUCCUGGAUCAACAAGACCGGUAUCCCUUCUUGGCCCGUCCGCCCCCGCUGUAGAAACAAAACCAGAACCAGCAGAUCCCCCGGGCCCUGAAGAGAAAGACGAUGGCAACAGAAGAAAGAGCUCGCGACGAAGCCGGCGAAAGCCCCCCAAACCCUCCCCAGCCCAGGCAGCGGCGGCGCGACGAGAUGGCCGACGACCCCACCGCCGGCGGCGGGAACACCGUCGAGGACGUCGUCCGCGCGGAGGUGAGCAUCCCCGGCCGGCCCUCGUCCUCUUUGCUGCGAGUGCCGGGGAAUCCGAUCUCCGCCCGGGCCGACCUGGCUCUGCUCGGCUGCCUCCCGAUCUGCCCGCGCGGGUGGCGGCGCCUCGCCCCUAGUUCGGUUUCGGGUUAGAGGUGUCCCAGCGUGGUGUCUGGGCGGGGGGAAUCCGGCGACGAGGCGUUCUCCCUCCCGUUGGCUCGGUUGGCGCGGACGGACGCGGUGGGCCUGGUUGGGGAAAUCUGUGCCCGUUUCGAUUUGGGUGUAGAAUAGGUAUACGUCUUCAAAAUUGAUAGAAUUAGGCCCGUUUAUAAAAAAUUGAUAGAAUCUGCCUGCAAGGCGCGGUUUCCCAGCUGGCCCGUCCUCAUUUACUAAUCCCCACCAAGCUUAGCAUCUUUCCUUUCGAUGAAAUAAAAAAAUGUUAAUGUCAACAGCUCCUCGAUUACCGCAUAGAUUAACACCUCUUUAGCCUUUGUGGCACGGCACCUAAUACUUUCCUCACCUUUGCAGUGCCGUGGGCCCGCCACUUCCCUUCUGGCCCACAAGUCAUGGAGGCGCGCGAGGAGGGGUAUCGGUUUCACGAUGAUUAAUCAAGAAAGGCCCAAGACACGUCACGCUGGGGGUGGGGGAGGGAAGACACCGCACCGCAUGCACCUGCAUGCACCUUUGCCUUUGCUUUUCCCCGGCGUCCUAGGGACCUCGAGCUCGCCCGCCUAGGAGCUCCAGCAGCCGGGCCGCUCCGCCGCCGGUGCGGCAACCACGCCGCCGUCAGACCACCUCGCGCGGCCACCCCGCGCCGGUGCGCCGUGCGCGGCGGUGCUGUCCCGCCGCUCCUCCGCCUACCGUCCUCCUGCGCCACCACCAGCUAGCGCACCGGCAGCACCGCGAGCUGCCGCGCCGCCCCGACGACGUUGGUCAUUCCGGAGCCCGGUGUCGUCACCAGCGUCGCCGGAGAAGGUAAUUACCUGAAGCAAUUUGUAGAAACGAAUAGUACUGGUUCGUUCACUUAUUUCAUUGCUCAAACUUAAUUUCUGCUUAUUAGAGUUUGUGCCUUGUCGUGAGACUAAAUUAGCUGCUUAUUCUGCAGGUUGCAUUCAGGAGAUCGAGCUGCCGGAUCGGAGGAGGUCAUAUCAGCCGUGUUGGUUGUGCACUUGUGUUGCUGCCGGCGGAGAAGGAACCAUGGUGAUCGGGCCACUGAUCUCCAUAAUGUAGUUGAACUAAAAUAAUCCCCUUCUGAGUUUAGCAUCUUUCCUUUGGAUGAAAUAAAAAAUUGUUAUUCCGGAUCCGUAAUCUCAACUGCUCCUCCAUUACACAUAGCAUCUUUCCUUGAGUUUAGCAUAUUAUUUCAACAUUUCAAAACUCUAGAUUCAACAUUUCUUGAAACUUAGUGCAACAUUUUAGAUAAAUCGAUUCAACAUUUAGCAUAGUAUUGUUGAAAAUGUUGAGCUAGUAUAUGUUAUUUCAACAUUUCUGCAAAGCUAGCUCAACAUUGAGGUAAUGUAGUUCAACAUUUUGUGUAGUAUUGUUAAAAUAGUGUAUCUAAAAUGUUGAGCUAAUACACAAAAAGUGUUGAGCUAGUAUAUAUUAUUUAAACAUUUCAAAAGUCUAGAUUCAACAUUUAUGGAAACCACAUUUUAGAUAAACUGGUUCAAUAUUUUGCAUAGCAUUGUUGAAAUAGUGUACCUUAAACGUUGAGCUAAAUAUAUAAAAAUGUUGAGCUAAUAUAUCUAAAAUGAUGAAACUAAGAAAAUAAAAAUGAAAAAAAUAUAUACAGUCAUGUGGGAUCUUAAUCCGUUAGAAAAAUUUCGAAAAGGCUCAUAGUUUAAUCGGAAUUAAAAUUAAAUGCACCGUUAGAGAGAUAAGUAAGUUGAAAAGUUCGAAAUCAAAACUCACAUCACCCAACAAGUAGCUGAAACCUAUCCGUCCUUUCAGCAGCUCCACCCACCUCGCACCAGCAUACUAGCACAUGGUGGUCCCCAGCCACCUCGAUGCCGUUGCGUCGAAGGAGAGGGCGGAACCGACGAGGGUCGCCGGCGGCUCCCACCCCGGCCGAACGCGUCCUGACCGACUCCGGCAGGGGGCGGCAGGGCCUCCCGCAGGUGAGCGCUUCCAUCCGUGGUCCGCAGCAGUAAUGUCUGAUUUUUCGCUUUCUUCUCCAGAAUUCGUCGCAUAUACUUAUAUGUCAUCGUCCUCUUAUUUUUCGCUUUCUUCUCCAGAAUUCGUCACAUAUACAAAGCUUUCACGAUUUCGAUGAGAGAUUUGGUCAUGUUUGUGGCCACGGAGACACAGUCUAGCUAGCGUAGUGAAAAGUGGCACUAGUGAUUGCAAUACGCACGGAAAUUGGUUUUUUGUCUGUUCUUUCUCCAUCUCAAUCAUCAAUCAAAUGGGGGUAGUCGUCGGUACGCCGGGUGGGCCGAGUUGGCCAAACUGCACAGUGGUGGUGGCAGCCAAGGUGUUGUUCAAGGUCGGGCUGGCACGCACACGGCCGUACCAUAUCAGGGUGUGUCCUGCUUCCCCGUCAACUUGGGGAGGUGGGCCAAGCGACAGCUAGCUGUGGUGUGGUGGGCAUCCAGCAGGCGCGCAGGGCCCAGCCGUGGCCGUGAUUAUGCGCCGGGGUGAGAGAAGAAGACACGGCACCUAAUACUUUCCUCACCUUUGCAGUGCCGUGGGCCCACCACUUCCCUUCUGGCCCACAUGUCAUGGAGACACGUCAGGCUGUGGUGGACAAGGGAAGACACCGCACCGCACGCACCUCCACCACUUGCCUUGCCUUUGCCUUCGCUUUUCCCACUUGUGCUGUGGGAAGACACCGCAUACACCUCCAGCUCGAGCUCGCCCGCCUAGCUAGGAGCUCCAGCAUCCGGUCCGCUCCGCCGCCGGUGCAGCAACCACGCCGCCGUCAGACCGCCUCGCGCGGCCACCGGUCGUCCCCGCGAUACACCGCCGCCGGUGCGCCGUGCGCGGCGGCGCUGUCCCGCCGCUCCUCCGCCUACCGUCCGCCUGCGCCACCACCAGCGCACCGGCAGCACCGCGAGCUGCUGCGCCGCCCCGACGUUGGUCCUUCCUGAGCCCGGUGUCGUCACCAGCGUCGCGGAGAAGCUAAUUACCUGGAGCAAUUUGUAGAAACAAAUAGUACUGGUUCGUUCACUUAUUUCUUUGCUGAAACUUAAUUUCUGCUUAGAGUUUGUGCCUAAAUUAGCUGCUUAUUCUGCUGGUUGCACGCAGGAGAUCGAGCUACGGGCGUACGGCCGGAUCGGAGGAGGACAUAUCAGCCGGGUUCCUGUUGGUUGUGUACUUGUGUUCCUGCCGGCAGAGAAGCAACCAUGGCCGAGUUACUGAUCGGGCCACUGAUCUCCAUGGUGAAGGAGAAGGCAUCCAGCUACCUGCUGGACCAAUACAAGGUGAUGGAAGGCAUGGAGGAGCAGCGCAAGACCCUGGAGCGCAUGCUGCCAGCAAUCCUGCAAAUCAUCCAGGAUGCGGAGGAGAAAGGAGCCUCCCGAUCUAAAGUUGCAGUUUGGCUUAAAGACCUCAAGACAGCGGCCUAUGAGGCCAACGACGUCUUUGAUGAGUUCAAGUACGAGGCGCUUCGGCGAGAAGCCAAGAAGAAGGGCCACCAAAGCAAGCUUGGAGCGGAGGUAGCAAGACUCCUAGUCCCCGCUCGUAAUUCCAUUGUAUUCCGUUACAGGAUGGGCAAGAAGCUAAGCAGGAUUGUGCAGACCAUCGAGGCCCUGGUCACCGAGAUGAAUAAAUUUGGUUUCAGACACUUGCAGCAAGCACAGCCAUCAAGGCAGUGGCGACAGACAGAUUCCAUAAUCAUUGACUCCGACACAGAUAUUCUUAGCAGAUCUAGAGAUCGGGAGAAGAAGAAAAUCGUGGGGAUGCUCCUUGAUCAAGCUAGCAACAUGGAUCUCAUGGUUCUUCCAAUUGUUGGGAUGGGUGGGAUGGGCAAGUCCACCUUUGUGCAACUCAUUUACAAUGACCCUGCAAUCGAGAAGCACUUUGAGCUUCGGAGGUGGUGCUGCGUGUCAGAUGAUUUCGAUGUCAGUACCAUUGCAAGCAACAUCUGCCAGACCAAUGAGAAAUAUCGUGAAAAAUCAUUGCAGGAGCUCCAGAGUACAAUAAGUGGAAAAAGAUACCUCAUUGUGUUAGAUGAUGUAUGGAAUCGGGAUGCUGAUAAGUGGGGAAAACUAAAGACCUGCCUUAAGCAGGGUGGCAAGGGCAGUGCGGUACUAACAACAACUCGUGAUGCAGAAGUGGCUCGCAUUAUGACCAUGGGUGUAGCUCAAGCCCAUAAUAUCGAGAAUCUGAGUGACGAGCAUUUAAAGGAAAUUGUCCAGAGCAGAGCAUUCAGCUUGCAAAAUCCAAAUAUGGAAGAGCAAGAUGGCAUUCUCAGUGGAUUUGUUCGUCGAUGCGUUGGAUCUCCCUUGGCUGCCAAAGCCUUUGGCUCUAUGUUGAGUAACAGGACUAGUGUAAAUGAAUGGAAGGAUGUAUUAGCUAAAAGUGACAUUUGUAGUGAGAAAACCGGAAUUUUACCGAUCCUCAAGCUCAGUUUUGAUGACCUAUCCUCAGAUAUGAAGCAGUGCUUUGCAUUUUGUGCUUUAUUUCCUAAAGAUUAUGAGAUUGAUGUGGACCUCUUGAUUCGACUGUGGAUGGCACAUGACUUCAUACCUGUGCAGGAGGAUGACAAUCUAGAAACCAUAGGAAAAUAUAUUUUUGAGGAGCUAACUCGGAGGUCAUUCUUUCAAGAUGUCAGGCAAACACUUCAAUUUGACUAUUUUGGAAGCAGGUUGUCGCUUCGUAAGUCAACCAUAUGCAAGAUACAUGAUCUCAUGCAUGACAUUGCUCUAUCUGUUCUGGGGAAAGAAUGUGUCACUAUAGUUGGUAAGCCGAGCGUCAACAAGCUGUUGCUAAAUCCGACCCGCCACGUCUUCUUAUCACUAUAUGGUUUCAAUCCUACUUUCUGGAAAGAACAGGUUACAAGUCUACUAGAUCAUCUAUUGAAGAAACAAACUGCAAUGCUCCAUACGUUGUUUAUCAAAGAUUAUGGUCAACCCCUUGAUAUAUCAAAGUACACUUCACUGCGAGCAUUACACCUUCCAGCAAAUGAAGAGCUAAGGUAUCCUAAUCUGUCGCCACAUGAACAGCUUACAAGACACAUACAACACCUAAGGUAUCUUAAUCUGUCAUCACAUUGGUUCGAGAAACUUCCUGAAGGUAUAAGCAUUAUGUAUCAUCUACAAACGUUGGACCUCUCUCAUUGCAAAUACCUUCGUCACCUUCCAAAGGAUAUGAAGUAUAUGGCAAACCUCCGACACCUCUAUACCCAUGGAUGCAUAUCAUUGACAUGCAUGCCUCCAGGACUUGGACAGAUCACUUCUCUGCAGACUCUAACAUAUUUUGUUAUUGGUGAUGGCUUGGGAUGUAGUACUAUUGGGGAACUUCAAAACUUAAACCUUGGUGGAGAGUUAGAGUUAAGUGGUCUGCAAAAUGUAACAGAAGUGCUUGCAAAAGCAGCCAGUCUUGAAAAUAAAGAGAGACUCACACACUUAUCUCUCGCGUGGAAUGAUGAUGCCCGUGAGAAACCAGAUUCUCAUAAUGAGGUGUUAGAUGCCCUUAAACCUCAUCACCGGCUAGAGAUGCUAAGAAUAAAGUCCUACAAAGGCACCAAAUUACCGUCAUGGAUAACAGAUCUUAGUCUGUUGCAGCACUUGACUGAGCUCCAACUGGUUGGUUGUAGGCUGUGCGAGGAAUUUCCUCAAUUCUGCCAUUUCAAAGCCCUUGAAGUUCUGUAUUUGAAAAAGUUGGACAAAUUGCAAAGCCUAUGCAGUCAUAUGGUGUCUACGCCAUUUCCAGCACUGAAGCAACUCCAGUUACAUGAUUUGGAGAGCUUGGAGAGAUGGGUCGCAACAGAAGGAAAAGAAGAUGAAUUAUCCUUUCCUGUACUUGAGGAGGUUGAAAUAGAGAACUGUCCAAAGUUGACUAGCCUACCUGAAGCACCAAAGCUCAAGGUUGUAAAGCUGGAUGAAGGCAAGCCGCUGCUCUCCUUAGGAAUAGUUAAAUCAAGGCACAUGUCUUCAAUUUCUAAGCUACUACUGCGUGUCCGUGACACAGAAGCACUGCCUCAGAUAGAUUAUAAUUGGGAUUCAUCACAGAAACUGGAACUAUCUUUGGGUGGCACAGAAGCCGCACCUCUGUCACAACUGAGCAUAUUUGGCUGCAACUUUUUAUUCGUAUCAAGCCACUCACAGCUAACACCUGGGGUCUGGAAAUGGUUUGAACAUCUUGCAGUUUUAACAAUUGCAAAAUGUGAUGUGCUCAUCUACUGGCCAGAAGAAGUGUUCCAAAGCUUGGUAUCUUUGAAGUACUUGUUCAUUUUCUCCUGCAACAAGCUAAUAGGGCCCACACAAGCGAAAGGUGACAAACCUACACAAACAACAGAUCAAGUCCUGCCACAUCUAAACAUGAUACGUAUACACAAUUGUGAAAGCAUGGCACAGCUCUUCAUUCUUCCCCCAUCUAUCAGAAUUAUUCAUAUUUUUGAGUGCCCUAAGCUUGAGUUCAUAUGGGGAAAAGAGGAGCAUCUUGACACAUAUGCAUCGCUGGAACAUUGCCGCGACCCUGCAUCCACCACUGGUAACCUAGAGCAAUCGCCGUCUCCAAUUAUUCGCCGUCCAUGCCUUGUAGAUCUAACUAUAAGAGGAUGUGAUAGCCUGGUAACACUUCCAAAUCUACCACCGUCCCUCAAGGAAUUAUUCAUCCGGAAGUGUGAGAAGCUCUGCUCUGUGUCAGGAGACCUGUGUGCACUCGAGACCCUACAGAUUGUUAACUGCAAUAAGUUACAGUCAGUCAAUUCCUUGGGAGACCACCCAUCAUUAGAAACACUGUUUCUUUCUGGCUGCCGAUGCCUUGCAUCUUUAGGAUGUGAUGGUGGUCGUGGGAGUUACUCUGCUCUUCAGUGCCGUGAGAUCGAAGACUGCCCAGCCAUAGAUAUGAAGCAGUUUUACUAACGCCAUCAAACAGCUGCUUGACAGCUUUGAAUAUGAAGACGUAUCACACGUUCAUUCAAGCAGCUCUGAUGAAGGUACGACCUUUCACUUUCCUCUUAUUCAAUUUGUUUCCUUCAAAUUUCCCUUCUUUGCAUGCCCUCCUAUUUUGUUGACGAUCUGGUUUAUAGAUGGGCUUGCGGGGUGGGAUUUUGGGGUUUCAUCUUCGUUCCGGCUUUUAGACGGUCCUUUCUCACUGACGUGACCCCACAUAUAUUUUAGUUUAUACGGCUAUUGGUUUUCAGUCUUCGAUGCAGUUGAAGUGCAUAGGGAAAUUCUGGAAACAUGUUCUAUCCCUUGGUGUUGAGAUCAGCUGAUGCGGAAUCACUGAAGUACUACUGAAACGAGAUCCUGAUCGGUCUCAGUUGUGGAGAGCAAUUUGUGAUGAAUGGAAGCAGUCCCAAGGCUUCAAGAACUCAUGGAGUCGUGCUGUACCAUUCUCCACUGCCAGGGCCUAAACUAGGUACAUGGAAGGCGCACAGGUUGGGAUAGUAAAAAACCAUACCUUUGUCUGUGUUAGAGCAACUCCAAGAGGCUGCUAAUCUUACCCCAAUACCUUUUUUAGGAAAAAAAAAGAGAAAAAAUGAACUCCAACAAUCCACCUAAACCUUCCCCAAUUUUUUAGCGACGCUAAAAAACAGCCUGCCAUCGCGUAUAUUUUAGCGUUGGCGUUCCUUCCCCAAUCCUGAUUCCCGCACACCCGCGCGUCCCUUCCGAUGGGCCCAAUACGAUGACGUGGCCUGUGUUUGAAAUAUUGGGGGCUAUUUAUUAGCGAUCUGUUGUGGACUGAUAUGCUUUUGGGGGAAAUUUUUUUUGGGAGAACCCCCAAUACAUAGUUUUGGGGAAGAAUUUUUUAGGAUACUCUUGGAGUUGCUCUUAGAGCAUCUUCAAGAGUCUGCCAAAAAACUCUUCCCCAAAACCACAUCAUCCCACAAUAGAUCCCUAAUAAUAAAUUUUCCAAUAUUUUAAAAUUUGCCACAUCAGCAUGCGUGGACCCUAAGCUGGGCUGCCCCCUUCCCCCGCUGGAGCGUUUUCGCGCUUUCGCACUGUGGCUGCCUGAGCAGGGGUUGGUCUGUGCUGAUUUGCUGAACCAUGCAUAUUAUAUGCACUGGGACUGUCAUGCCCUCAGAAAAGCAUCAUCAUCUACUGGUAUGACGUCAAUUCAGCCUCAAACUCUCAACACUGAAGGCCUUCGAGGACUAGGACUACGCCAGCGCCACCCAUUGAAUCCCAUCCCCAUCUCGGCCACGUGCCAUGCCAUGCCCAGCCGUGGGGCACUGGGCAGCCCACGUGCAGCCACUUGUGGCCACGGACGCCCAGCCAGACCAUCACCCCCAAGAGGAGGAACGCCUUAUCUUUUCACCAUGAGAAAGCAGAGUCUAACGGUCCGUGGGCAAUAGGAAAAUCAGCACCGGCGGACUCCUGUGUUCACCUUCAUAUUUUUCGUGGUCUAUAUUAUGCGAGUUAUAGCAGUCCUAGGGAAUUUGUUUGGUGUCUCGGAGUUGUCAUAUUCCUAUUAAUGAUUGUGACAGCUUUUAUAGGAUACGUACCACCUUGGGGUCAGAUGAGCUUUCGGGGAGCAACAGUAAUUACAAGCUUAGCUAGCGCCAUACCAGUAGUAGGAGAUACCAUAGUGACUUGGCUUUGGGGUGGUUUCUCCGUGGACAAGGCUCUUGGAGUUGCUCUUAAUCAAUUCUCAUUUAGCACUCUGUUGUUAACAUGUUACCCCCAUGCUUUUCAUUUUUUCUGUGCAGACAUGACCCAUUUAUCCUUAAAAGGCAUAAAGGAGGGCACUCACAUGUACGCACGACUGGCAACUGGAAGCUUCGUUGCAAGCCUCUGCUAACGACCAAGUUUGUUUUCACGCCACUAUACCAGCUGCUGGUAAUUCUCUUGUCACUAAUGUCAUCCUGUCAUCCAUCAAAGCCGUGGAGAAUAUGAUGCCACUCUGAGUCCUUCAGUUUGCCACGUGAGCCGAUGAAGCAGAAACAGAUGAUGAUGAUGGAUGAUAUAACUGCGGGGAUGCAGACUUGCUUUCAACGGUCGAAAUGGAGCUACAAAUGAUUAGUCGUAGUCGUGUGUGGUCCUUCCAUCACCUUGUGUUAUUGAUCCCGUUUGUAUGUGUUGCGUUCUCUAUAUCCCUCCAUAGCUUUUCAGUUGUUGUCUCUUUUACGACUAUUUUGAUUCCUCUUUUCCUUUUUAUUAAUAUAACACAAAAAUCCUCUUGCCAUGUUUUUGAAAAAACAAAAUCGUGAGGAUGCUGCUUCAUGAAGCUAGCAACAUGGAUCUCAUAUGGUUCUUCCGAUUGUUGGGAUUGGUGGGAUGGGCAAGACCACCUUUAAUUUGUGCAACUCAUUUAUGACCCUGAUCGUGAUGCAUUUUGAGCUUCAGAGGUGGUGCUGUGUGUCAGAUUCGAAAAUGUUUUUUGACUCUUUCAUCACCGCCUUCAGUAGCUCAUGCCGGUCAGGUCUUCUCCAGUGACCAGUUCCUUCACCUUGGUUGCGCACCCCCUCACCUGGGCUUGCAGCUAGGUCAUAGCCUUGGCAUUCCGCAUCAUCUCAGCCAUGGCAUAGUCUAGUGCUACGUAGGUUGUGUCCGUCCCGGCUUCAAACAUGUCCUUCAUGAACAUAUCCGUAGAACUCCAAUCAAAUUUAACCAAACUAGUCAUGAAACAUGUCAUAUGUACCUCUUGUGAGAAUUAAAUUGGAGGCUUAAAAUCCUUCAAUUAGUAACAGUAAGAAAUUAAUUAAAAUUUGGAGUUUUGUUGCAUACAAGUUGCCAGUCACCAGUACAGAAAUGACCUUUAGUCCUGGUUAGGAAACCUUGGGAAACCUCAAAGAGCUCGGUUUUCCCGACCGGGAUUAAGUAUUCGGGAUUUAGUCCUGUAACACCAUGUGCUUUGCCUUAUAAUGAAAGCCACUAAAAAUUCGAACUUCUAAAAUUUUCCUAUAAACUAAAAUGUGCCUUGCUAUUUCAUACCUCAAAACCCUUUCAAAAUAAAUUUUACAAAACAACCUUCAUCAAAAUUCACCAUAUGCAUUUUAUUGUGCUUGUUUGAGUGUUGUUUGCUUGUGUGCUUUGUUGAAUCUUUUGGUGGCAACCAACCCCUUGACCUCCUUUCCAAAUUUCCCACAAAUCCUUGUUAAACAUCCCUUCGAAUUCCUCAAAUCCAUUCAAACUCCAUUUCAAAUCUCUUCCAAAAUUAUUCAAACCAUUUCCUUGGGUGCAGGCUCAAUUUCCCUCUCCUCUCCUUUCGGCCUGGCGUGGCUUGCUUCUCCUUCUCCCUUUCAGCCCAGCUCGGCCCGCCCCUCCUCGCCUUCUUCUUUCCCGAGCAGGCCACCUCCUCCUCCUCCUUUACUUCCGCACGGCCCGGUCCAGCCCACAACGGCCGCCACCUCUCUCUUCCUCUCCGCACCAGCACCGCCCAUGAGAAUGGCCCGUGACGACCCGGCUCCCACUCCAUGUCAGCAUUGCGUCCGCACACAGCCGCUGAUGAGUAGGUCCCACUCAAUAGCGUCAUCCCCAACCUCGUGUCGUCUUCCCCAAUGCGUCUCGUUGCCGCCGCCUUGUCCCAUCUCCGCCCGUCGCCUAUGCCGUCGUGCCGGCCCCGAAGAAAUAUCUCGCCGCUCCAUCCCAUCAUGGCCCCACCUGUCAUCCCGCACGGUCCUAAAAGAUCUCCGCCGCCCGCUCCACGGACCUCUGUGCACAAUCGACCUCUCGCGGCUAUAAAAGCUGGCGAGCCCCGCCAUCGCUCCCCGCACCUCAAGCUCGAGCUCCCUCCCUCUUCUUCUGCUCGAGCUCGCCUCCUCCCUCUUUAGUCCUCUCCUCCCUCCACCGGAGCACGGCUUCCUCCGAAGCCACGCCUCGCCGAGCCCUGCCCUUCCCUCUUCCUGUCUAGCGCGCCACCGCACAGAACUGCCAGCCAAGCACUAGCGCCGCCACCGUGACAAACUCGAGGAGGACAAAGUGCCGAGCGACGUUGGAUCGGUAACAAGCGGCCCUGAUCUGCCUGAGCUAAUUCGCGUCCCACACCCGAUGACAAGUAGGCCCGAGUCUAACGCCGAAAAUGCCGUCUGUUGGUGACCAGUGGGCACCACAUCAGCAAGCAAGCUCCCAGACAUCACCAUGGCACUGGGAGGGUGCCUCGCAAGCACCACGCGGACACACCCGUAGCAAAUGACACGUCAUCAUGGGUCCACAUGUGAGUUACUGUGUGACACUGUGCGGUCAACAGUCAACACUGACCAGGGACACACCUGGAGUAACUGUGUCGACGGUAAAAUUACUACGCGUACUCAGGUUAGUGUACACGGAAGUCUCGUUUACCCCUUUCCUUGCACAAGCAAGCUCCCAGACAAAUUGUCACUCGCCAUGGCACUGGGAGGGUGCCUCGCAAGCGCCACGCGGACACACCCGUAGCAAAUGACACGUCAUCAUGGGCCCACAUGUGAGUUACUGUGUGACACUGUGCGGUCAAUAGUCAACACUGACCAGGGACACACCUGGAGUAACUGUGUCGACGGUAAAAUUACUACGCGUACUCAGGUUAGUGUACACGGAAGUCUCGUUUACCCCUUUCCUUGCACAGAAAAAUUUCCAAAAAAUUCCUAAAAAUACUAGAGCCACCCUAUAACCCAUCCAAACCUUUUGCACCCCAUUUCCAUCAUACAAAAUUAUGGGAAAAUAAAUUUCACCACUCAGGCACUCAUAAAUUCCAAUAAAUCACAUAAAUUCCCGAUAAAUUCCCAAAAAUCAUCUCUCCUGUCAAACUCCGUUUCUGUCAAUUCUUCCACCAAAAUUCUUCUAAAAUUAAAUCCUUGAUAUCCCUUCCGGUGCCACCAUUAGUUUCUUUGUUUGAUUCUUGAUUUGUUCAUGUAUUGCUCUUCGACCUGUUAGUCACUAACAUCACACAAACCCCUUAUGCUCAUGCAUGCAUAUACACUGUAGCAUGUAUACAACUAUAUGAGUAUACAUACACCCCCCUUCACACACCUACCACCGAUACUUUUUUUAUUUUUGUUUUUGCAAAAAAAAAAUCAAAACUAUUUAGUCCCAGUUGGUAAUACCAACAGGGACUAAAAGGGGCGGGAGGUAGCCACUGGCGCCGUGAUCGUUUUCUUCCGGUUGGUAUUACCAACUGGGACUAAAAGGGGAUAUUAUAUCCCGGUUUUGGGACCCGUGAUAAAAGACCCCCCUAUCUCGACAAGUUAAUCCUAGAUGCAUUUUCGGAAGAUAUGCACCCUACAAACCGGUACUAAUACCGAAUUUUCUAAUAGUGAAUGGUGCCGGUAGGCGUCCCCUUCAGCUGCAUUCUCUUCCAACCUGCAUACAAAGAGUCACUGGAGAUAGCGUGAUACAACCUCGGUUAGUCAGGCGAUCAAAUGAUAUAACCUCGAGUUAAUCUAGGCCGAAGCCAAUUAGCUUCCGUGUUUCUAUCUGAAGCUGGCAGAGUUAGCGCCUUGUCUGGGCGAGCUAAGACCCGGGUUAUAGGCGAAGGGGAUGAGUUUUGGACAGAUCCCCAACAUCUCGAAAAAUUAAUCUCGGUUGGGCAUUGGAGAGUUAUGCUCCUUCCCAACCGGGACUAAUAGUCAGUUUUCUACUACUGGUUGUGUAGAGGUGAGGAGGCGAGGGUUUUAGGUGAGGACGAUGAGGUGGCACCGCUCCCUUUCUCCGAUUCAACUGUCUCUAUAAAAUUGAUAUGGUUAGAUAUGUCAUAUUCUGUGGUACCACCUCGCGAUCACGAUGUGUGUGCCUCUAUAUAUGUUGUGCCAUUGCAGUCCAUUCGAUCGAGGGAGUACCAUAGCGUGACUGAACUACUGAAAAUGAAAAGCCUACACUUCUGCAACAACACAGUCUACCCCUAUGUUUACAACCUGACUUCCUCCUACAUCGACCAGAACAAUGAGGCCACCAUGGUGACCACCACCUUGGUCAUGUUUAUGCUGGCCGUGUUCGUCUUCAACCUCAACCUCUUCAGCCGCUUCUUGGACGUGAGCGCGAUUCUCAACCCUAGCGUCCGCCUCUUCCUCUCCACCUCCCUGUCCCUCUUCCUGCCGGUCAUGUCCUACCUCUUCUCCGAGGCCAAGAACCAAGGUGCAACGACGACCAUGGCUGCUAGUACUAGUAGCUCCAGUUAUGGCGAGCUCGGUGACGAGCUGUCACUUCGAGCUAGGACGAUCCUCAUGUGGAUGCUUCUUGUGGAGCUCCUACGCAAGAAGGUGGAGGCCGUCCUGGUCAACGUGGGCAUGCAGUGGUACUCAGGCGCCAUCGAUCGCUUCGCCCGCAUUGUUUGGCUCUGCUAGCUCGUCUUCUACAAUGUCAAAAGCCCCGGCAAGAAGGCGAUCUACGGCACCUUAUGGGUCCUCACUGCUGCCAAGUUCCUGCAAAGGGUCGUCGUCAAGAUGGUGCUGGAGCGUUCCUUCGCCUACGGAAGGAACACCCAGCUGCUCAACUCAUACAUGGCCCAGAUCAUCCAACAACAAGAGCAAGAGGAGCACUUGGGGUCAUCGUAGGCGGAGCUGUUGAAGAAGUGCGAGUACACCGUGAUGGGAGAAGACAACCUGGAGAGGACGGCUGGCCGGCAUGCAUGGCUACCAGGUCGAGCUGAACAAGGCAGCCGUUGUCACCGUUGGUGACAUUUGGACGCAGGCAGCAGCCGAGCCGGACAGCCUCCUCCGGAGAGAACACCUCAGAAGGCUCUGCCUCUCCUUUGUUCUCUACAAGCUGCUGCGCCGGAGGUUCGAGGACAUCCCCACAACAAGGGAGGAGACCCGGAACUGCCGGAACCUCAUCUUCAAGGGCAUGUUGAAGGAGGAGGCGGAGCAAGGUGCCGAGGUCGCACUGUUCCAGUCUUCAACGAUGAGACCCAGUUCGUUUGCGAGUACUACCAUUCCGUCCUACCCGUCGUCUUGUCCGACCCUUUCUUCUUCAUAGCCAACUACAUCUUGUUUCCCAUUGUAGUUUGUGCCUUCUGCCUCCUAACAUUGAUCAUCUGCGGCAAUGGGAGCGUCCACUACGCCUACCAGAGCAUCAAAAGUGACAACUACAUCAUAUACACUGGCGCGACGACGCUGACCAGAUGCCUCCUGAGAAACAUCGCCCAUUCACCCGAGGUGCUAGCUGUUCGCCAGCAUCGACCUAGGCACCACCACUCUGCUCAUCCUGGCCUUCGUCUACGAGGAAGUCGUGGAGGUCCUCGUCUUUAUCCUCUCCAAUUGGCUCAUCGUGUCGCUCAUCUGUCAGUACACCGCCAAGCUCCACUGGCGGCAGAGCCGCAUCCUGUGUCGGCUCAUCCGCGGCAUCCUGUGGGUGCGAAGCAUGCUAUAAGCCACCCUAACCUCUGCUUCAAGCAGCUCUCCGUGCUAGGGUUCUUCCAACUGUCGUCGCCUUCGCCGUUCAUGGUGCCAACCAAGGCAGUGCCCAAGGAGGUAAUUAAAGAUUCUUCAUCGGUAAUGUCGCGCGGUUCUUGGUUUCAAGUACUGCCUGUAUUUUUUUUAUUUUUUUUUUGCCUUGUCAUUUGGUCCGUCAGAACUAAGUUUGUCGAAUUCCUUCUGAAUAAGCUUGAGACGCUGGUCGUGCUUGUUUGUUGGUGUGCCUACGUGCCGCGUAGUUGUCGUAGCAAAUACUUUCGGUUCCAUAUCGCCUGUGACAUUCAGCAUGUUGUCUUUUUUUUUUUGAAGCGCAUUCAGCAUGUUUCGCAGAUGUUUGGAAGGAUGAUCCAAAUUCUGAAUGCACAGACCAUGUUGGGAAAUUGAUUUCCCCACUGCGUGUCUGUGUUUACAUGCAUCUUCUUACUGUGGUUCCAAUGGCCCGUCUAGGCCCAUACAGGCCUAUCAGGUGGAUGGGCCGGCCGGCCUCCUGGAUCAACAAGGCCGGUAUCCCUUCUUGCCCGUCCGCCCCCGCUGUAGAAACAAAACCAGAACCAGCAGAUCCCCCGGGCCCUGAAGAGAAAGACGAUGGCAACAGAAGAAAGAGCUCGCGACGAAGCCGGCGAAAGCCCCCCAAACCCUCCCCAGCCCAGGCAGCGGCGGCGCGACGAGAUGGCCGACGACCCCACCGCCGGCGGCGGGAACACCGUCGAGGACGUCGUCCGCGCGGAGGUGAGCAUCCCCGGCCGGCCCUCGUCCUCUUUGCUGCGAGUGCCGGGGAAUCCGAUCUCCGCCCGUGCCGACCUGGCUCUGCUCGGCUGCCCCCGAUCUGCCCGCGCAGGUGGCGGCGCCUCGCCCCCAGUUCGGUUUCGGGUUAGAGGUGUCCCAUCGUGGUGUCUGGGCGGGGGGAAUCCGGCGACGAGGCGUUCUCCCUCCCGUUGGCUCGGUUGGCGCGGACGGACGCGGUGGGCCUGGUUGGGGAAUCUGUGCCCGUUUCGAUUUGGGUGUAGAAUAGGUAUACGUCUGCAAAAUUGAUAGAAUUAGGCCCGUUUAUAUCGGUCCUGGUACUUGGGCCAUGACGCUUUGGAUCGCCCACAAAAAUCCACAAACGCAGGCAGGGCCGGUCAUCCCGGAUAAAUCCAAAAUGAUUUUUACCGGUUACCGACCCCGGCGGUUUCGAUUUUUACCGAAAACCGGUCGGUAACCGGUAAAAACUGGACGAAUUCAAAAGACGAAUUGCCAGCGCAACUGGUAAAAACCGCUCGGUAACCCGCCCGAAUUCAAACCGCUUGGUAACGGUAAAAACCGCAUAGUAAACUGCCUGAAUUCAAAAUUUGAAAAUUUUGAAUUCGAGCGGUUUACUGUGCAGCUGAACCGGUGCUGGACCGGAGCGGUUGUUUUCGUCGGUUUUGUAAAUCCUAUUUGUGAUUCGGUGGGAGCAUUGCGCUAAAGACUCGGGCAUAAAGAUAGAUAAAAGCAACAAAAGAAACGGUUUCCCAGCUAAAGGUGGUGGGCCAAGUGACAGCUAGCAGUGGAGAGGGGGGCAUUCCAGCGGCCUGCAAGGCGGUUUCCCAGCUGGCCCGUCCUCAUUUACUAAUCCCCACCAAGCUUAGGGGGUGUUUGGAUCCCGGACUAAAUUUUAAUCCCUGUCACAUCGAAUGUUUGACACUAAUUAGGAGUAUUAAACAUAGGCUAAUUACAAAACCAAUUUCACAACCCCUAGGCUAAAUCACGAGACGAAUCUAUUAAGCCUAAUUAGUCCAUGAUUUGACACUAUGGUGCUACAGUAAACAUUCGCUAAUGAUGGAUUAAUUAGGCUUAAUAGAUUCGUCUCGCGAUUUAGCCUAGGGGUUCUGCAAUUAGUUUUGUAAUUAGCUCAUGUUUAGUCCUCCUAAUUAGCAUCCGAACAUCCGAUGUGACACAGACUAAACUUUAGCUCCAGGAUCCAAACACCCCCUUAGCAUCUUUCCUUUCGAUGAAAUAAAAAAAUUGUUAAUCUCAACUGCUCCUCGAUUACCGCAUAGAUUAACACCUCUUUAGCCUUUGUGGCACGGCACCUAAGGCUCCGUUUUCUUCCAUUGACUUAUUUUUAGCACCCGUCACAUCAAAUAUUUAGAUACUAAUUAGGAGUAUUAAACGUAGACUAUUUACAAAACCCAUUACAUAAGACGAAUCUAAACGGCGAGACGAAUCUAUUAAGCCUAAUUAGUCCAUGAUUUGACAAUGUGUUGCUACAGUACCAUAGUGUCGUAUCGAUGGCAUUAAUGAGCCUUAAUUAGGCUUAAUAGAUUCGUCUCGCCGUUUAGAUUCCACUUAUGUAAUUGGUUUUGUAAAUAGUCUACGUUUACUACUCCUAAUUAGUAUCUAAACAUUCGAUGUGACACGUGCUAAAAAUAAGACACGGGAAGAAAACGCCCCCUAAUACUUUCCUCACCUUUGCAGUGCCGUGGGCCCGCCACUUCCCUUCUGGCCCACAAGUCAUGGAGGCGCGCGAGGAGGGGUAUCGGUUUCACGAUGAUUAAUAAAGAAAGACACCGGCACACCGCACCGCAUGCACCUCCACCACUUGCGUUGCCUUUGCCUUUGCUUUUCCCCGAGCUCGCCCGCCUAGGAGCUCCAGCAGCCGGUCCGCUCCGCCACCGGUGCGGCAACCACGCCGCCGUCAGAUCGCCUCGCGCGGCCACCGGUCGUCCCCGCGAUACACCGCCGCCGGUGCGCCGUGCGCGGCGGCGCUGUCCCGCCGCUCCUCCGCCUACCGUCGGCCUGCGCCACCACCAGCGCACCGGCAGCACCGCGAGCUGCCGCGACGCCCCGACGUUGGUCCUUCCUGAGCCCGGUGUCGUCACCAGCGUAGCGGAGAAGCUAAUUACCUGAAGCAAUUUGUAGAAACGAAUAGUACUGGUUCGUUCACUUAUUUCUUUGCUCAAACUUAAUUUCUGCUUAGAGUUUGUGCCUAAAUUAGCUGCUUAUUCUGCUGGUUGCACGCAGGAGAUCGAGCUACGGGCGUACGGCCGGAUCGGAGGAGGACAUAUCAGCCGGGUUCCUGUUGGUUGUGUACUUGUGUUCCUGCCGACGGAGAAGCAACCAUGGCCGAGUUACUGAUCGGGCCACUGAUCUCCAUGGUGAAGGAGAAGGCAUCCAGCUACCUGCUGGACCAAUACAAGGUGAUGGAAGGCAUGGAGGAGCAGCGCAAGACCCUGGAGCGCAAGCUGCCAGCAAUCCUGCACAUCAUCCAGGAUGCGGAGGAGAAAGGAGCCUCCCGACCUGAAGUUGCAGUUUGGCUUAAAGACCUCAAGACAGCGGCCUAUGAGGCCAACGACGUCUUUGAUGAGUUCAAGUACGAGGCGCUUCGGCGAGAAGCCAAGAAGAAGGGCCACCACAGCAAGCUUGGAAAUGAGGUAGCAAGACUCCUAGUCCCCGCUCGUAAUCCCAUUGUAUUCCGUUACAGGAUGGGCAAGAAGCUACGCAGGAUUGUGCAGACCAUCGAGGCCUUGGUCACCGAGAUGAAUACAUUUGGUUUCAGGCACUUGCAGCAAGCACAGCCAUCAAGGCAGUGGCGACAGACAGAUUCCAUAAUCAUUGACUCCGACAGAGAUAUUCUUAGCAGAUCUAGAGAUCGGGAGAAGAAGAAAAUCGUGGGGAUGCUCCUUGAUCAAGCUAGCAACAGGGAUCUCAUGGUUCUUCCAAUUGUUGGGAUGGGUGGGAUGGGCAAGACCACCUUUGUGCAACUCAUUUACAAUGACCCUGCAAUCGAGAAGCACUUUGAGUUUCGGAGGUGGUACUGCGUGUCAGAUGAUUUCGAUGUCAGUACCAUUGCAAGCAACAUCUGCCAGACCAAUGAGAAAUAUCGUGAAAAAUCAUUGCAGGAGCUCCAUAGUACAAUAAGUGGAAAAAGGUACCUCAUUGUGUUAGAUGAUGUAUGGAAUCGGGAUGCUGAUAAGUGGGGAAAACUAAAGACCUGCCUUAAGCAGGGUGGCAAGGGCAGUGCAGUACUAACAACAACUCGUGAUGCAGAAGUGGCUCGCAUUAUGACCAUGGGUGUAGCUAAAGCCCAUAAUAUCGAGAAUCUGAGCGAUGAGCAUUUAAAGGAAAUUGUCCAGAGCAGAGCAUUCAGCUUGCAAAAUCCAAAUAUGGAAGAGCAAGAUGGCAUUCUCAGUGGAUUUGUUCGUCGAUGCGUUGGAUCUCCCUUGGCUGCCAAAGCCUUUGGCUCUAUGUUGAGUAACAGGACUAGUAUAAAUGAAUGGAAGGAUAUAUUAGCUAAAAGUAACAUUUGUAGUGAGAAAACCGGAAUUUUACCGAUCCUCAAGCUCAGUUUUGAUGACCUAUCCUCAGAUAUGAAGCAGUGCUUUGCAUUUUGUGCUUUAUUUCCUAAAGAUUAUGAGAUCGAUGUGGACCUCUUGAUUCGACUGUGGAUGGCACAUGAUUUCAUACCUGUGCAGGAGGAUGACAAUCUAGAAACCGUAGGAAAAUAUAUUUUUGAGGAGCUAACUCGAAGGUCAUUCUUUCAAGAUGUCAAGCAAACACUUCCAAUAAUUGUCAAGCAAACACUUCCACUUCCAUAUCGCUCUGUUGGAAUUCUUCGUAAGUCAACCAUAUGCAAGAUACAUGAUCUCAUGCAUGACAUUGCUCUAUCUGUUCUGGGGAAAGAAUGUGUCACUAUAGUUGGUAAGCCGAGCAUCAACAAGCUGUUGCUAAAUCCGACCCGCCACGUCUUCUUAUCAAUAUAUACUACUUUCUGGAAAGAACAGGUUACAAGUCUACUGGAUCAUCUAUUGAAGAAACAAACUGCAAUGCUCCAUACGUUGUUUAUCAAAGAUUAUGGUCAACCCCUUGAUAUAUCAAAGUACACUUCACUGCGAGCAUUACACCUUCCAGCAUAUGAGUAUCUAAGUUUUGGACAGGAACAGCUUACAAGACACAUACAACACCUAAGGUAUCUUAAUCUGUCGUCACAUGAGUUCGAGAAACUUCCUGAAGGUAUAAGCAUGAUGUAUAAUCUACAAUCGUUGGACCUCUCUCAUUGCAUAAAGCUUCGUCAACUUCCAAAGGAUAUGAAAUAUAUGGCAAACCUCCGACACCUCUAUACCCAUGGAUGCAAAUCAUUGACGUGCAUGCCUCCAGGACUUGGACAGAUCACUUCUCUGCAGACUCUAACAUAUUUUGUUAUUGGUGAUUGCUUGGGAUGUAGUACUAUCGGAGAACUUCGAAACUUAAACCUUGGUGGAGAGUUAGAGUUAAGUGGUCUGCAAAAUGUAACAGAAGUGCUUGCAAAAGCAGCCAAUCUUGAAAAUAAAGAGAAACUCACACACUUAUCUCUCAAGUGGAAUGAUGAUGCCCCUGAGAAAACAGAUUCUCAUAAUGAGGUGUUAGAUGCCCUUAAACCUCAUCACCGGCUAGAGAUGCUAAGAAUAAAGUCCUACAAAGGCACCAAUUUACCGUCA